rnacentral:lncRNA from 1 species
GAGGAGGUUCAUGGUUGUCCCAAAACCAGGAACUCGUUUUGCUUCAGUAUCAUUUUUGUUGGGCUUCCAGUUGCCAACAAAUGCAUCAUGAGCAGAAGGUAGUCCCUUUUUCUGGGGUUUCAUCCAUUGAUAUAUUGCAGCCUGGAAAGCCAGAGUCGCGUUUUGUUCAAUGUAUUCAGGAUGGUUCAAAAGAUCUUGCUUGAGGCCUUCACCAACAGGCCCGUAGUUGUAGUUCCUAAGACAACAUACACGGAUACAGUCAGAAAAAUAUGCAGGACUGAAGCAAUUACUAAAAUGCAAUAGAGUUAAAAUACCGAACCCCUCCCCCCCCCCCGGCCCGCCGGCCCAAAAAAAAAAACCCGCACAAAAAAAAAUUCUAAGCAUGGAGCCCUUCAAUAUCUAUAAUCAUCAUGCGAGCAUUACAGACUUUACAAUUCUAAGAAACAGGGACAGUUAGAAUGGAAAACAAAUUAACUUUGUGUAGUCUUUGUUAAGAAAGCUUGAUUCAGUAGGAAUCAGUGAACUAAAUUAUGGCAGAUGAUAAUUAAGGACUAUUUCCAUAAAACAAUCAACAAAGCUUGCAGAAAGCAAAUGGCAUUUAGUUCCACAUCCAACUGAAAUUUCGAGGCAUAAAUAGCAUAUCUAAAUCACUGGUACUGCUUUUUUCUUCCCUCUCACUGUCUCUCUCUCUGAUCAUGUCAAAGACCUCACUUAGCCUGUAAAAAGUAACAAUCAAGUAAGGGAAGAAAGAACACCACCACAUACCAAUAAAGAGGUAGUGCACCACGACCAUGGUAACUAACUCCAGGAGCACAUGGAUAGGUUAACUUGAAGUAAUCAUCACAGUAUAUUGAGCUAGGACUCAUUUCCUUGUUGUAGCAUAGACCCCAAGCCAAGGGCCCCCUGUGGCUACCCCAUAACCACCUGCACCAUUAUCAGAAGCAUCAACUUUAAAUGGACUUAAGCAAGAAAAUGAAGUCAAUGCAACCAAAAAUCAAAGAAAAUUUCUCCCUCGUGAGCAACUUCCUCAAAUCUCAAUUUCAGCUUCAAGGCACCAUUUAGUUGGAUGCUGAUUGGAGAAAUUUAUCUCAUAAGUUUAGAUAGACAAAGCUAUUUGCCUAAGGAUUUAUUUGUUUCACCACACUUCCAACUUUAUUCAUUGUUACACAUUUUCUAAGUCUGUCUUCACAGAUACUAGCAAACAGUAGGGAUGGUAAAAAAAAUAUCCACAUAACAGUAGGACUUAGUUAUAAUAGUAUUAUAGAUAGAGAUACUAAUCAUAUAUACACACAUAGUACUUGCAAAGAAGGUGAGAUAUAGGAGCAUUAAAUGCAAGAAUAGGCGAGCUAAGAAUGGGCAAUGCUAAGAAUAGGCGAGCAAUGAAAGUGUUAAAAAAUGGGCAAUGCUAACUAAAUUUUGCACUUCCUUUUUUAAUUUUUUUCCUUUUUAGCAAGGGAGAGGAUGGGAUUUAAGAAAUGGGGAUGGAAAGAAAGAAAAAAAGGGGGGGGGGGGGGAUUUCAGUACUAAAUCUUACAAUUCUAAAAGAAAUAUAUUUCCUUGAAAGUCACGACACAUUACAUAUAUAGGAGAAUGAAAAUCAAGAAUUAAAAAAUUUUCUUGUGCUCAGUAACAAUGCUGAAAAUAAUUUGCAUCACAUACACAAAAUAUGGUAACACUUGCAUACUCUGUUUUCAUGCUACUUUACGAGUCUUAAAUGUACCUGAAUAAGAAAUGACUAAACUAAUCUGAGAUUCUUUUUUAUUUUGACUAGAACUCGUUCAAAAGAAUGUUCACAGCGAAAAGAAAACUACAGUGAUUGUACCAUCACAUCCAUCUUUUGCUUAUAUGCAAAGAAAACAACAGAUAUAAACCUCCUAUAAUGAAACUUUUAGAUCCAAAUAAAUCAGUUCAAAACAGCACUAAAUCACAAACUAUCAUGUCAGAUCUCAAUUCUGGCCCCAAAAAAGAAAGAACUUCUAUCCAUACACUCAAUCUAGGUAAUACGCAUUCCAAGAUCAGUAAGAAUCUGAGUAAUUCCACACGAUACACUAAGUCUCUUAAAACCAAUAAUUCUAGCCACAAAUCUACAUCCACCGACAAACAUGUCCAACCUAGACAGCAUCCCUACAAGCUCGUGUAUUGUUCUUUGAAAGAAAUGGAAUCAAUGAAAUGAAAGAUGGAGUCAUAUUCUCUAAAUUAAGAAUAGAGUUUCUAAAAAACACAACAAAUUUCCAUUUCCAAAUCUCAUGAAGAACCAAACGCAACUCAACUAAAUUAGGGAAAACACGCUAUAAUUCCAUAUCAUCUCCUUACCUUUUCAAACAUGAUAUUAUAUUUGAUAUUAAGUACUAGCCAUCCAUUUUUGAAUUAACCCCUUCGAAACCGACAACCAAAAAAAAAAGGUAAAAUGGAUGGUAAAUUCUUAUGCAUAUAUAUAAAAACAAACAAAACUUUAAAUCCAUCAAAAAAAAGGAGAGGAACUUACAAGAAGUUUUGGCACCGACAUGACCAAGAAAUGCGGAAAGCUCCAACAUCUGGGCAGUCUUGUUUCCAGUGGUACCAAAUCCCAAAGGCUGGAAAAGAGCAGCUGCGUGAAUGAAAGAUUCGUAAUCCCAAAACCCAACGGCAUGAGCCACCGGCGAAUUCCUCUUGGAGAACAGAUUCUCAAACUGGUAAGUCUGAAAAUAGUCCGAGAUCGUCAGAUUACAACAGUAAACAGAUGGGGUCGAACAUUCCCACCCCUUUGUACAGUACUUCUUCCCCUUCACAACCUUCACCACUUUCGACGGCACCGCCGACUCGUCGGCGUAGGAAAUCGCCGGUGAAAGAAUCAAAAUUAGACAAAUAACCGGCAAAAACAUCUUGAAAUUCAACAUUUCUUUACAAUGCAGCAGGGAUUAAAACGGUCGGUUUUUUCUGCUGGGAUUUUUGGAGCUAUAAAAUUGAAGAAAUGAAAGGGAAAGAAGAGCUGGAAUGAUGUUGGAAAGGGGCCUUGGACUAUAGAGAGUGUGAUGCAAGGUAAGGAAAGCGGUGGUUAGAUGCGGUGUCGUUUUCUGGGGAUGGAGAGAUGGACGGUCGAGAUGGGGUUUGGGUUGGGGAAUGGAGGGUGGAUGGUGAACGUGUACCAGGCUGGAUUUGGAAUCAAGCAAAGGGGAGAUGGUGAGGGAGUGACCCACUAACUAAUUCAGUAAUUCCACCGACAGCUCCUGAGUCCUGAGGACUCUUCAGACUGGGGUUUGUUUUUUUUUGGUUUUAUGGAUCCGGAUAUGGGAAUCCGGAGUCAGAGUUGUGCCGACAAAUGAAAGUCUUGAACUCGUUUAAGAUGAGCUAAGAAUGUUCAUUUACGUUUUGGAGUCUUACACUGCUACUACGCUACUAGGUACAUUUGUAUUUAUUUUCUAGGGAUAAUUUCAAAAACCUUCCCGACGUUUCUAACACUUUUACGACCUUUCCUAAGGAUUUAAAAAUUACACUAACUUUCCUUCUUAGAAAUUUGGAUCCAUUACUUGGGAUAAUUUCAUAAACCUUCCUUGAGAUUUUCAACAAUUACAGAGAUCUUCUCUCAAGUUUCAAAAAUUAUACUUACCUCCCUCGCUUUUAAGAUUUACAUAACAAUAUAGAUCCAAUAGCCUAUAAUUUUUCUUAAAUAUCCUAAAAUACCCUUCUUCAGAGAACAAGACACAACAAAAUAAGGUUUUAAUCUUUAAUUUCAUGUACGUGUCAUACUUACUAAAACAAACAAAAUCCAGUCGCUCCAACUCAUCUCAAAAUUCAUUACUUGCUAAUUCUUGCUUUAUGCAAUUACUACCACCACUACCAAUACUAAACCAAGAAGAGUAAAUUUUAGGGAUAAUUUCAGAAACCUCCCCUGAGGUUUCUGACAAUUUCACUGACCUCCCCUGAGGUUUCCACAAUUACACUGACCUCCCCUGGCAGAACUUGGGACCCAAUUGCUGACAUCAUAUAAUGCAAAAUUACUAUUAUACCCAAGACAUUUUGUGUUAUUAUAGGACUAAAAUAUGAUAAGGCAGAUGGUGUUUUUGGAUAGUAUUGGAUUGCAUUUCUAUUUAUUUAAUGUAUGGUUAUGAAAUUUGUAAUGAUAUUACUCUUGGAUUGCAGUUUUGGUUUGCACCUUAUUACUGUUAAUGUUUUAUAAAUGACUGUUUUAGUUCUUGGAUUACACCUUACCUCCAAAAUUUGGGAAUUUACCCAAAUUUUCCAUUUUCUAAUAUUCCUACAAAUAUGCAAAAUUAUGCAUAUCCCUCAAAUCUACCCAAUAUUAAUGUUUUGUUAAACUCUAAAUAACAAAAAUAUGAAAUAUAAUAUUUAAAUAUAUUUUAAUACACACAAGUUGGACGGGUAACUAGUGUGUCAGAGAGUUGCCAUAAUCUCCUUAAACCCGCAUGCGGGUUUAAAGAGUAUUCGGAUAUUCUCAUAUGCACCUAUGCAAAUCGAACCAACCGGAUAUCUUAUCCGUAUCCCAUUUUUUUAAAUAAAAAUCUUAUAAAUUUGAAAAAUAAAAUCAAAUUUAGAUGUAUUAGGGUUUUAAAAAUAUUAUAUAAGUGAUAAAAAUUUUAUAAAUUGUAAAAAUAAAAUCAAAUUUAAAUAAUUAAAUGUUAUAUUUGCAUAAGAAAUAAUACAAUAAUCAUAAUAAUGAUAAUACAAUAAUAUUGGUGUAAUAAAACUGCCAUUAAUUUAAAUAUUUACUUAUAAUGCCCAAAGAGGCUAAUUACCAAUUUUUUCUUCUCGCGCUCAAAUAUAACAUUAACCCGCAUGCGAGCUAACCUUGAAAUAGAAAAAACACAGAAUCCCGCUUGCGGGUUUCAACGUUAUUAUGCAGGCGGGAUUUUAACCUGCUUGCUUGUGAACAUGUACCACAUUGCUUUGAAUUUUUGUGACAAGAGGAAAGCUUUGUCUGAUGAAUGUAUUUGUGAAAUGACCUGAGUGGUGGUAGAUGGGUUAAUUGGGUCGGUUGCGUUACCCAAUUGUUUAUAUCCAUAAGUAAAAUUUUAUGAUUCCCAUACCCAUCCCCUCACUUUUUCUUAUUUAUUUCUGAUUUUUAUUAGUUUUCAUUAAUUCACUAAUAUAACCGUCUCUUGUAUGCCCUUGUGUGUCCCUUUAUGGUAUGCCAAUCCACCUAUUUAUAGAAAAUAUUAUUUGACCAAAAAAUCAAAUAACAACAGAAAAUCAAUGCUAAUAGGAAAUAAUUUCUAAUUCUAAAUAAAAUAGAAAAUUUCUUGGCUACUAUUUCAAGUAACUAAAACCAAUUAGGAAACUAGUUACUUCCACACAAGACAAAAAACCUACCUAAAAGAAAUUAAACCAAUUUUCUAACAUCUUUCAUUAGAAUUUUCUUAAUUCAUUAGUUAGGGUAGAUUAAUAUAGUUUAUUUCAUCCAAGUAUUGUAUGGAACUAAACACAGAUGAAGUUGAGAAAGAAGAUGGAGAGUUUGGAACUCAUGUAACAAAUGUGACAUUUCUCCUAUCACUUUAUUUUUUGUAUUGAUUCUAAUGUUUGGUUAUAAUACAAAUUUGGAUCUUGUUUUCAUGUUUUUCAUGUUUUACUAGUUUUUAUACCUAGGGUGUGAAUGAACUUCUAUGAUUAUUAUGUAAUCUUUUUAUGGUUAUUUGAGUUACAUUUAUUAACAAGUUAUUUAGCACUUUUGCUUUUCUAAUCAUGAUUAGUUGGCCAUUAAAUGUGAUAAUUUUAAGGUGUUAAGUUUACAAUGGAAAUUGGGAUUUGAUACUAAUUAAAAAAGUGCUAAAUCUAGAGAGUUUACUCAUGAAAGUAGAGGAUCUUCUUUGUCAUUUUAAUGACUUGUUUCAUAUAAUUUCAUAGAAGAAAUGAAUUUAUAAUUAAUUUCAUAACCACGAGAGUGGGUAUAAUUUAGCCAUGACAAUAAUAUUUAAUUAAUUAGUAAUUUCACUUGCAAGAGUAGUGAAAAAUUUCAUAACUCUAGAAGUUUUCUAUUGUUAUUUUUAUUACUUUUAUUCAUAUUUAUAGUAUAGUUUUAAUUUCUUGCAUUUGUGAUAGUCUAAAUAAUGAAGAAGAUAAAAAAUCAUUGAUAAUUGAUAAUCUUUCCUAUAGAAUCGACACCUAAUAUUUCAAUACUCGAUAAACGAUCUGUAUACUUGCAAAAAAUGAGAUAUUUAGGUUUUAUUAAAAUUUGGUAUAUGGUAGAAUUUCGUCAAAUUUUUGGCGUCGUUGUUGGGGAAGAUUUGGUUCAAUAUCGAUUUUAAGAACCACUUUAUUAGUUUAGACAUUUUUACUUGUUUUUCUUGUUUAUGUUAUGUCAAGUGUCUUGUUUGCCAUAUUUAGUGUCUAGAUGAGUAUUUAUUUUGUGUUUAAUGUCUUGUUUUUGGUUUGUGUCUUUUAAACUAUUCUUUUUGACUAAUCUUACUUUUGAUAUUGUUUGAAAAUAUUUUUAGGUUAUAAGAGGGGUAGUAAACAAAAGUGGAUAAAAAUUUGAGAGAAAAAGUUUGGUAAUAGACUACAAUUUUCAAAACUACAACUAUGGAGGUAACCAAAAGAUGUCUGAAGAUAUAUCUUUUGAAGAUGGAUUAAAGAGCUUAACGACUAAACUUGAUUUUAUAAUAUUAAAAGUUCAAUUGGAUACCAUUAUAAAUAUACUUGAAUAAAAGAGGAAUAUUAAUGUUUUUAAUUUCAAUUAUAUGAUUUGUGACCUGUAUGGAGGUUAUCAUGCUACUCUGUAGAAAAGUAUAAAAUGUGGAUUGUUAUGAUGAAUUAGAGCAUUUUAAUCAUUGUUUUGAUUAAUAUGGUUCUAAUUGGGGUAAUUCUUAUACUUAUAGUUGGGAUAAUCAAUGUGCAUAUAAUGAUUCUCCGUAUUUUUACGAUUACCAAUCUAAAUUUGUCCACCUCGAAUCAAAAUCAUCUUGGAAAUUAGCUAUUGAAAACUAAUGCACCUUUGUUUUGAGAAUUAGCAAUUGAAAAGUUAGCUAAUGUGACUCCCAACCGUUUUGAUAGGGUUGAGAAAACGUUAGAUGAAUUAAUGUCUUGCAUAGGUAGAAUACAAGGUCAAUUGUAUGUUUUGUGUAAAGUAAUUUCUUCUAAUGGUAACUUGACCCUAUUGUGAAUGGGAAGCAUGUCACAUGUGAAAAUGGAAUACAAUUUGAUGAUAAUGAAAUAUCUAAUAUGAGUUUUAAUGAGGAAAUGUUCAUUUCACAUGAUUAUAUCUUUGGAACAAAUUUGAACCACAAGAGAUGAGCAUGAAUGAUUCACAUUUAACCCCUUUUGAGGAGUGUUUUGAAGAAAUAAGUUUUAAAAAUAUCAUCACCCAAGAAGGAUAUGCGAAUGUUCCUUUGGAGAAAUUUUCAAGUAGUGUUACUACAAAGUAAUAUCUAUGAAACACUUGAGACGGGUAAGUCUCUUCCAUCUCUUACAUUAUUUGAAUAUAUGAGUUUUGCUAUCAAACUACCUUUUAUUGAUCCACCAUGACCUAAAAUUGUAGAUUAUUCAUUAACAAACCUCUUUUAAAAAAUGAGGUAAAAUAGUAAAGUUAAUGAUAAUAAAAAAGUACUUAUUGGGAGACAACCCAAUAUUUUGUGUUAAUUUGAUUCAUUUAAGAGUGUUUUUAUGUUUGUUAUAUGUUUUAAUGUAUGUUAGUUAUAUUUAUUCUGAAGGGUUCAAGAAAGAAGGCAAAAGUCAUUUUUGAGAUCAAUGAGACUAAGGAAGAUCAAAGAAGUCAAUCCUUGUUAUUUUUGAUGUGUUAUAGUGAGUGGGAAUGUAUGUUUAGAUCAUUUUACAUGUGCGUGUAUCAAUUGGUUAUUUAACAAAAGAAUGAUUUAGAGUGCAUUUUAAAAAAUUGGGGCCAUUCACGUAAUUUUUAGAAAAGUGCAAAAUUGCUGCACUAAAAUUGGAGGAAGUAAAUAUGCAUCCUAAAAAAUGCAUCUAGCAUGCAUUUUUAGAUCGCACAUUAGUUUAUCCUCAUAAUUUCUCUCGAAAACGCACCCUCAACCCAUAUUUUCAGCCCCCGUAUUCUAAGUACUUGAUUUUUAAAGAGAAAACUCAACCUCAAACUUCAUUAUUCUUCCUCCUCUAUUCACAAAAUAACACACACACUUUACCAAACUUUAUUUUCAUCCAUUUUUCUUGAUUAAAAUUACCAUACAAAGAUCUCAUAGAGCUAAACUCAUGGAUCAAAAACAUCCAAAUGCAUAAAAUUUUGUGAAUUUAGCUCAAGCAUUCUAGGGUCUUCACAUUUAAAAACCAAUCAUUUGGGGACCAAUUUGGAUAAGAUUUUUUAGGGCUUUUGAGUCAAAUUCGCAUCAUCAAACAUCACUCUACCAAUUUGAGAUAAGUUUUUUAAACUUAACUUGGUAUUUUAAAUAUCACUAUUUGCAUAUUUUUUGAGUUUAUUAACACACUUUGAAUGGUAAAUUUGUAAUGUUAUUUUUUGAUAUUUAUGGGUUCCAUUAUACUUAUUUAGCAUUUUUUUAACCAUGGUUAGAUGAUUAAAUGUGGGAAUAUGAUGAUCCACGCAAUGUUUUAAUAUAUGCAUAUUCCUAUAUUAUAAUCAAUGUGGUAAUUGAUUUUGGAAUGUUGUUAAACAUAAUUGUAUCAAUAAACUCAUUAUUCUUCACUUGGAACAUGAUUUGAUGAUAAAUGUUGGUUGUUUGAAGACUUGUGCAAUUUUUGAGGAGGAGUUUAAAUUAAACAUGUGCAUAAUGUAUGUUUUUUGGUUUGAUUUUACUCUUAAAUUUAUUAUUCUAUGGUGAUGAUAUAAUUGCCUAGAGAAGGAUGAAAUAGUGCGUGAGACAUGGAUACUUGGAUUUGCACCUUGAGGCUGAUUCUUUGGUUCUUGUGAAGAUGAUAAAAGGAGAGCAUGCAUGUCCUUGGAGGUUACAGAGGGAGUUGGAAGAUCGUUGCAAUAUAAAGGUCUCUUUCAUACCAUUAUGCAUUGUUAUAAGGAGGCAAAUAAUCCUAUAGAUAGAUUGGCAAAGAGAGGAGUAGAUCUGAGGGGUGAUUCCGUAUUUGAGUCCUUUGCAACUCUGCCUACAUUGGUGCAUGGUGACGUACACCUUGAUAGAUUAGGAUUUCCGAACCUUCAUCAAAGAAGUCAUUAGUUAUUGUGGAAAGGAUCCUUAGCUGUUGCUACUGUACUUUAGCCUUCAAUGAUUAAUAAAAUUCCUAGUUGUUAAAAAAAACAUGCUUAUACUUCAUAUUUUAGGUAAUUAUGGUGAAAAGUUUGUUGAAAUACAGAAAGUUGGGGAAGUGUUGUGUGAUUUGUGCCUUGAGUAGUUUCCUGUCUAUUUUAUAUUGGUACAUAACAAAGGUAAGAAGUUAUUUACAAAAACUCUUCAUGCCUUUGUGUCUUAUGCAUCAUUUGAACCUUACUAGUUGUCUUAACGUGUUUGUUUUUAGGUUUCUAUUACUAAUGGUAUCAAGUGGAAUUCAUGAAGAAUUUGGAGAUAAAUAAAUAAUGGAUUAUGGAACUUCAUGGUUGGAACACUUCAAUCAUAUUAAUAGGGAGUAUUUCUUUCUUUAUCUUGAUUUUUCUUUUUACACGUUGAGGAUAAUGUGUAUUUUAAUUGUAAAGGGGGGGGGGGAGAAUUGAGAUUAUAUGCAUUGUAUGUGAUUGAUUUGUUGGUUGGAAAAUUGGACUAGUGCUUUUUUUUUUUAGACGAAUGUCCUCCAUUUGACACGGUGUAACAACAAGUAGUAACAUUUGACACCUAAUUGCAAGAGCAAUGGAUUACAGCAACGUACAUUACACAAUACUUGCAAUAAUCACUAGUGCUUGAAAAUGUUAUUGUGCUUUGAAAGUUUUCAAAAUUUGGUUUGCUGGCUAGGAGUUUUAUCCUACAAGGAAAAUUUUUUCAAAAUCUUGUCCAAAAUUGAACAAUUGCCCCAAAAUUUUUCAAUUUAAUUCAAAGAGCAAUGUGUUCCACACCAUUAGUACCUCAAAUUUCUUUUAAUUUUGAAAUAAAUAUAUGUGACUUAAAAAUUUCAUUUCUCUUUUAACUUUCAAAUAGCUAUUACGUGAUUAGCAUUUUUACAUUUUAGGAAAGUAUAUUUUAUAAAGUGGAGAAAAUUAUGUCUAAAUUUUGCAUAAUCGAUGAAGUUUCUUCUUUUUACUUAAUUUUGCAUGGUUGAGUGAUAAAUAUGGUCAAUAAUUGCAAUACUCUUCCUAUGAUUAUUGUGAGAACCUGAAAAUUUUCACAUUUUCUAAGCAUUAUUUUAUUUUUGUUUACAUUUUUAUACUUGCCUUUACAGAACCAGAAUUUUACUAUCAGGCUGGAUAAUAGCACUGGGUUCAAAUGACAAUAACUCAGGUUACACAAGUCCGAUUGAGGCAUUUUCAAUGCGUUGGAAAGCUAAAACGUAAGACUACAACUUUCGUGUUUUGGCCAACUGCUGAUUUAAUACGAAUCAAGAUGAAAAAACGAGACCAGAAUGAUGAAAUGUCAAAACUGUCCACAAAACUCUACCUAUGGCAGUCAAGGAUAUUUUCGUCAUUUCACGUGAUACAGUGCUCAAGUUGAGCUGAAAUUUUACAGGCAAUUAUAAAAUAUCAUUUCCUACAACUUUCAUGUUUUUAAUUAAGCCCAAUUCGGCCUCCACCGAAUGAAACUGGUCAGAAUAGGAUAGUACAAAAACUUAAAGCUGGAAUUAAUGUAACCCAAACAGAAAUUUCUUUAGGCAAAGUAAACUAGCACCUAAACACAAGAUUUUCCAUACAUCAAAAUUAGUAAAUCAUGACCAACCAUUACACUUCACAUGUGAGCAGAAAUUACACCAUAAAACUGAAAAUUUUCAUAUCACUACCUCAACUCAUGAAAUAUUGCAUGAAACUAUCAAAAUCUCAACCAUAAGCUUCUAGUUUGCACAUAUUGAAAGUAGGGAAAAGUUGCUAGCCAAAAAUACCUUGUAACCUCAAGAAAAAUGGUAACUUAGUCUUUCCUCUUCCAAAAUAACUCCACCAAAGCCUUUAAACUUUCCUUGUAAUCACUUGUAUGGAGUAGUUUUAAAUUUGGUUGGCUAAAACACAAGAUCCAAGCUAGCAAGUGAGGUAGAAAAUGGAGUUUUCUCUCUUGUUUUUCUCCUCAAAACAGCCGGCCAAGAAGAAGAAAAAUGGAGGAAAUAUUGGGUCAAAAUUUGUUUUAGUAAAGUGAAGAAAAUUAGAUCAAAGUCCAAUCUCCAAUGAUGUAGUGACACUUGGCCUUUCUAGUGUUUUCUCUAAUCCUUUGUCUUCCAAUGGUUACAUCAUAUAACAAACCUCUAAUUAUCUUCUAGCACCUUGUAUAAUAAUAUCACUUAGUACAAAACUCACUUAGUCACCAAAAUUUUAUCCCACUAGCUGGUCUCACAUCUAUAAUGCUCUUCAAUUUUAAUGUACACUAACUUAUGCUAGGAAAAUAAUUUAAAACUGUACUUACUUAUAAAAAUGCAUAGGAAAUUCAAUAUUUUAAAGGCAAGUAUAAAAAUGUAAGCAAAAAUAAAAUAAUGCCUAGAAAAUAUGAAAAUUUUCAGGUUCUCACACUCUCUCCUCCUUAAAAAAUUUCGUCCUCGAAAUUUUUACCUUUCGUUGCCUCAAAUGAUCCCGGAGCUUGUUGCCGGUCUACGGCAUAUACCUGUGCUAGUACUUUUGUUUGGUUCCCUCUUUCAUUAGUUUGUUUCGGUUUGGUUCCACCCACUUAUUGAGUACUAUUCUCUAGUGGCUGUUUUUUCGGACAAUUGCUAAGUUGAUGAUUGCUAUUCCCACAAAUCAAACACUUUCGCCCUUUCCUUCAGUAAUCAUCCUCAGUGUGAUUUGCCUUCCGACAGUAUCCACAGGCCAAGUGAGAAGUCACUUUUUGGCUUUCUUGAGAAAUUUCCUCUGAUCCUAUUUGACUUUCUUUUGUAGACCGCUCAUCUAAUGCUCCUAAUGUCCAUGGUGGGUGAGGUAAAUGGUUCACUUUUUGCAUUUUAGAAGGCAUUAUCUUUUCUCUAGAUUCCUCAGGUAGGUUAAUAGAUGCACAUCAUUUUCGCAUUUGGAAAGCUUUUACUUGUGCUUUCGCGUCUUCAAUUCUUUGAGCUUUCUCUAAAGCCUCCGUAAAAAUAUUAACUUGAACCGCCACUAAAGUUUCCUGAAUUUCCAAAUUCAAACCUUGUAUGAACUGUCUUACUCUCCUUCGCUUCGUAACCACCAAUUCAGAAGCGAACUUAGACAGUUUAGUAAAUUUAGUUUCAUAUUCAGCCACACUUUGGGUUCACUGAUGCAAUCCAAUAAACUCAUCCUCUCUUCUUUCUUGGACCAAAGGUGGGAGAUGCUUCUCAUUAAAUUCCUUUAUAAAGUUCACCCAUGUCCAUGCAGUCUGUUCUCUCUCCCAUUUUACCCUAAUAACAUUUCACCAUGCUCGAGCCAGUCCUUUGAAUUGAAAUUCAACAAAAUUCACCUGUCUUUACUCCGUAUAGUUCAAGGCUGCGAAGAUGUUAAUCAUUGCCUCUAACCACUGUUUAGCUACAUCUGGAUCAGGUCCUCCAAGGAAUUUAGGAGGUGCAAAUUUUUGAAACCGCUCCAGAGCCCUAUCCCUUCAUAUCUCGGAAUUUUGGGAUUGAUUCACUGGCAUUUGAUCUUGUUGAUCUACCAAUCGCGCUAGGAUAUUUGUCAUUUGUUAGAUCGCCGUCGUUACUUGGUCUCCUACCUCAACCCUCGGCCCACGAUCUUGCUCAGCUGCUGUUUCUAUUUCAUUUCUUGGUUCUUGAACUUGCCUAACCCCACAGCCCCGACUAGCUCCAUGUUUGCGAUUACGUCUCCCCUCCAUACCCUUUUUCUCUCUUUUUUUUUUCAAAAGGUGAUUUAGUAUGUAACAAAGUAAAUUGACUAAAACAACAAGAUAUAACACACCAAAUUCACAAAGCUACAUAUCAAGUUGAACAAAAACAAAAUCAAGUAUGGCAAAUACUAUACACGUAAGUAUUAACAUGCCACAAGCCAAAUACAUACGGUAACAAUACAGAAGUAAAACAAAAGAAAACACGACAUACCGUUCCACACUCGGUUAAAAUAUUCCCCGUCCCAUCUCUCACUUCUCUUACCAUCCGAACUAGAUGUCCGUUAACCCCUAGCACUUACUCUUACCAAACAUUAACCCAUUCCUGUUCCCCACAAUAAAGAUCACAAGUCCUUAGUAUUGCCCUCAAUUCCCACUUACUCGGGUACAAGAAUCUGAAUAAUUCACCACUCAAUCUGGCCAGUUCCAAGACUAAAUUAUCUACAAUCGAGAUUCCUACCUGACGUACAUAUCUAUUGUCUUCAAGUACCAUGAGAGAGAUUUAAGACUUAUAACAAUUCAUGAUUCAUAACUUAUGCUCAAAAGAGCACUUAGUCCUUCAUACUUAUUCACGAAUUCAGGACCAUAACACCACUUGACCCAACCUCACUCCGCGUAGAGACCACGCGAAGUGGCUCUGAUACCACCUGUGACAGCCCCACCUUCCCCUAAGACGAACCAAAGGGUUUGGCGGACCGCCUGCCCAACUCUCGCCAGGACUCGAUCGCUCUCAUCAAGUGAAAUAAGAUAUAACCUCGAGACUAAGCAAAAAACAAUUCCCAAACUUGAAACAUAUACUUACAUUCAUAUCCAUCUCAAACAAAAAUAUAAUCCCAAUUAGAACAAAAGCUUUAAGUUCUUACUACAUCCAACCUUAUCCAAGCACUAACGCGAGAACAAUAAAAAAAUAAAAUUUCAAAAAACUAGACCAAGUUAGUCUACACAGGACUCACACCCUCGCUCGCAUCCCCUGUAAGGAAAACAAAGCUAACGGAAUGAGCUAAAAGCCCAGUGAGGUUCCAUACACAUAGCCAAAUAAUUAAACAAGGACAUUAAUCAUGUAAUAACAAGUAAUCCAGAAAAUAUUUACAAUAUAAAAUAAUGAUAAUACAUUCAUUAAAAGGAUACAUGCUCACAUAUAACCCUUCGUUCAUUCAUUCCACCAAUCAUUUCCUUAUUCCUCCAAUAUUAAAAAUAAUUUCAUUUGUAAGUGAAAACCCGUCCAUUGUUCUUGCCAUUCAUUCAUUCAUUUCAUUUUCCCCUUACUGGACACUGGCCAGUCUCCACCAGAUUUCGUGGUCAUACUCGAGUAUACCAAACAUUAACCCAGGGUCACCAAUCGCCUGACCGAAUCCACUUCUGGCUCGAGUCGACCAGCAACGGAGGGCAAAGGUCCAGUUCGGCCAAAAGGCUUACAUUGAUGUACAAGUAGCAUUUAAACAUUUAAUCAUUUAAUCAUUAUAAAUUUUACAUUCAUUUAGGUCAAGUACAAUAAAGUACACACUCGCCUAGCAAAAUUCAUUUUUAAAAAUCAUUGAAAACAUGUAACAUUUAAUCCAACAUUCACAAAUAGUCACAUAGUCACAACAAUCCACAUAGUCAUUGGAAACAUAACGUACAAAGAAUACUCACCUAUUUAAGCAAAAUAACGUCCAAAGUUUCCUUCCGGAUAAUACCCUCAAUCACCAAGGAACCCUAAUAAUAACCAAGAGAAAUUAUUACAGUUAAACCAUCCAAAGUUUAGGUGAACCAAAGAAAAUCCGAACCGGGUUGAGUUGUCUUCAUGAAAGUUGUAACCCUUUCUCUUAGCUUCGAAACGGUAUAAAUUGUACCCCAAUCCUAUAAGCGUAGCUUCGGUUGUGACAAAUACGCUAAGAGAUGUCAAACCUGUCAUUUUGUUCUUUACCUUAAACCUUAUUUUCGAUCACUUUUCUAGCUUGAUUUUGUAAUGGAAUGACUUUUAGCCUAUUGAACGGCUAUUGUAAUGCAAUUUUUUGUGUGUGAUUUUGGGAGCUAAUUAAGUAAAAUAAUGAAGCAUAAAUGGUUGAAAAAUACGUAAACACAAAGGGCGUAUUACCUAAAUUUGCACUCGAGGGCUAGGUAGAUGUACUCAAGACUUGAGUAAGGGUUGAGGAUGAAACUAACUUGAAUCAUUUAAGGUAUUCAAGUCUUCUUUAUUAGAGGUAUAUAAGUUAGAAUCUGGCUGAAACUUGUACCCUUGGAAAAAUGAAAUUUAUGACUAAUAGAAAUACGUUUCUUCGUUUCUUCGACUCAAAUGGAGAUUUUAAAGUUUUACGAGCGAGCAUAAGUUUUACAAAUAUUUUACUCAUGUUUUUUGGUUUAAAUGUAUUCUUUUCACUUCCAAAACUAUACUUAUACUUUGUACUAGUAGUUAUUUGGAUUUUCUUUGGUUCACCUAAACUUUGGAUAGUUUAACUGUAAUAUUUUCUCUUGGUUAUUAUUAGGGUUCCUUGGUGAUUGAGGGUAUUAUCCGGAAGGAAACUUUGGACGUUAUUUUGCUUAAAUAGGUGAGUGUUCUUUGUACGUUAUGUUUCCAAUGACUAUGUAGAUUGUUGUGACUAUGUGACUAUUUGUGAAUGUUGGAUUAAAUGUUAAAUGUUUUCAAUGAUUUCUAAAAAUGAAUUUUACUAGACGAGUGUGUACUUUAUCGCACUCGACCUAAAUGAAUGUAAAAUUUAUAAUGAUUAAAUGUUUAAAUGCUACUUGUACAUCAAUGUAAGCCUUUUGGCCGAACUGGACCUUUGCCCUCCGUUGCUGGUCGACUCGAGCCAGAAGUGGAUUCGGUCAGGCGAUUGGUGACCCUGGGUUAAUGUUUGGUAUACUCGAGUAUGACCACGAAAUCUGGUGGAGACUGGCCAGUGUCCAGUAAGGGGAAAAUGAAAUGAAUGAAUGAAUGACAAGAACAAUGGACGGGUUUUCACUUACAAAUGAAAUUAUUUUUAAUACUGGAGGAAUAAGGAAAUGAUUGGUGGAAUGAAUGAACGAAGGGCUAUACGUGAGCAUGUAUCCUUUUAAUGAAUGUAUUAUCAUUAUUUUAUAUUGUAAAUAUUUUCUGGAUUAUUUGUUAUUACAUGAUUAAUGUCCUUGUUUAAUUAUUUGGCUAUGUGUAUGGAACCUCACCGGGUUUUUAGCUCAUUCCGUUAGCUUUGUUUUCCUUACAGGGGAUGCGAGCGAGGGCGUGAGUCCUGUACAGACUAGCUUGGUAUAGUUUUUUGAAAUUUUAUUUUUUUAUUGUUCUCGCGCUAGUGCUUGGAUAAGGUUGGAUGUAGUAAGAACUUAAAACUUUUGUUCUAAUUGGGAUUGUAUUUCUGUUUGAGAUGGAUAUGAAUGUAAGUAUAUGUGACGACCCCAUCUCCCCCUAAGGCGAACCAGAGAGUUUAGCGGGUCGCUUGCCCAACUCGCGCCAGGACUCGAAGGCAAAAGCAAAUAAAAGCUAUUCACACGGUAAAAGAGUAUUAUUCACAUUAUAUACAUCGGCAAAAGAAUUCUAUUUACAUCCCCAAAAGUAACUACCCAUACUAUUACAUCCUUAUGAUUAUAACCAAAACGAAAUAGUAGACCCUAAGAAGGGUCCUUACACGGAUCACUAUAAUAAGGAAAAACAUAUUAACUAUUCGGUGAUUACAAACAAAAUCCAACUAUACUAGUGAUGGUGCCAAAAUUUUCCCGCGUCGGCCCUGCUAAGGAAAACAAAAGAAAAGGGGUAAACUAGAAGCUUAGUGACUAACCAGGGGUAAAAAUAUAAUUUUUACAUGUCAACAUUUGCACAGUAAGAGCAAAACAAAAGCAGAAAAGUAGCACCACAUGGUAAGGAUACGGGUGGCUCCCAAGCUAACUCAUUUGUCGAGCUUGAUCACUGGUUGACCCUUGAGAUCCUGAGCCACAGAGCUCGCUUCUCUUAAAGGAUCCCACAUAGAGAGGCCAUGAGUCUCAGCUCAAGUCAUGAGCAAUAAAUGCUCUAAAAUAUUUUUCAAGCAAUAAAUGCUCUAGUUCAAGCAAUAAAUGCUCUAGUUCAAGCAAUAAAUGCUCCCAAAUUGCAUCACAAGCAAUAAAGGCUUCGCAAAUGUUUCACAAUCAAUAAAUGCUCCAUAAAAAAUCACAAAAUCAUAUUUCACAGGUAUCAAGAGCAACUAAUGGGGUUUAGAUCGAGUGCGAUAAAGUACGCCCUCGCCUAAGUGCCCAUUUUUCAUAGUAAACUCAUAUUAGUAUUGAGUUACAUAGAAACCCUGAUUACUCACCUAAAGAGCAAGUAUAACGAGAGAAAGUACGGAAAUGAAUUCAAGUCGCCAACUAGUGGGCCCCACCGGCUCCGUCUAGCCCGUCACCGCCUGUAGCAGAAGGUUGAGCCAUAUUAUCACUCAAACAACUACUAAAGUGCAUAAAUUAAGCAAAACGGCAAAAUUGGCACAUGCAUGUGCGGAAUCGGCAAACGGAAAUGGAAACGGCCGGCAAACGGAAAUGGGCAUAGUUACUGUCCAAAACUGUUUUGACCAUAAGUUGGGCUAUGAAUGUCAGAUUAAAGUGUAUGAGAUUCCGUUUCGAAGCUAAAAGAAAAGGCUACAACUUUUGUGAAGACACCUAAAUCUGGAUCUGAACAGAAAUAGGUCGAAAGUAUGGAAAAUAGUGCCAGAAGUUCGCACUUUAGGGUGACGGACUGGGUAUAUUUGCCGGACCACAACUCACAGUUCACAAACCCAAAUCAAGAAAUUCCAAAGGCAUUGGAAAGCUAAGACAUAAGGAUAAAACUUUUAUGUUUUGGCCAAGACUGGAUCAACUCAGAACAGAAUGAAAAAUGAGUGCCAAAUUACCUGUCAGAACUGUCCAGUGCUCAAGGCAGUUCUGACUCACGAUCUUGUUUUGCCUAUAACGGGAGUUAUGAAGCUUGGAUUUGAACGCACUUUAUACCGUUUUGAAUCUGAAACAAAGCUCUACAUUUCUUAUGAAGAUACCAACACCCAGUUCCAUCGUUAUCCAUGCGAACCGAGCAUGGUCAGAAGCUAAUUUACAAAAUGUGACCAAACCAGAAUUUGAAAGCUGAGUGAGGGUUUUGGCUAUAACUAAGCCUACACACCUCCGUUUGACUUGAAAUAUUGCAGGAAUAACAAGGACUUAAGAAGCUACAACUUUCAUGUUUUGAGCAGCUUCUAAAUCAGCAUGCAGCAUAAAUAAAAAUAGAGCCCAAUUCAGAUUUGUGGAUUGCCCUGUUUCCGGUUUUGCCGGUUUUGUAUAUUGCAACCGUGUGAUCCAUUUCUCUAAUUCUUAUACAAGUCUUCUAACCAAUUUCAUACCAAAUAAUAUUACAUAUAUUAGAUUCUAAAAUACCUAACAAUGAUCCGAGAUUUUCUCCGCAAAUUAUCAUAAAAUUACCAAAUACUAACCACCAUUUAGAUUCCAAUUCCACUAGUUCUUUACUAACUUCAAAACCCUAAUCAAUCAAACCUUAACUUUCCAAGUUCCAACUAAACCAAACUAAUUUCCCUUUUCAUUAGAGUUUCAUAACCAAAUCUGAUUUUUGCUAAAAACCAACAUACAAGUGCAUUUAAGAUAUCAAGGAUUCCAUUUACAAGCUCAAAACCAACCAAAUCAACUUAAUAACUCAUGAGACCAAAAGCCCUAAUUCUACAUAGCUCAACCGAAAUUUAAGCAACCAGAAAUCAACAACAUAAACCAUUAAACCGCACCAUAAACACCAUACAAACCAUACAAGUUCAUAUCCUCAACAGGAAACAUCACUUUCAUGGCUUCACAACUCAAGCGCCCAACUUUACCUUUCAAAUAAGCUUUGUGGAUGAUCAAACCACCCCAAUCAAGUUCCAAAGUUGUUGUUCUAGGCUCCAAGCUCAAGAUUAAUGGUGAAACUUGAAAAAUUGUGGAAGAAAUGUCCCCCCUCUCUUGCUCUCUCACUCUCUCGGCCUUCCUUCUCUCUCUCUCUUUAGUUUUUUAUUUGGUUUGUCUUGUGUUCUCUUGGAUGUUCUAGAAUUAAUACUUAGUCAAGACCAUUAGUAGAUAUUUUCCACCAACCAAUCACAUAAAAGAUGAUUAUUCACUUCCUAGUCCUUGCAACUUCCUUUUUGUUUUCUCACACUCUUACCCACAAAUGUUUGGAACUCUUGCACUUAAUUCCAUAAGAUACAACUUAUUCUAAUCCAAAAUACUUUGUCACACUUAAUCAUUUCACUAAUCACCUUAUUAUCUUAAUCACCCAUCCUUAAUUAUUCCUUAUUCCACAUAAAACCAACUAAACCACAAUCUUUUUACAUUAGCUAAAUUAAGGGUUUUAAACCCAACUUAAGGUUGUUCAAUUAGCAAAACACUAGGGAAUUUACUAGUGUAAGACUUUGUAGCUUUCUAAUCCUACUUAACCUUUAUAAAAGAAAUCGAAUCCGAUAUCUACUCAUACGAAAACAUACAUUAGCAUGCAUAAUAUUUACUACCACAUAAACUUAUGAUUAAUAUGUAAACUAGGGUUUUUGUGUAAAAAUAUCAAAGGUGUAAAUCCAUUAGGGUUUUAAUAAAAUUCCAAAUUAAGGUUUUUCGAUUAUAAAAGCAAAAUCACAUGUAAAGAAUUACCAUCAUCCUUAAAAUCAAAUUUUAUAGCAAAAUUUAGCACUAAUAAUCCUUAUUCAAAAUUAAGGAUGAAUCGGGAUCUCACAACCUCCCCCUCUUAGAAGAAUUUCAUCCUCGAAAUUCAUACCUUCGGUGUCCCUGAUCGGCCUAAAAAUGGUUCCCUUUGUCCCUGAUUUAUUUCCUCCCCUCGGCUUCUGAUGGCACUGAGCAACUAGGUGUUCAUUGCUACCACAUCGGAAACAUCGCCGAUUUUUCUCUUUCUUCCAACAGGAAUCUUCUGUAUGGUUAGUGGCCCCACAGACAUCACAUACUUUUCUGGUUCCGAACAUCGAUUCCCCAUGUGAGACACCACUUUAGGGCCCUUUUGCUGCCUGAUCUUCCCUUGUUUUACCUUGAUUCGGAGUCCCCACUGGUCGUGUACCAUCGGUUUCCUUUCUCCUCUUAUUAGGUGGCUCGCUUCCCGAGCUUUGCCCACCAGUAUAGGUAUAGGUGUCAGAUGGUGUUCUCUUCUUGUCACGGAAAGCUUUCACCGGACUCCUUGCCAUCUCUAUUCGCUGUGUCUUUUCCAGGGUCUGGCUGAAUGUAUCCAACUGGGCAGCCGCCAGUGCUUCUUGUAUUUUCACGUUUAACCCCUGGACAAACCGACGAAUUCUCUUUCGGUCUGUUAGUACUAACUCUGGAGCAAAACGAGAGAGUUUGGUAAAUUGUGUCUCUUACUCUGCCACACUUAACGGCCCUUGACGCAGGCGGAUAAAGUCCUCUUCCCGCCUUUCUUGAACAAUCGGUGGCAAAUACUUUUCGUUAAACUCACGAGUGAAAUUGACCCAAGUCCAGGGGGUCUGCUCUCAUUCCCACUUAGCCUUUAUUACAUUCCACCAUGCUCGGGUUGGUCCCUCAAAUUGGAAGACAGCAAAAGAUACCUGCCGUUCCUCUGGAUACCCGAGCGCAGCGAAUAUAUCCAUCAUGCGGUCCAUCCAUCCCUCAGCUAAGUCAGGGUUAGGUCCACCUAUGAAUUUCGGGUGUGCAAAUUUUUGGAACCGUUCUAAGGCACGGUCCACUCCCUCGUGAUUGCUCGGAUUAUUUUCAGGGUUUUCGGCAUUAUUCCCAUGACCCUGACCCUGUUGGUCCACCAUUCAUGCUAGCAAAUUUGUCAUCCGUUGUAUGGCUGUAGCUACUUGGUUAUCAGUUUGGUGGUUCGCAUUUUCAUUUUCUACCCUUUCGGGUUCUAGUCUCUAUCCCCUACAUUUUCCUCGGCCUCGGCCUCGUCCCCUACCUCCACCUCGACCACCGGCUUCCAUUUGUUUUGAAAAUUUUACCAUAUAAAACACCAUAUAAAACACAUUAAAUGAUCAAAAUUUUUGGACAUGCAUAUACAGGUUUACGCCAAAGAUAUGCACAAAUUAGCCAAAAUGCAGUUAGUACCAAAACACUGAACACAUCGAUUUCAAAACAAAUCAACAGGACAACAAAGUAAUUCGAGUCAACGGCCUUAACGCAACUCCCCUGCGGAGCCCACCUAAUCCACCAGCACUGCCCUGGUGGCCCUAGGGUGCAAACCUAAAGAAUAGAUCCAAAUAGCUAACUUCAACAUUAAGUAAGAACCAAGUCGAUUCACACUGGGACUGGCCAUCUCCAAGUGCAAUCAACUCAAUCCCUACUUUGCCUUAUGGGAAAAUUACAAAAGUCCAAUAUCAAAAUCCUAGCAUUCAAUAUUUACCUUAAUAGCUAAGUACCCUACAGUCCGGCAUCCUAAACGUUGAAAUCUCGGAUGCACUACAAAGAUCUGAAACCUAAGCUCUGAUACCAACUGUGACGACCCCACCUUCCCCUAAGGCAAAUCAGAGGGUUUAGCGGGUCGCUUGCCCAACUCGCGCCAGGACUUGAAGGCAAAAGCAAAUAAAAGCUAUUCACACGGCAAAAGAGUACUAUUCACAUUAUAUACAUCGGCAAAAGAGUUCUAUUUACAUCCACAAAAGUAACUACCUAUACCAUUACAUCCUUAUGAUUAUAACCAAAAUCAAAUAGUAGACCCUAAGAAGGGUCCUUACACGGAUCACUAUAAUAGGGAAAAACAUAUUAACUAUUCGGUAAUUACAAAUAAAACCCAACUAUACUAGUGAUGGUGCCAAAAUUUCCCCGCGUCGGCCCUGCUAAGGAAAACAAAAGAAAAGGGGGUAAGCUAGAAGCUUAGUGACUAACCAGGGGUAAAAAUAUAAUUUUUACAUGUCAACAUUUGCACAGUGAGAGCAAAGCAAAAGCAGAAAAGUAACACCACAUGGUAAGGAUACGGGCGGCUCCCAAGCUAACUCAUUUGUCGAGCUUGAUCACUGGUUAACUCUUGAGAUCCUGAGCCACACAGCUCACUUCUAUUAAAGGAUCCCAAAUAGAGAGACCAUGAGCCUCAACUCAAGUCAUGAGCAAUAAAUGCUCUAAAAUAUUUUUCAAGCAAUAAAUGCUCUAAAAUCGUAGUUCAAGCAAUAAAUGCUCUAAUUCAAGCAAUAAAUGCUCCCAAAUUGCGUCACAAGCAAUAAAUACUCCGCAAAUGUUUCACAAGCAAUAAAUGCUCCAUAACAAAUCACAAAAUCAUAUUUCACAGGUAUCAAGAGCAACUAAUGGGGUUUAGAUCGAGUGCGAUAAAUUACGCUCUCGCCUAAGUGCCCAUUUUUCAUAGUAAACUCAUAUUAGUAUUGAGUUACACAGAAACCCUGAUUACUCACCUAAAGAGCAAGUAUAACGAGAGAAAGUACGGAAAUGAAUUUAAGUCGCCAGCUAGUGGGCCCCACCGGCUCCGUCCAGCCCGUCACCGCCUGUAGCAGAAGGUUGAGCCAUAUUAUCACACAAAUAACUACUAAAGUGCGUAAAUUAAGCAAAACGGCAAAAUUGGCACAUGCAUGUGCGGAAUCGGCAAACGGAAAUGGAAACCGCCGGCAAACGGAAAUGGGCAUAGUUACUGUCCAAAACUGUUUUGACCAUAAGUUGGGCUAGGAAUGUCGGAUUAAAGUGUAUGAGAUACCGUUUCGAAACUAAAAGAAAAGGCUACAACUUUCAUGAAGACAUCUAAAUCCGGAUAUGAAUAGAAAUAGGUUGAAAGUAUGGAAAACAGUGCCAGAAGUUUGCACUUUAGGGUGACAGACAGGGUAUGUUUGCCAGACCAUAACUCACAGCUUACAAACCCAAAUCAAGAAAUUCCAAAGGCAUUGGAAAGCUAAGACAUAAGGAUAAAACUUUUAUGUUUUGGCCAAAACCUGGACCAACUCAGAACAGAACGAAAAAUGAGUGCCAAAUUACCUGUCAGAAUUGUCCAGUGCUCAAGGCAGUUCUGACUCACGAUCUUGUUUUGGCUAUAAAGGGAGUUACGAAGCUCAAAUUUGGAUGUACUUUAUACCGUUUUGAAUUUGAAACAAAGCUCUACAUUUCUUAUGAAGACACCAACACCUAGUUCCAUCGUUAUCCAUGCAAACUGAGCAUGGUCAGAAGCUAAUUUACAAAAUGUGACCAAACCAGAAUUUGAAAGCUGAGUGAGGGUUUUGGCUAUAAUUCAGCCUACACACCUCCGUUUGACCUGAAAUUCUGCAGGAUUAACAACGACUUAAGAAGCUACAACUUUCGUGUUUUGAGUAGCUUCUAAAUCAGCACGCAGCAUAAAUAAAAAUAGAGCCUAAUUCGGAUUUGUGGACUGCCCUGUUUCCAGUUUUGCCGGUUUUGUAUAUUGCAACCGUGUGAUCCGUUUCUCUCAUUCUUAUACAAGUCUUCUAACCAAUUUCAUACCAAAUAAUAUUACAUAUAUCAGAUUCUAAAAGACCUAACAAUGGUCCGAGAUUUUCUCCGCAAAUUAUCAUAAAAUUACCAAAUACUAACCACCAUUUAGAUUCCAAUUCCACUAGUUCUUUACUAACUUCAAAACCCUAAUCAAUCAAACCUUAACUUUCCAAGUUCCAACUAAACCAAACUAAUUUCCCUUUUCAUUAGGGUUUCAUAACCAAAUCUGAUUUUUGCUAAAAACCAACAUACAAGCGCAUUUAAGAUAUCAAGGAUUCCAUUUACAAGCUCAAAACCAACCAAAUCAACUUAAUAGCUCAUGAGACCAAAAGCCCUAAUUCUACAUAGCUCAACUGAAAUUUAAGCAACCAGAAAUCAACAACAUAAACCAUUAAACCGCACCAUAAACACCAUACAAACCAUACAAGUUCAUAUCCUCAACAAGAAACAUCACUUUCAUGGCUUCACAACUCAAGCACCCAACUUUACCUUUCAAAGAGAGAUGAUUUACCUUUCAAAUAAGCUUUGUGGAUGAUCAAACCACCCCAAUCAAGUUCCAAAGUUGUUGUUCUAGGCUCCAAGCUCAAGAUUAAUGGUGAAACUUGAAAAAUUGUGGAGGAAAUAUCCCCCCUCUCUUGCUCUCUCACUCUCUCGGUCUUCCCUCUCUCUCUCUCUCUCUUUAGUUUUUGAUUUGGUUUAUGUCUUGUGUUCUCUUGGAUGUUCUAUAAUUAAUACUUAGUCAAGACCAUUAGUAAAUAUUUUCCACCAACCAAUCACAUAAAAGAUGAUUAUUCACUUCCUAGUCCUUGCAACUUCCUUUUUGUUUUCUCACACUCUUGCCCACAAAUGUUUGGAACUCUUGCACUUAACUCCAUAGGAUACAACUUAUUCUAAUCCAAAAUACUUUGUCACACUUAAUCAUUUCACUAAUCACCUUAUUAUCUUAAUCACCCAUCCUUAAUUAUUCCUUAUUCCACAUAAAAGCAACUAAACCACAAUCUUUUAACAUUAGCUAAAUUAAGGGUUUUAAACCCAAUUUAAGGUUGUUUAAUUAGCAAAACGCUAGGGAAUUUACUAGUGUAAGACUUUGUAGCUUUCUAAUCCUACUUAACCUUUAUAAAAGAAAUCGAAUCCAAUAUCUACUCAUACGAAAACAUACAUUAGCAUGCAUAAUAUUUACUACCACAUAAACUUAUGAUUAAUACGUAAACUAGGGUUUUAUGUAAAAAUAUCAAAGGUGUAAAUCCAUUAGGGUUUUAAUAAAAUUCCAAAUUAAGGUUUUUUUAUUCUAAAAGCAAAAUCACAUGUAAAGAAUUACCAUCAUCCUUAAAUUCAAAUUUUAUAGCAAAAUUUAGCACUAAUAAUCCUUAUUCAAAAUUAAGGACGAAUCAGGAUCUCACAGUAUAUGUUUCAAAUUUGGGAAUUGUUUUUCGUUUAGUCUUGAGGUUAUAUCUUAUUUCACUUGAUGAGAGCGAUCGAGUCCUGGCUAGAGCUGGGUAGGCGGUCCGCCAAACCCUUUGGUUCGCCUUAGGGAAGGUGGGGUUGUCACAAUUAUUCUUUUUUGGAAAUGAUUAUUAUUUUUACUUUAAAAAAAGAAAGAAAAAAGAAAAAUGUAGAAAAAAGAAAAGAAAAAAUGAAUAAAAGUUGAAUCUCUACUCCAAUGGUUCUUAUGCUUAAUAAUUGGGAGUUUUCAUCUACAAAUGUCGACUUUUAAGUAAAACGGUACUUGAAUUAAGAAUAAGCACAGUAAUUUGAGAAUGUGAAGUGUUGAGUAAUUGGCGAUCUUCAUCUAAUAAUAUCAAUCUUCGCGUCAAAAGACACUUUCACAAUUUGAGUAAAUAUUUAGAUAUGUUACAUGAAUAAAUCCCUCUUUGAAUUUGAGAAAGAGAUGAUUAUGGAAUUAGGAAGCUGUUAUUUAACCAUACCAGUCACUUGCUUGUGGAAUUGAGUGAAGAUGAGAAAUUGAAUUAAACUAGUCAAAAUUAUGGUAUAAUUGAUUCUUCUUUACUUGAUAUUUUGAGUUCUUGACAUUAACUAAAUGAUUGCAUAAUGGUGAUUUGCCUUGUUUUGAGAAAUUGAGUUUCAAUCUUGCACAUGUUUUAUUUCAAAGUUUUGGAUAAUUGUUUCUUAUUGUUUGAGGACAAGCAAUAAUUCAAAUACAGGAAAAUUUGAUAAGUGUGUAUUUUGAUUAUUUAAUGUGUUUUAUUAUUUAUUUUUGGUGUGUUUUAUUAAUUUUUUAUAGUUAAUUAACUAGAUUUCUAGUGAAUUAUGCAUUUAUGGUUUAAAUAUGAAAAAUUGCAUUUCUAUGAAUUAAAGUGGAGAAAAUUUCAUGUUUUUGUAAAUUUAACGAUUCAAUCAUCAUAUGGAGUGAAUUGAGAAUAUAUUUGAAUGAUUAUUGAUGAUUUGAAGUGAUUUAAAGAGAAUAUGAAGUGCAAAAUGUUCAAAAAAUAAAAUGCAAUCAAGUAUACACACUACAACAAAAAUGGCGUUUUCUGACAUGCCUGUAAGGACACUUGUUGAUUUGUGUCAUUAUAGCACUCCUAUCAUGACACUUAUUAGCAAUUCAAUAAUAUAUAGUCUAAUUUUUUUUAUUUUAUUAGAUAUAAAAAUAAUAAUGUGCCUUUAGACUAUCUAACAUGACACUUGAGAAAAAUGUGAGAUAUACCAAAAAAAAAAGAAAGACACUAAACGGCAUCGUUUGAUUUUGGUGGAAGAUUCAUUCGCUCUAAAACACUCAAAAUUUUCAUUCUGCCGGCCAAAACACUUACUCAAAACACUUGCUCAAAAUUUUCAUUUUCCAGCUCCACCAUUUCCAGCCCCCCUCUCUCUGUUGUCAGAUUCCGAUGUAGUUGGUGGGAAAAAUGGGUAGCAGCCAAGCAGCAGUUUCCAUAAAGCUUCAACCGUGGCUCCCUCAGGCAGCUAACAGCAGCAUCAGCAACAAAAUCUCUCUCGAAGGAAACCCACUUCCAGGUCAUCAUCAUCUUCUUCUUCAAAUUCGGCUCGACAAAUUUCUCCCCCGACUCGAAUAGUUUAUCGAGAAUUGUCUUCCAAGUCCAAUCUCAAUUUGCCCUUUUGGCAAACUUCCUGGUUCAUUGGCUUACUUUUACUAAUGGCAAUCUCGUUUUUCGGUCUCGCUAUUUUCCUUUUUUUUACCCUUGACUCUUAUUUCACCUCUUCCCCCGUCUCUACCGCUUCCGAAGGUGUCCAGGUAAGCCAAAAGCCCACUUACUACUUCAAAUUUGUGGUUUUUGCGUUCCUGUAGUUGCACAGAUAUGCAGUGCAUCUUUGUGUGUGUAUGUGUUUUUCCCCCUAUUUGUUGAAAUUGUACGCGGAACGUUGUUUUAUAGUUAUUUUUGGCUCAAAAUUUUGACCAAGUUUGUGCUAUUAUAGGCAUGUGAUGGUUAUAAAUUAUAGCACUUCAGAGGUUUAUAAGCUAAAAGAGGACAGGGAAAGAGGAAAUGGAGUUUUUUGUGUAGAAUUAGUAAUAGCCUUCGACAUGUUUGAUGAAAUGCCUCAAUAAUCUUUGUUGAAAAUCUAGUUGGGAUUCAGUUAAAAAUUGCUAUUUGGAUUUUUUAAAGAGCUGAUUUAGGAAUUAAAUUUGAUUUUUUUUCCUGUUUUAUAGUUUGAGGUUUCUGUUGUGUGGCGAAAAUAAAAAAUGGUGUAUGAUGCUUUGAGUUCUAAUAGUUGUAUAAUGGGGCUUUGUGCUAAGUCAUUCUUAUUUUGUUUGGCAUUGUGAUUUUGGUAGAUUACUUAUGGGUCAGUGAUCAUGUAGUUGACGAUUACUUAUGGCUGGUGCACACCUUUUUGUACAGUACAUUACCGGUUUAAGCCUAGCUACCAAAAGCAGCAUUCUGUGGACAAUAUCUUGUUCUGUGGUGCAAGAACAAGCUGUGGUAGAUGGCUUUUUCUUCCUUUAACUGAUGCUAAUCUUUUUGUAGUCUUUUAACUGAUACUGUUCUUUACAAUAUAUCCCAUUUAGCUAAUGAGUUUAAGAUGAAAAUAUAAAUAAAGUUCAAGGUAUUAUUCUCAUUAGCUGGACAAAAAAUGUAACAUCUAGUCCUCUUAUUCAGCUUAUUAGGUUGCAAGUGUUACGUUCAUGAGAAUUACAGACUUGUGACACUGCGUUGCCACUAUUCACCAGUCUAUAUGAUUUUGAGAAAAUCAAGGAUUAAACAAUAAACAAACCCCAUCAACAAAUCAACCAAUUAGAAUGGUGAUUUUGAUAUCUAGCUACUGGGAACUUUUGAAAAGUACUGUGAAAAAUCAGCUUGUGCCUAUCUGACCAAGUGUUCAUCUUCCCACUGGUCUCUGUAUGUCUCAGGCUGAGACCUCUUUCUCAUGGAAGUUUCAACAUACAUCUGCUUUCUCCAUUCUUCAGUCCGCAGACAACCACACUGAGCAGCCAACCAAUCGUCAUAUUCGAACUGGCGAUAUAAAACAACGCAUCAGUUGAGUUGGGCAGAAAUUAAAAACUCUAGCCUAGGUCCAUGGAAAAGCAAGUGCAAAGAGGGUCACACUGGUGAAAGAUGACAAUGAAGAGCUGCAGCGAAAUCAAAUCAGCAGGAGGUGAGCAUUUUCUACCUGAUAACCAGCCAUGUUAUGAGUAUACCGCUUUGGAGUGCCAGAUGCUUCCAUUGAUGAGUAGAAAGCUUGAAUAUCAGCCAUCAUCUCCUUGGGAGAAGGAAGUGAAAGCCGACCACACAGAGUACCAGCUAUCCACUUGCUCUGAAAUUCAAACAAGGGGAAAGGUACAACCUAGCAGUCAAAGGGAAAAAAAAUUGCUUUUAUCAAUUAAAUGCAUUAUCAACCAGAACAGUUCAUAAACUGAGAACAUGGAAUAUUUGCAAAAGACCUUCCACGGCAACCCAACGAAUGAAAGCCAUGGUGCUAAAGCUGGAGGAAAAAUAUGCUUGUAAAGUGGCCCCACACGGUUAUCAUCCACAGCUACAAUGCCAUUAAUUUCAAGGAACGGAAAGUGAUAUUUGUACCUUAAAGAACAUGAAUAAUGAUUUAUUGCAAAUCGUCAACUAGAAUCGCCAGUUAAUGGACCUUUUUUGAAGUCAUUAUGAUCUCAUCGCAUGAAAUAAUUUUACCUUUCUUUGUUAUUUGAUUGUUGCCUAUGAGCAUUUUGUGUGCUUCCAGUUAAUUGAUCUUUAGGAGAGUCAUUCUAGAUUUAUUGUCCCAUAACAAUCUUUAGCUAAUAUAUUAUUGGUUUUCUUUUGGGUUGGCAGACCACACUUUUGGAUUACAUCAGGAAAAGCAAGGUAUGAAUCGAUUAUUUUUAUUGAUGUUCACGUUGAGGUACAUUAUUUGUAAUGCCAUUAUCAUUUGAUGACUUUAGAAGAAGUACCUUAUUCUGUCUUAUGUUAUGAUACUUGAAUAGUUGGGAACUAAAUCUUAGACAACCUACUGUAGGUGGCAGCAUCUGAAGCAGGUGGAAUUACUCAAGGCAUGGGGGCAUACAAGGUACAAGUACCUUUUGAUGGCAAGCCACAGACUUGUGUUUUCCUUGACACCCCUAGACCAGUGGUUCUAACUUUUAACUGCUUAUUCAUGCAAUUUUUUUUUUUUUAAAUUUUUAUGUCAAAUGCUCUUCUUGGAGAUUUUGCAGACAUAUCUUAAAAGGCCUUUGUCAAGAUGAAUUAUCUAACAUAACUGUAAAAAUGGUUGGAUAGGCAUUUGGAGCAAUGAGAGCUCGUGGAGCCAGAGUAACAGACAUUGCUGUUAUUGUAGUUGCUACUGAUGAUGGAAUUCGACCUCAAACAGAAGAGGCCAUUGCUCAUGCCAAAGCAGCUGGAGUGCGAAUUGUUAUUGCUAUAAACAAUGUGCGCUUGCAUUUAUUCUGAGAUUUUCCACUGUGUGUUGGCUUGUAUAUCAUUUAGUCUCAUUUGCAUUCUGCUUUUGAUGUAUGAAACAUGAUGACAAAUCUCCUCUUGCUUAUGGGAGUUGGCAUUUUCAGUUCUCAUAAUCACGGUACUACUCAAGUUUGAUGUUUCUAGAUUUUUGCAUCAUAGCAUAUUAUCUUAUAUGCAUUCUAUUCUUUGGGAUAAUUUUAAAAGUCCUUUGGGUUUCUGAUUGACGGAAUGUAUAGCAGGGAGCACUACCUGCAGGUUGCUUCUAUCUCAAAAAAAAAAAUCUCCUGACAAUUAAAAGUGUCAGCAUAGAAUUCGAUAUUUUAAUAUUGUAUUAUACUUAUCCUGACACUUUUAAUUAUCAAGAAAAGCGAUUUUUGUUGGCAGAUGGAAAGUUAUAACAGCAUAGUUUUCUUGACAUGUUGAAUAGUACGAGUCUAUCCCCAUAUUGGAAGGGACAACACUCGCCCUAGGUGUGAGGAUAGAUAAAGUGUCAGGUUAAAUUAUCUAUACUGACACUUUUAAAUGUCGUUAAAAGCCAUUUUUGUUGUAGUGACAGGAAGAAAUAUUUGACAGUUUUGACACCUUUUGGUAUUUUGAUUAUAUCUUGAGAUAUAAGUAUCAGAUUGAGAUGAUUCUUGAGUCAUUUUGCAGAUAAUACAUAUCUCUACAUUUGUUAUGAAAUAUCAAAAGCCAGUCCAUGAGUUUUCCUAGUCAAAAAGUCAAAAUAUAGUUGGUCAUUUUUGUUGUCAAAAGUUGAAAUAGGGGAUUCACCAAUGAAGAGUAUUUUAGUUAUUUCUCAAUCUACAUAAUCCUAAAUUAGAUGAUUCUUAUGCAUUGAAAAGUUAACUCAAAGGCCUAAAUUUUUAUGUUUUGUACAAGAGCUAGUUCAGCCUGCAUUGUCGAGAAAAUAUCAACUGAAUUUGGUGCAAAAACAGAGUAAAGUUCAAGACUCAUAAAAAAAGUGCAAAUAUGCAGAGGAGGCAAUAUGUAACCUUAACCCGUGUUUUGAACUUGUGUAUUCAUAUUUUAACCGAAGUACAGCUGGAACUAGUUGUACUUUAACUUGCAGCUCUUUUCUACUACUUAUGGAUCAAUUUUCUGAACGAAUUUCAGCUGGAAAGUGCAUGAAAUAUCUUGAAAAUUUGGAGAAACAACUUUUGGGAAUCGCAAGACACAAUUUGCACAACUUGAAAAAUGAUUGUAUGGAGCUUUAAUUCUCUAUAAAUAGGGCCUUUAUUGAGCUUGCUUGAUAACUUUGGAGUCUAGAGAAACUACACCAAAAUGUAGUCUUUUACUAGAAUUUCUUUAGUUCAUUAGUUAGGGUAGAUUAGUACACUUUAUUUCAUCCAAGUCUUGUAUGGAACUAAGUAUAGAUGAAGUUGAGGAUGAAGAUGGAGAGUUUAAAAUUCAUAUGACAAGAGUGACAUUUCUCCUAUCACUUUAUUUCUUGUAUUAAUUCUAAUAUUUGGUUAUAAUACAAGUUUGGAUCUUGUUUUAAUGUCUUUCAUGUUUUGCUAGUUUUUAUACUUAGGGUGUGGAUGAACUUCUAUGAUUAUUAUGUGAUCUUUUCAUGGUUAUUUGAGUUAUAUUUUUGAACAAGUUAUGUAACACUUUUGCUUUUCUAAUCAUGAUUAGCUGACCAUUAAUUAUGAUAAAUUUAAGGUGCUAAGUUUACAAUGAAAAUUGGGAUUUGACACUAGUUCAAAAAGUGCUAAAUUUAGGGAGUUCACUCACGAAAAUUGAGGAGCAUCUUUGUGAUUUUAAUGACUUGUUCCAUGUAAUUUCAUAGAAUAAAUGAAUUUGUAGUUAAUUUAAUAAUCACAAGAGUAGGUAUGGUUUAGUUAUAAGUAUAGUUGAUUCAUUACGAGAGUAGGUUUUACAUAUAGUAAGAAAUAACGCCAAAACUAGUCAAGAUAAUAAUAUUCAAUUAACUGAUAAUUUCAUUUGUAAGAGUAGUGAAGAAUUUCACAACUCUAGGAGUUUUCUAUUGCUAUUUUAAUUACUUUUAUUUCAUGUUUGUAGCGUAGAUUUAAUCUCUUGCAUUUGUGGUAAUCUAAAUAAUGAAGGAGCUCGAAAAUCCAUCAGUAAUUGACAAUGAGAUCGACACCUAAUAUUCUUAUACUCGAUAAACGAUCUGUAUAUUUGCAAAAACCAAGAUAUUUAGAUUUUAUUAAAAUUUGGUGCAUGGCAGAAUCUCGUCAACACAUAUUAUAAAAAAAUAUUUAUAGUUUAUAUGUGAAUUUAUAAUAAUUCAUAAAAUUAAACAUAUAUUGUAUAUAAUUACAUGUUGGCACAAAAAUACACACACAGACACACACACAAUAGAAGCAAUUUUAACAUGUAUAAGAAUAUGUUGGAAAGAGAAGGAGAAUAAAUACAAACCAAUAUUCAAUAAUUUUAUUAAUUCAAAAUUCAACAACAACAAUAUUAAGUCAUAGUUUUUUGCUUACAACAACUCACACCUUAGAGGCUUUUCCUCUUUCUCACAAUUUGACUCAAUUCAACUCUCUAAAUAACAAUGUACUAGACUGGUAGUAUUUAUAUAUUGUAGAACUUUCUAAACAAAUACAAUUGCAAACAAAAACUUAUUUGGAAUUAACUUGAGAUCUUCUAAUCUAACAUGGAAACUAAACAAACAUGACACCAAAACAAGAAACUAAAAGAAUUAGGAAAUAAACAAAUAGAAUAGAUUAGUUUAGUUCCAUCAUUGCUUCCCUUAAACUUCUAGGUUCUCCAUUGUGGUCAUUUCCAAUGCCAUCUCAAGCUUGAAUCUCCAUGAAUAAUUUAGUCACUGUAUGAACGAUGUGAGCGCUAACUUGCAAUUAAUCUUCAAUUUUAUAUUCACACGUGGUAGUGAAUGAAACUUGUACUUUUCAAAACAAUUUUUUAGUUUGAUCACUUCUGUCAAAAAUUUCAAAUAUAUUCACCCAUGCUUUAAUUCAAAUAUAUAUCUAAUUAUGAGCUUGGGAUCAGCCUAAUUUGAGGCCGGAGCUCAUAUCAGAGUAUAAGUCGAGUCCAAACCUUUUAAUCAGGGUCUGAAUUUGCAAGUUCGAAAGUUCUAUUUACUUUGUCAGAAGAGUUUGGAGUUGUCAAAGUCCGGCUCAUAGAGCCUGAGUGACAGCCAUAUUUUCAAUGCUCGCUCCAUUUAACAUCAAAAGGAAAUGAUUGUUUUUUCCUUGCCGAAGGUAGAAGGGUCCCAAAAUAUGUAAAUCCAGGCAGGCAGAACACACUGUGGGAACUGUUUUGUUAACGACUCCUUCGAGGAACGGCUUCGGCAGGACAAAAAGGACGAAAUUGUUUUGUCAUGUGUGCUAACUGUUGAACCUGGCUACUCAAAGCAAAAUUAUUUUGGACCACGUUCAACCCAACAUAAUCUUGAUUUGGCUAGUUAUAGUGACUAAUGGAGUGGUUUUCUAUGAUUAGUGAAUUUGUAUACUAUAAGUGGUGUUAGCAUGUAUAAAAGAUUUAUCCAUAAAAAGAAAUAUUUUAUUCGCGUACAUUAACUUUUGUGGUAAAACAACAUUAUGCUAUUAUUUACUAGAAAAAUAGGAUUGGCUGUCACUUUACACACAACUCUUAACCAAUACUUUUCCAUGUUUAUCAUAUUAUUUCAUCCCUUAUCUCUAUAUUUUAGGCAUUUUCAUCCGUUAUUUGUAGAUGCUUUCAUAUAUCUCUUAACAUCUGUAGUGAUAUGUGACUUUAAGUUACAGUGACUCUGACAUGCUAUCAUGGUACUAUUUACCAAAUCUUAUGACAAAUGCAACAAAAUCUGACCAAUUCUCAAUUCUACAUGCGUGAACUCCAUAUAUCGCCUACUUGACAUUGUAGUGUGACUGCCACCAACUACUAGGGCAAAAUUAUAUGAAUUUGGAAUGACAAUUAAAGUAUCAGACUAGCUAGUAAUUAUAUGGAUAACUUUUAUUUCUUCUUUUUUUUCACAAAUGAUAUGGAUAAUUAUGUAUCUUACUUCAAAAGAUUAUUAACACUUGUACAAUCCAAACUAUACGCACUAUACUAUUGCUGUUCUUGCUAUGAGAACUAAAUGAAACCAUAUCGAUUAGGCCCAAGAACAGCAAUCCUAUUAACAAAUAUUAAAGUAUCAUACUACUAAUGAUAUGGAUAACUAAGUAUCUCUCUUUAAAAGAUUUACUAAGACUCGGAUCAAUGUAAUCUAUUGAUUAAUAUUAUUUGGCUAUAUAACCUAUAUAUAUAUAUAUACACACACAUAGGAGGAAAGUGAUCGAUCAUAUUGAUUAGGUCCAAGAAGAGCAAUGCUCGACCAACAAGACAGCAAAGAUGCUAAUGUGGGGACUGGUUGAUUUAGGAGGUGAUGGGAGGACUGAGGUAAGGUUGGCCAAGGGCACAUGCUAGCUUUCUGAUGAUUGGAGGAAGCCAAGGUUGGUUAAUUCAUGGGCAGAUGGAGAAGAUCUCUCCAUCAAUUCUGAGUUGAGAUAAGUUCUGCAGAAUCUGCUUGGAAGAUAAUUGCAUGAGUUUUUUUUUUCUCCAGGCUCAUGCUUACGCGAGAAUGAGAUUUUGUGCGCGUGCUUUGUAAGCAUAUAGGAAAGAAUGGGCAGAUUUUGUAGAUUUUCUAGACAUCCAAUGAUGCCAAUUAUUAUAAUUCGUCCACUUGCAACAACCUAAGAGUUGGAUUUUGCUUUUACACCAUCUUUGUGUCAGUGAUAAUUGGGAAUUAAAUAAAACAAUCAUCAUCAUCAUCAUCACCAUUUCUUACCAUCAGCAUAUAGCAUCUUUUAAGAUUUCUGUCCAUAUCAUUUCAACAAUAAUAACUACCCCUCUCAACCAUUCUCUCACACUUUUUUGGUUUCCCUCAUAGUAGUUGCGUAGACACCAGCCAGUCGUACAAACUCGAACAUAAAUUUCUAAUUCUAAUUAGCGCAUCACAGUUUAACAUGCAUAUAUAAUAGAUCAGAAUCGAAUAUAGCAAAUAAUUUUAGUCUCCUUGAGAGUUUAGCUCGCCAUAGUUCGAUCACACUCCCUACUUAGUUCCCUCUUAAUUACCCUUUUACUCCUUUAUUUGGACUUUUGUUCAAAAAUAUAAAAAUGAACGUAUGCGCUGACUUUUUUUUUUUUAAUUCAAGGAAAACUAUAAAACUGACAAGAAAUAAGAGAGAAAUGGGAUGACUAGGAAGUCGAAUUAAAGAUCUCACAAUCACUUGAUUAAGUUUUUGGAGGCACAAGAUUAUGACUUAACUUAAAGAAUAAAUCUUAUAUAUACUGACAAUGUAUUCAUUAUCAUCAUUAGAUUUAUUAGUAAAAAACAAAUAAAGGUUUGGAUAACGAGUGCCCACAAUGGUACAGUGAAUUCAAGAAAGAGUCUAAAAAUAUAAAGGUGCAAUGAAUGUAAACGUGUGCAUUCGCAUAAUAACUCAAGUGUAAUUUAGGUAUAUUGACAAGUAUUCAAUAGAACCUGUGAAAAAAAAAAUCUAACAAAUAAUAAUGUAACUCGAUUUGGGCCACGUAGUUUCCAUGUGGCACAUAAUUGUUUUCUCUCCUUUUCAUGUUCUCACAAAUAAACAUCAUUUAUUAUUGUUAGACUUGAUCAAGAAGUGGGAGUACAACUAUAAAGUGAUGGAUGAAGGAUCAAAAGAAUGAGGCACACGCGUGGCUUUUGUGGGUUCUGCUGUCUAGAAAUCUUAAACUUGGUCUUGGCCUCUUCAUUACAUUUGGUACAAACGCAAAUAUACAAAUUCCUAACACUACAUGUCAUUCUCCUCCACCUCACCCCACUAGGCCUCUCUCAUGCACUCCUUUUCCUACCUUGCUUGCGGCCGGUGGCAAAUGGAAAUGGUUUGGUACUCAAAAACCACACUGGCGUGCAUUAACAUUUGAUUGAUUACCAAAAGGAGACUAGGCUGCUGGGCAGCUACUUCUACACGAUCAUCAAUGAUCAUAUGGAAGCUAGAUAUAGCUAGACAUGAAGAUUAUGUUCAAGAACUUUUUCUUUCUUUUUUUUCAUCAAAAUAUGACAGUGGGGGAGAAAGAAGGCAUCAUGCAAAUCCCUUUAAGGAGAUUUUUCUGAUUUAUUCUCCAUGAAUGGUGUCUAAUCAUGCGAUCAUUGUGAAGAAUUCCAUAUAUGGUUAAUUGACAUGACAACAAUGUUCCUAUUUUGUUGAGAACUAAUUCCUUUUACUAAUUGGGGAGAAGAAUUUCUCCUCUACACGUGUCGACUCACCACAUACCUUCUAGAUCAGUGAAAAAAUUAAGUUACUCAAAGGUUAGAAAGUAAAAACUUUUCAGGGAGAAAUCAUGGGGAUGGAGAAUGGAAAUUGAAUGGAAUUUACUAUUUCCUUUUCUUCAUGACUUUAGUCAAUCUAUUAAGUGGAAUUAACUGUUUCCUUUUCUUCAUAAACAUGCAUUUGGCUCAAAAGUUCUUCUUUUUUUUUUUUUUGGAAGAGGGGGGCGGGGGGAAGGAGAAGGGAGGGUUUCAAAAGUUCAAUCUCUUAUUCUUAUGGCAUAUGCAUCUCUAUUUUCUUUUUCUUUUUUUUAAAAAAUUUGGAAUACAUUAAACAUCUUUUCUGAACAAGGGGCGGUUUGAACAUAUUUUAACCCUAGUUCCUUUUUGCUUUUUAAAAGAGAAGUAAAUUAAAUUGUAAGCUAGCUAGUAGCUGUUUACAAAUAGUUUUGUCAAAGUUCGGCUGAGGGGACAGUGGUUCCCCACCCUUAUUGCUCCUAGCAUUUGUUACUCACUCCGUAGAGACUGCCAUUAUUUUUAGUGCCCAUAGAUAAUCUAGAAAAACUAGCAAGAAACUAAUAUAAUAAGCUCUACAACUUUUAGUACUUGUAUCUAAAAAUGAUUUAAGUUUAAACAUUUCAUAAUUUAGUGUGUGUUGAUCAUGUUGUAAGCAUGCAACUUGCCCAAACAUUAUGAUUAUCACGAAAUAUAUGAUUAACAACUUUAGUUGUUCUCUGUCUACAUCAAUCCUUAAUUCAUCCUGCUAACUUUUUGAUGCAGGAUCGAUCACAUUUCUGAAGAUAACAUAACUAAUGUCAGUUAAAGAGACAUUUCGUUCGCUGCUGUCUUGAUCAAGGAAUUAAAGUUGUGUCCCACUAGAUAUUCAGUAUUGGCCUCUGCGAUUUGCAUUGCAUUGACGUAAACUGAUCAGAAAAAUCAUGUUCAUAUGUUCAAUAUCUUGAUGAGCCUUUUUCCAGUUUCAUCUAGUCUGUGUUAGUGUCUGUCUUUACUACCCUUUGCUGUGAUUCAGUAGAUGUGGCUCUAUGAUUUGAAAAGACGAACCAAUUUGUGAUGUGAACAAACAACAAAGAAAGAGUUACGACACUCAUGUUGCAUGAAAAUCUUUGGCAAAUGCGUGAGUCCCAAAAACAGUAAUCUUCCAGCCACCUCUUGUGUGUGACGCCGGCGUCGGUGAGGAAUAAUAAAGAACUAUAUCGUCCUAUAUGCUAGUGGCAGAAUUUUACAGAGAUGAUGGCUGCAAUAUCUAAAAGUAAAAAAAAAAAAAAAAAAAUCAGUAAUCCCUAUAUUUUUUAAUUGGUGAGUGGUUACGUACUGAGCAGCUAAUUAAUUUCGACAUUACUGAAUUUGACACUAUUAUAAAAGACUCAAAAUCUUUAAACCAGGAAAUGCGUGCGAAAAUGUCACCAUUUGCGAGCUAAAAAGUAAGGUCCAAAAUUGCGUACAUGACGAGCAAGCACUAAGUUUAAAGAAAUAUGUGAGUUGAAUGAUGAAACCUAGCAUCUUUAUUAUCUAGUAAUAUUAAUAGGGCAAAAACUUUUGCUCGAACACUUGGAGAUAAACUUGUGACAUCGAAGAAAAGCAUCUAAUUUGCAUUUGAAGAUUAUAAGAUUAUGCAACAUGCAUCUGUCCGUCAGGGUGGCUUCUGAUAAUUGGACUGACUUCAUUAUGUAAUCAUAGUCAGUUAAAGCAAUUCCAAUGACCAAGAAUCCUUCAAUAGUAAAGAGAAACAAUGCCCACAAAAUAGAACCCGUACUCAAGCUGAUUCAGUACUUGUGUAAUGGAGCACAUCUAAGUUGGACGUUUACUAGGAUUGAUUGGUCAACUAUGCUCCUGUGUAGUACUUUCCAUGCAAACAUGCAUGUACUAUAUGACUACAAUAUCUUCUACCUUUUUAACUAUCAAAAUGUGGUCACUGGUCAUGAAUCAAGAAUGUGUUUUUCGUUUUGGUACAAAUUUUGGUGAGUACAUUACAUUUAGGAAAACUUCUGUUAUAUAUAGGUGCCACAAUUAGAUCCAGAUUAACAAACAGCAGAUCUCACAGACGGAAUCCAACAAUUACAAUUAGUCCAGUGGUUUAUACGACAGAAGGCCUUUAACUUUAGUGGGUACAUUGUGUCCGGAAGCGGACAGGAACGAUUGGCAGUUCAAUCAUCUCGAAAAGAUUUCAUACAUUUAAACAGAAUGAAAACUUUUUUUCAAUCGUGUAAAUUAUUUUAAAUACAGUCUAAAUUUAAAACAAAAUUUAUUGGACUCCAUGCAUAAUAUUAAAAUCUAUAUACACGAUGUAAUCUGAAUAUUUUUCUAGUGAAUCCUCACUAUAAAAAAAAAAAAAAACCUUCAGAAACUCUCGCUGUUUUCAUUCCAUUAUGCCCCUAUAUUUGCCCACAAUCUCUUUUAGAGACUAGCCUAGCUUAGUUAGUCUAGCGUUGAUUAACCAUAUGUGAACUUUGAGAACUCGAACCUCUAACUUCUUGCUUAAAAAUGACAGUUGACUGCCUAAACAUAGAAUUGCUUUGCUUGGUGAUUAUAAACUUGACUUAAAUUAAUGAACUGCUAUUUUCUACUAAAAAAUUAUUGGGCCAUUUUACUUUUAAGUAUAAAUGGGAGGAUUCGAUUCCGAAACCUCUCAUUUAUACACGCUCCUCCUAUACCACUCAAUCCAUUUCUCCCCUCUUAAAAGUUAUUGGGCUUGUUUCCACUAUGUUCAACAUGUAUUUGCAUAUAAAUAAUAAAACUGUCAUUCACAACUCCAAAUUGCAAACGUGCUAUUGUGUUUUACAUGGUUUUUGUCCAUGAGAUAAAUAGUAGAAUUCAAAGAUCAAGCUAUACUACUAGGUAGCUGCAAUAUAUAUACAUAUAUUUUUUUUUCCCCAAAAUUCUACUCUACUGAUUGCAUAUAAAAUUGCAAUUAAUAACUCCAAAUUGCAAAAUGAGCCAUUGUAUUCCGAAUGGUUUUGUCUACGAGAUUAGCUAGUACAAUUCAAAUUAAGAAGAGCAAUACAACCAGCUAUCUGAGCAACAAUUUUCUUUUGGCAAAAAUUCUACAUCCAAGUGGCAUUAAGGUUAGGUUGAUGGUGGUUCAGUCUCCAUCAGCCUUUCGUCAGCCCAAUUGGAUCUCCUCCUUCAAUUAGAUUAGAGUAGGGUAGUAUAGACAAAAUAACGAUGACAAAAAAAAAGUGGCAUUAGGGUUAGGUUGCUAGCUUUUAUAGCAUUCAAAAUCACUUGUCUCAAUCUCUGAAUUGAUAAGGAUAUGCAAGAAAAAGACUUCACAACAUAAAUAUAAGAUGCAUUACCAUAUAGUAAUUAAAUUUCUGAUAAGUAUGGGACUGUAACAGUUGACCAGAAAACUGAAUGGAAAAUCUAGAAUUGGUCAGUUGCCAAGUGUUGGGACCUUAAACAUUUGAUAGUGCCAAGACUUCCAAGCCCUUUGCACAUCUCCUCCACUUGUUCAUGAUUUUGAGUGAAGGGAUUCAUGGUUCCCCUUUUGGGAGACUUAUCAGAUGGUAAAUGGUCUAACUCUUUCCCUAAAAUAGAGGCUUUUUAUUUUGAAAAAAAAAAGAGACUAAUUGUUCUCUUCUCUUCAGUCCCUUUCGGGAUAGUAGAGAGAGGAAAUUCUAGCAACCACCUUUAAAAAAACUUCAAAGAUGGAUCAAUGGAAGCAGCUGAUAUCAUUAGUCGCUAUCCAGAAUCACCAAGCUAGUGGUGCACCAGUUGGACAUGAUAAUAAACUUUUUGCAGAGAUAAUAUUCUCCUCUCAUCUUCCUCUAGUGGCUAGAGGAUUUUUAUCAAAAUAGUUUGAGAUAACUAAAAAUACACCACAAUUGAAGAGCAAAGCAGGGUAAAGAUUAGUUGAUUAAAAAGUGAGAAUUUGUGUUGUCCAAUCUUCAAAGCAACUUUUGCUUGCCAGCCUCAUCAAUCAGAUUCAAUCGUGGAAAGGUUUUCAGCUAAAUUAUACUUCCCUCUUUUAUGUAUCUUGCUUCGGUUGAUCGUCAUGUACCCAACAAAAUUUAAUUGGCUCAAACAAAUUUUACACUUACAAAAAACAUUAACUUUUUUAUCCACCUUCUUCUGUUUGUAUUCUAUAAAAUGAUAUUGUAAUUUUUCAAAUAGUUUAAUAUUUUCUACAAUAUUAGUGUAAAGAUUCCUUUACAUUAGCGGUUUUUUUAUUAUAAAAUACAAGAAAAUUUUCAGUCCCCAACCCCUUAAAUACGCCACAGUGCCCGAGAGAGAGAGAGAGAGAGAGAGAUAGUUGAAACUCUUAACAGGGAAAGAUGACUAGUUGAGGAUAGAAAAUUUGACUUAUAAAUUGUUAUAGGCAUAUGAAUUUGAAAUAUGUUGCAUGAUCAUGCAGCAAAAAAUUUUGGAGGCAGCCUUUCUAUAUGAAAUCAUGUUAAGUCAGCCCAAAAUUCUUACUUCUUACAUAUUAUUAUACAUAUUAGGGUUAAUCACAUUUUAUCCCCUUAAAGAAUACCCCAUUUCUCAGUUUACCCCAUAACCUUUAAUUUUGCUCACUUAACCCCCUUUAGGACAAAAUUGCCCUUGCAUUAUUUUGACUUUUCAUUUGCCUUGUUUUCCUUUCAUUUGCCUUGUCCUAAAGGGGGUUAAGUAAGCAAAAUUAAAGGUUAGGGGGUAAACUGAGAAAUGGAAUAUUCUUUAAGGGGAUAAAAUGUGAUUAACCCUACAUAUUAUAACACAUUUCCUUACUAAUUUUUGAAAUUUGAAAUUGUUGACCUUUCUUAAAAUUUCAACAGGCAAAAGUUAGUUAGGUCAUUCACUACUGUAACUAUAUAUAUAUAUAUAUAAUGCAAAUAGAUAAAAAGGUAAGUAGAGGGUGUGCUGAGAAAAUUAAAAAAAAAAAAAAUUCCAAACAGUGAAAGCCAUGUGUGCCCUAAAGUAUGGAACUAAAUGAAAAGAGCGAAGUGAAUUUUUAAUAUCAAACUAAUUCCUACUUCUUUUUUUAAAAAAGUUGGAACAACAUAUUUCAGAAAUUGGUCUAACAGUUAAUAGUUUUCCAACACGAAAUUAACAUAACAAAGCAGCAAGCCAACUAUCAUUGCCAGUCAAAAUUGUCCACCAUCUGCUAGUCUAGUAUUGUAACAAAAUGACAGAAAACAAAUGAAAAAACAGUUGAGAAACUAAGCUUGUUCCACCCCAAGGGACAACAAACAAGAUGUACUUGAAUAUAUGUUAGCUUGAAUGUCUACCACAAACAAAAAGAAUGGAUUAGUUCACCCAAAAAGGAGUAACAUGCGAUUUAAAUUUCAAUGACUAACUCAGAAGUUACUGUUUGAUUCAUAAGACGUAAUUGAGGAACUAUGGUUGAUCUUUAAUGAAGUUCUUUUUUCACUUUUUCUUUUUUUUUUUGGAGGGAUAGGGGAGGAAAACAAACUUUCAAUGCACUGAAACCAGGCAAUAGAACGUGUAUUUAUUGCUCGAUUGAUUAGGACUUUCAAAUAAGGAAUAAUGCAUCACCACAUUUCAACUAAGCUCCACUUAAUCAAUGAGAGUUAUUUAAUAAUCUUUAGGGCAAAUUCCACUUUACCCCCCUGUGGUUUAGCGUUUUUUCACAUAACCCCCCUAUGGUUUCAAAAGCUAUACAUAACCCCCUUAUGGUUUGGAUUAAAGUGUCAAAGUAACGGAAAUAGUCACUCGUAACGGUGUCACCUAAAAUGUCAAAAAUACCCUUAUGUAAGGUUGAAAUUUAUGUAUUAACCAAGGGGGGUUAUGUGUAUGUUUUGAAAAUCAUAAGGGGGUUAUAUGGUAAAAUAUUAAACCAUAGGGGGGUUAUAUGGUAAAAUAUAAAAAUCAUAGGGGGUUAAUGUGUCAUGUAUUUAUAAGGGUAAUUUCGACAUUUUUAGAAGUUCCGUUACGAGUGACUAUUUCCGUUACUUUGACACUUUAAUCCAAACCAUGAGGGGGUUAUGUAUAGCUUUUGAAACCAUAGGGGGGUUAUGUAAAAAAAGGGUAAACCACAGGGGGGUAAAAUGUAAUUUACCCUAAUCUUUAAUAUUAACGAGGUGUACCAAUAUGAACAAAGUUAAAGAGAAAAAAAAUAAUUAGAACAAACUAAUAAACUAAACUGUGCUUGUCAUUUCAUGAUCUACAGCCCACUAACUAGUGAUAAGGGCUCUAAUACCUCAUCAAGUGUCACUUUUAACAUUUGCCCAUAACCACAAUUAGUAAAAGCUCUUGACAGAUGUAGAGAAGUCAUUUUCUGAGUUCAAUCCCUACCAUCACUCUUUUCCAAAAAAAAAAGAAAAAGAAAAAACCCUACCAUCACUAUCUACGAAAUUCUAUACCAAUUGAUUCCCACACGAACACAAAUUUCUUAUUCAUAACUCUUCUAACAGCUUAUGAAAAUCCAAAAUUGCCAUGCACUUGUCCCCCUUUAUUCGUGAGUUUCUGUCAACCCUUAAAAAUUUUACAUUUGGAACAAAUGCUUUUUUUGGUCUCCACCUAUUAAACUAGGCUAUUGCUGUGAAGAUAAUCAAAUGUAGAAGUGACGCACAUAUGAGAAGAAAUCAAGAAAGAGAAUAAAGGGAAUUGGAGUUUGGAAAGAGAGGUAGUCGACAACUAAUUAAGGUUGUUAAAGUGACAAUUAUUAAACAAAUGAGAGAUAUUAAGCUCAAAGGCAUAAAAGAAAAAAGAUGAAGAAAGAGGUAAAACUAAAAAGGAAGAACAAAGGAGGGUGGGAAAUCUAACUGCAUAGAAUAAUGGAGCAGAUAAUGAAGUGAGUGUAGGGACAGCCAACAAACACAAACUCCACCAAACCAUGAUUUUCUGCAUAAAAAUUGCAUGUGUUAACAUCAUAUGUGAAAGCAUCCAAAAAUGCACCAUUUCUCUUUAGUGUUUAUGGGGAGUGGAUGCCACGCGUCCCCUUCCCAACUCCAUGUCACAAACUCAAAAACGACAAACUAAUUUUUAUUUCUUUUGAUCAUAAUAAAUAGGGGAUUAAGGAGAAAAUUGAGAAAAAGAAAGAACCUGUACAUGGUACACUGAAGAAUUAUGUUCAAUUGACAUUAUCUAGAUGAAUCCACAGUAAAUUUACCAAAACAGGAAUUAAAUAACGUUUCAUAUGGUAAAUUGCUUCUAACAUGACAAUUAUGAACGACACGUGGCCAAAAUAAGGUAGGUAUCAGUUGUUUUCUUCUAGAACUAAAUACACUAACGAUUUCUUUCUAGUUUUUAAGCAAAUGCAUGCAGAACCGAAAAAGAGAUAACUCUUGUUUAAAAUUUAGGCCAAUAACUCAUUAUGAUUCCAAAUAAAAAUUCGAUUUUUCUUAGGAGAUACAAAGCAAUCAAGAAAUAGUACUACCCCAUGAUUGUGGCACGUGAGGAAAGCUAGUGUUAAAUUUCAUUAACCUACUAGUUGAUGGAUCACUUAAAAAAGCUUCAAUGCUUUUAGCUAUUGGAUUUUAAGACCAUAAUCCAUUCAUAAUAUUUUAGUGGUAACUAUACCGUCAUACAGGUUUCGAAGUAGGACAUGAGUAAUCCACUCGAAUUGAAGUGUAAAUUGGCCUCUCUGAGAUGGUAUUCAAGAUUAUUAUAAUCAAAAGGGUGCAAAUUGGUCCGCUCCCCGCCCACCCCCAUACCCAAAAGGAAAAAGGAAAAGGGAAAAGACUACCAUUUAUGAAGGUAACUUGUACUAUGUUUUCCUAUCUAUUUGUGAAAUUUGAAGUCAUGCAUGUAUAGCUUUACUUCUGACCAAAACCCUAUGUAAUGAUCUAAUGCCCUUCGUUGAGAAAUUAGUGUAAAUGUAUUACACACAUUAUACAUAUUGAAAUGUUCACGUUGGGACGGAGACGGAAAAGAGAUUGAAGUAUAACGUCCGGCUCAACGGAUUACUAAUAAUUUUGGGUUAAUUAUUUUGAACUUGUGGUUUCAAGUCAAAAGGUGCUAGGCUGGUCUAGCAAGCGUGGGCAUUACAAAUAGUAUCAAAGUGAUUCUAACGUGGUCUCUGCGUGAAGUGAGAUUGGCCAGUGAAUUAUAAUUCUAACUAUGUAAGGAAGUGCAAGGAAUUAAAUGCUAUACGGGGUUGGAUGGCACAUCAGACAUAGGUCAUCUCUAGAACCCGUAUGAGCCAUCUCUAGAAUUCGUGUACGACUAAGUGAACAAUUUGAACUGUAACGAAUUUUGCGAGAACGCAAAGUUCUAAAGGUAGGGAGAGUGAAAUGUCUCGUAUCCCAUAUUGGCUCGGAGAAGGGAAAGGGAAUGAAAUAUAAUGUCCGACCCAUUGGAUUACUGAUAAUUUUGGAUUAACUAUUUUUUAUUUGUAAUUUUAACUCAAAAAGGUAUUGGCCAAUCGGGUGGACGCAUGACGUUACACAUUUAAAUAAUAUUUACUGUAACACAGCGGGACUUUCAUCAUCUUUGAUGUAAGCUUCGUUGCAAAUCUAGUUAGUCGAGUCGAACUAAAGAUCUUCUAUCCUUGGAAGCAGAAAUCAGCUUGAAGGUUACGCGUUUAAAAAUGAUAUAUUAUUGACAUUUGAAAAUUAUCAAUCCUUAAAAGUUUUACAUUUCUUCUAAACAAUUUGAGAGACAUUUGUAGUUUAAUUCAUCAAAUCAACUUACAAUCUUACUAAUAACUUAUAUCUAAAUUCAUACAAUUUCAUUAGAAUGCUUUUUAUCCAGGGGAAUCUAAUGGCAGUUAUUGCUUGUGUGUGUGUGUGUUUUUUUUUUUUUUUUUUGGGUCAAUCUGUAAGUUCAUUCAUUUUGAUUUUUUUCCAUGUACUGACCGUAAACUUUGUUCACGUGUGGGAAUAUGCUUUGGUAAGGAUAAAACCAUAAAAAGUAUUGACAGCCAAUGGGAAAAGAAUUCUUCCAUUGUUUUUCUGGUUCAAGAACUUGGCAUGGUACCCUGAAUGAGAUACAUCAAGUCCAAACCCACGAAAUUCGAGAAUCAGAGCCCGGAUAAAGAUGGUAUUAGGAUCCUUCGUAUAUAGCACAUGAGGAGAACUCUAUUCACUUGGCAAUUUGCAAAAACGAUUUAUAUGUGGGGAUAAAUUGUUAUUUAAAAGGGAAGUAUUAUUUGCACUCCUAUUUUUAUUAAUCACAUUCCUAUUAUCAUUUUAAUUAUAUAAUUUUAAUUUAUUAUACUAUAUGAUAAAACAAAUGAUGUAAGUGCAAAUAACAAAAAAUGGAGUGCAAAUAACUUUUGUCUUUUACAAAUUACCUUUUCUUUUUUGGGCAAUUUUGGCAAAAGUCAUACCUCUAGAAACUUUUCAUGUCAAAGGGCCGAUAGGAAUUUUCUUCGUUAAAUAUACAUAAAGAAUGAUACUUAAAGAAGAAAAGAGAAACCGAAAUGUGCAGAAUGAUACUCAGAGAAGAAAAGAGAAAGAUGCAGUUAAUAUAAAUCCUAAGCUACAUUGGAAUCCAAUAUGAGAAUUUAUUCUUUUACUUUAGUUAUCUACUUAUCUUGACUUAAUAGCCUCCCAAUACUUUUGCACGUGGGUUUGGAAAUUUAUAGUAAUUAUUUUCCUCCUUUUUCAUUAAUAUCCUUGUUUCAAAUGGGAGGUAGGGUAGGAUUGAGAAGGAAAAUUCGCAAAGUGAAAAUCCUUCUAAUUAAAAGUUGAUCAAUGAAAAUUCUUCUGAUUAUCCUUUUCUACACUGUCGAUUAAAAUCCCUUUUACAUGAGCAUGCAUGAAUGAAUACCCCAUGUGAAAAAAGAGAAAUUCAAAUUUCAAUGGAAGUUAUGUGUCAUAUGGACCUAUUCUCAACUGAUUUUGAUUUUAAAAAAAUGGCCCAAAAUUAGAAUUGAAAAAGCAGGAAUAUUGUAACUUUUAAUUUAGAAAUUUUUGUAGAGUUAAAAAAUAAAGAUGGAAAAAGAAAUAGUUGAAAACAUCAUAUAACUAAAUUUCUACAAUUAGAAGUUAAAAAAUCAAUUGACAAUAUACUAGAUCCGAUAAUGAAAAAAAUUAUUCCAAAACCUUACGCAUAACACUAUGUUCAUUCUUCAAAAAAUAGAUGCCGAUGAUAAAGCAUAAGUCAUGCUAACAUUGGGCUGUGGAUGAGUAAUCAAAACUACGUACAAAUGGCAUAAAUUUCAAAAUAUUGGAAAAAAGAUGUUUUCAACAAAGAUCAACUUAACUAUUUAACUAUCUUGACUUCCACAUCCAUUAGUCAAGGCCAACUAAAUCCUCAAUUGAUUUUGAGAUGAAGGACUAGAUUCUUCAACAUGGCAUCAAAGCUAACUUUGGACUCUUCUGUGCAUUGAACUUGGUUUCAUGGAUCUCUUUCAUGAUAAUGCUCAUUCUUGUUUGUUCAGACCGAGGCACGUGUAAAAUAGGUGUUAAACAGAGAUCAGCUAAACUAAUUAAUAAGAUCCUAGGCUACUUUUAUUUAUAGUGGUUAGCCAGAACCAAUUAAAGUGCUAAUUUCUUUAAACUGCUAAUUUCGACUAGGAUCUUAUUAAUUACAGUGAAAAAAAUUCAACAGAGAUAUUAGAGAACCUCUUUGAUUUAAUCGAAUCUAUAUAUCUGCUAAUUUCUUAUAUAGCUUAUUUAAACUUUCAGUCUCUGUAAAAUAAAUUAGAUUAGAUUAUAAGAAUAUUAUGGUAAUUAGAAAAAAAAAAAAGACAAGGUUUGGUUCAUCUUGGAACAUAAAUGCCAAAGGACUGGCAGAAGUACAUGCAAACUCGAAUCCUUUGUCCAUUAGAGAAAGGGAGAAAAAAUACAUAGAAAUAUGUCAUACGAUGUGACUUUAAAGCUUUGCAAAUAAAAUUGAUGGGACUCAUGGGAGUCGAAUCCUAACAAAAAUUUUUUUUUUUUUAAAAAAAGCAGGUGACUUUACCACUCCAACAAACACAUGGCCCCUUCCGAGAAAAAAUAAAUAAAGCUCUGGUUAUUACUUUUUCUUUACUUCACCUGUUAGGUGGAUAGCAAAACCUUAUGAAUAACUAUUAAAUAUCAAAUAGCAAAAUAGUACCUCUUGUAACUAACAUAAUUGCCAUAUGUACAUAAAAAAGUAUAUUUGCAACCUCAACGAUAACUUCCUUUUUCCCCCCCAAUUUAUCAAAGGUUUAAUUUUUGAUUAACUAAAGUGGCAGCUAAAUGGACAAUUAAAAAAAAUAAAAGUUGAAUGGGCCAAGAUUUUUAGGUGGAAACGUAAAUGGCCAAGUUAAAAUGUAUACAUAAAAAAUCAAUGUAUUAACUGAAAUGCUGCCGCGCGGCGCGCAGGCCUCAUGUGCACCAAUGCCAGAUAGCCAACACUUGAAUGCAGAAUAAAACUUCCUCUACAUUGAUACAAAGUAUGCAUGCCUUCUUAGUGCUCAUUAAUAAAACAUAUAUUUAUAAGGAUGGCAAUUGGAGUUUGAUUGGUGGGUUCUUCCUUUAAUCAUUUCUCUCUUUAUAAGAAGACCAAAAUGUACAUAAAAUAAAUUAAAAAAAUUAACAAGAAGGAUGUGGAGGGGAAAUGGAUCAUAGAACAUUGAGAGGUGAGACUUUGGCUAGCAUCUAACUUCAUAUCCCCACCUUUUCGAUGAAUAUUAUUAGUGAAAUCAUUGAUGAAGCAUGCAAUGAUAAAAUUAUUGGUCAUAUCGGAUUUCGGCGAUACGAAUGUUGAAAACUACAGUAUUUUUAAAGAUCAAAUGAACAUGGAAUAUAGGAAUCAGAUAGCUUUACUAGGAAAGGAACCAUUGCAGCUUUCACUUUUCGUUGCUGAAACUUUUUUAAACUAUUGAUUUCAUUUCAUCUCUUUGAACCCUUUUUCUUUCUUUUUCUGUGAUCAGAAAUGUGUGGUCCAGAAUUAAAUAUGGCCAUCUAAUUUUUCUUUCUUCAAACCUUUUUCUUCCACAUUAUUGGUCUCUCGUUUUUUCAAAGAAAGAUUUAAAGAAUAAAUUGUUCUAUAGAGAUAGUUAGUGAAUGUGGGGAAACUGCAGAGCGGCAUCAAUGAUUUGGGAAUCGGGUGGCGAUAGUUCAGUUUAAUUUGGAUCGUUCAUUUUAAAAUUUUUAUUUAAAAAUAAACGACACAAAUCAGACCUGACUGAUAUGAUUCAAUUUAUUCUGAUAAUUGCAUUGUACAAUUCUAAUUGCAACCAUGCAAUCGCACAUGCCCCUCACCCCGUAGCUAGCAGAAAGAACCAAUACUCCUAUAGGAGGCACGAAUAUUCUCUGCUCUUUACUUUGGAAAGUGACAAGCAGACCAAGAAGUUUGGAUGGAAUUUAUUUUGAGUCAAAUGUCACUUUGAUAAUCUCUAAUUAGAUGCUAUAAGUUGCAUCAAUGAAUCCCCGUCCAAUAAUUUCCCCUGCACAUUUUGACAUAAACUAUCGAGAUAAUGUUUUACACCACCGAUUUUUAUCGAGAAUAAAGUUAUUUAUGCCUCAUCACAUCUGAUCUCAUUACGAAAUAUUCAAUCUAUCAAGCUUUAUGCAUCCAAAAUUGUAAUUAGAGUAAUGAAUCUUGGCCGACUGCGAUUUAAGAGUCACAGAGACACGUAGAUUAAUCUAAGUUGAGUAUUAUAGGCACGCACGUACAACUAUAUGAAUUAGUACUCUUUAUCGUUUUGAGACUUUAGAAAAUUGCACGAGUGUCUAAAGAUUAAGAUGUGGAUAUAACUAAGUUAGGUAUAAAGGAAAUAGAAUAAGAUUAGAUUUCAGAAAAUUGAUGGUUGAUGAUUUUCUAUAAUUUUCAAAAUCACAGCGAGUAAUCUGUAUAAUUAGAGUGCAUGUAUGAUCGGAAAAUUUGUUAAUAGUUGUGCUCUAAUAUUCUUAUUGACCUUGCAAUUUACCAAUGCAAUGGAGGCAUGUGAGGUCUUAGUUUCUGCAAAUUGAAAGAUGAUUGACAACAAGAAAGAAAUGGACAACAGCAUUUGAGAGAAAUGGACAACAGCAUUUGAGAGGCCCCAAUACAGCUAAUGUCUUAAUUGUGUGGUUAAAAAGAUGACCAAGAAUAUGUUGAACAAAGUUCAUAUAAAAUAAAAGACUAAAAGAAACAGCAAAACUUAAUCCAUGCAUCCGCCCCCACGACUAGUCCGAGUGGUUUUUUAGUCUAUUAGGUAUCAGUAGGUCCUGUGAUCGACUCCUGUGUGUAAUCUCGUUAUGUAUUUUUGGGACAAAAUUUUACACAAUUUUAGAAAUUAGUUGAUCAAAGGGUUGGGAUACCCCUAAGUGGAAAAUAUAUAUAUAUAUAUAUAUGCAUCCCCAUUCAUCAUUACUUUCUAAAGUGAUUAUAGAGCAAAUAAAAUUCAUGUUUAAAAUAUUUCUCAUGUUUCAGCACAUAUCACUAUUAAAGUGUACGGUCGUGUACAAAACCACUUGCUGUCAUCUUCAAAAUGAUGCCACCAUAUUUGCAACUUAUUUGCUGUGUCAUCUUAAAGUGUAUUUCUUUUGUUCAAUAUUUGCAAGUUUGCAUUUAAUCUUACUUAAAUCAAAAAAAUUAAAGUCCAUCAGAAGACAUAAUCAGAGGUACAAACAAUCAUAUCUAGCUCAAACAUUAGUCAAUGCUGAAAGUAAGAUACCAAAAAUACUAGCUGUUUAUUGCCAUCCAAAAUGGAGAAUACAAGGGGGACAAAAGAAAGAAAAAAAACGUACUUAAAAUUAAGCAUCAGAAAAAAAAAAAAAUUGGAGAAGGGUGAACAAGAAGAAGAAAUGCAAUCUAAGUGGGAACAAGAAUCCAUUUGCACAUUAUGUAAGAAUCCAUUUGCAAAAUAAAUAUAAAGAUUAAAGCCUUAAAGUUUAUCAAAAUGAUUGAAGUGAAAGGUGGGAAGCACUAUCAUUGUCUAUUACUAAGCACACGCACAAGAUUUCAAGUCCUUCCGUUUUCAAAUGUACACAAAAGCAGAACUAUAAAAUACAUAAAAGAAAAUACUAAUUCAAAAAUAAAAAGUUAUAUACAAGAACAAUGUCUAGAUAUCAUUGCUAAAUCCUAGGAUAUUGCCAUAUGUGGUUUUUUUUUCUUUAGCUGCAAAUUGGUUUCAUAGAUCACUAUGUGAAUAAUUAUUGUCAUCAAGUUGUUCUUCAUGCAUAGUAGCAAAGCAAGUCUUGAUAAAUGAUUGCUCAGUGGCAUGUUUCUCAUUUCCCACCUUUUGAUGUUGGAUGUUAACUUCAUCAUCAAUCAGCAAUUCCUGCACUCUUGUUCACCAUGGGGAUAUACAGAUCUACUGACAUAUAUCACCUGAGAUAAAUCUAUCAAGGCUGGUUGUCUAGAUUGUUAAAAAAAAAAUUUUUGCAUUAUGCCAACAACUUGUGGUAAAAACCAUCAUCACCAAUAAUAGCACACCUGAGAACUAUGAACUUUUCACCUUGAAAAGACUUAACAUCAUUGAAGUGAUACUCAUAAUAAUAAAAAAAAAGUAAUAUUUAUAAUAAGCAUACAUAAAAGAUAUCCAUGGUUAAUGAAUUAAAUAAAAUAAGGAUAUAAAAAAAUAGCGAAAUCAAAUUCACACCCCUACAGUCUAAUACCACACAUUGCAUAAGUCUACAUUACAUGGCACACAUCAAUAAUAUAAGUUAACGGGUGCUAAUUUAGAAUAUAGGCGAGUACACGUGUGAUCUAGCUCGAAUUGUUCCCAAAAAAAAAAAACAGAGAGAGACCAAAAUAGAGGAAAAAAGAGAGAGAGAGAGAGAGAGAAAGGUUAACCUAGUAGAAUGUAGGUGAGUACGGGUGUAAAUUAGCCUGAGUCAUACCCAACCCAAAAAAUGAAAAGAUGACCAAAGAGAGGAAAAAGAAGAAAAAAAAAUUGAGAGAGAGAGAGAGAGAGAGAGAGGAGGGGGGUUAGCCUAGUAGCAAGUCAUCAACUAAACCAUACUGAGUACCAAGAGGUGUUGGAAUACUUCAUCAAAAGAAAAAGGUGGGGAACCCACCAUGAAGGCUAAGGCCAACAUCUCAGAGCCUUUAAGACUCAAAGAAGAUCCUCGUUUCUGGCCCUCUUCUGUUUAUAAAUGUGUUGUCCAGUUUCAAUUCGGAAGCCAAAGUUAAGAGCAACUUCUUAACUUCUUCCUUCUUCACCAGUCACCACCACCACCAUACUAUAACAAAAAAACAGUACUUCAACUCGGCCAUGCCACUUAAUUCUGUAGCACCAAAACCAGAAAAUCCCAGCAUUCAACUGAUGGGAGGCCUGCCAAUAUCAUCAGAGUCCUGUGACAAUCCUUAUCUGGCUUACCCUAUACAGGCCAGAACACAGUCCUUUCUGCAAAUGACCUUAAACCCCAUAACUCUAAAGGUCUUAUUUUCACACCUUUUUCUUUUGGACAUUUCAUACAUGCAAGCACAUGCAUUUCCCCAGUCGGAAAAUAGUUCAAGGCAUAUAGUUUUAUUUGUGACAUAGCCCUCAAGGCAUGAAGCUCGUUCACAGAGGAUUACUCAUAAAUAAGAAUUUGAAAUUACUUCUUUUUUUUUCCAUUAAGCAGUAAUUUGAAUGUUCUGCUUAUUUGUCUUACUUAUUAUGCAGUUUGAAGAGAUUGUCUACAAGAUCAGAAUUGAAACGAAAGGAAUGUGUUGUGGCCAAACAUUGAGCAGCAAAGAGAAGAUAAUACUGAACGGGCUAACAGGUAUGGUUUGUCCAGGGGAGAUACUGGCCAUGUUAGGUCCAUCAGGCAGUGGAAAAACAACCCUCCUAACAGCCCUUGGGGGCCGCCUCACCAGCAAGUUAUCAGGAAAGAUCACAUACAACACCCAGCCUAUAUCAGGUCAUAUCAGACGUCAAACCGGGUUCGUUGCCCAGGAUGAUGUCCUGUAUCCCCAUCUAACUGUGUUUGAAACUCUCCUGUUCACUGCACUACUGAGGCUGCCAAAAACCCUUACCAAGGAAGAGAAAGUCCAGCAUGUGGAGCAAGUUAUUGCAGAAUUGGGAUUGAGCAGGUGCCGCAACAGCAUGAUAGGAGGACCUCUAUUUCGAGGAAUAUCAGGUGGAGAGAAAAAGAGGGUCAGCAUUGGCCAAGAAAUGCUAAUCAAUCCAAGCCUACUGCUGCUAGAUGAGCCCACCUCGGGGUUGGACUCGACCACAGCCAUGCGCAUUUUGACCACGAUCAAGCGUCUUGCUAGUGCUGGUCGGACGGUGGUAACCACAAUCCAUCAGCCUUCCAGCCGGCUCUAUCAUAUGUUUGAUAAGCUGGUCUUGUUGUCGGAGGGCAGCCCAAUCUACUAUGGUCCUGCAUCAACUGCCCUGGAAUACUUCUCUUCAAUUGGCUUUUCCACAACACUCACCGUCAAUCCUGCAGAUUUCUUGCUUGACCUUGCGAAUGGUAAUCAGAUAAUCAAUAAGACCAACUCUUUUUCUGUCCUUUAUCAGUCAAAGAACUUCGGACAGCUUGAGUUUUCAAAAAACCUGCUAUCCAAAUGAAAUUCAAGAAUCAACUCUAAGAAUAGGCUCUAGAUAUUUGCAUGUAACAUAUACUUUUUAUGCUGCGAAGUUUAAAGCUGAAUCAAGUUUCGAUAGACCGAGCAACAAAAGUGAAAAAAAAAUCUAUAUAUUCAUCAGAAUCCUGACCAGUUACCAUUAAAACUUUUCAGGAAUUGGGCCUGACGCCAAGCAUGCAAUUGAGCUAGGUGAAAGUGCUGAGAAGGAACAAAAAUUAGUGAGAGAAGCUCUGAUAUCCGCUUAUGACAAAAACAUUGCUACAAGGUUGAAAGCUGAGCUAUGCAGUUUAGACAUCAAUAAUUAUGCUUACGCAAAGGAUUCUUCCACUAGUGAGUUCAAUAGCCUUCCUCUCAAAUAAGUUAUCUUUCUCAAUCACAUAGAAUUAUUAGACUUCAGAUAGUUCUCACUUCUCUCAUUUCAAAUUCUGUCUAAUUUACAGUUGUUUUCUGGUGUUCAAUCAAAUGCAGAACGUGAUGCAAAGUCAGAGCAAUGGUGCACGAGCUGGUUUUAUCAGUUCAACGUGCUGCUACUGCGGGGGCUUAGGGAGCGGAGGUAUGAAACCUUCAACAGACUAAGAAUUUUCCAAGUCAUCAGUGUUGCAAUACUUGGCGGACUUCUCUGGUGGCAUACCCCAAUGUCCCACAUUGAAGAUCAAGUAAGAAUGGAUCCACUUACUCACAUUAUUUGCAUAAACAAUCAUAGUGGCAGCUGUCACUUUCUUUUGAAGGCCAUGAUAAUUAUGAGGCUGUUCUGGUUGCUUUAGAUUUUACUAAAAGUUGUUUAAUCAGAAUCACCAAAGCCUACUCUUGCAUAGGUUCUAGAUAAAUCUAAAAAUUUAGGUUGUUUUCUUGUUAGAAACUCUAAAAUUUUAGUUUUUUAGCUUGUUAGAAAAUCUAAAAUCUAGACAUAAAAGCAAAUGAGAACAGCUAAAAAAAACUAAUUUUUCAGAUCAGAAUCUAAAAUCAGGUGAAAGAAUCAAACGAGAACGUCCGCUAUAUCAAGAAUGCAUCUUGAUGUUGAAUAGACCAAGUCAUUGGAAGACCAUUAGAGGGCGCCCACAUCUGAUAAUGCGCAUGAUCUACAGAAAAUCGCCGAGAGUACAGUUAUUAUCAUUUUACCUUGAGAGUUCUUUGGAAGCCUCUAUAUUCAAUGAAGACAUAAGAUAUGCUUCUUCAAAUAAAACAGCUACUUCUAAGAGAUACUAACCUAAGUUCAUUUCCUAUAUGCAGAUUGCUAUGUUAUUCUUCUUCUCUGUUUUCUGGGGCUUUUACCCAAUCUACAAUGCUGUUUUCACUUUUCCCCAAGAAAGAAGGAUGCUUAUCAAGGAAAGAUCAUCUGGAAUGUACCAUCUGUCCUCCUACUUUCUAGCUAAAACAGUGGGCGAUCUUCCACUAGAGCUUGCUCUGCCAACUGCCUUUACCUUCAUAAUUUAUUGGAUGGGUGGGCUCAAACCAGAACCAGCCACCUUCAUCCUUUCCCUUCUCAUUGUUCUGUACAGUGUCCUUGUUUCGCAAAGUCUAGGAUUGGCCUUUGGUGCAAUACUUAUGGACGUAAAGCAAGCUACUACCUUAGCAUCAGUAACAACGCUAGUUUUCCUCAUUGCUGGUGGUUACUAUAUUCAACAAAUCCCUGCUUUCAUAGUCUGGUUAAAGUACUUGAGUUACAGCUACUACUGUUUCAAGCUGCUUCUUGGAGUGCAAUACAAUGGGAAUGAUUAUUAUGAGUGCUCCAAGGGAGUAUAUUGCCGGGUUGCAGAUUUCCCUUAUGUCAAAUCAGUAGGUCUAAACCAUUUGUGGAUUGACGUGUCCAUCAUGGCACUCAUGAUGGUGGGCUAUCGGUUCAUUGCUUAUCUAGCAUUGCGCAGGGUCAGAUGAAGAAGGUUCAAUUCAGGAGCAUGAUCACCAAGGCCUGUUGAAGAGUUUUCCAUUUCUUCAACUGAGCAAUAAUCUUAGGUUUAGAUGAGAAUGCCACUGUCAGAUUAUGAUCACAAGUACCUGGAUAGUUGGAUGUAUCACAUUCUGGCAAUGGUUUGCAAAAAACUGACUUACAAAAGUGAUCAAGAUUUGCACAAUAAAUGUGUAACACUCUUAAUAGUAAGACCCAGUCUUAUAGAAGGAGAAUGAUUUUCCCAGUGUCAAAAAAGAGGGCAUGUUAAGGCAACUCAAAGUCCACUGUAUUCCAGAUCCAUGUGGGGGCAUUACAAUCGCCACUUUAUGGUAGUAACUCCUACAGAUGCAUUGACCACAAAAAGAAGGCACUCUUUUAAAGAAUAAGCAAAUUUAAGUACAUAGAGUAAUUAUAUUGGACAAACGUUUUAUGUCUGGAAGUGCACCAUAACAUUGCUUUUAUCUAUCUUCUUUGUUCAGUCUCUCUGUUGUCUAAUCCUAAGUUUAUAGUAGGGACAGAAAGUGGGACUAAGAACACUUUUGGCUUCUAAUCAAGGUCAUGGUCUGAAGGGCCACGAAGACCUCUUUAUCUUUAAGGAGACGUUUGAACAUAUUUUGUUGCUACAUCUUUAAAUCUUUAUACAGUUCCAGGACAUGUCAUACAUGUUUACUGUAUGGACAGGAGGAGGGAUUCAACAUAAGCUUUUUUCAAUGGCAUGGAGAUUUUGACGGAAACCAGAAAUUCUGUGAAUAUUUUUGCAAAAAGAAGUCAAACCCUUGAAUCUUGAUGUAAAACAGAAGUCAAAAAAAUGGAGAGAUAACUACAGAAUUGAAAAUAUAAUUUUCCGAAAAAAUUCUCAAUCAACAAUCAGCUGAUUAUGCAGGACAAAAGGUGGUCAAAAACGAUUUGAUGUGGUUGACAAACUUCAAUCUCAAGAAUAAUAGAUCUCAAUUUUCCUGUUUAUCACAUGGACUGGACAAUAAAAACAAACAAGAAAGGAGGAGCACAGAGAAUCAAGCAACAGAACACUAUACCGGAGAAGGCUAGCAAUUCUAACCUCAAUUCCAGAAGCCAUAUUUCUUCGUGGUGAUGAGAGAAAUUCUUGAACUGCAUGAUAUCGAAAGGAGGUCAAGUUCCACAUGAUGCUGAUACAGUAGCGGCUGCAACAUUAUGCAAACAAGAAGUGACCCCCAAAAUCCUUGUCAUUUUUACGUCAACGUAGUACCCCAUGCACCGCUCCCUAUAAGGUUCUAGAUUAACAAUAAAGGCCUGAAAUCCAUAGAAUCCUGCUCAUCUCUCGGAUAGAUUAAUGGUUGCAGAUAUCCAUUGAUGGCUAAUGAAGCAGAUCUUGCGUUAGCUGUUAAUUAGAAGGUUGGUAGAAAGGAGAAAUGGAAGAAAUAAACACAGAUACAAGCUGAAGUGGAUUCAAUUCUUCGAGACGGGCCACGAAAGGCCAAGUUGAGAGGGAAUUGUGAUCAGUACAUGAUGAACACCCGGCGACACCUAUGCUGAAUGAGUACAUGACUCCAAUACAGGUCAACAAAAUUGCAAUGAAUCUGCUGAUUUCAUGAUGAUUCUAAGGCAACUGGAGAUCACUGCUGACAGAAGUCAAGACAACUGGCUACCGAAAAUUUGAUAUUUCUUUAAUAUGCAAUGUCUCGUGAAUCUACCUCUCCCAGUCAGGCUUGAAGCCGCAGAACAAUCCAGAAUUUUUAGCGAAAUAACCAUUCCAUUUCAAAUUUUUCAUACUGAGCAAAGCUUGAGACUUAAAUUAACUAAUGCAAGAAGCUAACCUCAUGUAGAUCAAAGUACAAUUGACAAGAAGCAAAUAAGCAAACCCAUAGAGCAUGGUUCACUGUUGCGGAUCACGGUCGUGGAUGUUCCACAUCCGUCGCAGCAUAUUGAUUGAACAUCGGGUGAUACAUACAUUAUAAUAAAUAAAAUUUUCCAAAAAAUCUGAAAAAAUUACUAAAAAUAGAGAAUACCAUAAAAGGCACAAUUACCAAAUUAAAUUUACUAAAUACCUACAUGAUCAUAAAUAGUUACUAAUUAUUUAAAUAAAAUAAUGCUGCCAUUACCAUAAACCUAUAGCAUUAGCAAUAAAUGAUUUUAGCAUCAAGUGUGCUUUCUAAUCCUAUUUUAUAUGAGAUCAAAAAUUAUAUAUAAAAAUAAAAUCAUCAUAUCUUACAUAAUACAAUACGAAUCCCAGUACACAAAGGAAGUAGUGGUGUUUAGUUCAAUACAAUAAAAGAAACAAAUACCUAUUAAAUAAUAUUAUGAAAUAUAAAGACAUAAAGAAGCAAGUGUUUUCACCAUAUUCUCAAUACACAUUUUCAUCCUAUAUUGAUCCCAAUUUCCUAAAAUAAAAAAUAAUAAAUAUCACUGAAAUAUUAAAAUUAAUGAAUUAUGUACAACUAUUGAAUUCUAUCAAAUAUAGUAAAAUUAUAUUUUUACUUUGUUUACAUACCUAUUAAUACCAUGUGGAAUGACGAGGAGGUUCAAAAUCAUGCUCAUCUCCCAACCGAUUAUAGUAAGAAUAUAACAUUUGUAGUUAGUUUCCUUCAUGUGAAUAAGGAGAAAUGUAUGAACCAUAUUGUUCGUCUCUUAAAUUUGAUGACGUACUAGAUAAACCAUGAUUAAAAUGUGACAAAGGUGGUAGAUUUGAUCUUAAUGAACCCUCGAUAGUGUAAACUAUCAGUGGUGCUAUUAGAUGAACCAUAAUUGUGUUCAUAAUAGCCAAUGCUACUUGAUUCAGAUGUAGAUCCCUCAUGAUAUAUUCUAGUUGGCUGAUGAUAAUAUUCAUUAGUAGAAACACUAGUGGACCUCUGAAGAUGGCUAGCUCCACUAUAUGAUCCGUAUUCAGAGUAAUAACAAGUAGAACCUGCAUGUAAUCGCUCAAACUCAUGUCCUAGCCACCUAGUACCCAAACUAUUACCAGAAUUAUAGACUCCAUAUGAAUGACCUAUAUUUAAAUCUUGCAUGAGCUUAUGAAAUUCAGAAUAUCUCCUAGAAUUUGAGUAGUAAAAAGAGUCACCUUCACUCAAAAAUUCAAUUAUUCUGCUCAAAUGCUGCUACUGUGCUUUUAUGCCACGAUGAUAUCCAUGAUCAGUGUCUUGAGUAGCAUACUAGUUAUUAUCUGUUUGAACCCAUGACAUGCCACCAGUACAUUAGCUAUUAUGAUAGUUACCACCACUACCACUAAAAUUUUUUGUUAAGAAUGUCUCGUGUUUGCCCCUCCAUUAUCAUCAUCAUCUUUUCCACCGCUAGAGGUGUUGGUAGAGAAAGAUGAAAUGGGUUUUGAUAUAAUUUUUUUCUAUCUAGUACUCUUGUCUUUGCUCAUAAAUACUUGCUCUUUAUGUUUCUUUUUCAUACCAAUUAUGAAUUGAGACAAAAGCAUAUCAUUAUCAUCAUCAUUAUGAUGACUUUGUUCUCUCCCUCCCUUCACUUUCAUUGAUGUAUUUAUUCAACCAACUUAAAUCAUCUUCACAAAUCAAUCGCGGCUCAUUUUCUCAAAUCCACUCAUCUAAUAUAUCAUUUUCAUCAAAAAUGUGAUUUAAAUAAAUUGGGUUAUAAAAAUCAUCGGUGUCAUUUUUAUACAUCAAAUUCUUCAUUCUGAGCCACAUGUUGUAGCGCACAAAUACCAACUUGUUCAACAUUUCAAUUGGCAAUUGAUUUCAAAGUUUUGUAUGUAUCAAAGACCACGUACUCCAAAUUCUUUCAUAACCAGAUGAUGUACAAGUUUGACUCAGAACUUUAAUUACAAUUUUUCUUAAAUUAGGAACUUCUUCACCAUAUAUGUUCCACCAUAUAGCUAUUAAAAACAUAGAAUGCAAAAAAAUAGUAAAUAUGAUGCAUAUAUAACAAGUAUCCUUAAACUGAUAUAAUAAUGCAUAAUAUAAUUUAAAGGACAAAAUCAUAUUUAUUAACCUGAUAAAGAUGUAGCUACUGCUUUAAUUGCAAGUGCACUUCCAAACUCUCCAAUGUUGUUCACAAAUGUGUUUGUCUAAGGAUACCACAAAGUUAGAAUAUUAGAAAUUUAAAAAAACACAUAAAGUAAUGCAGAUUAAUAAAUAAUGGCUAUUAUUUUACCUUAUUCAUUGCUUUUGCUUGCAUUUCUAAAUUUAGUUCAAACCUUUUAAUUACUUCUUUCAAUCCUUUUCUAAUUUCAGAUGUAUUAAAUUCACAAGUGCCAGAAUAUUGAAGAACGAGAUUUAAGAAAUAGGCUGGACCAAUGACAUAAAAAAUAAUCAAGUGGGAAAAUCUUUAGCACAAAAUAAUUUGUUUAAAAAAAUAUUUAUUUAUAAGUGUCAAACAUAAUGACCUGUUGCAUGCAAGUCUUGUGUAAAUGCUUAUACCAUCUGUCAUCAAUAAUAUCACAGUAUUUUUGAAAGUCUUUCACUGCAAUUUAUAUUGUCAUUUUAGCCUUAUCCAUUUUCUCAUAUAUAAUGGGUAGUGUGGGUUUUUUAUCCUAAUCGAUCACUUUUAAAACUUUCACUAGCGGCUCCAUGAUUGCACAUACCCACCAUACCUUUUUCCAAAAUCUUUCUAACAAAAUCAAGUCAAACACUUCAGCAUCUUCUUCCCUUCUUUUAGAACUGCUAUUAUACUCUUACCACUCAUUUGAAGUACACAUUCGUUUCAACUCGGUAGCAUGAUGAAGAAGACUUUCUAUUGCAAUGAUCUCGGUAGCAAAUCUUGUUAUGUCAGGUUACAAUAACUCUCUAUUAUUUGUAUAUGUCUUCAUUAGAUUUACCAUUUUGUCACUAUUGUAUAUAAAACUGGUAAUUCUCCUACCUUGUUUGAUGGCAUCUUUUAUUGACUUCAUCUGAUCAAUGUCUUCCAAAAUCAAAUCAAUGCAAUGCGUAGCACAUGGUGACCAGAACAAAUGCUUCCUUUUCUUCAUCAAUUGCUCCCCAGUUGCUUUCAUACUAGAUUCGCUAUCAGUGACAAGUUGUACAAUAUUUUCUUCUUCAAUGGAAUCCACAACCUUAUCCACUAAGGAUAAAACUGGUAAUUCUUCUACCUUGUUUGAUGGCAUCUUUUAUUGACUUCAUCUGACCAAUGUCUUCCAAAAUCAAAUCAAUGCAAUGCGCAGCACAUGGUGAUCAGAACAAAUGCUUCCUUUUUUAUUAGUUGCUCCCCAACUGCUUUCAUACUAGAUUCGCGAUCAGUGACAAGUUGUACAAUAUUUUCUUCUUCAAUGGAAUCCACAACCUUAUCCAUUAAGGAUAAGACAAAAUUUGCAGCCUCUACCUUGUUUGUACUGUCGACAAAGUUGUGGUAUAUUAUGUCUCUAUCAUAGUACACCAUGAAAUUAAUGAUUGGAUGCUUUGUCCGAGUACUCUAGCCAUCACACAUGAUUGUGCACCCAUAUGUUUUCCAUUUGUGUUUAAUGGAACUAAUUGUCGGUCAACGUCUGCCAUCUCCUUAUUUAGAUAUUCACCUCCAAUUUGUCUACCUGUUGGCCCUUUAAAUCCAAGUCCAGCACUAUCAAUUGUGUCAAUCAUCGAUUGAUAAUAAGUUCCACAAUCAGCCACAUGAAAUGGUAUGGCAUUAAAAUGAAAAAAUUUUGCAAUUGCCUUACCAACUUUUUUGUCAUUUUCUUUGGAAAAUUAAUCUUUUAUUGACUUAUUUUUUAAGGGAAACAUGUAUGGAUCAAUUCCUUUGACCCCAAACCUCCUGCCUUAAACUUAAAACUCUGUGAGAAAGCUCUUUUACUUCUAGAGAACAAUAGAUUAGGUAUAUUCGAACUACUACUCCCUACAAUAUAGUACAUAAAAGAUUGUAAUAUUUUUUUAUUAAAUAAGUCUUGUACUCUAAAAAUGAUAUAUUAAUUUUUAGAUAUUUCUACAUACAUACCAGACGUAAAAUUCAUAGUUGGCUAACUUCCAGAUACAUAAUGCCUAGGUUGCUCUUCCAUAAAUCUCAUGUAUCUACUUUCAUCCAUAGCUCACUUGUAUUGCUUUCUUUCUAAAGCUUCCAUUUCAUCUUCCUUAAGUUUGAAGAUAUCAUCCUCGUUUUCACCUAGCAGAUUGAUGGAAUGGAGUAAUGAUUGUUUUUUCUUUUGUAUUUCAACUAUUGCACUCUUACCUUAAAUCAAGUGUUUCUUUAAAAGCUCUCUUAUUUCUUUUGGAGCUACAGGACAUGUUUUUACUUGUCGUGCUACAUGGCUAAUAUGUUGUUUCAUCCUUAUAAUUCCUCAGUGUACAAUUUUACCACAAUAAUUGCACUUUGUAACCUUUCUGGUAAUGACCAGUUGGAGUAACAUGAUCCCCACCAAUGCCUUGAUUUGAACCCAUUUUACAAUGUCCUUAAAUUAGUUAAAUAAUUGUAGGUGUGAUGUUAAACAUGCAAAUAUGUGUUAUUCAGAUAAGAAUAAAAUUAUUAAAUUUUAUUAUCUAAAUAUAUUAAAAAUUUUCCGAUCAAGUUUAAUUAUACAAGAUAAUCUAUACUUUCACAAUUUGCCCACUUCAAUUUUUUUGUUUAACUAAGUGGAACUUGUAAGUAAACUUUUUUUUUCCUUUUUCUAAUUAAUUUACCUAAAAUCAUUUUAACCAAUAUAAUUGAGAUAUAUGAAAUAAAUAAAUUACAUUAUUGAUCAUUAAAAUGUAUCCAAACAAUAACUAUAUAUUUUCUAACUAAAACUUAGAUAAGAAACUACUGAUAUUAUAUAAUAUAUUAAAUAUAAAAUUAGCAAUGUAAUAAAAAACAUCAUAUACUUAAUAAUGUAUAAAAAUGCCAAAAUGCAUUGCAUAAAUUUACAAAUAUUGAAAUAUCACAUCUGAAUACUAAAUCCAGAAAAAUUAAAAUUGAGAAACUACUUUGAAAGAAGAUGUGGACCUUUUGGCCUGAUGUUUGAGUUUAAGAUUAGGAGUCCAAUCUCCUAAUUACUUAGGCCAAAUUUGGACUUUAAGAGUUUUUAAUUUUUGCUUCUUUUUUUUCCUGUCUUUGGCUCCACUAGAAAAGCCCAACUACUCCAAUUUUAGCUGAGUUCCACGUACUCCAAAUUUAGUCGUUGCUUUGGUUCUUUCUUCUCCCUUUUGCUCUUUCUUCUCUUCUCUGUAGACCAAUUGUCGAGCCCUAUUUCUAAAAAAAAUGAAUUAAUGAUUAAAAAAUGAAUUUUUAUUUUAAAGAACAUUGGCGUAUAAAAAUGUAAUUUUUAUUAAAAGAUGAGUAAAAAAUGAGUUUUAGUUCUUGAUUAGUUUUUAUUUUAGUUUUAAAUUUUGUAAAAAUAAAAAGAAAGAAAAAGAGCCUAAAAUGGGACUUAAAAAGUGCGACAGUUUUGGCUCAAAAUAAUAGUCUAAAAAGGGUUUCUAAGAAAAAUAGGAGUGGUCACUUGGUAUUGAGUUAAGGUGUACCAAAUCACCCAAAAUAUGUUUUUAAGAUAAAAGAUAAAAAAAAAUAAACCCUUUUUAAAUGACUCCAGAUUUUUGAAAAGAAGAGAAAAGAGUUCGGGAGUCACAGUUGAAAAAAUGGAAGGCAAAGAUUUGAUAGAAUCAAACCUAAGGCACCCUGUCAACCUAGCCAAAGUUAGUUGCGAGAUUUAGUCGAAAAUUUUUCGAGCCUUACCUAUGAAAACUUAUCACAUUAGAAUGUUUCUAUAUGGAUGCAAACCUAGACCUAGGGGGGUAUCGAGAGGGUCGAGCUGUCUCUUCAAAAUUUAAAUGGUGCAAUCACAUUAAUUGUGAUGCCCAAAAUGAUUUUUAGAAAAGGUUACGAAUAUGCAAAAGAUAAGAAUAGAAGAAAAGAAGAAUUAUAAUAUAUAAAUAUACAUGACCUAAAAGAGAGGAAUGCAACAUAACGGGUAUGAGGGAUCUAAAUUCGUGACUCAAUUUUCCUUUCUCUAGAGGAGAUACAAACGUGUUAAGCCUUAGAAACUAUACUCGUCCAUUUCCCAUAUUUGAAGAGUGACUCUCCUAACUAGUCAAGCAAAUGAACUAACCUAUUUCUCAUUUCCUAUUGGAAUGCAAGUCUAAAUGUCAUGUUUCACACACAUAGGGGUAAGUGAGAUAAGGAAAUUUCAUGCCAAUGAAGAAAAGGAUCCUAAAGGUGAAAAGUAUGCAUGAAAUGCAAUAAAUGUCAAACAAAGUAUGAAUUCUAACGCGAAAACGGCCUAAAAGGUCUAGCAUUGUACUAACUCAUUUCUAUAAGUCCUCACUAGCGUUGAACUAGUGAGAAAUCGGGGAGCAAACCACAACUAACAUUGGACUAGUGUGAUGACGUCAUGCAUUUAUUAUAACUAAAUAAAUCAUAUAAAACAUAAUUAAAACAAGUAAACACAUAAUGCACAUAGAAUGCAUAACAAAUAGGCAUAAUUUCUAGAUGCAAAACCCUAGUGAAAGCGAAUAAACAUGUAAACACACAAGCAUGCAAGCACACAAGCAAAUAAAUGCAAAUAAAAGCUUAACUAUAACAUUCGAGACCCUAACUACAAUCUAAGAGGAAAUUUUUUUUUAAAAAAAAAAUAACCUAACUAUUACAUUUAUCUAACUAAAUACAUUUUUGACAAAAAUUAAAACCUAUCUAUUACAUAUGCUAACUAAAUACAUGUCUUGAGUAUCUAUCUAUUACAAAUUGACAUUUAAAUGCCCUCAAAUAAUCAUCAAAAAUUAAAUAUAAUAAAUAAAAAUUUAAGAUGAAUAAAAUUCAUAAAUAAAAGAAAAAGCACUCAAAACAUGCAAUCACAUAUAAAAAGCACAUAAGAGCACAUAAAGGAAUUUAAAAUAAUACUAGAAGGUAUCUCCCUUUGAAGUAUUGGUUAAAUGAAGUUGGAUUUGCCCUAUUAUACUCCAAGAUCAACAAAAUGGUCAAAACAUCAAUUUAAUUAACAAAUAAAUUAUAAAGCAACGGAAAUAACCAUGAAAUCUAGCAAUUAAAACAUUUAAAUAAAGUAUAAUUAACAAUUAAAGAAGAUAAACAACUUACAUUUAAGAAAUCAAAACUGUCAGAGACCUAAUUGCAAAAUUGAGAACGUUUUUGGGAUCAAAUAAUAAUUAUUACAAAAAAGGGGUCAAAUCAAAGAAAAAUAAAGUUUAGGAACCAAAUUACAAUUAAAUUAGGGACCUAAUUGAAAGAAAUAAAAAAAAUUUAGGGCCAUAAUAUAAUUACUUAGAAGUAUAGGGACCAAGUUGCAAUUUUCAUUUUCUGGUUUGGCCAGAAAGGGCCUUGGGCAUCCUUCAAAUUUUUCUUUGGGCCAAAGUUACCUAGGCUUAAUGAAAAGUCCAGAAAAAUGGGUGGACUAGCCUGUCAUUUUUACUAAACUAAGUCUGGUGAAAAAAGGUUGGGCUUAAACCCCAAGUUCGGUCAUAAACCCAAGCAAAAAGGAAAAUCUUGGCCCAAAUUUUUUUAACCCAAAACAUGUUUUAUCAACCCAUCAUGGCCCAUAUCAGAUCAAAUGAAGUAAAACAAACAAGAUAAAAUUGGAGGAAAAUAGAAAGAAAAUAAGUGAAAAGCAUUCUGGCGGGUCUGAAAACAUUCGCCGGAAUCCAUUUUUACCGGCUUUUAAAGCCGAAUAUUGAUAUAAACAUACUCCCCAUGAUCUCUUGAGUUAGUUAAAACAUCAAACAUCACCAUUUAAACAACAAAAUUGUGAGAAAAAAGAGAUCUAAGAUGCAAAACCCGUAAAACUCAUGUAAUAGCUUAAAAAACACAUGAAAAACGUUAGAACAACCAAGAAAAAGGGUUAUAAUUACCUGAGGAAGUUAGGGAACUUGAAUAGAUGCGAGAAAUCACAGUGAAGCGUGCCCUGAUUCCGAAAGUGAAGCAAAACACUUCUUGUCGUAGAAGUUUAAGAGUUGAGAAACUGGCAACUUCAGGCUCGAAUUCGAAGGUUCUGGAAGUGUUUUUUCAGGAAACUUUCAACAUGAAAACUCCCCUACUACGUCCAUGAAGUAUCCAGAAAUCAAGAAUCGAUCUCAAAGAAGUCAAGACGAAGAAGAAAAUGGCGUCUGAACAGGGCUGCCCGUUCAUUCCUAACUCAAUUUUUUCUGAAAAUUCCCUGCUACUUUUUCUUCUUUUUCCUUCUCUGUUUUCCUUCCUUUUCUAUUUUUCGGCCGCCUCCAACUCUUUUUUCUACCCUAAUGGCCGCAUUUCUAUGCAUUUAUAUGGAACAAAAACCCUCCCCCCAAACCCUAUGAGCAAUGGUGGAGAUUGGUUGGCUUUUUGGGGAUGAUUUGGAGCAAUUAGAUGGCUGAUUUUGGAUAAGAAUUGGAAGAUGAUUUGACCCUUGUACUGGGGGGCUCAAAAGGAAAGAAAAAAUGAGUGGAAUUAGGAUCAAAUGGCCGCUGCAAUUCUCUGGUACUAUGGCCUCGUUGCUAGUUUUGUACCAGUUUUCAUGAAGGAAAAUUUUUUUUUUUAUAAAAACUGAUUUUAAUUUUUGUUUUCUGCUUUUUUGUUUUCUUUUAUUUCUAAUUUUCUAAAAAUAAAUUGAAAUUAUUUUCUUCAGAAAUAGAAAUGAAACAAAAUAAACUAAAAUAAAUAAAAUUUAAACAAAAUGAACUAAAAAUGAACAAAAAAUAGGAAUAAAAUGAAGAAAAAUAAAAUGGUAACAUUUUGGCGUUUACAACUUGCCUCUCUUUAUCUGAGUUUCGCAAAAAAUCGAGAUAAAGACGUAGACACUGUGACGACCCCACUUCUCCUUAGGGUGUGAGCCGCCUACCUAGCUUUCGUCAGGGCUCAAUACGAGUCAAAUUUAAAGUUAAAGGUAAUCAACCACUAAUAAAAGUUAAUAUAAAGAAAAGUCGCUUCCUUAUAUAAUCAUUUGAGUCUUAUAUCACAAAGUUUCCAAAAGGUACAUCAAAUUUCCCCAAAAAUACAACCACCAUAAGUCGACUAAUCAAUUACAUUCAUAAUUGUACCAAAAUAAAGUCAAGACAGCUUCUCCAAAAAUCUUUCCAUUCCGAGCCCCUGUUAAGGAAAACAAACUACGGGGGUGAGUUAACAUUUAGUGAGGCCAAGAAAAGCAUGCAAACACAUAAGUUCAAGUAACAAUAACACUGGUACAAGAAAUAUAGUUAGAAAGUUCAUGUAAUUCACAAAUAACAGUAAAACACAAUCAAUAAGGAUACGGGAGCUCUCAGGAGCUAAAUUCCCCUUUGCUUUGCCAAGGCUUGAUCCAAUACCUCCACGUGAUGACACUCCGUCAACCGAGUAGGUAGCAAGUCCGUAGAAACCCCGCUUACUUCCUCCAUCCCUCAUUUCACCCCCUUGGAUCCGUAACCAAACACUCACUGGAAGGGCGAUACUACUCGAGUAUGGCAAGCAAGAUCUCAAAAGAUCAAACUUAUAAUUUUCUCAUGGUUCACCGGGCUUCUCGACCAAGCCCAUACUGGCUCAAGUCGCAAGGUUAGCCAAUGAGUUUUGGGCGUCCCCAAAUGUACAAAUACAAUUUGCCAAGUUCACGUAAUUCAAUUAUCAAGUCACAUUCACACAAGUCAAUUAUCUAGUCAAGUAAAAGAGAACGAGUGCGAUAAAGUACACACUCGUCUUGACAAGUCCAAAUCACUUAAUUAACAAGAAACAAUUCAAGUAUUUAGCAACAAUUCAUGCACUUGACACUCACCAAAUCAAAAGUAAGUGAGCCAAUAAGGCCUUUAGUUGUCUGCACUGAGAUUCCCUUCGAAACUCUCUUGAGCACCUGAAGAAAAAGUGACCAACCAUCACUCACGUAUACUUUAGACCUCUUAACAUUCAAGAAAGAAAAUGCACUUGCUUAAAAUUAAGACAACGCCUUAAAAGAGCUUUUCUCAUCGAACAUCGAGAUUCAAAAAUGAGAAUUUAAAAUCUCAAGUGAACUCAUAUCAUUCAUGAAAUCGAGUUUAAAAUGAACCAUCAAUCUCAAAAGGAAGUUGGAAGUUCAUAAAAGUUCAUUUCUUAAGAAAUCAGAAAUUUCCAGUUUUACGAGACAAUACUUGGAAAAUCAGAUCUUGAGUUUGGUAAGUCCAAAAAUGGGAAACUUUACACCGUUGGAAACUAGAUUCAUAGUACUAAAACUAAAAAUCAUUCAAAUCUCAGCUCAAAGCUACUAUUUCAUGAAGACACUUUUCCCAGAUUCCAACUAAAAAUCAUUCAAAUCUCAGCUCAAAGUUACUAUUUCAUGAAAUCAGGGCCGAACCAGUCUUGAUUUUUCAGUAAUGUUUGGAAAUUCAAAAAAAAUUCACAGAAAUUGAAUUAGCCUCUAAAAUUUAUAACACAGCAAGAGUUUCAAGUAAAGUUUCAAACACAACCAGAGGAACUAAAUUUGGAUUUUUGAACAGCAAGAUACAACAGUUUGAAGAUGGCUGGAUUUCACAACCUGUCCAACAAUUUUCCAGUUACCAGCUUUGACACCGUUUUGAAAUCAAACCAUAUCUAACUCUACACAAGUCCAAAUUGAGGAUGAUUUAUGGCGUUAGAAACUAGAUUCAAAAUGUUUCAAAUCAUCAGAAGACAUCAUUUUCAAACUCUUUUUACAAGUGAGACAAAAUUAAGCCACAAGAUACAAUUUCACAGUUUCUCGAGGAUAAACAGGUAAAACAGGUCAGUCCACUUUACUGAUUCGUUACGGGUCACUCAAAACGAAUUAGCAAGGAAAUUUUAUAUCGUUUGAAAGCUCUUGGUAUCUAGUUUUAAAUGCCAAAAACGGCACUUAACUUCGACUUUUGUACAAAGAUUUAUGCUCAGACAAAGUACCCCUAGUCGGCUGCCCUGGCAGCUAUUUUCCAGAUUUCUACCUUUCCACAAAACCCAAGUUUAAUGUAACCAAUUGAAAUGAUUUUUGAAAGACAAUUUCUACACACAUAAUACAACAUAUAACAAGCAUUUUAGCAGCCAUAUAACCAACAAAAAUUCAAAAUCCAAGCAAGACAACAGGGCAGCAAAUUCGGCCAGCCCCUCUCAAGAGUUUCUUUUAACUUUCUUUCCUCUUACCAAGCCAAUGUCAAGUCACUCAUCACACAAACAACAACAAUCAAGUAAAAAGCCUCAAGUCCACUACCUAAAGGCCACCUCAAGACCACUAGCCUAGGAUAUAAAGCAAGAAAUAAAAGUUCCUCAAGUCCUCUAGCCUAACUUCUUGAUUAAGGUUUCAAACCCAUGAAAUACAACCUUUACUUUUGGUAAAAUUUGAAACAUUAAAGAAGGAUGAGCUUGUUACCUCUUCAAGUUCUUGAACCCUAGGAAGAGCCAAGUUAUGCACCACUAACCACCAAGAAUUCACCACAAGAUGGAAGCUUCCUUCAAGUUGGAUCAACUACUAAAGGUUUGGAGGAUUUUGUAUGGAUCUUGGAGCAAGAUUGGUGAAGAAAAAUUGGAGCUUUUCUCCCUUCUUCUUGAGCUAGAGAGGGUCGGCCAUGGAGAGGAGAAAAAGGGGAGAAAGUGAGCUUUGAAAUGUGAUGGAAAAGUGAGGUGAAAGGUAGCUUUUGGAGGGUAAAAGUCAACUUUGAAUAGUAGCUCUAAUAGUGUCAUGCACUACCAAUUCGUUCUUGUUUGCUACACUUAAAUACUAAUCCUCUAAGGUGGUUCCUCUAACACUACAAAUACUCAUACUUACUAGUCUAAAAUUAAUUCUCCAAAAUUAUUGCACUUUCGGAUCGAAUAUCGCCUCGAAAAAUGUGUAUUCGCUAUUCCUUACUAGACGAGCCGCAGAAAAAUUAAAUUUGCUAACGGAACGUUUUAAAAAAAUAUAAAUGAGACAUUGCUCCAUGCAAAUAAAAUUAAAGUGGUUAAAAUAAAUUAUUCGGAGAAAACGGGUAAAUAAAUAAUUAAAUAAGCCAGUAAAAUAAAAUAAAAGUAAGAAAAAUUUGGGUCCUCACAAACACCAACUUAUUUACCUUUCUGGUUCAGCUGCAAUUGAAACAACUAGUAAAGCCUAAUUAAUCAGAAAACCCAAGCUUAGAAAACAAAAGAUUGGUGAGAUAAAAUCCAAACCUAACAAAAUAAAGGUUGGUGGGAUAAAACCCAAAUCCAACAUGGUUGAUGGAAUAAAACCCAAAUUUAACGAAAUAACAGUUGGUGGGAUAAAACCUCAACCCAACAAAAAAAACGGUUGGUGGGAUAAAAUCCAAACCAAUGAAAUGGCAGUUGGCAGGAUAAAAUUCAUUUCCAACAAAAUAGCGGUUUGUGGGAUAAAAUCCAAACCCAACAAAAUAGACAAAAUAACAGUUGGUGGAAUAAAAUUCAAACCCAAAAAAAUAACGGUUGGUAGGAUAAAAUCUAAACCUAACGAAAUAUCAGUUGGUGGAUAAAAUCCAAAUCUAACGAAAUAGUGGUUGGUGGGAUAAAAUCCAAACCCAAUAAAAUAACGGUCGAUGAGAUAAAAUUCAAAUCCAAUGAAAUAAUAAUUGGUGGGAUAAAACCCAAAUCCAACGAAAUAACGGUUGGUGGGAUAAAAUUCAAAUCCAACGGAAUAACGGUUGGUGGGAUAAAACUCAAUUCCAACAAAAUAACGGUUGAUGGGAUAAAAUCCAAAUCCAACAAAAUAAAACCCGACGAAAUAACAAUUAAUAGGAUAAAAUUCAAACCCAACAAAAAAAAGGUUUACAUGAAAAUGUGUUUGAAUCAAAAGCUGUGAAGUGAUUUUUGCUAUUUUACUAAACAAAUGUUAAACUUACUUGUAGAAUCAGAUAUCACUUUCGUGACAAAAUUUGUCCCAGUGUAAAUCAGACUUAGCUAAAUAAUUGUUGUUUUCUGUUCCUUCAAAAAGACAUGUCUAGUCCAAUCCUGCAAAAGGAAAUAAAAACAACUGUGAUAAAAUAUAAUGCCAUUACCGUGCGAUCCCUCAAACCUUGAGAAACAUGAGUCUUUUGAUAUCGGGCGACUGUUCGAUUUAAACAUCUUGUUUAACCUUCCUUUUGAUCUGCUAGUAUCUGUACUCAAUCAACCAUACUUAUACCAUAGAUAUACACUCAUUACGGUAAAUUACGGGGAUCGUCUCUUGGUUAAAUUCAAUGAAAAACACGUAAAAGUUUUAAACAAGAUAAUUUCAUGCAAUAGUGUAAAAAUAAUUUUAGUAAAAAAUGACUCUUAUUAAAUUUACGAAAAUAAUUUGGAGACUCAGAUACAAAUUUGAAUGGCCCUUUUAUGAUAAAAGGAACGUCACAUUUGACCCCUUCGAAUAUCACGUUCCUGAAAUUCGGUGUUGCCAACAGACCUUAACAUGAGGAAAAAUUCAAACGAACAUAGUUACCAGCUUCUGAACAGUCGACCCUCUGCUUUCCAUUCACAGCUCAGUCAAUGAUUCAAAACCCUACCUUAGCACUCUUUUGGAUUUUCACUAAGGUUGCCCCCGUCCAUUUAUUUUCUUUCUUUUACUUUUGCUUUUUGUUUUUUUUCUCUUUUCUUCUCUUUUUUUUUUCUUCUUUCUACUUUUUUUCUCUUUUUUUUAUUAACUUAAUUUUUUUUGUUUUUUGUUUAUUUUUUUUUUUGAAAAGGCUCUAUUUCGAAUUUUCACCUAAUGAACAAAUUUAGCGACGGCCUCUAUCAAUUCAAAAAUGUGUUUCAACAUUAAUGACAUCAAUGUAACAAUCCUUCCCUUAUAAAAUUGAUGAAUGUGGGUUGACAUCAUUUGCCAUUUGAUUAAACAAUUCUCAUUACAAAUACUGUUAAAGCGGAGGUUGGGACUUUAUGAUUUUUGUAACGAGAUCAGGUGUGGUGUUAAGAAAUGUUAAGACUCUAAAGCAAUUUUUUAAAGGGGUUUCAAAAGUUUUAAGAUCACAUCCUAUAAAAUCUUACUCCAAUAUAAGGCUAUUGAAAUCAUAAAAUUGCCCCAGUUUGGCUUUUAACUUUUCUUUUUAAUUAUAUAUAUUUUUUUUAAUUUUUUUAUAACAAACGAAAGAUAAGUUUUGCCCCAAUGUGGGGUUUGUGAUCCUUAGGAGGCUAUCAAACGAAGGAAUAGAUUAUUCUGGAGGCUCAAAGGGGAGAACAAGGGAUUAAAUAUUCAAAGGAAAAAGAAAUAAGCCCACCUUUUAGUUCACCCUAGACCGUAUUUCAAAAAGAAAACUCACAUAAUCAGAUAAAAAAACUUCUUGCACAUAAUUGAAUUGAUUGGUUGAAGAAAAAUCUGUCCGCCCAUCUCUGUGAGAAUGAGUGUUCCUCCGGGCAAUACCUUCUUAACAAUGAAAGGUCUUUGCCAAUUUGGGAUAAAUUUUCCUUUAGUUUCGUCUUGGAUGGGAAGAAUUCGUUUCAAAAUUUUGUCUCCUUCUUAAAAUAUGCGAGGUUUGACCCUUUUAUUAUAAGUACGGGCCAUUCGCCUUUGAUAAUACUGCCCAUGGAAAAUAGCAUUUAACCGCCUUUCAUCAAUCAAGGAUAGUUGCUCGUGCCACUGUUUAAUCCAUUCAGUUUCCUCCAACUGAGUUUCCAUUAAAAUGCGCAAAAAGGGAUCUCAACCUGCCGCGGGUAAUUCUGCUUCCAUACCGUACAUGAGAGAAUAAGGCGUUGCCCCAAUAGAAGUUCUAAUUACAGUUCGAUAAGCCAUUAAUGCAUAUGGCAGUUUCUCAUGUCAAUCUCGGUGUCUUUCCUUCAUUUUGUGAAUGAUUUUCUUCAGAUUUUUGUUUGCAACUACUACCGCUCCAUUCAUCUGAGGCAUGUAGAUAGUCGAAUUCCGGUGCUUGAUCUUGAAUUGUUCGCAUAAUUCAUCUAUCAUGUCAUUAUUGAUAUUUUUGUCGGUGAUCAGCAUCUCUAGCACCCAAAAACUACAGAUAAUGUGGUCUUUCAAAAAAUCAGAUACUACUUUCUUGAUCACGUUCUUGUAAGACGCUGUUUCAACUCAUUUCGUAAAAUACUCGAUCAUCACAGGAAAAAUCGAUGCCCAUUCGAAGCUGGGGGAUCAAUAGCUCCAAUCACGUCCAUUCCCCAUAUUGAACAGGGUCAAGGAGCAGUCAUACUAUGUAGUUUUGUAGAAAAAGAAUGUAUAAUAUCGGCAUGCAUUUGAUACUUUAUGCAUUUUCUAACAAAAUCUACACAUCAUGCUCCAUGAUAAGUAAAAAAUACCCCGUUCUCAUGAUCUUCUUAACAGUAAGUGCCCAUUCAUAUGGAGUCCGCAUACACCGCUGUGCACUUCUUUCAUCAUAUAAUCAGGUUUCUCUCUAUCGAUGCACCUUAGAAGGCCCAAAGCUGAUGUCUUCUCAUAUAACACCUCUUCGUUCAGGAAGAAUUUUGACGACAUUCUGCGCAAGAAACUCUUGGCAGCUGCAGCAGCACUCGGAGGGUAAGACCCUAUUUUUAUGAAUUCCUUAAUAUCGUUAUACCAUGGACGAUCGUCAGAUGUCUCUCUCACAACUAGACAAUGUGCCGAUUUAUCUUGAAAUUGAAUCUAAAUAGGUUUGAUUACUAACGCGUUCGGGUGUCAAAUCAUAGAAGACAAUGUGGCCAGAGUAUCAGCAAAAACAUUGCAAGUGCGACAGAUAUGUCUGAACUUUAAACUUCUGAAUUGAUUGGUCAAACUGAGCAGACUACAAUGACACAGCAUGAUUUUCGAGUCUCGCGUCAUCCACUAAUUAAGCGUUUAAUGUACCAAUAAAUCUGAAUCGCUGAACAUGAUUAAAUCCUUUAUCUCCAUUUCUAAUGCCAUUUUUAGUCCAAAAAUACAAGUUUCGUACUCAGCCAUGUUGUUAGUACAAGAAAAUUGUAAUUUAGUAGCGGCGGGGUAAUGGUUUCCCUCAGGUGACACUAGAACAGCUCUGAUUCUGACCCUAAAAGAAUUUGAAGCGCCAUCAAAGAAUAGCCUUCACCUAGAAUAUGGUUCGUUUAUAUCUUCCAACGUGCCAAUGAAUAAAAUUUCCUUAUCAAAAAAAUAGGUAUGCAAUGACUGGUAAUCAUCUUCUCUCGGAUUCUCGGCCAAAUGAUCUGCUAUGACUUGACUCUUGAUUGCCUUUUGCGUAGUGAAAAUGAUAUCGAAUUCUGAGAGAAUCAUCUGUCAUUUCGCCAUACGGCCUGUCAGCAUCGGAUUUUCCAACAAAUAUUUCAGAGGAUCGGAGCGACAAAUGAGACAGGUUGUGUGACUGAGUAAGUAAUGCCUCAACUUUUGAGCGGGCCAAGCUAAAGCGCAGCAACUCCUCUCAAGAAAGGAAUAGUUGACCUCGUACGCGGUGAACUUCUUAUUGAGAUAAUAAAUAACUUGCUCCUUCUUUUUUGAGUCAUCAUGUUGUCCCCUUACAUAUCUCAUAAUCUCAUCCAACACGGACAGAUACAUGAUCAAAGGUGGACUUGGGUUGGGUGGCACUAAGACCGUAGGGUUCAACAGAUAAUCCUUGAUCUUGUCGAAAGCUUGUUGACAUUUUUCGUUCCAGCGCAUCGGCGUAUUCUUCUUCAAUAAUUUGAACAAAACUCACAUGUAAAUAUUAAUUGUGCAAUAAAUCUGUCGAUAAAAUUAAUCUUUCCCAAGAAACACUUUACGUCCUUAUGAAUUUUUGGUAUAGGCAUCCCUCGAAUUGCUUUAAUUUUCGUCGAAUCAAUUUCAAUUCCCUUUUUACUGAUAAUAAACCCCAAUAAUUUUACCGACGGGAGCCCCAAAAGUACACUUGGCAGGGUUCAGCUUUAAAUUGUAUCUUCUCAACCUUUCGAACAAUUUCUUCAAAGCAACCAAAUGAUCUUCAAAUUUCUUGAAUUUAAUGAUAAUGUCCUGCACAUAGAAUUCCAUCUCUUUAUGAAUUAUAUCGUUGAACAAAGUGGUCAUUGUCCGUUGAUAAGUGGUUCCUACAUUUUUCAAUCUGAAAGGCAUUACCCGAUAGCAGAAGGUUUCCCACGGAGUGAUGAAAGCAAUGUUCUCUCUAUCUUUUUUCACCAUCAGGAUCUGGUGAUACCCGACAAAACAGUCACCAAAAGAUUCAAUUUCAUGUCCAGCAGUGUUGUCCAGAAGAAUAUGAAUGUUCAGCAGCAAAAAAUUAUCCUUCCGACUACCUUUGUUGAGAUCCCUAUAAUUGACACACACCCGCACUUCUCCACUUUUCUUCAAAAUCAAUAUAGGAUUUGAAAGUCAAAUGGGGUAAUGAGAUACCAUAAUAAUCCUGACGUUGAGCUGCUUCUCGAUCUGUUUCUUGAUUAUGAAACUUAUAUUUGACCAAAAUUUGCUUGAUUUUUACUUUACUGGCGAAAAUUUUGGAUCGAUCGGCAAUCUGUGAACCACUAUAUCUGUUGAAAUCCCGGACAUAUUAUCAUACGACCAAGCAAAUACAUUUUAGAAGAUGGUUAAAAAUUCAAUCAUCUUUUUUUUCUACUCCUUAUUCAAGUGCACACUGAUUUUGAUUUUUUUAACCUCCAUUUUAGUGCCAAUGUUAAUGUUUUCUGUCUCUUCUAAGUUCGAUUUGGGUUUUUUAAUCCAUAUUGUUCAAGAAUUUUUGAAAUAGACUCAAAUUCUUCCUCGCUAUCACUCUUUUUUUGAAUUUUGAAUUUCAUAAUUUCAAAUUCGUGAGAGAUAUCGAGUUUGCAAUAAUUGAAUUUUAGAAUGGUAAUAUCCAAAAGGACAAACGAUUUUAUUUUUGGCUAUCUGAAAAUAGAGUAAACAUCACAAUAAACAAGUAGAAAAUAAUAAAGAUGAACAAAAAUUUUUUAUUUCAUUAAAUUUAAAAAACAAACAGAGAUUGAAAUAAAGAUGAGUACUUUGCAAACUAAAACAAACACAUUCCCAACAGAACUGCGCAGUGGGAACGGUCUUUCAUGACACUAAAAGGAAACAAGUAACUAAAAAUAAAGUAACUUUUUGUCAUGGAUUUCGGCCAGGGACAAUCCCCUAAAUUUAUCAAAAUUUUCUUGGAGAGAGAAGGUAAUCUGCAGUUCAAUUUUACACAGCUCCUUCAGGAAUGGUUGGGAAUUCCAUUUCUUUCAAUGGCUUGUCCUCGCAGGUGACUCUGAAGAACAGUUGAGAUAGGCUCAUUUCAAUCUCUUCAAUCGGAUCCUCUUUAUCCAAUUCUGAUAGGAUCAUCCUAGAUGGUCGAGAAAAGGUGUAGCGCAACGGCGGGAUACUAAUAGCAAUCUGCUUUCUUUCUUUUUUCACCUUCUUACGAGCUUGCAUCUUCUUCUUGUCCUUAACGGUCGGUUACAAUCCCAAUCCAAAUGUAUCUUUCUUCCCCAAAAGCUCUAUAGGCUUCAAAAUGCCUUAUAAAUUUUGCUCCAAACCUUUGCCUAUUUCAUACCCCCUCGAAUAAUUUCCUUAGCCAUCAUGAUACUAGCUUCAGAUACAUCUAUUCAUUCUUUAAAAAUCUAUCCAACUAACACGAUAUCGACCACACGAUGAGAUGAAUUGAGAAUUUUUCUACUAUUUUCUCAACUCGAACCAGAAUUGACGAUCAUGGUGCAGUCAUCCUUAGUGAACACGGUGAUAAGUUGAUCAUUGACAAUGAAUUUCACCUUUUGAUAGAGAGAAGAUGGAAUGGCGCUAGAAGUGUGGAUCCAAGAUCGUCCAAGUAAGACGUUGUACACACUUGAAAAGUUCAUGAUUUGCCAAACUAGUUGAAAUUGGGUGGGCCCUAUCUCCUGUACUAAAUCAAAUUCGCCCAUUGAUUCCCUUCUAACUCCGUCAAAUCCUCUUAUUAUCGUGGCAGAUGGUCACAACCUAGCAUCCAAACGUCCAAGUUUCAUAAGAGUAUUUCCUUGGUAGAUGUUUAGAGCGGACCCAUUGUCUAUCAAAACUCUCGGCAACAACUUUCCAUUACAUCUCACUGAGAUAUAUAAUACCUUAUUAUGUCUGAUCCCUUCAGGAGUCAAAUCCUCUUCAGAAAAGGUUAUGUGAUUAGCAGCCAAAACAUUUUCCACAACAUGAGUAAACUUGUCAAUUGAAAUAUUCUUCGGUAUUCGAUCCUCACUCAAAACCUUGAGUAGCGCCUCUCUACGCAACUCGGAGGUUAAAAGUAAGUCUAGAAUAGAAAUUUGGGCGGACAUCUUGUCCAACUGCUCCAUAACCUUGACUCGCUCCUUUUCAGCAAUUUAAGAAAAUCCAAAGUUUUCUUUUCAGUCACAGACGGCUUUGAUGGCAUAAGAUUUUCCUCCACAAUCUUCCCAAGUUUAGUGACACUAACCCCCUCCUCUGCCGACAUGCUCAAUCAAUAAAGUAGAUUCACUAUAAUCUCAUGGUACUUCUUUUAAAUUAUGCACAGGUGAUUGCUCAGGAAAUUCAAACAUCACAGGUUCUGACAAAUCUAAGAUGAAGUGAUCGGUUUCCAAAAGCUUUCCUUCUAGUAUGAAAGGUUUCUCGACUAUUCCAAUCACUUUAUUUUCAUCCACAAUAUACCGACUAGGUUCCUUAAACUUCUCAUCGGAGGUAAUAACCCCUACAGUUCCUUUAUAUUCAGGAAGAGGGUUCUUGCCGACGUUUGGCCCUGAUUCACCCCUUCUCCUCAAGACUAUGUCUCCGGUUUCGAUCAUGUUUUGAAUCUUAUGCUCUAAUGCCCAACAAUUGGUGGUGGAGUGACCAGAACGUUCAGAGUGAUACGAACAAAUGACUUGAGGAUCAUAAUUAGCAGGAACACUACUAGGGUAGGUUUUAGGGGACGCCACGUUAAUCUUGCCAGUGGUUUUAAGUUACUCAUACAAUUGAUCGAGUGGACGGUCCAAGAUGGUGAAGGUGUGAGAUUGAUUUUGAUUUUGGAUUUCAUUGGUUUGAGAAUAGUUAUAUGUUUGAUUGUUUGACGGAACAAGUCUUGAAUUAAAAGGGGGUCGAGGUCGAAUUUGCAAAUUUGGUUAAGAAAUCUGAAAAAGUGGUGAAGGUUUAUUUGUAUAGUUUGGUCAAGGUCGAGGAUGGUUAAUGGUAGUGUGGUAAACAGGUCGAGGGUUUAAGUAGUAUGGAUAGAGUAAUGAGUAAGUGGGGCGAUUUUGAAAUCUGGAUCUAGUCGAAGGGCCUUAAUCCCAAACGAAGGCAGUCUCUCCUUCCUUCUUCUUAAAUUGGGGUUUCUUACCACUAUUAUUCUGACCUUGCAGGGCUCCCAGUUGCAUUUUCAAUGUCGACACGUUAACUAUUUUUUCUGCUUUGAUGAACUCAUCAAAUUCUUUCAACUUGUUAACAAUAUCCGCAAAUGAGCAUCCAGUUAUAUGAAAAAUCUCCUCAAAGUACAGUAGAUCAUGAGUUUUAAUAAAUAUGCGGAUAAUUUCCUCCUCGGUCAUGGGGGGUUCCACCUUAGAGACAAGUUUUCUCCAACGUUUAGCAUAUGUUUUAUGGUCUUCCAAUGGCUUUCUCUUGGUUCCCUCAAGUGUGGUUCUUGUUGGCACAAACUCACAAUUGUAUUCAUAUUAUCUCACGAAAGCUGUAGACAGGUCCAACCAAGUUCUCAUCUCUUCUAACUUCAAAUUAAAAUAUCAAUCCAGAGGAGCAUCACCCUCCAAGCUUUUAAGGAACAGACGCAUCGGUAGGUUCUCAUCAUCUACUGGCUUUUCUAACUUGUUUGGGAACAUUCGGAGAUGCGUUUUUGGAUUUUCGAUGUCAUCAUACUUGCUAAAUUUAGGAGUUUUGAAACCCAUAGGCAACUACAUAUCCGAAAAAAGAUAGAGUUCAUCGUAGUCUAAGUCUCUAUGCUUGUUCAAUCCUUGGCUCUUUUUCAUGAAUUCAUCAAAGCGGUCCUACCUCUUCAGUAGAUUCUUAUCAAUUGAAGCAGAGGGCUCGUCUAUUUCUACUUUCACUUGAAAGGCGGUGUCCAACAUCAAUGGCUUUGUGGUAGGGUGAUGGGAUUCUUGAGGGUUAGAGGGGAUAUUCAGGUUGAUUUGUGGAUAAUUUUGGAGAAUUUGGUGGCUAAUCGGGUUGACGAAAAUAUUAUUUGCGUAUAUAUGUGGUAAAUUGGGGAUGGGAUAAGUAAAAGCAUUUUCAGAUAGACUUGUAAAAGGCAAAACAAAAGUGGUUUGAUUAUGUGACAUGUGAGGUGGUGGAUUUUCUAACUUAUAUUGGUUAUCGUCAACAGGUACAUUAUUGUUUUGGACACCGCUAGUGUUGUUCGAGAUCAGUUGGUCAAUCAUGUCCUUUUAUAAUGUCAUUUUUGCACUUAACUCGUUGAAUUUGUUUAGCAUCUCACUUAAUUGGGUCCCCAGAUUUGCAGCGUCUGACGAUGGAAUCAUUACAGAUAUCUUCGAUGGUUCAGGAUGGGAACUCAUGUUUUCACGAUUUCUCAAGAUUCGGCUGCGGGAUCGCGUAAUGAUGGAACUUCUACGGGUAGCUAUUUUUAAAAGUAUCUGAUGAUAAAAAAAGAAAUUGGCUCAGUUGUGCGCUUUCUAUCAAAUUUCUGUAAUUUAUUCAAAAGAUAAAAGAAAAAGAAAUGAGUUAGUAGAUAUUUGAAUAAUUUCGAUGCAUGACCUAUGAGGGAACUCUUUUUACGCCAAGAGUCGGUCUAACCUGAUGCAAUUCUUUCGGGAUAAAAUCUCAAUUUCAAACUUGUAAGUGAAUGUAGAAAUCAAAGUAGAAAUUCUCAUUAAACACUGAUAAGUUCAAUCAUUUUUUACAAUUUCAUUAAUAGUUUGGCUAAUCAUUUUUACAAAAUUCUCAUACCUCGCUAAAGUACUACGUUGAGACUCUCUAGAACUUACUAUACUAAACUUCCGAAUUCCUUCUUGAAUUUUAUCAAAUGCAUCCAAUGCUCUCUCCAACUUUUUAAUUUUUCUUGUCUCUCUCUUUAAUUGUGAUUGGGCGUCUUCCAAGGCAUGGCCAGCCACUAAAAGCUGUAAUUGGUAAUUCUUGACCUCUUUUUUUAACUUCUCUAUAUGCUCUUCAAGACGGGCAAGAGUAGACUAUGAUCUCUCUCUUCCUUGUUCUACUAUAAGUUUGAUCCAUUCAUCAUAUUUCGAAAUGACUUUAGGUUCCAAUUUGUUCACUUAAUCCAAGUGCAGGUUCUCUAAACUAUGAAGAUUCCCCCAAGCUUCUAGUACCAUGUUUCGACUCUCAACAACUGUGUUGAAUCUGAUAUUUCCAAUUCCUUGUAUCAUUAAAACUAUUUGUGGAUACCCAAAUUGCCUCAUGACUCAUUGCGGAACAUAUGCGACCAAUCCGUUGGUGCUUGCUAGAGGAAUAAAAUUGUGUUGGGUAGUUUUGAAAGUCGGAUUCCUAACUUUCGUCCAAUCUAGAACCCGUUAUAUUUUGUUCAGUGUCAAGCUGUCAAACUCUUAAACGAACUGACUUGGAGAUGCUAUUUGGUAAUAUCUUUUGACCCCUUUUCGAUGUGAUUCGAUCCAAUUCUCUGUUGGGAGACAAGAUCCCAGGGGAUUGAGCAUCCUCUUCACUAGAUGUUCCAUUGCCCAUAUUUCAAGUAUCAAAUUUAAUGCACAGAAAAACCAAAAGAAAUUUGGUGUCAAAAGAUGUCGGCAAUGAUGGUACCAAAGAGAAUCUGAAUGGGAGUCAAAAAGAAAAACAUUUGGUGUCACGUUCAGAAGACUAGGUAAAUGCCCCACAUACUUAAAUAAUUUUUUCGCCUCGUGCGACAUAUUAUUUUUUCAAUCAGUUAGUUCUCGAGGUAUCUGAUUCAGCACUCUACAAGGAGCCAUCUAAGCAGAAAUUCACUUUUAAUACCUUAUCUCAAGAUUUUACCCCUUAGAAAAUAUAAAAUUAUAAACAUGCAAAUUUCAUUGGAUUAAAUAUUCGAGACACAAGGUGGCUUAUUCCUAACAUGGGAUCCCGGCAUUCUCUCUAUGGUUGAUGCAUGAUGACAGUUUAUUAAAACGUGUAAAUAUAUACAAUACGAUAAUUGGAAAACGACCUCAAAGUGCCCCAUUUAAAUGUCGGGAUAAGUCUAAAAUGAUGUACAAUAUAUAUACGUAUUAUUAAUGUAAUAACUAAAAUUUAAACGUGUUUUUUAUAAAAGGUGAUUUUUCCUAAACGAGUACCAUGCCAGAAUUCUUACUUUCUAAGAUUUGUGAAUGCAAGAAAAGAGAAAACAAAGAGAUAUUAGUUCAAUUAAUAAAUAACACAUAGCACAUUGGAGUACUAAAAUGAUACAAAAAUAUAAAAGAAGAGAACAUGGGUAGAAUCCCUCCCCUCGUGUCUAGUAUGCCUAAUAGAGUAAAGUUGACUCUAUCCUAGGCGAUUUCUAAUAUGGAUAGAUGAAGUUGGGCUCACUAAUGCAUCUAAACUCGAUAAGAUUUCAAGUUCCCAAAUCUUCAGACCAAGAGGCGAAAGGUCAGCAAUCCCAAAAUCUUCAGUCGGUGGAUUGAGUGAUCCCUUAGGCAUCGCUAUAGGCGCAGAGCACACCAUCCGCCUACCUAAGUAAUCGAUUCUAAUCAUACAAGAAAAUGUGGGAUGGUGCCCACGAGAAAAAUAAAAAUAGGACAAAAGUAAUGCAUGCACGUAUGAAAUGCUUCCUUCGAGGGAAUGGAUUAAAUACCAUUAAAUAUGGGUAAAAGCUCUAGGGUAGCUAUACCCCCCCCCCCAAGAUAUAAAGUGCGAUACAAAUAUAUAAACAUAAAUAAAUGAAAGUAAAUAAAUAAAUUAUUCAUCAUAUACACGGAUAUCGAGAGACGAUUACGUGUGCGAAAUGAAAAAAAUCCUAAAAAGAAGGAAAAAAUAAAAGGAAAAGAAAAAUGCAACCUAAACAUCCCACUAUGAUAUGUAAAAAUGUUAGAAAAAGAAAAGACUAGACUAAAUCAAGUGUUUGGACUCUCUAAAAAUUUCCAGUGGUGUCACCAGCUGUCGCGUCCUAUUUUUAAAAAAAUAAAUUAAUGAUUAAAAAAAUAAACUUUUUAUUUUAAAGAAUAUUGGCGCAUAAAAAUGUAAUUUUUAUUAAAAGAUGAGUAAAAAAAUGAGUUUUAGUUCUUGAUUAGUUUUUAUUUUAGUUUUUAAUUUAGCAAAAAUAAAAAGAAAGAAAAAGGGCCUAAAAUGGGAUUUAAAAAAAUGCGACAGUUUUGGCCCAAAAUAAUAGUCUAAAAAGGAUUUUUAAGAAAAAUAGGAGUCGCCACUUGAUAUUGAGUUAAGGUGUACCAAAUCACCUAAAAUAUGUUUUUAAGAUAAAAGAUAAAAAUAAAAACCCUUUUUAGACUACUCCAAGUUUUUGAAAACAAGAGAAAAGAGUUCGAGAGUCACGCUUGAAGAAAAGGAAUGCAAAGAUUUGAUAGAAUCAAAUCUAAGAAACCCUGUCAAUCUAACCAAUGUUAGUUGCGAGAUUUAGUCAAAAAUUUUCGUAAUCUUACCUAUGAAAACUUUUCUAUAUAAAUGCAAACCUAGACCUGGGGGCUAUCGAGAGGGUCGAGAUGUUUCUUCAAAAUUUAAAUGGUGCAAUCACAUUAAUUGUGAUGUCCAAAAUGAUUUUUAGAAGAAGUUACAAAUAUACAAAAGAUGAGACUCGAAGAAAAGGAAAAUUAUAAUAUAUAAAUAUACAUGACCUAAAAUAGAGGAAUGCAACAUAACAUGUACGAGAGAUCUGAAUUCGUGACUCAAUUUUCAUUUCUAUAAAGGAGAUAUGAAUGUGCUAAGACUGAGAAACUAUGUUCGUCCAUUUUCUAUAUUUGAAGAGUGCCUCUCCUAACCUAGUCAAGCAAAUGAACUAACAUAUUUCUAGUUUUCUAAAUGGAAUGCAAGUCUAAAUGUCACGUUUAGCGCACAUAGGGGUAAGGAAGUUAAGGAAAUAUCAUGUCAAACGAAGAAAAGGAUUCUAAAGGUGAAAAGUAUGCAUGAAAUACAAUAAAUGUCAAACAAAUUAUGAAUUCUAACGUGAAACCGGCCUAAAGGGUCUAUCAUUGAACUAUCCUAUUUCUGUAAGUUCUCAUUAGCGUUGGACUAGUGAGAAAUCGGGGAAAAAAAUUCACAACUAACAUUGGAUCAGUGUGGUGACGUCAUGUAUUUAUUAUAACUAAAUAAAUCAUAUAAAACAUAAUUAAAACAAGUAAAUACAUAAUGCACAUAGAACACAUAACACAUAGGUAUAAUUUCUAGAUGCAAAAGUCUAGUGAAAGCGAAUAAACACUCAAACACACAAGCAUGUAAGCACACAAGCAAAUAAACACAAAUAAAAGCCUAACUAUUUGGGGUCCUAACUACAAUCUAAGGGGGAAAUUUUUUUAAAAAAAUAACAUAACUAUUACAUUUAUCUAACUAAAUACAUUUUUGGCAAAAAUUAAAAUCUAUCUAUUACAUAUCCUAACUAAAUACAUGUCUUGAGUAUCUAUUUAUUACAAAUUGGCAUUUAAAUGCCCUCAAAUAAUCACCAAAAAUUAAAUAUAAUAAAUGAAAAUUUAAGAUGAAUAAAAUAAAUAAAAGAAAAGAAAAGAAAAGGCACUCAAAACAUGCAAUCACAUAUAAAAAGCACAUACGAGCACAUAAAGGGAUUUAAAAUAAUACUAGAAGGUACUUCCCUUUGAAAUAGUGGUUAAAUGAGGUUGGAUUUGCCCUAUUUAUACUCCAAGAUCAACAAAAUGGUCAAGCCACCAAUUUAAUUAACAAAUAAAUUAUAAAGCAAUGGAAAUAACCAUGAAAUCUUCCAAUUAAAGCAUUUAAAUGAACUAUAAUUAACAAUUAAAGAAGAUAAACAACUUAUAUUUAAGAAAUUAAAACUGUCAGGGAUCUAAUUGUAAAAAUGAGAAAGUUUUUGGGAUCAAAUUAUAAUUAUUACAAAAUUAGGGUCAAAUAAAAAAAAUAAAGUUCAUGGACCAAAUUGCAAUUAAAUUAGGGACCUAAUUGAAAGAAAUCAAAAGUUUUUAGAGCCACAGUACAAUUACUUUGAAGUAAAGGGACCAAGUUGCAAUUUUCAUUUUCUAGUUUGGCCAGAAAAAGGCCUUGGGCUAUCCUUCAAAUUUUUCGUUAGGCCAAAGUUACCUAGACCCAGCAAAAAGUCCAGAAAAAUGGGUGGACUAGCCUGUCAUUUUUACUAAACUAAGCUUGGUGAAAAAAGGUUGGACUUGAACCCCAAGCCCGGUCACAAACCCAAGCAUAAAAGAAAAUCUUCCCCCAUAUUUUUAACCAAGAACAUGUUUUAUCAACCCAUCAUGGCCCAGAUCGGAUCAAAUCAAAUAAAAGAUCAAAUUGGGGGAAAAUAAAAAGAAAAUAAGUGAAGAACAUUCUGGCGGGUUGACCCGCUUGGAUGACCAGUCGGAAUCUGGAAAAAUUCCGGCCAUCUUGGCCGGAAAUUCGCCGGAAUCCAUUUUCACCGGCUUUUAAUACCGGAUCUUGACAUAAACAUACUUCCCAUGAUCUCUUGAGUUAGUUAAAAUAUCAUACAUCACCAUUUAAACAACAAAAUCUUAAGAAAAAAGAGAUCUAAGAUGCAAAACCCAUAAACUCAUGUAAUAACUUAAAAACACAUGGAAAAUGUUAGAACAACCAAGAAAAAGGGUUAUAAUUACCUGAGGAAGUUAGGGAACUUGAAUAGACGUGAGAAAUCACAGUGAAACGUGCCCAGAUUCCGAAAGUGAAGCAAAACACUUCUUGUCGCAGAAGUUUAAGAGCUGAGAAAUUGGCAACUUCAGGUUCGAAUAUGAAGGUUCUGGAAGUGUUUUUUCAAGAAACUUUCAACAUGAAAACUCCUCUACUACAUCCAUAGAGUAUCUAGAAAUCAAGAAUCGAUCUAAAAGAAGUCAAGAUGAAGAAGAAAAUGGCGUCUGAACAGGGCUGCCUGUUCAGCCCUAGCUCAAUUUUUUCUGAAAAUUUCCUGCUACUUUUUCUUCUUUUUCCUUCUCUGUUUUCUCUCUUUUCCUUCCUUUUCUGUUUUUCUGCCGCCUCCCACUCUUUUUUCUACCCUAAUGGCCGUAUUUCUAUGCAUUUAUAUGGAACAAAACCCCCCCCCAAAACCCUAUGAGCAUUGGUGGAGAUUGGUUGGCUUUUUGGGGAUGAUUUGGAGCCAUUAGAUGGCUGAUUUUGAAUAAGAAUUGGAAGAUGAUCUGGCCCUUGUACUGGGGGGCUUAGAAGGAAAGAAAACAAUGCAAAAAAAAAAAGAGUGGAAUAGGGAUCAAAUGGCCACUGCAAUUCUCUGGUACUAUGGCCUCGUUGCUGGUUUUGUACUAGUUUUCAUGAAGAAGGCACGUGCGUGAAGGAAUUUUAUUUUUUUUUACAAAAACUGAUUUUGAUUUUUGUUUUCUUUUCUUUUCUGCUUUUUCUUUCCAUCUUUUCUUUUCUUUUCUUUUCUUUCUAAUUUUCUAAAAAUAAAUUGAAAUGAUUUUCUUAAGAAAUAGAAAUGAAACAAAAUAAAUAAAAUAAAUAAAAUUUAAACAAAAUAAACUAAAAAUGAACAAAAAAUGAACAAAAAAAUAGGAAUAAAAUGAAGAAAAAUAAAAUGGUAACAUUUUUGUGUCUACACCAAUGAUGUUCUAGAAGUCAAAGACAAUUCUCACUCCAAAUUUGGACCACCUCCCACUCCAUCACUUCCAAUUCUAGCAAUAAUUUCAAUAAUAAUUUCUUUAUUCUUUCCUAUUUUAUAUGUAGCAAACUCACUUGGAGAAUCAUGGGUUUAAUCAAGACAACCCGGUGCGCUGCUUCAUGCUCUAAUUGAAGACAAAUCAGUGAUGAUAUUGCUUGUACAUUUCUCCAUUACUUGAUUAUCUAUUGUUCUCUACUUUCUAUACCUUAUCUUUCCUUUCCCCUUUCCUUGUCUUCGUGGCUGAAAAAGAAAAGAAUAAAGCAUGAGGGGAAGGAUGUCUGAUAACUUUGAGUCCUUUGUUGGUGCUUAUUAUGACGGCUUUGAAUUCAUGUGGCAAUAAUUGAGUUGGAUGCAAUAACUUUUUUGUUGUUUUCAUUCACUUGGAUCACCUUUUCUAAUCUUUCUGUUCAUGUUUUGUUUGGAUCACUUUUUGGAUGUAGUUUUGUUUUGCAGCAACUUUUUGUUGUUUUGUUUAUUUGAUCGAGUCGACUUCGAGUUACCUAGGAGGUUUUGGCUAAUAUAAUGCGUUAUGAAUUCAAAUCGGCCAAUAUCGACUGAAUCAAAGUGAGUCGUCAUGGAUAUAGAAUUAUCUACGAUUCGAGGAUCGAUAUCAUACCGGUCUCCUCUGUUCCGAUUAUGACUUGACCGUGUCAUAUCGGAAUCGACCGAUAUUGCUAACCAUGCCAUAGAGACGAAGUAAGAUUUAACAUCCUGGCACUAUAAACCACUAGUCAUGAAGUAUUAUAUGUAGUUUCAAACUAAAAAACUAUGCUGUCCUUGAUAAUUAGAAAACAAAGCCAUUAGCUUUUAUAAGGACAGGUAACUCGAGCAGAAGCACAUAGCAGAAGUAAGAGCUGAGUAAGUGAGCAAGGUUUACUGCAAUAGGAAGCAGCAAAUCACGUGCAUUGAUUAACUAAUCUAAUAUUACUUUUUUAGGUCUGACCUCAAGAAUUUGACGAAACAAUUCUUAACAAUCCUAAAAAGGCAAUUAACAAAGCAAAAAUAAAAUGAAAUAGGAACACAAAAUUUACGUGGCAAUCCCACAAAAUUGCUUUUGUUAGGUCUAAAGACAAAUAACAAGCAAAAAUAAAUGAAAUAGGAACAUAGAAUUUACGUCCACAAGUGGAGGAGGAGCACAAUUUCACUAUGAAGAAGAGAGUACAAAAACCUUAGGAAAGUGUUUCCGGGGUCAAAAGUAGCUACUAAAACACAAGAGAAUUCAAAAUAUUUUUACUACAAAAAGGUUUAAUAAUCCAAAGAGUCAAAUAGCCUACUAAAACUAUAUUGAUUUGGUGUGCUUAAUCUCAUCACAGGUCCACCCUAUUUAUAACCAACUAAGAGAAAGACUCUUUUGUACAAAAUCAAUGUGGAACAAAGCCAUUUAUAACAAAUUUUUACUUUGACGUGUCCCUAACAUCGAUAAAUAGUCUUCUUCAUAUAAGCUCUAAUGGAUCUAAAUCACGAACAACGAAUACUAACCAAAUCCAAGCAUCGAUUGAACUUAUAAACUAGAAGAAGUUCCGUGAAUUGUUAGUAGGAUUCUCCUCGAUAUUGAUUUUUUGAACAAGAACUUUUCCCUCAGCAACAGUAUCUCGAAUGAAGUGAAACUUUACAUCAAUGUGUUUCAUCCUCUCAUGAUAUAUCUAGUUUUUAGUCAAGUGAAUAGUACUUUAAUUAUCACAGUAAAUAGUAGUAACACCUCGAUAUAGACUAAACUUCCCAAAUAAACCCUUUAACCAUAAGGUUUCUUUGAUUAUUUUGGUCACAGUCAUAUAUUCUACCUCUAUAUUAGAUAAAGUUACAACAGGUUAUAAAGUAACUUUUCAACUAACUACAGAACUGCCAAUGCAAAAUAUAUAAUUUGAAAGUGAUCUUCUUCUGUCAAGAUUCUUGACAUAGUCAGAGUCCAUAAAAUCAACCAAAUUGUCACUAUUUCUCCCAAGUUUUAAACAAUUAUUUGAAAUCCUUCACAAAUAUCUGAAAAUCCACUUCACAGCCUGUCAAUGUACUUUUUCAAAAUAAGACAUAUAUCUGAUAAUAAUAUUGACUGCUUGUGCGAUAUUUGGACGAAUACAAACCAUUGCAUAUAUUAUAUUGUCAAUUACUCUAGAAUAAGGAACUCCUACCAUAUAAUCUUCUUCUUAGCUAACUGUGGUGACUGAACAGCUAAUAGUCGAAAAUGACAAACAAGAGGAGUAGUCACAGGUUUAGCAUUUUUCAUGCCAAAUUUCUCCAAGAUUUUCUCAAGGUAAUUUUUCUUGGUAAAGAAUAAUUUUCCAACUUCUUAAUCUCGCUUGAUCUACAUAUCAAGAAUUUUCUUAGUUACUCCCAAAUAUUUCAUCUCAAAUCCACUAAUUAACUACAAUUUCAAAUUGUGAAUUUCUGAUAAAUUCUUGGCAGCAAUGAACAUUUCAUCAACAUAAAGUAACAAAUAAAUGAAAGAAUUAUUAUCUAACUUCCGAAAAUAAACACAACUAUCAUACAUGCUCCUCAAAUAAGCAUGACCCAACAUAAAAAAUCAAACCUCUUAUACUACUGUCAUUGAGGUUGUUUCUAUCCAAAUAAGAAUUUUUUUAACGAAAAACAUGAUCUUCCUUUCCUUCAAUUUCAAAUCUCUGAAAUUGCUUCAUAUAAAUUUGUUUUUCAAGUUCAUCAUGCAGGAAAUUUGUCUUAACAUCAAGCUGCUCUAACUCCAAAUCAUAAUGGCAAUUAAAGCAAGCAAAACACGAAUAGAGCUACGUUUAACAAUAAGUAGAAAUACAUCAUUAAAAUCAACACCUUGUACCUGACUAUACCCUUUGCAACCAACCAUGUUUUAUACCUUGUAUUUUCAACCCCCAGAAUAACCUUUUUUCUCCUUAAACACCUAUUUGUAUCCAACAAUUUUUUUUUAUCUAAAGGCAACUUCACAAGAACUUAAGUUCUAUUUUGGUAAAAAGAUUCAAUUUUUUCAUUCAUCGCAAUCAAUCACUUAGCAAAAUCAUCACAAGAAACUACUGUUGAAUAGGUUGUAGGUUCACUAACUCCAUCAAUUUCUUCUGCAAUAGACAAAGCGCAUGCAACCAAAUCUACAUAUUUUUGUGGUGGUCGAAUAUCCCUCCUUAGUCUAUGUUUGACAAUAUAAUAUUGCUUCUCUUUUGGAUUAUUUUCAUCAGUAGAUUCAAGUACAUUUACUGGCAUUUGCUGAAUAGAAGAGGUGGACUAAGAAAGACCAAAACUACCAAUUUCAAACUUCUCCCACUUCUACAUACUGUCAUCUGUAUGACAAGAACUAAAAGACUCCUUAGAAGAUAGCAUAAAGAAUUCAUCAAAAGUAACAUCUCUAUUGAUCAAAAUUUUUGAAAAUUUGGCAUCAAAACACCACAAUCUAUAACCUUUCACUUUAGAAGCAUACCCAUAGAAAAUACACUUUUUAACUCGAGACUCCAAUUUUUCAUCAUUUAUAUGCAUGUAUGCUAGAUACCCAAAAACUUUUAAAUUAGAGUAAUCAAUAGCAAUACCUGACCAAACUUUCUUAACAGUUUUAAAAUCAAGAGUUGCAGAAAGAGUACGGUUGAUAAUGUAACAAGCUAUAGAGAUUACCUCUGCCAAAAGUCCUUUUGUCAACCCAGUAUAGAGAUCAGACACCUCGCUCUCUUUAAAAGUAUUUUGUUCAUACGUUCAGCCACAUCAUUUUGUUGAGACGUCAUUUUGACAAUGUAGUGCCGAAUAAUUCCUUUAUUCUUGUAAAAUUCAUCAAAUUCACCUUCACAAAAUUUCAUGCCAUUAUUUGUUCUACACCGCUUGAUCUGUCUACCUGUCGAUUUUCAAUCAAAACUUUUGAUUGGUUAAAAGUUAGGCAUAUAUCAUUAUUAUGUUUAAGAAAAUAAACUAAAACUUUUCUUGAAUAAUUAUCAAUGAAAGUUAAUAUAUACGUGACAUCACCUUUAGACGAAACACGAGUUGGACCUCAUAGAUCUGAAUGAAUGUAAUCAACAGUACCUUUCGUCUUAUGAAUUAUUGGUGAACUAAAAUGGACUCUUUUCUGUUUCCCAAAAACAUAGUGCUCACAGAAUUUCAAUGGUCCAAUAUUCUCCCUGCAAAGAAGUUCCCUUUUACUUAGUAUACCUAAUCCUUCAUUGUUCAUAUGCCUCAAACACAUAUGUCAUAAUUUAGUGAUGUCAAAAUCAAAUUAAGAUGAUGACGAGACCGUAACCAAACUUGUAACAAUAGAUUCCUGCAAAACAUACAAACUACCAGGCCUACAAGUUUUUAUAACAACAAAAGCCCUUUAGAGACCUUCAUAGUGUCAUUUCAGCCGUGUAUUUGCACUCAAGAGCCUCCAAAGUGCCCAAAGAGAUGAGAUUCUUUUUCAAAUAAAAAAUAUGUCUAACAUUAGUGAGCAUCCUCACAAUAUAAUUAUGCAUUUUAAUUCAAAAUGUACCGUUAUCAAUAAUAUCAUAAAUGGAUUAUUGUCGAUCAAAACAAUUCCAUCAUUACAAGGUUCAUAAGUGAAAAAAAAUUCCCUAUUAGAACACAUGUAACAAGAAUAUCCCAAAAUCUAAAAUUGAUUCAUUUUUAGAUCUUGUCCUAUCAUUUGUCAUAAAAAAAUAUUUUUAUUACUCUCAUCAGUUGCAACACGAUUUUCAGCAGUUUCAAUAUUUUUGUCACCAUAUUUUUCCUUUUGCUUUAGUUUAAUUUUCAAUUUAAAGCAAUCAGCCUUAAUGUGCUGCAUUUUGUGAUAAUAAUUGCACUCCAAAUUUUUAUAUCUAAAUUUAGAUCUACGAUUGUCAAAUUUUCUUUUAUUAAUUGUGCCUCAAGUAACCAGUUCUUCCACCUAACCUCCAUUACUUUCUUCGAUGAUAUUAUUGUUUAUCUGCUAUUUAGAUCUUAUUGCAGAUUUAAUUUCCUGAUACACAAUUGUUUCUUUUUCAUAAAUCAUAGUAUCACGAAAAUAUUUAAAGGACUAGGGAAGGGGACACUAAAGUAACAUGACCUGAUCCUCAUUAUGCAUUUUCGAAUCUAUAUUCUUCAAAUCCAUAAUAAUGGUAUCAAAUUUAUUAAGAUGUGAGAGUAUAAAUGUGCCUUCAGUCAUCUGAAACAUAUACAGACUUUGUUUUAAACAAAGUCGAUUCUCAACUGUCUUUUUCAUAUACAAUACUUUAAACUUAUCCGAUAUAGCCUUAGCCGGAGUUUCAAUGGCUACCUCCCAUAAAAUCUUAUCAGAGAGAUUUAAAAUAAUACUGGAUCUAAUCUUAUUAUCCAUUUCAGAAAAUUUUGCAUCUAUCACAUUCUCUAGCUUUUUCUAAACCCUGUAUGUCACUAAAUCAACUUCUUCUUGAACCAAAAUUGACUCCAUCUUGAGCUGCUACAUCCUGAAGUUAACAUUUCUAUCGAAUUUAUUGAUAAUAGUUUUUGUUAUUGUCAUCGUUGCCAUAGAACCCAAAGUUUUUGAAGAAAUUCUGAUACCAAAUUAUUAGGUCUGAUUUCAUAAAAUUGAUGAAAGGAUUCUUGGCAAUCCCAAAAAGAUAAAUAAAAAAGUAAAAAUAAAUGAAAUAGGAACACAGAAUUUAAAUUAUUCAAUCAAAUUAACCUAUGUCCAUGGGCAAAGGAAGAGCAAAAUUUCACUAUGAAAAAUAGAGUACAAAAGUUUUAGGAAAGUGUUUUUAGACCCAAAAGCAUCUAAUCCUAAAACACAAAAGAAACCAAAAUAUUUUUACUACAAAAAGACUUAAUGACUCAAAGACCCAAAUAGGCUACUAAAACUCUCUUGAUUUGGUGCAUUUAAUCUCAUUACAGGCUGACUCUAUUAAUAGCCAACUAAGAGAAAAAUUCCUUUAUACAAAAAUCGAUGUUGAUCGAAGUCACAUAUAACAGCUUUUAACAUAGAAUAACGAAACCAGGUACAUAGAAAACAAGGAAAGGAAGAACUCUUAAUGCCCUUGACAAGAAUUUAAAUAUAAAAGAAUAAAAGUUUAAACAUAUAUGGUUCUUGCUCUGUACAUCCUCGAGUACACCUAGGAACUUACCUUCCAUACUUAAAAUCAAGCCUAAAUAAUGACCUCUCUAUUACACAUCAUCAUUAUUUGAAAAGAUAAAUCCAUAGCUUAAAACUACAACUGUCAACACAGAGGACUAUAACAUCUUACACCAACAAAUAAUGUCAGCACAAUUGACAUCAUAUUGACUAAAAUAAUAUAUAUUCAAUCUUCACAUGACAUAUAAACCAAAAUUUUGGAAGUUUCCAGUUGCAUAGUCUAAAUGACACUAGUGACCUAUAGUUUACUUGACAUAAGAAAUUUAUGGUCAUUGUAAGUAACAUUAAUCAUGGUCUUUCAAUUUGGGAUCCUUCCUAUGCUUAUUAGUAAGCACUUAAAAUCUUAGCAUGAAACUACUCAACUAUAGAAGCUAUUACAUCUCAAGAUGUCUCUUUCCAUCUUCUUGCAACAUUUGUACAUAUGCUGACAACCAAUAUUAAAUUCAUCCGGUUAAAAUCAUCUUAGCUGAACUCUACUUCAACAUAACUAAUUUUAACUUCGUCCUCUUAAGGGCUUCUAUGAACAUACAUUGACAUCAACAAAUCAGGAUUUCUAGUCUUCAUUUGUUUAAUCAAUGAACAUGCUGGGUUUCAUAACUUUGGUUGAAACGAGUAGCUAGAACUCAAGUUCGAACUCAGUCAAUGUUAAGUCGAGCUAAGCAUUUGACCCUCGGUUUGAUAGGACCGCUAUGUGCGAGUGUUUGAACCAACCCAACUGGGCUAAAUGAGGAGAAAUUCAUUUCUAGACCAAAUGUAUACACUGUUACAAUUCCUCUAGAUUUUAAAUUACUUGUGUUAAGGGUUUGAACCCCUAAUUGGUGACGAAUUUCUAAGAAUAUUACUAAAAUAAAAAACUAUCAUAAAAUUGGGGGUAUUCGGGAGGGGGUUCUUAUUUUAGGGUCGCCGCAAUUUAGGUACGCGGCUACCAAUAAAAUUAGAAUUAAUUUGCAUUUAUUUUUGGUUGCUGUAGUUUUGUAUAAUUUCUCCGGGUUUUUUUUUCCCAAACUUGAGCGGCGAAAGACUUGCCAACACCGACAAGGCUGACAACGACUUGACAGUACGGCAAGACUACAGCUAAUACGGACAAAUUAGGAGGCAUUCAGUUUUUUUUUAAUAGUUUAAAAAGCUGACGUCAUUUGCGUUAGCUUUUUGACUUUUCCUCAACGCCGCAAACGUCAAAAUUUUUUUAAAUUGACGCUGCAAAUUUGAUCAAAAUUUUUUAAAGUGAAAAGGCAAUUAUUGAUUGCCGCCAAAAUUAAUUUUUUUAACUGAAAAAAGAAUUUUUUUUAAAGUAAAACCGCAAAUCCUGAUUGCGGCGAUAGUUUUGACACCGUCAAUCCCACCUACCCAACGUAACCAACAGUUGUCAUUGACUCUCUUAUUAUUUCUUUAUAAAAAAAGGCAACGGCCAUGCACUAUUUUUUUAAAAAAAAACUAAUACAGCAAUUUGAAUUUUCGGCGUUAGUUUUUCCAUCAUCCAUCCCUCUAGAUUUACAAAUCAAAGUUCAGGAUUUAGUCAAAAAAAAUUUGUAGUUAAAGUAGCAGUACUACAAUUAUUUGUUAUAUUGCCAACAAUAACUAUUCGUGCCUCAUCUUCACGGACAAUCCCAACUAUUUUCUCUUCUCUAUAUAUUCACUUGAGAAAACCCACUUCCUUUACGACCUUUCUCUUUCUAGUGUGGUUCUCAUCUUCUUCUUCAUCUUCUCUACAUAUUUCUCCUAAAUUUUCGAGGGUAGCUGAUCGAUUAAGACGACUUGAAUCGAGGAAAGCAAUAUUACAAUUUGAGCGGUGGAUCGAAAAGAAAUUUUGUAAAGAAACGAUAUUAUCCUUGACAAGGUUAGUUUAUUUAAUAAUUUUGUUAAUAAUAAUUUUAUAAUAUUUGCAGUUAUGUUAAGUUCUAGAUAUUAUGCUGCUUUACAUUUAUUUAAUUUUUGAAUGAGUUGUUUAUUUAUGGUUUGCAGUAGUCUUUUAUUUAUGAUUUAUUUAUGGUUAGCAGUAGUCUUUUAGGCGAAUUAAUAAUGAAUACUAAUAGUAAGAUAUACUAUUAAAUGAUUAUUUGUUGACAUUAAUGGUUAGAUGAAUAAAAGGUGAUAGUUUUUAAGAUUUAAUAGUCACUGAUAGGCGAAUUAAUAUUUACAUUUAUUAAGAUUAUUUAAUAGUCAGAUGAUAAGGUUAGUCUUUUAUAGUUAUUGAAGAAGUUUUUUAAAAAUUAUUUGUUGAUGGAUUUUAGAAUUAAUUUUAUAGAGGCAGUAGUCUUUUAGGCGAAUGAUGAAUAAAAGAUAAAUAAUGGUACAUGGUAAAUAGUAAAUAGUAAAUAAUAAAUAGUAAAUAGUAAAUAGUGAGUGGUUAAAAUUAUAUAGUAAAAAUAACAAUAAUACAAUAUGAGAUAGUGAGAUAGUAACUAAUACAUUAAUAAUACCAGUACUAUUAAUCUAUAGUUUAGUAAUAUUAAUAUGAAUAAUAAAUAGUAAGUAAUACUAAUAGUUCUAAAAAUAUAAGUUACAAUAAUACAAUCAUAGUUUAAUAGUAAUUAUGAUUAAUUAAAGAAGAACCAUUACUCUAAUAGUUUGAAUAAUACUAUUUGUUUGAUAAAUCUAUUUUUAUUUAUUCAUUUGAUAUUGAUAAUUAUUUUAUUAGUGGUGCUACUACCAAUGAAAACGUUUAUUGCGUUAAUAUUAGUAAUUAUGAUAAGUUGUUAAAAGAAAUAAGUUGACAUAAAAAUAUUUGUAAGAUUAGGAAAAAAUAUCGAUGGACCUUGCAUUGGUGUUUCAAUUUUAUUGGGGAGGCAGAAUAAACGAGACCGGAGAAUCAUUCGCAUAUGAACCUCCACGGUGUAAAAAAGCCGUUUUAGUGAAACAUCGAAUAAGUUAUGAUGAAUUGGUGGAAAAAGUGUACACCUACAUGCAAUUAGAUCGGAAUGUUUGCAAGUUGAAUCUAUAGUUUAGAAAUGCUGUUGGCCAAGACAUAUUUGCUGGAGUGCAAUUGAAAUUUGAAGAUGAUAUUGACACGUUAUAUCAUAUGAAGUCAAUGUCACCACACACGACAUGUGAGAUAUAUGUAGAAUUAGAACUACGAACCCGUCAUAUUCACAGUGACCAUGAUGGCGGACAAACAUCAUUAGUCGAGAAUGAUUUUGAAAAGGAGUCAAACAGUAUGUUUCAUACUGAGGUAACUGAAAGUACAAGGAUGGUAAAUCGUUCUUUUGAUGAAUUGCCUCAAAUGGAAAUUUUCAAUCCGACAAUCCUAUCAAGCAUACCUGAGAGAGAAGGUGUUAAUGUUGAUCAAGACACGGAACCAGAACCCGAUGGUGAUGAUUCAGACAAUGAUGAGCAGGAUCAAAUCGAUGAAGAAUCUGGCAAUCUGCCGGUUCAAUUGGCUGCCGGUCCAUCGAUCUCAUAUCAUAUACCAGUCCAUCUAAAUGACCUUGAAGGUGUGGAAGCCUCACUGAAUUUUGAUACUUUUAAGAAGAUAGUUUCAGAGGAGUACAAUGUGUGGGAUGAGUGGACAAAGGAGCUUAGAUUGGGAAUGAUUUUUGAAACAAAGAACGACGUACAGCGAGCUGUCAAACUCUGGUCGAUCAAGCACAACAGGGAGUACAAAGUGUGAGAAAGUAAACCGACCACUUGGUAUGUCCGCUGCAAGUCCUAUAGUGUUUCGCUUCCAUGUAAUUGGUAGCUAAGAGCCACUCUAAGAUGCACACAUAACAUGUGAAAAAUUGUAACAUUUGUGAAAGAAUACAUGUGUAUGCGAGUUUCGAAUUCCAAUGACCACCGACAGUUAAGUUUGGAACUCAUAGCCGAGUACGUAAUACACCACGUCCAGAAUGGUCCACUGUAUGCCAUCAAAGAAAUACAAAUGAGCAUUAAACGUGCUUUUGAUAUGGAUGUUUCAUACAAAAAAGCAUGGUAUGCUAAGCAACGUGCGAUUGAUAUUGUGUAUGAUGAUUGGCCAACUUCUAUAGCUGCGCUCCUUAUGUACAUGCAGGAAUUGGUGAAAGCCAAUUUCGGAACAGUUGUCGAGUGGGAGCACCAUCCGCAAAGCAGUGCUAGAUGCAGAAUCUUUCAUUAUGUGUUUUGGACAUUUGGGCCGGUGAUCGACUCAUUUCGACACCUUAAACCAGUUAUUUGUAUUGACGGCAUAUUUAUGAAGGGCACAUACAAAGCAAAAUUAUUAGUUGUUGUUGGUUUUGAUGCUUCCAAUCAGCGGUGGCCGAUUGCAAUCGCACUUGUAGACGAGGAGAUAAAUCGGAGUUGGACAUGGUUCAUGUCACAUUUGCGACGUCAUGUGUGCCGUGAGGUGAAAAAUAUAUGCGUUAUUUCGAAUAGGUACAAGAGCAUAACACACGCUAUGAAUACUUUGCUGGAGUGGAAAGAAUCGAUGGCUGUGCACCGAUACUGUUUAGUACACGUGCAGAGCAACUUUGCCCAAAAAUUUUGAAAUCAAAGGUAUAUAUUUUUUAAUAUUAGAUUAGGAAUACAUAGUAUGAAUACCCACUAAAUAUAAGUUUAAUCGUUGGUCAAUUAUCAUUGUCCAAAUUGAAUGAUCUUAUGUGGGCUGCCGGAGCAGCAAAUCAAGCCAAAAAAUACGAAACAUUUAUGGAACAAAUAUAGGUGUUAAACGAAGAGGUGUAUAAAUGGUUGAAUGGCAGUUCGGUCAAACCGGAACAAUGGACAUUAUGCAAGGAUAGGGAAUAUCGGUGGGGCUACAUAUCGAAGAACAUAGCUGAGUGCUUCAACAAUGUAUUGCACAAUGCUCGAUUAUUACUAAUAACAGCAUGCGUACAGUUCACUUUUAAUCAAGCCGUUGAGCUCUUUACGUCGAAGCGAAAAUUGGCUUUCAACACGACGUAUGUUUUUUCUAAAGAAAUAUGGAAGCCAUUCUUAAAAAAUGAAUUAAAGGCAAGGACACACUCAAUCCAAGUAUAUGACCAUAGAGGCGGAAUAUAUUGCGUUACUACUGGUUGACGCGAUAAUGGAAAGGGUGGCAAUGUGCAAAUUGUCAAGUUCGGGAAUAACACAUGUACGUGUGGCAAGUGGGCUGAACUUAGAUUCCCAUGGUCACACGUAUUUGCAGCUUGUUAUAGGUCGGGUACAAAUCUGUACCAUCUGGUAGGUCACGUGCACACAUUUUCAUCCUGGCAAUCUUCACUUCAAGGACAGUUUCAAUUUUUGUCGGAUUCGGCUUAUUGGAUCCCUUCGGAGUUGUGACUUAACUGUGAUGUAGGAAGAAUUAAACAAAAGAGACCCGACCCUAAAGCCAUUGCUAGAAUACAUAACCAAAUAGAUCGUCGAUGUUCCGAUGCGUCUCAUCAUUAUAGUCACUGUUCACAGACAAGCCACAAAGCCUCCAAUUGCCCUUAUUCUAGUCAUUUUCAUGUGUAAAAGCAUGAACGGGAUGAAAAAUUAGCUAAAGGUUGUGUAGUCAUUGAUUGUGUGUUAUGUUAGUUAUUUGGUCGAUUUUUUGACUGUAUGUCUAUUGCUGACGUACAAUUUAAUAAAAUUGGGACUGUAUGUAUGCUAUUAAUAAAUAUUUGAUUGUGGAGAUUAUCCUAAACAUGUCACAUUGGCCUAGACAGACUCCAAAUCCUAUACAGGGUUCACACGAAGAUGGCGUAUUAUAUUUGCAGGAUACACAUCGAUCGAAAAUCGUGUUUUUAGGGCAAGAGAGUCAGCUCGAUAUAAAAUGAGCCGACAAUUUUUUUUAGGAUCUGAUACGAAAUCAGCUGAAUUCUAGGAUAGCAAACUACCUUCGUGUAAUAGGUUUUUGGGGGAUCGUACAGGUAGGUUAUUUUGAAAUUGAUCAUGGAUUGAUUACAUCGCUUAUUGAGCGAUGAAGGCAGGAGACCCACACAUUUCAUCUUCCCGUGGGUGAGGCCACAGUCACUUUACAGGACGUGGAGGUAUUAUGGGGUCUACGUGUUGACGGAUUAUCAGUGACACUUGUUGAUCGAAAUAGUAAUAUUGCACGCAAGAAACAAUUAAUCAAGGAGCUUCUAGGUUUUAGACCUGAGACGCGACACUUAAGGAUGAGAGGUUGAAACUUGUUCCAAUAUUUGACUUUUUGUACGAGCCUCCUCCAGAUGAUGCACCGGAGGAAUUAGUUCGACAACAUGUUUGAUGCUACAUUUUGAUCUUAUUUGUUGGACAAUUAUAUGCCUACACGUGUGGAAAUGUUGUAAGUUGCCACUGGUUGGAUUACUUACGAGACCUAGAGGCUUUGAGUAAUUUCAGUUGGGGCAAUGCUACACUUGCAUGUUUAUAUUCCCGUCUGUGUAAAGCGUCUUACGCAACGACAAGCUGCACAGCUGGCCCGAACAUGCUUUUGCAGGUAUUGGAUGCAUAAUUUUGGAAUCAUUGCACGUCCAUAUUUCAUUUAAAUGCAAUAGUGAUUUAACGUAAACAAUUCGUAUUUUUUACAGUUAUGGACUUGGGAGAGAAUGCCCAGGAUUCGUCCGACCGUAUUGUUUCCUGCUGUACAGGGCGAUAAUUUUUCCAGAGGUGGUCGCUGGGCAGGAGAACGUACGACUAGAUACGUGCCAUCGCAUGUCGUCUCAUUAUUUCGUGAUGCACUCACCAAGAUGGGAGCCGACGAGGUACUCAAACUAAUAUACAAUUUUGAUAAAAAAAACUCUCAAUAUGUAUUUAUAAUCGCACUUAGUUGAACAAAUUUAUUGUCAUAGUUUAUCUGGGAGCUGUAUUCUACCAACCUUAUUGCACAGCUCCUCGCUUAUUAUUUAGCCGAACAACACAUAUGGCGGUCAGUAGUUCCGUUGAUAUAUUGGGAGGUUGUGGAAUUUCACCUCCCGCAACGGGUACUAAGACAAUUUGGGUUAUUUCAACUGAUACCUGCCUCCGUUGACACAGACACAGAUAAGAAAUUACAUUCUUUAAGUCGCUCAGGGCGUUCCGGAAAGGAUUGGAUCCUGUACCAUAGUCAUUGGGUGCAAUACUGGGAACAUCGUGCUCAAUUGAUUGUUGGUGGAUAUCGCAGCGAUCCAUUAAUGACUUUAUAUGAGUAUAUUGUAUGGUACCAGAAUAUUACUGCUCGCUAUAUAGCACCUCCUGUUUCAUGGCAAGCAGUAGAUGAUGCUCAUCGGCCAGAAAGGGGACAGUUCGACUACUUGGUAAAUUAUUAAACACUUUCCCUUUUUAUGUAAUCAAAUCCCAUUACAUGUUUAUUUAUUAACAUAUAAUAUGAUUACAAUAUACAAAUUUCUCUUUUUUUAGGUUGAUUCGAUGUCUCGGAUCGGUUCGAUCUAUGGGAUGUAUCUCGAUCCCGCAAAUCCAACGCAGAGUGCUCAUCCGGGACUAACAACUAUUCGUGAGGAGGCAUUUGGGGCAUUACAAUACCUGAAUCUAGGACAUAAAACGGUAGCUAGCCCAUUUGACCGUCAAGAUAUUGGUCAAUCUGCCUCUUCUGCUGCCCCUUUUCAGAUGCCUGUCGAGCAUCUACCUAGGGAAGUCCGUGGUAGGAAACAAGCAGUUAGACGUCGCAGAGGGAGCACCUCCACGCAUGCUGUUGAUGUGCCGGACGAAGAUAUAAUGCAAAUUUCAUCACUAUUCGGUUACGAUCCACCUAUUGGCAUACACUUUUCUCAUAAUGAAACUUUCUUCACACCUCCUACUAUGCCAGCUUUCGGAGGUCAUUUCAGUGAUACACCUACUCCCAUACCCGUAUUUGACUAUACGUCUGCUGCUGCACCAGCGUCUACAAUGCUUGCUACAACGAUGUGUCCAGAAAUUAAGUUUCAAGAUAAUCUUGACCAAAUGUACCGCUUCCUAGAGACCUCGGUUGGUUUCUCACCUGCUUUGCAUAUGGACGACGACAGUGUUCCCAUUAGUGCUUCUUUUCAAGCACCUAUACAUGGCUCUUGUCCUAGAUGCGGUCAAACUCCGGUAUUCAAUCCCUCCGUUGAUGAUGACGAUGAUCAAAUAUCUGAACAAAUUCAUGCAAUUUCUCAGAGGUUUGAACGAUUACAAUUGGGACGAGAUCUACCACAUGAGAGAAUUCAUUGGAAAUGUGGCUGUUCUACCACUCCGCGAGAUAAGGGCAAGAGGCGCGUUGAUGGGUGAUUUAAAAAAUAUUAUUUUUCAAAUUUUUCUUAUCGAAACUCUCAUUUUAUUAUCAAUUAAGUUUAUAUGCUAAUUAUUACAUUCUAUAAAUAUUGUUUAAUGUUGCAUUAUUUAUCAUUAUUCAAAUUAGCAUUAACAUUAAAAAUUUUAAAAAUAUGACUUAGGUAAAUUUUAGAGUGUUUUUAAUAGCAUACUAAUUAUUUAAACCCUAAACUCUAAUUAAGCCUAAUUUAUUAUUAUUUAAGUUUAUAUACUAAUUAUUACAUUCUAUAAAUAUUAUAUUAUUUAUCAUUAUUGCGAUAAUAAUAUUAUAAAAUUUAAAAAAUAUGACUUAGGCAAAUUUUAUUAGUAAUUUAAUAGCAUACUUGAUUAUCAUCUUAAUUUAUAAAUUUAACAUUAUUCUAAUAUGAUAUUUUAAAUUUUUGAUAAUUUUGGUUUACAAUAGAAUUUUAGUAAUACGAUUUAAGAAUUUUAAUUUUAAAAUUAGGGUUAAAGGGUUACACUGUAAUUUGAAAAUUAGUAUUUCAUGUAAAACAUAAAACCCUAAUUACGCCUAAUUAAGGUUACUUUUUACAGGAGAAAAAAACUUGGUCACGCUGCCUUUUAUUAAAUAUUAAAUAACUUAUUAAAAAUUAAAUAUUAAAUAAUAAAAGGUAGGAAGAAUGCUUCAAUAAAAAAAAAAGCAAGAAUGCAUCGCCGCUCAUGAGCGGAAACACAUAAAAACAAAAACCUUCGCCGCUCAUGAGUUGAGCGGUGAUCAAAAUUCCUUCACAGCUUAUUUCAUGAGCGGCAAAGCGUUUUUAAAAAAAAAAAUUAAACCAAGCAAAAAUAAAUGAAAACUAAAAGUCUUUUUAUUAGUAGCCUCACGUCUCAAUUGCGACGACCCCUUAUUCCGAAACACUCCCGACAUAACACCAAUUUUCUGAACAUUUUCAAUUUUGACAAUAUUCCUAGAAAUUCAACCUAGUUGGUUCAUUUUAAUAUGUAAAUAUUUGAUAGUACAAAAGUAAACACAAACACUUUUCGAGCUUUUCCCACUGUCAGCACUUGAAUCUUGAAUCUGACAACAGGGGAUGGGGAGGGAUGAAAGGUUUAAAAAAAAAGGGUUAAUUCCACUUUGUCCCCCCAAACUUUGGAUGAUUAUCCACUUAAAUCCCUAAACUUUAAAAUGGGACACUUAAGUCCCUAAACUUAUAAAUACCUCCCACUUAAGUCCCUGAACUUAUAAAAUGAGACACUUUAAUCCCUAAACCCUCAUAAAAUGGGACACUUCGACCACCAACGGCAUUCAGGAUUUGUUAACAAUUUUCCUUAAGUGGGAGGUAUUUAUAAGUUUAGGGACUUAAGUGUCCCAUUUUGAAGUUUAGGGACUUAAGUGGAUAAUCGUCCAAAGUUUGGGGGGACAAAGUGGAAUUAACCCAAAAAAAAAUUCAAAUAGCAACCUAAUGGCAAUUUGGGAAAAAAAACUUUACCGACCAUUAGACCAAUUUUCUCAAAAUGAGGGUUUAAAGUGCUAUAUUGGAAGACCUUCAGCCCUCCCAGGACAAAUGAAUAUGCCCAGGGUCAUGGAGCCUGGAUUCUGAGUUUCUGAACAAGGAGAAAAAUAGAUUUCAAUUCUCUGAGGAAAAACCAGAAAAGGUAAAGAAUCAAGGAAGAAGGAAUGGAUGAAGAAGAAGGAGGAGGAAUAAGGUUAAGCAAGAGAUUUUCAGACAAAGGAGGAGAGGUUGAUUACAAAACCAAAGCAGGCACCGCUUGGUCUCAUUCUUACCUCAAUCAGAAGCCAUGGCACCCUCUUUCUUACCCUAAUCAACGCCGCAAGUGGAUCGCCGAGCAGACUCACGCCCAGCGAGAACGCCGCGCCGAAGAAGUUGCCCGCGAGGUACUUUUUUUUCCUUAAUUUUGUUUCAAUUGAUUUCUGAGGAACCAUUUUUGCUCCAUUUUUUUUGUUUAAUGAACGGAAAAGCCCAGUUAAGAUACAGAAAUCUUUGGUUUCUGUUUUUCUUUUUGGUUGGUUAUUAUUAUUGUUUCUUGUAUUCAGUAGAGGACAAAAGCCUAGUUGCAGUUAGAUAAGUUCAAUAGUUUCUUUGGUUGUGGAUUAUCUUGUGGAAUUUUCAGAUUAUGAACUACUAGUAGAAAGGGAAGAGCCCCAGUUACAUGGUGUAUUGAAUUUCGAGGAUUUUUUUGGUUGCAGAUUUUAUAUGCAGAAGCAGAAUAUGUAAGAAAAUAGUGCAUUUUUGGAAUCUAAACAGUUUUGCAAAUGUUGCAAAGGUUUUAUAUUGUGGAAAACCCUGAUUAUCAUGUGUUUCAGGAGUUUUGUAUUGCAUAUUUUAUAGGCAGGAGCAGAAUAUAAAGAAACUAUUAUAGUAUUGGAGUCUAUAAAUAGUUAUACAAAUUUUGGAAAGGUUGUACAUUCAGCAUAUUUCUCAUUUUAUACUUAAAUUGUAUCAUGGGCAUUGGCUCAUCCGUGAGGUACAUUUUGAGGUACUUAGGUGCUCGUACUAUGUUGCCUAUUUUUUAAGGAUAAAAGUAGAAUUUGAAACUAGACGAGACUGAACUAUGAUAAAGAUUCUAUGUAUAACAUAUACAGACAGUUAAAUAGAAAAAAAAAAUUUGAAUUGGUUGAAUUAUUGGCUAUGUCUUCCUAUCUUUUUGAAUUUUAGUUGGGUACCUGCGAAUUGCUCUAGACACUAAUUCCUAUAGUUAUUUUUAACUGUUUGAUUGUUGCUUCAUUUUAGCUAUGUGAUUCUGUUUAUUUUUUUCUGAUGUAAUAUAAUACCCUGUCUUAUUUUGAUUCAAUGUUUGUGCUUAUUGGUACUUUUGGUCAUGUGUUUUUUCAGUAUGCUCAGGAGCACGAAUUUUUCCGCCAGACAGCUCUCGUCUCCAAGAAGGAGAAAGAAAAGGUACUUUGCGUGCACUGUAUAACUCUGUAUUUUGUACACUUCAAUACAGUUAUAUUAUGUCUAUGGGCGUUCCCCAUUAGUGGAGAUACCAGGUCUAAUCAUGUGCUUAUAGAGCAUGCAAGGAAAGUGUUGAUUGUCUGACUGAAUGUGCAUAAACUAAGUAAGGUAAUUGAUGCAUGACUUGUGUUCUUGUAGAUGGAGACGAUGAAAGCUGUUAGCUUUAUGUAUGUCAGACCACCUGGUUACAAUGCAGAGAGUGCUAAAGCUGCAGACAUGGCUGAUGAGAGGAAGAAGCAAGAGCAGGAGCAAAAUAACACUUCCCAAGGACCAUUUGAACACGGUGCUUCCACGUCGAUGUAAAUGCUUAGUUUUUAAAUUCUGGUUUCUCUAUUUCUAAGUGUGUAUGGCUGCUUAAUUAUGAUGUCUGUGUGUGCAUGGAUUAUGAAAGCUAAAAUACACUGGGCUUUGAUGUAGGAAGCACGAAUCUUUGCCUUCUAGUGAGGAGAAAAAGAAGCCCAGGCCAAAGGAUGUCUUUGGUCGUGCCUUGCCAACAGAAGAACAAUUUGAAGUCCUUAAGCAUGCUCCAAGGUCCGCAUGUUCUGCUCUUAUUUUGUUCUUGGUGUACAAUAGUUUUUCAAAGCAGUAUUCUAUCUGAAUGACGUAUUUUUCUUUACAUUCUCAACAAGUAACUGUCUUCCUGAGUUGGAAAUUAUUGGUCCUGUCCAUAUAACCUGUUAAUAUCAAUAAAUUGCAUUUCAGAUAUUCUUGAACAUAUUAAUUCAUACAUACCAAGAAUUCUCCAUAGAGCAGUUUUGUGUGUUAGGUUUUAAGAAUAUUAGAAGGUACCCUGUGGCUUUUGUCUCCGUUGAUAAUACAUAACAAAAUUUGCAUAAAUGUGUUUUGGCAAUACUUUAUUGUAUAUCCUUCAUCAGUAAUGUGCACGAUUGUAUGUAUUCACUAUUCACAUUAUAAAUGCUAAUUUUGAUGAUCUUCUCCAGGCUAGAGACAGGUGUUGCUGGCAGGUCCAAACCAUUUGGAGUGGAGAUACGCAAUGUAAAAUGCUUAAGAUGUGGAAACUUUGGCCAUCAAAGUGGUGAUCGUGAAUGCCCAUUGAAAGAUGCUAUAAUGCCUAGUGAAGAGAAUAGAUUGAAAAGAGAUGAUCCUUUAACAGCUAUCCAGGCUCUGACAGAUGUGAAUGAGGUACAUAUUGAUUCUUCUUACACAUCUAGCUAGUUAUAUUCAUCUAUAGACUUCUUUAACUCAAAGUAAUUAAUUUUUCCUUGAUAAAUAUGUUGGCUUUUAAUUUAUAAUACUUUACUCAAUCUGUUAGUCUUUUUUCUCCCAAAUUUUAUAAUAGUGAAUGAUGGAAUUAUUUCCCAUUUACCUCUCUGUAGCUUCCUCAGAACUGCAAGAGAGAGAGGGGGGGGAGAGAGAGAGAGAGUUACUAGAUGUUCAAGUAUAUUUAAAACUUCAAUCUGUGUUUUGUCCUUUUGUCUCCUUUGGGAAAUCGAAAGGAAAGCCAAGCUCUGAUGGAAUUUAGAAGUCCAUGCAGUUGCUCAUGCUUUUCUUCCAAAUAUUUUUCAUUGGUACAUAUAAAGACUACAUAUAAAGAAGGUUAUUUUUGGUUGGUCUUUUGGCAAAGUUCUAUUAGAUGUGUAGAUACUCAUUUUUACUGGAUCUCGCUAUAGCAAUGCAGAGAGUAAAAUGAUUGUUGCCCUUUCAAAGAUAUGAAGGAAGGUCUCUGAAGUUAUCUUGUGAGCGUGAGGACUACGUAAUCAAUCAAACAUCACUUGAAAAUGGCUCUUCUGCUCAGAAACGAAAUGUUCCAACUUGUAGGCAAACUAUUAUAAUUAUUUUAUAGAUUUUUUAUUUUUAUUUUUUUAUGAAUUUAAGCUGAUUUACAUCUCCGUGUAAAAGCUGGGAUAUGUGGUAUGAUAAUUGUUAUUCCUGACAGUCUCAUAGUGAAAAUUGUAGUAAUUCUUUUAGGUAAUUUAUAAUUGAGAAUAGCCCCUGGUUUUGGCAAAUCGGACGUGCAUAUACUGUCUUCUUCUGUUCAACGCAUCAUGUCUGUGCAAAUGGCUAGUACUUUAUAUUUUUAAUAAAUGUUUUCCAAGUAUUAUUUACAUUCAGAUGGACUACUGGUCUAUAGUUGAGACAAUAGGGGUAAACAAGGAAAAGACAAUCUGGUUUCCCAAUGGGGAACUCGAACUCUUUGUUCUUUUAAGAUUUUUAAGAUUAAAGUGCAGAGCUCAGUGGAAUGACUUCCAAAAUUUUCUAAGAGGAGAUGGAUUGUGUGCCAAAGUGCACUGCAAAUUUACCCUUGAAACAAUAAAUUCAUUUUCUUUUCCUUGUUUAGAUUUUCUUUUCCCUCCACUGGGUUAGGGAGAAGGUGGUGGGGUCGCUAAAAGAGAGAAUAACUUUUGUGUGAUCCCAAGUUUUGGCCAUCUGGAUACUUUUAUCACAUAUUAAUUGCAAUCAGAUUAAAUAAUUACAGGUCCUUUGGCGUUGGAAGGGCAAAUAUUACUCUACUAUGUAGUAUAUAGGAAAGUUUCUUGGUAUAAAGUUGCAAUGUCUUCCCCAUUCCACCAUGUUCUUCUGCUGUUUCCAUUUGACAGUGUCUUCCUACAUCUGAAGCAAGUGAUCUGAUUUUUCGUAUAUUCUUUCUCCUGUCAUCUUUGCUCUUACCAGACUAUCAUUUAUCCACUGGUCGUGUCUGGAAAUUGCACAUCAAAACUACUUGGCAGUUAUACAAGUUAUUAUUUAUCUAUAAUUUUUUAUACUUGUUUGUUGUACUUCGAGAUGCACACUAUACAGUUUGCUUCUUUCAUUAGUUGCCUCAUUCUGCUGUAAAUUUGACUUUCAAGUUCAGUUGAUUCAGCAGCUAUAAGUAUUUGCUGGACAAGUAUUAAUCACUGAUUAUCACAAUCUCAAGGAAAGACAUGCAGUUUGGAUAUUGUAGAUUUAAGCCUUUAAACAAUUUUCUUCACUUGAUAUGCAGCCAUUUAAGUGGGAGCUGAAACAAAAGCCAGGAUUGAGUCCCGUUCGAGGUGGGUUUAGGGCUGAUGAUCCAAACCAACAAAUCGUUGCUGAGGACAUAUUUGAUGAGUACGGAGGUGAUAUUUUUGUUGCUUCUAUAAAGUUUUAAUUGAAUGAUUUAUUAGUUCUACUCAAGAGAUGUAAAUGUAGUCCGUCUUGAAUCAAAUCAUGCCAGGGUUUCUAAGUGGAGAUAACAUCCCUGACUUGCUGGCCAAUUUUUCAUCAAGCGAGCCAAAGAAAAAGUCAUCUAGUAAGAGGAAACAUAAAAGGCAGUUAUCACCUACUGAAGUAAGUGGUAGAGAAAAGUGGUCAUCUUCCAGUGAUGAUGGUGGCAGAAGAUUGGAGAAGAAGAGACACAAGAAGUCAUCAAGAAAGCAUUCUCACUCAAGUUUGGCAGUUAACUUAGAUUCCAACAUGCUUCAAAAGGGUAACAGAUCAUUGGCUGGUGGUGAUAGGGAUAGACAUUUGAAGAAGAAAAGAAGUGAUAGGAAAUCACAGAAGCAUUCAGUGUCAAGUUUGCAAGAAAACUCUGAUUCUGAUGUGCCAUAUGAUCAUCGAGAUAAUGGGUCAUCAUCUGGUGAUGAUAGGAAAAGGAGAUCAAAGCUGUCAUCAUCUUCUGGUGAUGAUCAUGGGAGGAGAUUGGAGAAGAAGAGACAUCAUAAGUCGCCAAGAAAGCAUUCUCGCUCAAGUUUGCCAGAUAAGUCAGACUUUGACAUGCCAUACAAUAACCGAAAUGACCAUAGGUCAUCAGCUGGUGGUGAUAGGAUUAGUAAAUUGAAGGACAGAAGACAUGAGAAGAAGUCAAGGGUGCACUCAGAGUCAAGUUUGCGAGAAAACUCAGAUUCUGGUGUGCCGUAUAAUCACCAAGACGAUGGGUCAUCAUCUGGUUAUGAUCGAAAAAGGAGAUCAAAAAAGAUACAUAAGAGGAAGUCACCAAAGCAUUCUUACUCAAGUCAAUCUGAGAUCUCUGACUAUGAUAGGCAUUGCAGGAGCAGUAGGCACAAGCAUUCUCAUCCAACCUCAUCUGAGAAUUUGGACUUUGAUGGGCAUUACAGAAAUCGUCGUCAUCGUCAUGGUUAUCGCCAUUAGAAUUGUGUCUUUUUUCUGGUUUGAUCUUUUGAAACCACCAACGAUCCUUCCAUGAAGCUGCACCAAACUAAUACAGUUAGACACACCCGAGAGGUAAUGAGCGUUCACUGCGUCAGACACUCUACACAGCAGCUUUUUGCAUUUAGAUCUAAAUUUGCCUCCUUUCUCUCAAUACAAAGCUGAAGAACAAAAAUGAUGGUGAAGCUGCAGCUAUAGGUGUUCAAGAUUUAUGGGGACCUGUUUUUGCUUAAAGCUGAUGUAAGAUGGAGUCAAAUGACCUUCGUGGUGAAAGGAGAAAUUCACUUCCCUGUUCAACACUCUUGUUCUUGGGGUUACUGAUACAAAAACAUCACUGCAAUUAUUCUUUGGUUUAAAGUUUAAAUGCAUAAUCUUGACUUCAGGCUCUCAUGUCGUUGCAGGGGGUUGAAAUAUUUGUAAAAUUUCCCUCCCUCAACCCAAGAGCUUUGGUGUAAAAAGACUGUCUAUUAGUCAGUUGAAUAUUCUAAACAGGCAAGUUUAAAAGCUUGGAAUCUUUCAGCACAAUUGGUUUGUUUCAAUACACUGGUAGAUCUAUGGCAUUAGAUGUUUUUUAAGUUACUCCAGACACUCCUGCUAUGUUGCAGCAAGGUGCCCAGUUAAGAGCUAGUCGAAAAGUCCACCUUGUGGACAAGACUUCCACGUCUAGGUUGCAAAAUUUGCAAUGAAUUAUCCUUUCUCUUAGCCUCAAUCAAUUUUCUGUCUCACGUAUUAGGUCCUCUAUGAAGACCGAGCCAAAAAUUUAGCAACAAAAGUGAGUAUAACUGGGAUGGUGAGCCAAAAAAAAAAAAGGAUAAAAUAGAAAAUUGAUUGAAGUAACGAAUAAGCUCACUUGGUUUUUAGUAGGGUUAAAUGCAAAAAACCCCACAAACUAUAUAACCAGUUGCAGUUUACCCCCUAAAUUAUAAUAAUAGGCAUUUUGUCCCCUUGAAUGAUAUGUUUGGACAACAUUACCCCUACUAUCUUAAAUCCUUUCUCUUUUUUUUCUCUAUUAGCUUUUUUCAUUUUUUUCCUUUUAUUUUCUUUUUGUUCUCCUUCUCUCAUGGAACUAGCCAACGUCUUUCUCUGAUGUGAAAAGACUUACAUCAAAAAUUUUAAUAUUUUUAAACUGCUUUUUUAAUUUGUUUAUUUGUUAAAUUCAUUCUUAAUAAUUUGUCAUAAACUCUUUGUUAUUACAAAAUAUAUGUAACUUAUAUUAUAAAGUGUAUUAAUCUAGUAAUUCAACAAUUUAAGUACCUAUAAACUAAUUAAGAGUUCACAGUUACUCAACUACUUAUAAUAAAAGUAACAUAUUAUAUAUCACAUAAAAAAGAAAAGUUAGCAAUUGUUAUUUGUAGUGAAAUAAAAAAUAAGAAUAAAAAACAAUAGUAGUUCAUUUUUUUUGUUAUUGAUACUACUAAUAAUUGAUUAAUCAAUUUCUCUAUUUUGUUAUUAUAUAUUUGAAAAGUUCAAUUUCUUAAAUGACAUUGAUUUCAACAUUUGGAAAAAAAAUUUUGUAUUCCAUAGAUUUUUUUUUUAAAAAUAUUGACAUACGAAAUUAAGAAAUAAACAAAUUUUGACUAAUCUAGUCUACUUAUUUAAACAAUGUUUAAAGGAAAAAAAGGGAAGAAUUUAAAAAGAAAAUGAUAGGGAAAAAGAAAAAUAACAAUGCUUAAAAUAAAAGGGGUAGAUUUGUCCAAACAUAUCAUUCAAAGGGGCAAAAUACCUAUUAUUAUAGUUUAGGGGGUAAACUGCAACUGGGUAUAUAGUUUGUGGGGGUUUUUUGCAUUUAACCCUUUUUAGUAUGCAGCGAUAAAUUCUUCCACUAAUUUAAGUAAAGGCUGAAGAGGUCCAAAUUGCCUACAUCAAAUUUCACUCACUCAAGCAAAUUUCACUCACUCACCAAACAUAUCUGGCAGAUUGCCCCAAUCCAGUGGGACGGUAUGCAAGAGCAUCAUGGCUGUUUCAAAAGAUGGUGGAUCUCCGUCAUCGAGGCAAGGCAUAGGACAGCAGGAUCGCAACAUUUGGCCUUAACUGUCAACAUUCUUUGGCAGAUUUGGAAGGCUAGAAAUGACAUGGAAUUUAAGGGGAAAGCUCAUCAGCCCUGGAAGAUUAUAAAGAAAGCACAGGAGGAAUGGAUAGAAUUCGAUGAAGUAGCAAAGAAGGAAGCUAGGAUGAGCACAGGAGAAACAUCAACUCACAACAAUGAAGACCAGCAAUUAGAGCCGGAAGAGGGAACUGUGGAAAUGAGAGUUGCCGCAACAAGACAGACAGACAAACCUAUCUUAGGCAUUGGAAUCACUUCAGCUGAAAGGAACCAAGAACCAAUGAUAGGAUGGGCGCUAAGGGAAAGAAGCUCAGGGGUACAGCUUCUGGACGAUGCAGUAGCAUUAAAGCUGGCUAUGUGCAAAGCAAUUACAUUGCACCAAAGGAAAGUACAAUUCCAAGUGAAGAAUAUGCAACUCCUCAAUCAUAUUCGAACUCAGAAGGCAAGUGACAGCAGAAUAGCUACGCUGGUGGAAGACAUUGUACUUUUGAAAGGGUUGUUUCAUAUGUGCUCCUUUUGUCUAGCUAAUAGUGAUAAAAAUUAUCUAAGCUCUAGUAUCAGCAUAUAUGCCUUAGGCAUCACAAUUGAUGAGGAAUUGGUGUUUCCUCAGUGUUAAGCACACUGGUUGUAAAGUCAAUUCGAGCCUUUGCUCGCUCUUGUAUAUCUUUUGAAAGUAAUAUAAUCAAAUAUCGUUUUGGAAAAAAAAGCAAGAAGCCGUUUAGAAAUUAUCGUUUCGAAAAAAAAAAAAAAAAGCAAGAAGCCGUUUAGGGAAGCAAAACUUCCACCCCACAUGGUAAUAAUUUUUCAAGCGGUGGUUUUUACAUUUUGAAUUGGAUAUGAUGCUAUCUGGACCAAAAUUUAAGGGUAUCUAUAAUUGUCAAUGAGAAUUACACCGUGUAAUAUAGUCCAAUAAAUGUAAGCAUUAAGACAAUAACAUGAGAAAAUACAAAAUUAAAAAAAAAAAACUUUUUCACUUCAUGAAAUUUGUGCCCAAAACUCAAUCUCAAAUGUCUAAAUUUAGAUUUGUCUAUUUCUCACCAUGAGUUGUUCUCUGCAAAGAACCUGGAUCCGAUGCUAGCUAUGGUGCUGGAGGUCUUCUUCAUUUUCAUAUUAUUAAACUUUCUAACGUUUAUAAGCAAGAUAAUAUACUUAGUCGGAGGAUUAUGUGGUCUAACUAGAUUAAGGGAUUUUGCUAUUACCAAUUUCUUACGUUUAUAAGUAAGAUAAUAUACUUAAUCUUAGGAUUAUGUGAUCUAAUUAGAUUAAGGGAUUCUACUGUCACCAAUUUAAACUAUACGGUACAAUGUAAAUACUAACACAAUAAAUAUAGACACCAUUACAAGAUGUAAAAAACAUAACAAAUUUUUGACACAUUGAAAUAUGUGUCCUGCGUUUUUUUUUCUCUUCCAUCCAAUUUCACAACGCUCCAUCUACCACUCUCAUCUCAUUUGCAGAGGAUCUGAAUCCAAUCCGAACUCUAAAGGUCUGAGCGUAGCAUGAUGAAAAUGGGACUGGAAAUUAUUGAAUUCCAAUAUUUGCACAUAGUUGCAUCUAAUGAGGGGCAUUAUUUGCACACAAAUAAGGAUUUAAGUGCUUCUUCCAGGAAAAAACUAUUUAUAUAGGAAACGAGGUGAGGAAAACUAGGAAGUUCUUACACCAAAACCGAAUUCGAUUUGAAGUUUUUGGAUUCAACCCAUUACAAUCAGGAAAAGAAACUAAUGAAUUUGUGACACGUGGGGGCCGGUCCUAUUUGUUAAUAAGACUUUGUAAUUUUGUCAACAAAUCUAACAUUACCACCUGGCAUGCUUAAACAAAAAUAGCUAGUAUUUUUGCCCGAAUCCACUUACAAAGAACGACUAAUAUAUUUUUAAAUGAUAAAUACAAAUCUUAAAAUCUUAAAAUUAGGAAAAUGGACCAUUUUUAGUAUACGAUUUUCCUUCUCACACCCUAAAGUAAUUUGCCUUUGAUGGGACAUAACCAAACCAAAAUCCUAAAGCCACAAAAUUAUGAAAGAUUGGGCUCUUGAUUUUGAAAAAGGGUAAAUUUCGAUGACUUCUUUUUUUGCAAAAGAUCUUCUAUCCCAUUUUCUAUACAAUGUUCUAUCCCAACAUCUAUUAAAUCAUCAUAUAUCCUUCAUGAACAUCCCAUUUUAAUUCUUUUUUUCCCUUGGAGUUCCAGCAAAUUACUUAUAGGGUAGAAUACAAAAUAGAAGAUAUAAAAGACAAAAUUGAAUAACAUUCUAAAUUGACACAAAUGGUUUGACUUUUUUCAUAAAGAAAGUUUUAUUUUAUAAUUUUGUUUCGCAUUUAAUAGUUGAUAUGUAAUAAAGAAGAGUCGACAAUGAUCAAUUGCUGUAAAAGAUAAAGCAUAACUAUUUAUGUAGAACCCAUAUCAACCUUAAAUAUUCCUAAACUCAUCUACAAUCUCAUAUCAACCUUAAAUAUUUCUAAACUCAUAUCAACCUUAGAUAUUCCUAAACUCCAAUUUCAUGAUUGCCACCUUUCUAAUACAAAAUAGCCUAAGUCAUCACCACUAAUACUAACACCCAAUACACUCCAUUAGUACAAAGUUCAAAAUCAGUCAAAUUUUCUCUCUGUAUAGGACCAUCACCAAUAACUGCAAAUAAAAAAUAGAAACACAAUGUAAUUAUGAUAUACUAGGAACAUAUUUUUUCCAUAACAACCAUAAUAGUAUAAGUUUUAUUUAGUCUCUCAUCCAUUUUUCACCCUUAAUUUUUUUUAAUCACUACCAGUAUCUUCAUUUCUUCUUCUCCUUCUAGUUUGACAACUAAAUCGUCACUUAACUUCUUGUUUGACAAUUUCAAUUUGCUAAUACCUGCAAAAAAUUGAAACCAAAAAUGACCACAAAAAAGCUCUUUAUUAGUAUUGAAAGAGAGUGAAUUGGAAUUAGACACCAUAAUGGGUAAGUAUUGGUGGUUGGUACGCAUGGUGGUUUUGUUAGUAGUGGCAAUAUACAUUUGAUCAAUGGGAAUAAAUAAAUAAGUUUGAAAGAAAAGAAGAUGUAGGAGGGAGAAGAUAGAGAGUUAAAUAUGAAAAACUCUAGUUUGAGUCAUUGGUUGAUAAUAGAUGAGAGAAAACUAAUUUUUGGUAGAGUUAUUUGAUGAGUUGACAAUUAAAUGAAGGGCAUUUGUUGUCUUUUUAUUACACCUAGGGAAGUCCUCAUAAUUAUGUAAACUUCAGGGAAGCCGAGUGAAAUUGCUAGGAACUUCAAGGGAGGUUUUUGAAAUUAUCUCAUUGUAAAAAAGGAACAAAAUCAAGUUUAUAAAGUUGAUCUUUAGGGGAACUAAAUCAUCAUAUUAUUGCUUCCGGUUACGUUUGGAUUGAAAACCAAUGGUAGGAAAAGAAAUACAACUCCACGUUACAAAGAAAACACUAUUAAUCUGAUUUAGAGUAUAGGCCAGAUCAACUAUAUCGAUUAUUCAUUAGAUUGACUGGUGAUUAGUGAAUGUGCAUUAAAAAAAAAAUAGUAUACAUUUCUUUACAUGCAAUCAUGUAGAUUUCUUCAUAUGUGUCCAUAACAAUAUCAUUAGUGGUACUUACCUAAUAAAAAAAAUUAUGAGUGAUAUUUCCAAUUGCCGAUUACUGAAAAAUUUAAAAAAAAAAAAUCCAAUUGCUGGUUUCUGUCCUAGACUCCGAGGUUUAUUAUUCUUUCGCGCUGCGCGUGGAUGUAUAUAACUCAAUAUCUUGUAGUUGGAAAAAGAUUGAGUACAAGGAAGUCUUUUACAUCUAUUUUUCCUAGAUUUUAUUCCUCAUCGUUGCCUUGUAUUCUACUCCAGCUCAUUUUCGGUAACCACAAAGUUAAAGCAAUUAGUUAUAUCUCCCGUGGCAGAAUCUUUAAUUAAUUCAUGAUUCGAGAAAUAUUAAAGAAGUGAUUUAAUGUGAUUAUUUACCGAUUGCAGUGGCUAUUCUGUGUACUUUGGUUAGAAAAUGACUUAACAACGUGAAAUUGCUUAUGAACUCCAAACCCCUUAAUUCCCUUCAUUUGUUAUUAAUUAGAUGCACUCAACAAGGAGGGAAAAAAAAAGGAUGCUUCACCUAUCAUCUAUAGGUCCCGGAUGCAAGUCAUCAAUGUGGUGGUGGAGUCCCACUUUUGAUACUCUUUUUGAAUGAGAAAAAAAAAAGAAGAAAAAAAUGCACUCAAUACAAUUAAUAAUGGCUAAAGAGUAAAUUAUUGAGUUUUACAUUAAAAAAAAUGCUGACAUUUACCAUUUAAUUUCCUUGUUAACGUUAGAUAUUAUAAGUAAAUUAAUUGUUAGACAAAAGUUAAACUUAUUAGUUUGAUUCCAUACCCAAAAAAAAAAAAAAUGAAAAGAAGUUCUCAGAGCUUAUAUAUCUAGUUUUGCAAAGGUUACACAACCAUAUUGCUCCAAUUAUUGGCAGAUGAAGCUAAAAGGAAUCUUCAUUUUCUUGAUAACAACCUAAAGAUAUGGACACUCUCACUCAGUAGUGGAGUGAGGUCCCUAAGGUUCCUAUCACCACAUAAUAUGUAGUAAUAGUAGAUUUACAAUUAAAGGACUUCUAUGUUGAACAUUCCUUUUCCUAUGUUGUUUAAUACUUGCAAGUCAGAGUUGUGCUAUAAUGUGCCAUUAAUGAGUUUAAGAAUCUUGUGAAGCAUAAGAAUUACAAAUUUUUUUAAUUAUUUAGUGGGGCAACAUAGAUAAAAAGAGCAGAGAAAAUACAAUUUCAAAAAUUUUAGGGGACAAAGUAUAUAAGAAAGACAAUUUUGUGGAAUUGAGGGGGGCACAAAUAGGAAGCAAUUUUAAAAAAUUUUAAAACUUUCCAAGCCUGAAAAAUGUUGAACUAGCAAAUGCCGAGAGAGAGAGAGAGAGAGAGAGAGAGAGAGAGAGAGAGAGAGAGAGAGAAUGUCCGAUUAUUUAUCGCAUUUCACAAAAAUGGAGAAUAAGUUACUCUUACCAACUAUGAAUUUUUUCAGAUCAGAUAUCCAAACAUCAUUCUUCUAUAAGUAGUAAUGUCGAAUAUCAUAAUUCAGAGGUAUUGUUUUCUAUCAAUGAGAAAAAUAGAAAAGAAAUCAUUUUGUGGAUUCGAAAUUCAUAAUAACAAUUGGUAUUUGUUCCAAAAAAGUGAGUAACAACCUAGCAACAAAGACACCUACAGCCUAUUUCAAAUAGAAUCAUAAAAUGCCAACUUUUAUCCAGAAAUCGGAUUUAAAUAGACUUUCAAGAAUUUGUGAAGAAUUUUAGCACAAGAUUAAAUUAAAUUCCUCCUGUGAACAAAUUUAUUUUCCCUCCAAGGUUGUUCUUUUCUGAGCCUCAAUAUCUUCAUUAUCCAGCACUGGUUCCUGUUCUUGAUCCUCAAAUUUCGUUAAAGAUUGCUGCUUAUCAUUUUCAGGGAACACUUUGUACAGUCCCAAGUAAAGACACAUACCAAAAACUGUAACUCCAACUAAGUACCAGCUGAAAAAAAGGUUCACUAAUGAUUUGGCUUUUUCAAGGGCUUCAUGAUCAUGGCAUCUGACAACUUCAUGACCAUCUUCCCACUUCAGAAAACAGCCUUUGGGAAUAUAUUCUGGUGUCCACAGCAUGAUUCCCAUGACCAUAAACCAAGCUCCUUGGAAAAAGAUGAUAAGAGACCUUAUGAAACUAUUCAAGAAACUCUUGGGGUAAACUAUGCAUAAGAGGGUAGUGAGAAAUGAGACAAGUAUGACAAUUUGAAGAAGCCAGUGAUAUUGGCCUUCCAGACCAAUGUGAUCAGCAGGGUGGAGAUUAAAUAGGAGAAACUGCUGGCCAAAGGAAACGGCUCCAAGCAUUUGCGAAAGGCCAUAUUGAGCUGGGGGCUGAAUUUUGUCUAGGAUAAUGCAGAGAAGUGCAUAGAUAAAGAAAGUCAAGGAUAUAUUUGAGUGCUCAAAGCUAUGUUUUCAGAACCGGACCGGAUAGCGACUCGGCCGAGGUCAGGGGUCAGGGGUCAAUGGGUUCGACCGGGGGUCGAUAGGGGUCGAACCGGAUGACGUCAUAAAUUAAAAUUAUUUAAAAAUUAAAAUAUUAUAUAUAUAAUAUCUAAUAAUAUAUUGAUAUUAAUAAAGGUAUAUCCAUAUAUAUUUGAUGUUUCAAAUAUAUUUAACAAGAAAAUACAAAGAAAUUAGAACAAUCAAGUAGCAAUUUAUAUUAUUUAAUAAAUAUUAACAAGUUUAGAAUUAAAAUUAUGAAUUUAAUUGAAAAAUAACAUCAAAUUUUAGGACAAUAUUUAUAAAGUAUCAAAUAUUUGAGGUAUAUCAAUAAGUUUUAACAAUUUAGGGGGUCAAAACAUAAUAUUAAAAAGUUUGAAUUUUUUUAAAAAAAUUACUGUUGAACCGGAAAAACCGAUUUUUUCCUGAUCAAACCUGAUUUUUGACCGGAUUUUAAAUUUUCGGUUUUUUAAUGUGACUCGGACCGGCUACCUGACCGGUUCCCGGUUCGACCGGCCGGUCCGGUCCGAGUUUGAAAACAGAGGCUCAAAGCUGUGAAGAUGGUUUGAUGGAAUAGUGCCAUCCGGGGUCCAACGGUUGGUGCCUUUUUGGACCAAUGAAGAGAUCCAUGGAUAUUGAGGCAAUGCAGCCUCCCAUGAUGAAGAAAAGUUCCAAGUACCUGAUUUUUGAAGUUGGAAACCAUGGCAAAGAUGUGUAGGAUUUUGGAUGGAGACAGUGAAGUCUGACAUGGUUAAGUAAAUGCCAGAGCCCAACUAGAAAGAAGCCGAAUCCAUGUCCCACCAAUUUGCCAUCUUGUUAUCCUGCUUUGGUUUGCCUUGCAAUUUUUGCUGCUUGGUUGAUAGUUUGCUUGGUUUGUGUGUUUUGUCCUACCAGAAAAGGAAAUAUGGAGGGUAUAGGAGGGGAAGAAAAGAAUGGAUCUCUACAAGUUAGAGAGGAAAAAGUAACGUGAAGGCAAGGAUAGGUUGGUUGGGAUGGUUUAUAAAGAAGGGAAUGGAGUAGGUGAACAGGUAAUCUGUACGAUUGUAUGGAAUUAUUAUAUUUUUUAUAAGAUUUGAUGUAUACUUAUAUUACCUUUUUUACACACAAAUUUUGUUUAUGUACAUCAAAAAUAUUGUAAGAGAUGUAUUUAUGCUAUCCAUUUAAUCUUGUAAGAAAUACGAUAAAUAGACAUAAUCGUAACGAAUCAUAAACGCUCCUAUUCGUGCGCCGGUGGGGUGGGGGUGGGCGGGAGAUUUGAAAUAUAUGUCAUUUUUCAAGGUCUUCAUGCUACUAUUUCUUCUUUGGGUGGAAAGCUUUUGAACAUUUUGAGGUACUCGUGACUGCAGCUUGCGUGAUUAGGAAAUGAGAUUGAGCAAAGAAGAGUUGACCGGGAACCGUUUGGCUGUUAUUUUCAAGUCAGUUGGCAAUUUUUAUUCUCUAGGGUUGAGCCAAUUUGCUGCCUGGAGAACAAAAUUGACAACUAAAAGUCAUAAUUGUCCUUCUUUUUUGCAUUAUCUUAUCACAAGGCAUGUUGAAAUAAUGAAACAAAAUCAAAACAUAGCCAAAACAAAAAAAAGUUGACAAGAAAGAAGAACAAAUAAUUCAAUUAUCAUACCGGCUAACUAAUCAUGCUAGGAAACGUGACAAAAUUUGUUAAGGAUAAAUUAACUAAAUUCUGGUUUACAUUUUUUAAAAUUUAACACUGAAAUUUGUAACAGUUUAAUUGCAUGCCAAGUUCUUUCGCCAGUCCAACUUUCUAGAUUUCACAAACUAAAGUGUCAUUGCACUAGUCUUUUGCAAUCUGUCAAUCAAUGGACCAAAGCAGAAUGAAUUGAAGAGUUUAGGUUAUAAAAUAUCCUAAAUAGAGAUUCAAGUCACAAAGUGAAAAUUGGUGUAAAAUUUAAACUGCGGUAUGAAAUUCUAACCCUUAAAUACUGUCAAGAACUACGCAGGGUUUUUUUUUUUUUUUUUUUUUCUAGAUUUUGAGGAAGUGAUUUUACAUUCGCAUAAAGUAUGAUUGGUUUCUUCACCAUAGAAUCAUCAGCUUGUGAUUAAGCAUCAAACUUAAAACACACAGGCAGCCAAGGCCCAACCAAAAAUAAAGACCAUUUUUUUUGGUUCAGAUGGAAUCAUAGAAGGCAAAGAUAUUGCAAUUAAAUCACCAGAAAACUUUUUUUUUGGGUCCCAUAACAAAAGUAAACUCAUGAUGGUAAUGCUGAAGAAGUAUAAUCUUAUCAAAGUUAAAGGAUGAUGCUAAACCAAAUAACUCGACUCGAGCUCGAAAACUACUCGAUCAACAGCUCAUAUUCAGCUCGUUUUGACCGAGUUCGAGUUCGAGCUACUCAUUUGAUCUCACAAGCCGAGCUUGAGCUCUAGUAUUUUGUACUAGAAGGCUCGACGAGUCUAAUCGAGUUUUUUACAAUAUAUAUUUUUAAAUUUUUUAAAUUUAUUAUUGUAAAAUGUCAAUAACAUCAUUUAUUUAAAAUUAUAUGUAAAAUAUUAAUUUUUAUUAUAUGAUAUUGAUUAGACUCGAAUAGGCUCGUCUAAACUCGAUUACACUCAAAUAGAUUGAUUGAACUUGAUUUGCCUUGAUUAGAUUUAAUUUAACUCGAACUCGAGUAAGGAAAACUAAAGUCGAAUUUGAGCUCGAACUCGACUUCUACAAGUUCGACGAGCUCGAACUCAGUUAUUUUACCUCAUUGAGGAAGAGUAACAAAUGACCCCGUCGCUAGCCCCUUCAACACAGCAAAAGACAACAAUUACAAUGCAAGGAUAAGUUUCCAAUUCAUCUGUAAAUGAAAAUCUAUCUCCAUAGACAAGACUCGGUUUCCAAAUCAAGUCUCGUUAGUUACUCCCACGUUGAACCACCUUUGUCACUUCUAUUCAAUGUGAGUUCAUGUGUUAGGACACAUCUUUCAAUCUGCUACACCCAUACUUGCAUACAGUUAGCGCGGUUAAAUAGAAAGCAAUGUACAUAAUAAUGGCAAAAGCAGCAGGAAAACAAAGGUUAAAACUGUUAUAUACUGCACAUAGCAGGCAUCAGAUAUAUCAGAGUUCCUUUCUGAUGGCUGUCAUUCUUUGCUCUUUUUUCCCCUUUUGAGCAAAAUAAGUAAUAAAUUCAGGUUGCAUAACAGUAUUACACAUUUGAGACAAUACCAUAUACAUCCCAAAAAAUCCGCACCAUGCCAAGAUAUUUCAGUAAGUAGGAAAUUUUGGAUCCACAUCAUGGGCCCAUGAUUGAAUGCCACCUAUUAUGUCCUUGGCAGAUGAAAAUCCCAUUUUGUGGAGAUAUUGAACAGCUCUUUGCGACUCAUUACCUCUUCUACAAACAACAUACAGGGAUGCAUUCGAAUCAGCGCUAUUCUUGCUCUCAUCCUUUUUUAUCAACGCUGAAGAUAUUUCAUGCAAUCUUGCUUCCAGACUCGGGAAGGGUAUGUUGAUGCAGUUGGGAAGUGAAACAAUCUUAUAGUGAUGAGCAGGUCUUACAUCUACCAGCACAUGUGGUUCUCCUUUAACAAUUCUCUCAUGGUACUCCUUGCUGCUAAUUCUGGCAUCCACUGGAAGCAGGCUCAACUUCAGAGGAGCCUGAAAUCAAUUGAAUAUUGCCAUUAGGAGCUUAGAUUCAGACUACUUCACUGGCAAAUCUCUUCAUAGUGUAAGAUCUGAAAAUUGAAGCUAACAAUUAGAAAUUAAACUUUUCAAAAAGAUUUUACCAAAUGAACACCAAUAUUCAUCUUAAGUGCUCCAUAAUGAUGUAGAGUGCAAUUUUCCAAAAUAAGGAAGACAUGAUUUCAUGGCAGAUUAUCAGGCUGGAACUAAAGUUUUAACUUAGCAGCUCCAGUUCUCUAUUUAUACAUGCCAUACUUCAAGUUUAUCCUAUUCAUCACGGAAUAAAGUCAUGAUAUAAGAGAGACACACCGUUGAGAAGGGAGUCUGAGUAAAGCAUUCAUAGUCAAACUCUUGAAACUGCUUUUCAGUCAGAGGUGCAUUUUCACCACAAGCUUCACAUUGUAAUGACCUUCCUCUAAUCUUCACCUGGUAAACAAAUAUGACAUCAUACGAAUAUUGGUUGGAAUCCCAAAAAAUUGAAUAAUGGCCACAAUACGGAAAUGCUGGAGCUACUACCAAUUUCCAUUUUUUGUCUAUUUAUUAGCCUCUGAAGAUGCACAAAUUUUGUGAUAAUGUAAUAUUAAUAGACACUGCAAUCUAGAGAUUAGCUUCCCCAUCAAUCUCAAUGCUUAAGACUGCAGCAUUAGGAAAACAGUUCCUAUAACAUCUAUCCAGACCAAGAAUUGUCUUCAUUCUAUUAUUAUCUUAUAGGAGCUACAAUUAUAUAGUCCUCCAAACUCAUAAAACUCAAUUUAUCCAGUCCUAACAAGAAACUUCAGAUACAAGGUGAUAGCACCACUAAUAGGUCCAGAUAGGUAAUAAUUGUACAUAUUACCGGCAAAAAAGUUUGUCACAAUAUGUAACUGAUACUAAAAACAAAAAAAACCAUGCACAUCAGAGGCUGAAUAGACAUCAAAGACCAAAAACAUACUAUACGAAUCCGGCCUGAAAUUGCAUCAAACAGAAGCAUCCGACCCGAGAAUGGAUCACCAACAGCACUUCCAAUCUUUAUGGCCUCCAAGGCUUGGAGACACCCAAUAAUACCAGGCACUGUGAAUAAUGGCACAAACAAAUGAAGAAAACUGAUGGUCUAUUGACAACUGGACUGAAUGUCCACUUAGGGAAGCACGAGUGUAAUAUGUUCUAGACUAACUUACCUACACCUAGAACUCCACUAUCAGCACAUCUUUGACAUGCUGUUGUAGGUGGUGGAGUUGGAAAUAAGCAUCUGUAACAUGGCCCACCAUUAUAGUUGUAUACCGUUAGCUACAUAAACAAUUGAAGAGUGUUAGUGUGAUAUGCCCAAGGAAUAAGUUGACAUCAACAUGAAUUAGCAUGUGACUUGUACCUGCCCUUCAAGUCCAAGUGCAGCUCCAGAUACAAGAGGCUAUCACAAAUAAGAAGUCCGUGGUAAAUAUACUUGCAUAUAAUCACAUUACGCUGUGAUCUCAGAUUUGUAAAUAAAAUCCUUGUGAGGUUGUCAUAAAAUCCAGCAAAGACACCAAUGCAAUUGAAACCACACAUUUAAUUAGCAUAUGAGAUCUAAAUACCAAAAGGUGGUAGAAUUUGCUUGAAGAAAUGCAUAAGAAAAAUAUGAUUUCUUUGAGUAAUCCCUAAAUGUAGUGUAAGAUAUUUUUGAACGCUUAUAAUAUUUACUUGCAUAAAACAUCAAACAUAAAGGAAAUGUUCAAAGAAAAAUUACCAUAAGAUAUUAACCUUUGCAGGAUAUCAGUGGCAAAGAUAAACAAGCAUUUGUACCUUUCCCAAAACAACACAGCAAUCAUUGAUCAGGUAACGGCUUGGAACAUUAUCUGUUGCAUCUACAACUAUGUCAUAUCUAUUGUUCAGUAAAAGUCAAGAAAAUCAUGAUUUUCGCCAGAAUGGAUUACACAAAUCAACAGAAAAAAUGGAUAACAUGUAUGAUGUGUGAAAAGUGUUUAUAAGUCAACUUUAUAUAUGUCCCCUUUGUGUGUGUGUGUGUGUGUAUCAACCAAGCACUAAACAAGGAUACUUUCUCACAAUCCCUAAUGCAUUUGUCGCACGAAAUGCUUCUGUGUGCUCCACAAUUUCAACAGUUGAAUUAAUCCUGAGAUUAAGAUAGUUAAGAACAGCUAUAUAACACAAACUCCUCCAAGGUCCAAAUACACAAUAGACGUUAACAGGACAAUGCAGUUUAACAUCAGAGGAAAAAAUUCAAUGAAAAGCAACAUACGCACGACAAGCAGCAGCAGCAGACUCCACCUUCGGCCUUCCAAUAUAAGCUUCAGUAUGAAUAAUCUGAACCACAUAAAAAUGAAAUCAGCAUCAUUAUCAGAUCUGGUUGCAAUAGAAAUAAACAACUAGCUUAAAAUUUUGUAGGCCAACAAACAAAGUCAUUCAAAUUUACCUGCCUAUGGAGAUUGUUAAGUUCAACCAUAUCAUGGUCAACAAUACCUAUUCGACCUGCAAAGUUUGGUCAUGAUCAAAUCAACUGCAACUCUAACUGAAAAAAUUAAUCUUUAUUCAAUUUCAGGCACGAACAUUUCUUUCCAGAGAAAAUUAGUAAAAGGAGACGCAGUUUUGGACUAUUUGUCAUAAAGGGCAUAUGAACAAACUUCUGUAUACAUGUACAACAAAGUGUAUUACGAGUGUGCACAAAUGGCCCUCAUGAGAAAGUAGCUUUAAAGCUCCAAGGGCCCCCCUUUUCAACUGCUCCCCGUUUUUCUUGAAAGAAAUUUAGAAGUGGGUGCCGGGCGACCAUCAAUGAAGCCCCUUAACUAUUUGCCAAAAUUCAGUCCUGAUACAGACAUAAACAUCUUACCAAAACCACAAGCCGCAAGAUAUAACAGCGCAGGUGAACCAAGUCCUCCAGCUCCAAUAACUAACACUGAUGAUUUCAAGAGAUUUGCCUGCCCUGCAACCAAUCAAACAACCAAGCAAAACUAUCAAAGAAAUCCCAGCAAAGAUAUGACUACACUACCGUCGUUUCUCUCCUCCUUCCCAAAGCUUACCUUGGACUCCAAAUGCAGGGAGCAAGAGUUGUCGGCUGUAUCUGUAAAUCAUAUCCGAAGCCAAUCCAUGUCCAGAGUCAAAACUACCGUUCUCCGACGGCAAAAUUAAACACGAACUCGAACCAUUUGAAUUCACCUCAUCCUCUUCUGCUUUUCUGCAAUUAUUCUCGUCACAAUUAAGUUGUUGGAGCUGAGCUUCCAGAUCUGAUAUCUGCCGCUCUAUUUCGUCCUUUGAGGAUCGCAGAGACUCGAUUUGACGUAGAAUUUCAGAAGCUUGUGGUCUUCCAUUAGACUCCAUACCCGCCUGCAGAGUUCGGAAAUUUUUUGAAGAUGAUCAAAUUUUAUGUAUGAAUUCUUGAAGUCUUCUGAGCAUUAUAUCAAACAAGUGGAAGGCAAUUCCGAAAAACUCCUAUUUUGGACAUUGAUUGGAGAGUGGGGAAUCCCGGACGUAUGUUUUGACAGAUAGCGAAGUGUGUAUAGAUAAGAUAGCGAUAAGAUAGCAAAAUAUGGAAGCUGGGUCCUGUCACUGUCUAAGCACUGAUUUUGUCCAUCAACAGAAAUAGUAGUGCUGUUCAUUCCAAGGGUUUUGGGGUUAAGAGUGACUGGAGGGGAGGUCCUCUACUAUUUUGCUUUCUCUAAAAAACCCUUCCUUUUAUUUAUUUGGGUUAAUUACACUAAGACCUCUUAUAAAUUUGGAUGAUUUAUAUUUUGCUACCCACAAGUUUUUAAAUAUGCCCAUCUUUGAUGUUUCUUGACUGGAAUAGAAUCAGCUUAGGUUCCAUUUGUUUGUAUUGUUUCUCAAAAGCACUGUUCCUACAAAAUGUUUAGAAUUUUAGUUGGUAAAAUGCCCCAUAAGUCAUCAAAAUUUUUUAAAGUCUCGUAUAGCUCACUAUGUUAUUUUUUCCCAUCAAUUGAUGAAACUCACAACAUGUGAGCGUCGCGUGGCAUAAUUGAAGUUGGCAGCAAAAAUUGACCAAAUUCAGCAUAUUUUCGUCACUCCGUGGAUGAAAGACAACAUAAUGUGUUAAAUGAAAUUUUAGAAAAGUUUAAUGACCAUAGCUACAAUCAGUUGUGAAGACAGGAUUUUUAGGUUGGGAAAAAAAUUUGUAAGUAAUAAACUUGCUAUUCGAUGAGUGUCAUUUAUAGAAUUAUAUAGAUUGUAGCAUAUUUUUUUUUGUUUCUGCUCUUUGCUUGAUUAUCUAGUCUUAAAUUAAGUUUCUCUUUAAACAAGGUCAUCCUUAAUGAAAGAUGAUUUUGUGGUAACAAUGAUAGCAAUAAAUUAUAUUAAAUAGAACGAGGAAGUUUUGUAUUAAAUAAGAAUUAAUCUUUGCACUUUAACCUUGUAUACAUGCUACUUAAUUUUAGUUGGAACUUGAAUUUCUCAUUUUGCACAAGUGAUAUGCAUUACAGGUUGAUAAUGAAUGUACUCUCAAUGUAUAUAAAAUUAAUCCAUUAAAUAAAGGGUUAUUAUCACUUUACCCCCUUAAACUAUAUCACUACUAUCAGUUUACCCCUUAACGUGAUCUUUUAGUCACUUUAUCCCCAUAAGUAAUUCAACUCAACAUGUUAAGAAAUUUUGAACAAAAUACCCUUUAAUUUUAUAGCAUUACUAUAUUGUUAUUAUCACUUUAUUCGUUUGGAUUAUAGUGAUACAAUCACUUUAGUUCCUAACAUUAUUUUCUAGGCAUUUUACCUCAUCAUUAAUCUAAUUAGUAUGGUCAAAAAAUUUUAAAUAUAUUUACCCUUUUUAUAUAUAAUUAAAAAUAAAAAAAUUGGAAUGGUUAUUCUUCCUUUUUUUUCACUUUAAGAGAUCGAAAAACAUAAAAAUAAAAGAAUAUUCUCAAAUUUCUUUUUUUUACACUUACUAAUACUAGGAAAAGAAAAAGGGAUAGGAAAGAAGGAGACAAAAAAUUAGAUUUUGCAAAACAAGAAAAUAAAAAAAGUCUAACAUUAUCGUAUUACUUUAAAGUUGUCGAGAUUAAAAUUGGAAUUUGAUGGUAAACAAAAAAGGUGAAAUAAUUUUAAAAUAAUAAAAGUAUUUAAUUCUUUAUUAUUUGUAAAUUUAAAAAAAAAAAAAAGAAUUGAGCUCUCUCUGUCCCCCUCUCCCUCUCCAUCUUUCUAUUUUUUUCAAUAUUAAUAAGAUUACCAAGAAGAAAGAAAUUAAUGCUUUGAAUUUUUUCUUAAUACUAAAAAGGAGAAGAAUCAUUCUAAAUUUAUUAUUAUUUUUAUUAUGCAAAGAGAAGGGUAUUUUCUUCUAAAGUUUUUUAACUUGGUAAAUUGGUUUAAUGGUCGGAUAAAUUGUCUAAAAAAUAACUCUAGAGGGGUAAAUUGAUAAUGAGACUAUAUUUUAUGGGGGUAAAGUGAUAAUAAUUUUAAGGGUUAAACAUAUCUUUUUACUUUAAUUAAGGGUUAAACACAUUUUAUCCCCUUAAAGAAUACCCCAUUUCUCAGUUUACCCCCUAACCUUUAAUUUAACUCACUUAACCCCCUUUAGAACAAAAAUGCCCUUGCAUUAUUUUGACUUUUCAUUUACCUUGUUUUCCUUUCUUUUAUUUCUUUUUCUCUUUUUUCUUUAUUUAAUUCUUCCUCUUUCCCACAAAAAUCUUCACCUUAAUGAUUGAAAUUAAAAAAGAGGAAUUGCAGAGAUCUAUCUUCUCCUUAAAUGAUUAAAAAAUAUUCAAAUCACUUUCCUAAAAUACAAUUUUUUUUAGCCUUUCAAUUCUUUUAAUUUUGGGUUUUCCUCUUUCCUUUCUAGUUUCUCAUUUUAUUCCCAAGAAAAUAUCUUAAGAUGCAAUUGUGACCUGAUUAAUAAUCAUCAAUUGAAAUUUGUGACACGUGGCAUCAUACAAAAAAUCAAAAUUAGUUUUUGAUACCUUUUAAAUCUUCACCCAGAAAUAUGCAAUUACAAACUCAAAACAAAAAUUUUCGUUGAAAUUGAAUUUCUAUUGGGAAGGAUGAAAGAGAGAAGAAAGAGAAAAAGAAAUAAAAGAAAGAAAAACAAUUUCAUCUUUUGAUAUUUUCUUGAGAAUAAAAUGAGAAACUAGAAAGAAAAGAGGAAAACCCAAAAUUAAAAGAAUUGAAAGGCUAAAAAAAUUGUAUUUUAGGAAAGUGAUUUGAAUAUAUUUUUAAUCAUUUAAGGAGAAGAUAAAUCUCUGCAAUUCCUCUUUUUUAAUUUCAAUCAUUAAGGUGAAGAUUUUUGUGGGAAAGAGGAAGAAUUAAAUAAAGAAGAAAGAGAAAAAGAAAGAAAAACAAGGUAAAUGAAAAGUCAAAAUAAUGCAAGGGCAAUUUUGUCCUAAAGGGGGUUAAGUGAGCAAAAUUAAAGGUUAGGGGGUAAACUGAGAAAUGGGAUAUUUUUUAAGGAGAUAAAAUGUGAUUAACCCUUUAAUUAACAAAUUCCGUUAAGUUUGACCGUUAGUUUUAGGGGUAAAGUGACUAAAAGAUAACGUUAAGGGGAAAAUUGAUAGUAGCACCAAACGUUAAGGGGAUAAAGUGAUAAUCACCCUUAAAUAAAAGGAUAAAAAGAUGCAUUGACAUUAGAGCUGUUAAACGAACCAAGCUGUUCGGUAGCUCGGUUCGUUUCGGCUCGUUCGUGUUCGUGAAAGGCUCGUUCGAAAUUUUAAACGAACUGAGUUCGAACGAAUUUUUUUGUUCGAUUAAUAAUCGAGCGAACACGAGCAUGUUCGCGAGUUUUAACGAACGUUCGUGAACAUGCUAAACAAACGUUCGCGAACACGAACAUGUUCGCGAGUUUUAACGAAUGUUCGCGAACAUAGACAUAAUUAUCAUUUGACAAAUUUUAGGAUUAAUUUUAUGGCUGGACUUUUAUAUUUGGAGGGCAAAUUUCUUUGUUUUAUUUGUUGUUUUUAUGUUAAUGUUAGUUAUAUAGUUAAUGAAUAAUAUAAUUUAGUCACUUAGUGCUUUAAUUAUUUUUGAGAAUGAUUAAUAAUUUGCAUGGCAUAUUUAAGGCAUAAAAUAAAUUGGAUUCGAACAUUUCGAACAUGUUCGCGAACGGCUCGUUUAUGUUAAACGAGCCGAACUCGAAUUCGAAUUCGAACACGAAUUUUACUUAACGAACCGAACACGAACACGGGUUUGGAGUUCAAAAAUUAACGAACGAACACGAAUGUUGUUCAAACUGCUUAACGAACAGAGCUCAAACAUGAGAUACUAGGUUCGAUUCGGUUCGUUUACAGCUCUAAUUGACAUAACUACUCAUUUUUCUAUCUUCUCUUUCUUACCAUUCUAAGGGAAAAAAUGUUAAAAAUAUAUCUUGACUGCCUCUAAUUUCAAAUUCUUAAGAAUAUUUAUAUCUAAAAGUCUUGAGCCAAAAGUACACAAACAUCAUAAGUAAUUAGCUAUAAAUGUUCAUUCUACACGUUUAUGAGUAGAUAUUUUAGAGUAUAUACAAUUUUUAUCAUUAUCGAUUUCAAAUAAGAGAGAGUGCAUAAGUACAUUUGAUAGAUCAACAUAAAAAAUAUAAGACGAAAUAAGAUGUGCACAACUAUUAAGAGAUUUUGCUUGUGUCAAUUGAUGAUAGUCUAAGAGAGGGCAAGGUGUAAGGCUAAAACAUGUAUAAGAAGUUAAAUGCUAUAGAUUUGCUAACUAAACAGCAAUAGAAAAAUAAAAAUAAAGAGCUCGACUCUAUUUGGAUUGCUUGUUUUUCAAAUAAAAUAUUAAUGACACUUUAAAAAUACCAUAAACAACACUCUAGAUGCAGUAUCAAAUUACAUAAAUAAAAAUAACAAUCUUACCACCUCUUUCUUCUUCUAUCACUACCUACCACUGCCGCCACCCCUCCCCUCCUCUCUUCUCUACCGCCACCACUGCCCCUUUCCCCUCCAUCUGCCUCCCCCUUCUUCCUCCUUUCUUCUCUUCCCUCUUCCUCUUUCUUCCUUCCACUGCUUCCUCCUCCUUUUCCCUCCCUUCCCUCCCCUCCCUCCCUUUCCUUGCAAUCUCCCUCCCCCUCUAGUGGCAAUAGUGACUAGAUCUGGUCAUAGCCACCACUAAAUUGUGAUGUGAGGUUUUUGAGAAAUAAAUAGUGAGAUUUUGUUGCCUCGACUAAAAAAAGGCUAUUGGCCAUUAUUUCUAGUUCAUUAUCCUAUUCAUUAUUCUUGUGCCUUAAAUUAAUUUGUUUGUUUCCAUUGAGCUAGCAAGUUAGUGUAAAACUCAAGUCCCUUCUCAAUUUAUACUUUACUCAAUUAAUUAAAUGGUAAAUUGCCAUGGGUAAAGGUAAAAAUAAUUGUAGGAUAGGUUAAAGGGUUAAGUGGGAGAUAGGAAGGAGAUAAGAUAGGAUGAGAGUCACAACAAAUUAAAAUUCUUAUCUAAACCACCAAGUAGUGAGUGGUUACUAGGGUUUAGAACAUUUAUCAAAAUAACACAGGAAAAAAAUAACACUGUUCCUACUUUUCAUUUGUCUGCCUCCCUUUAGAGCAAGAAUCAACUAAGAAUAGAGGAGAAGAAGAAAACGUUGCCGUCCAACUAGCAGGCAAUUAAACGUCUAAACUUGUAAGUCCCAAAAGCGCGUGAAAGUUUUUCUCUUAAAUCUUAUUAAUUCCAUGAAUUAUUUUAAAUAUUUUAUGUAUAUUCAUAUCGUAAUAUAUUUAUGCCUGCCUGAAAAAUUUAGGAAGAUUCAUGCUCGGAUUUGUGAGAAUAGUGUAUUAAAUUAUAAUUAUGGGAUGAUUAGAGUUUACCCAAAUUUGUUGGAAAGAAAAAAAAAAAAGAAGAGAGGGAGUAGCAGCAUUGUAGACCGUUGCUGCUAUUGUGCGUCGUUGCUGAAGCUUUGACUUCAGCAACACAAAAAAAAAAAGAGGCAAAGGUUGCCAGUUAGCAACCCCGAAGAAAACAAGGGGUCGCCAGCAACUUGCUGGCGACAUGGCCGAAAGAAAAAAAAAGGAGCAAAGGAGGGUCUGAUGACCCUCCUCUUUUCAUUAGCCAAAAAGGUCGGCCCUUUGAAGGAAAAAAAAAAAGAUUAUGAACUAUGAAUAAAAAAAUAAUAAUAAAAAUAAUAAAUAUAUAUAUAUAUGGCAAGUAUACUUGGGCCAAAAUAUAGUAUAGGUUUAGUGAAUGUUCAGAAGAUAAAUUUUAAAUAUAACUAACUCACCUUUAUAACUUAUCAUGGGUAUUAAAUUUCAAAACCCAAGCUAAAAAUAAUUUUUAGAGUUUCAAGAUUGAGUCAUCUAAGCUUAUACUUAAUUCAUUAAGUCUAAAAUAAUUAAAUAGAAAUCUAAAACAUCUUAAUCUCGCAUUACUAGAUCAAUUUAUACAAUGUAGAAUAAGUCCUAGAUUGUUAAACGAAACACGUAAAAUCAUAAUAAUGAUAAUAAUAAUAAUAAUAAUAAUAAUAAUAAUGAUAACACUAAUAGUAAUAAUAAUAAUAAUAACAACAAUAUAGAUAUAGAUGAAGUAAAUUAAAGAUAUAAACAAAAAUUAAAUGAAAAGAUAAAUAUAAGUGGAAUAAACUAAGACAAUAAUUAUAAUAAUAAAUCAAUAUGUACAUAUAUAUACAUAUAGAUAUAAAUAAUAAUAACACAUGCACAUGCACAAAAAUGGAAGUAAAACAAAAGAUAAUAGUAACUAAUUAACAAAUACAUAUAUAAAAUGAUAAUAAAAUAAAAUAGUGAUGACAAGGAUAAAAACAAUAACAAUGAAUAAUAAUAUAUAUAUAUAUAUGUAUAGAUAAAUACGUAUAAUGGUCAAGAUAAUAAAUUUGAUUAUGAAUAAUUAUUUCUAAAUUAGGAAACUUUACGAAAAAGAGAACUUUCCAAAAAUGCAAACUUUCCAAAAAUAAAAACUUCUUAAUUUAGGAAACCUCUGCUAAAGUUCAAAUAAUGGUCUAGACAUUAAUCUUAAAUUUACUCAGAGUAUGUAUAUUUAUGCAUCUAUAGGAAAUAUCAACUAAUUAGAAAAUCUAUGCAUUUGAUAAGUACGACACAAGUUUAAAAGAUCUAAAAUAGUUCCAUUCGAACAGCCAGACAAAGGUAGGUGGUAUUUACUCUUUUGAGAUUUCAAAAGUGCAAAAUGACAUUCUUGUUGUCAAUCAUAUUUUGUUGUGUUGACUCGAAAUGUAUUUGAUUAAAUGUUUUACUAGGAUAUUUAUGCAAGUUCUACUUUUAGUAUACGAAAAUAGACCAUGUGACUUAUUUGAAACAUUUUGAUAUGUUAUUAUAUACCAAAUGAGUUGUAUCUUUUAUGCAAUCAAAGAACUAUGUAUAUGAUGUGUGAAAUGAAUUUAUGUUAAGUAAAACUCAAAACAGUCAUGCAAUAGACGGUAGAAGCUAUUGUGAGGACUCGAAAAUUCUAUUAUUCUUAAAAUCCCUAAUUUUGGCUAAAUUAAUUAUUUAUUUGGAUUUUUGCCACGAAUAAUAUUUUCUAGCCUUAUUAGACCUAAGUACAUGGUUUUAUAGUUUCGUUAUAUUUUUAAAGUGUCUCAUUUCAAAAAAAUUAUUUUCUUAAAAGCUUGAUUAGAAAAAAAAAAGAAAAAAAGUGAGAACGUGUCUAAACACUUUAGCCAAUUGGGAGUGCAAUAAGCUCAAAAAUUUGAGAUAUAUACAAUGGUCCUAAAAUAGGCAAUUUUAGGUUUAAAAACUCAAGUGAUAGUUGGUAGUACGAUUGUUCUAAGAAUUUCUCGAAGGUUUCAUUUUAUUGCGCCUAAAUUGGAAAUACGUGUUUUCACGUGCGCGCUUAAUUGAGGGACUUUGGACAAUUAUUUUGGAACAAUUAAGAAUGAAUAAUAUUUAUAUGAAUGUAAGUGCCCUAGAGGUUUAGUGCACUAGUGCAACAAACUUAAGAGAAAUCGAACACAAAACGCGCGCGUAGGCGCACUAGUUGCAAUUGAUUUUUACGUACUUAAAAUAUUACACGAGUAGCGUUCCUUAUACGCCAAAGGAUCAGCAAACUAUUUCCUUUCUUCAAGCUCCUUGGACGGCUAGCAGCUGCAAAGAAACAACCAAAAACUUUCAACAUUCCCUCUACAAAUCUUACUCAAUCUACCAAACUCUCAAAAAAAUUCAACUACAUCUACCUCAACACUUGGGAAGUCCAUUUAGCUGCAAAAGGAAGGAACUAUCCACGGUUUUCUUCAAGCUUCAAAAGGGCCGAAACUUCUGUCUUGACCAACCAUCAAAGUAGGUAAUGAUCUAAUACCUUAAACUUGUCCUAUGGAAGUUAAAUUACACUUAUAAGCUUGAAUUUGCAUAUGGGUUGUGGUUGAUGUUGGAGAAAUUGGAAAAGUGGGCUCUAUGAAUUUCUACUCUUGGGUUGUUGCUGAUUUUGUGCUUGAUGAUGUUUAUAAUGUUGGAUUAGUGUUUAAGUUAGUGGUUUGUUGAAGGAAAAUUUGCUGGAAACUCACGUUGGGUGCAAAGGCCAAAUCUGACCAUUUUGCCCCUGCUUUGUUCGGCCACUUUAAUGCAGAAAUUUGAGGAUUUAAUGGCUUGAUUGUGUUGUUUACAUGUUAUAGAAGUUGUGUACAAAUUUUCAGUGAAAAAUGUGAGUUUUGGUUGAUCAAAAGAAUUUAUUUCCCAAAGCUGGUAAUCUGGAAACGGUUGCCGUCGUAACCAAACCAGUGUUCGUAUUUCGUCCAUAACUCCGUACUCCGACGUCGAAAUCAAGUGCCGUUAGCGGCAUUUGAAAUUAGACGUUCCCAUAUUUCCAACGGUAUAUAAUGCACAUUCUGGUUCCAUGUGUGUGAACCGCACCACUCUUCUGAAUUCAGCUGCCCUGUUUCUCCGUUCUGCCGAAAUGAUUUGAUGAUGCUGUAACUUUAGGCUUAAUUUCGAGCCAGUUGCAUGCUGAAACUUAAAACGAUUUCUUCUGUGAAAUUUUAUCCCUAUGAAUGCAUUUUCCAACACUAUCAACCAUUCCCAAUUCCGAGCUAAAUUGAGUGAUUUAUGAUCAAAAUACGACGACUGCCUCGUCUUUGAAAACUCUUCGAUUUGGACAGAUUAGAUGUGAGACUUGUUGUGGUCUUACUAAAUGAAUUUCUUGGUGCUAAACACCUACUAAAAGUACCAUGUAUGUUCCUUAGACCUUUCUUGCACAAAUGAACCAUGUUUGGAGGUUUUUCCUUAGCCGAAUGUUUGGAAACGGAGAGAAAGAGAGCUAAAGGCAGUUUGGCCUUAGUAAUUUCAAACUUUGGUUGAUUGGUUAACCACCUUCCCGAAGGUAAUUUUCCACGAAAUUUGAUAGAGAGAUACCCUUCAUAUAGGAGUAUUAUACUACAAAAUUUGGUAUCAAUCCAAGUCCGUUUCGACACUUAACUAAAGGUCCAAAGUCGGAACCAAAUCUGGAAAUUUGUUAACAGUCUUGAAAUUUACCCAACUUUGAGCUACCAUAUCUUGGUGCUCGAAACUCCGAUUCUCGAUCCGCUUGUUCUGACCUAAACCUUACUUGCACCUCUAAUUGAGAUAUAAAUUUCAAGGGCUGGUUUGCAACGAGUGAAUUCUACCGAAUUUUCAAAGUUAGCGAAAAACCAACUCCGGCUCAAUCCUGGGUGAUUUGGAAUAGCAACUUUAAGCUCAUUUUUGGAGCACUUUCCACUUCGAUUCAUGGAAAAGUGUCUUCUAGGAACUUGUAGUACUUUCUAAGAGGUUUCCAACGAUAUAAAGUUUUCCAAUUCUUGACUUAUACCGAGUGAGUUACGAUUUUUCAAAAAUUCAUAACAAAAUUGAAAUUUUCCAACUUUCAAAGAAAUAGAGUUUUUCAAGAACCCUUUAUUCUUUUGAUAUUGUGACAGCCCCACCUCACCCUAAGGCGAACCAAAGGGUUCAGCGGACCGCCUGCCCAACUCUCGCCAGGACUACGGAGUCGAAUCACACAAAUCCGAUAUUACGCGAGAGGACCCAAAAGAAAUGAGCGAUUGAAGACCGCCAAGCUUAAACAUGGGGAAAACGCUUUCAUAUAUACAUGUCACUAGGUUUACAAUUCAAAUGGAACCAGUGAAACGGAAUACAUUUAGGGUUUGCUCAUUCUCGAGGAGCUAUACAAAAGAACAAAAGAUUUUCUAACUAGCUCAACUCGCUUCUCAAAAUCAUGAUUUCCAAAAGAGGUUCCUGUAAGGAAAACAAAGAUAACGAGGAGGGGGUGAGCUUACGCCCAAUGAGGUACCAAACAUGUAGCAGAAAAAUCAGGUAUUUCACGUUAUACAAAACCAGAUACACAUGCUCGCUAUAAAGUAAGACAGGUAAACACAAGAACUCAAAUAGGAAGGAUACAGGUGGCUCUCAGGAGCCAGCUUUCCAGCGCAGUACUUGAUCCAAGCCGGUUGACUCUCCGUCAACGUAUAUAGAACCAACACGUCCGUAGACCCCACUUUACACCAAAUUCCGUCCACCAAACACCCCUUUACCGGGCCCGCUCACCUCAACAGAAACAGAAAUGGUAAUACUCGAGUAUACCGGAAUCAAGGGUCUCAAUACCCAAAGAUCCCAAAACAGACUACCGUGGUUCGUUAUCUAAUCGUCCAGGCCCUUGCCGGCCCGACUCGAAUAACUUAGCCACAGGAUUUGAGUUCAUAGGUCACAGAUACAGAUACAGAUACAGAUUCAGAUUGACACCAAAAUUGGCAUAUGAACAGACAAGAGAACGAGUGCGAUAAAGUACACCCUCGUCUCAAACAAAUUAAACAGAUUGCAGAGCAGAAAUCAAGUUAAACAGCAAUGGAGGGGAGUGGUACACCCACCGGUUCAAGUACAGAUACCUCAAAAGUUUUCACUUCGGAUUGGCUUUAAUCGCCAAGAAAUCCUAAAAUAAUCAAAGUAAACCAAUUGAAGGUUUCACAUCCAGAAUCGAGUAAACAAAAUACACAUGUGAGGCUCGACUACUAGUCGUAUGCCUCGCCAAAUAAUUACUAAUGCAAGGGUACAAAACAUGAUUUUUGGGAAUAAAAAGGUAACAUGAAGACCUAGGUUCAACAACCCAAAAGCCCUUCAUUUCUAUCACAAGCCAAUUCAAACUUAAAGGAACCAAUUGGCCUAGAAAAAAUUGGACAGCACUUCCCUUAAAUUUCUUACUUUUUCAGCCAUCACGGCUUCAUUAUUUUCCUCAAUCAACUCCCAAAGUCAUACUCAAUAUACAUUCAUCACCACAGCCGUUCAAUAGGCUCAAGGUUAUCCAAGUACAAAAGUUAGCUAGGAAAAUGACCGAAAAUAAAAGUCAAGCCCUAGAAUAUUCCACUAAGCACAAGAAGACUCGAUUACAAGUCACAAACCGAUGCCAACACAAUCACAAUAGGGUUCCAUAAGCAUAUAUAAGCAUUAGAGGAAACCAGAAAUUUCGGAAAUGUAACUAGCUUUGGCCCUGAAAAAAAUAGUUUUUGUCCUCAUUUUACGGUAAUGGCAAAAAUUUCACUACGCUUAUCGGAUGAGGGUGAAAGACCCACCAUCUCGAAGCUAAAAGACAGGGUUACAAUAUCACAGAAGGUCACUAAACCCAGUUUUGAGUGCAAAUAGGUCAAAAAUGCAGGAUACUACAUCAACAACGUAAAACAGAUUCACCAAAACGCAUUCUAGCGGAAACAUCAUAACUCAGGCUCUACAAGUCCAAAUCCAGAAAUUCAAAAACCAUCUGAAAGAUAAGAAACAGGGAUAAAUUUAAUCAGAAGGUCUCAACAACCAAUUCGGAAGCAAUUCCAGCCAAAACAACCCAUUACAGGCGCAAUUCUUACAUUCGGGUAAAACCAGAACAGCAAUAGUAAUUUUGACUUUUCUCAUUCUACACUACUUCGAUUGACCUGAAAUUUUGUAGACACCUCUAAAAUGUUAUUCCCUACAACUUUCAUGUUUUGAGCUAAGGCCAAUUCGGCCUCUAUCUAGGACCUAAAAAUUCGGACAGAAUGCUCCCUUAAGAACCCUAGUUUUCUGAAAUUUCUUCCAAACCAGAAAUUGGCUGCAAUUAAUCACUUUUUCCACCUCCUAGAGUCAUUAUAUACCAUUUCCAAUCAUCAUAUAUAGCCACACAAUCAUGCUUAUAUUAAUGCAGAAAAAUCCCCAAAAAUAAUAAAACUUCAUCAUUUCAACCACAAAUCAAAAAUUAAUCCAUAAACUUGCAUCUUAUACUACCACUAAGCAUGAUUUAAGCAUCAAUUAAAGGAGGAGGGUGGUUCUUCACAACUUACCUUAGAAACAAGAGAGAGAGAGAGUUAUUGGUCACCUUAACUUUCCAAAAAACUUCACACAACAACUCACCAACACUUCCUUAAGUGGUUUUAUGGAGCAAAAUCAAGGUUGGAUGGUUGGUUUUGGUGAUUUGGAACAAGAUUGAAGUGUUUUCUUCCUUGUGCUUGGAGUAAGAGAGAGAGAAAGAGAGCAAGAGAGGGCCGGCUUCAAGGAGGAUUUUUUUGAGGAUUUUUGGGUCAAUUUUGGUUAUUUAAGUCAAUGGUAAGAAAGGUCUUAAGGCAAGCCCAAUCAAAUGGUGACACUUGUCACCUUUUAUUAACUCUCUACCUAACUUGUCUCUCUCAUAUCAAUCCAAAUUGCACCCUCCACUUAUCUCUUAACACCCGGUAAAUUCAUUCCAGUAUUCAAAACUUAAUCUAGUUGGCCGAAUUUUUUCGAACUUUUCGCACUAGUGGAUCCCACGUCCGGUAUACGCUCUUAAUUCCUCAAAAACUAACCGAUACUAGAAAAAUCAUUUAAAAGCUAUAUUUACUCAUAAAAUUUAUUUGCACAAUGUUUCGAAUAAAGAAAAGGUGGAAAAACGUAUAAUUAAAAGAAAUUAAAACCUAGAAAUUAAGAAAAUUACGGGUCCUCACACUUUCUCCCCCUUAAAGAAAUUUCGUCCUCGAAAUUUUCUUAUCAGCGGAAUCCAUCAAAUCUAAGGUACCCAAUAGAUCGUACCUUCUACGUCCUCAGACGAGUCAGGGACCAGAUGAUGCUCCAGGGAAUAUAUUCGAGCCGGUACUUUCGCUCCAGUCCCUUCUCCUUUCGACUGUACAGGGUUGGUCUUGGCUGGUUGCUGAGAGUUAGUCUUGGUUGGUGGCGGAGUCCCUCUCCGCUCGCGCAGGCGAGCUGGACAGUUAGCAAUUCGAUGUUCAGCGCUUCCACAGCGCAAGCAUUUUCCUUCUUUCUUUCAGCAAUUGGUUUCAAUAUGAUUUGGCCCUCCACAAUAUCCACAAGAACCACGAGUAGCAGAGACUGAUCCCCCAUGUGGAACACCACCUGUCACCCCCGGUAGCCGUACUUCCCCGUUUCCCUUUCGAACUUUAGGGAUUGUACUAUUAUCCGCUUGUUCUGAGCUGCUCCCCGGAAAGCCCCUUUUUCUUGUUUGGAAGUUUCUAACUUGUAACCUUGCAGUUUCAACGCGCUGGGCCUUCUCCACCGCAUCACUAAAGGCAUUAAGUUGGGCUACCGCCAGAUCUUUUUGAAUUUCAACAUUUAAUCCCUGGAUGAAUCGCCUUAUCCGUCUUUGUUCAGUUACAAUCAGUUCGGGCGCAAACUUAGACAACCGAGUGAAUUGACUCUCAUACUCGACUACGGUCUGAGUUCCUUGGCGAAGCCGAAUAAAUUCAUCUUCCUUCUUUUCUUGGAUUAGAGGAGGGAAAAACUUGGCAUUAAAUUCCCUCAUAAAGUUCGCCCACGUCCUCGGGGUUUGUUCUCUUUCCCAUUUCAUUCGAAUGACAUUCCACCAGGAACGGGCGGCUCCCUCUAGUUGAAAGACAGCAAAUGUUACCUGUCUCUACUCAGUAUAGUGUAAGGCAGCGAAAAUAUCGAUCAUCUUCUCUAGCCACUUCUCAGCUACGUCAGGAUCAGGGCCUCCAAGAAAUUUGGGUGGGGAGAACUUCUGAAAUCUCUCAAGGGCUCUAUCCUCGCCCUCUAUGUGAUUACCAGGAUUCCCAGGGUUGGGGUUAGGGUUUUGACCUUGUUGGUGCACCACUUGGGCUAGCAAAUCAGUCAUUUGCUGCAUGGCAGCAGCUAUUUGGACAUUGGGGUCAACCCUAGGUUCAGGGUUUGGUUUAUAUGAGGUUUCUCCAGUGCGCCUCUCAGAUAUAGGUUGCCUAAUUCCACGCCCGCGGCCCCGUCCACUACGAGUGCCUUCCAUUGGUCUAAUAAAUCUAGGGUCGAAGCGGGAAUAUAAUAUUAAACAUAGGUAGGCAAAAGCAAGUAGCAAAAGGUACGCACAGAUCAAAAGUAUACAUAUAUAACAUAACUGUAUCAAAUAAGCCACACAAUAGCAAUCAAUUAGAUACAAAUCCAUGAAAAUAGCAGGGUUAUCCAAAAGUACUAUAGACACACUAGGUCACAAGUACAAGAAUAACUAACGAAAAUCUUUUCCCCUCUAAGGCUCCGUCCUUAAUCGACGAGAACAACACCAUUGAUAUCCUAAUCAAGGUUGAUCAUGCUUAACAACACCCGAACAGACUGCACGAAGUUCCAUCGAAUCACAUUGCUAGUUCGCCCAAGUCCUUUCUAACCUAGGCCCUCAUCUCUUUCGUAUCCGGGCGCAAGAAUCCCAUCUAAGAUAAUUCACAACUCGAGCCGGCCGGUCCCAAGCGUAAAUCAUCCAUACUAAAGAUUCCUACCCGACAUACUUAUCUGUCGUCCUCAAGUUCCACAAUAAAGACUUUUACACUUAUAACAUGCCCCAUUCAUAACAUACGCUCAAACGAGCACUUAGACAUAUCCAUGAAAUCAGGACAUAACACCACUUGGCCCUAGGCUCACUCCGCGCAGAGACCAUGCGAAGUGGCUCUGAUACCACCUGUGACAGUUCUCAGGGUCACAUCACAAGGUACCUAUCAGCUUGCCACCCGCACGCGGGCAUCCCCUACGGAGAGUUUCGCUUCGUGACUCUUCACGAACGAGAGGCUCGGGGCUUUUCCAGUAAAAGGACGUAGAGUCCCAACCAUUGGCAUAUGGCUCUGAUACCACCUGUGACAGCCCCACCUCACCCUAAGGCGAACCAAAGGAUUCAGCGGACCGCCUGCCCAGCUCUCGCCAGGACUACGGAGUCGAAUCACACAAAUCCGAUAUUACGUGAGAGGACCCAAAAGAAAUGAGCGAUUGAAGACCGCCAAGCUUAAACAUGGGGAAAACGCUUUCAUAUAUACAUGUCACUAGGUUUACAAUUCAAAUGGAACCAGUGAAACGAAAUACAUUUAGGGUUUGCUCAUUCUCGAGGAGCUAUACAAAAGAACAAAAGAUUUUCUAACUAGCUCAACUCGCUUCUCAAAAUCAUGAUUUCCAAAAGAGAUUCCUGUAAGGAAAACAAAGAUAACGAGGAGGGGGUGAGCUUACGCCCAAUGAGGUACCAAACAUGUAGCAGAAAAAUCAGGUAUUUCACGUUAUACAAAACCAGAUACACAUGCUCGCUAUAAAGUAAGACAGGUAAACACAAGAACUCAAAUAGGAAGGAUACAGGUGGCUCUCAGGAGCCAGCUUUCCAGCGCAGUACUUGAUCCAAGCCGGUUGACUCUCCGUCAACGUAUAUAGAACCAACACGUCCGUAGACCCCACUUUACACCAAAUUUCGUCCACCAAACACCCCUUUACCGGGCCCGCUCACCUCAACAGAAACAGAAAUGGUAAUACUCGAGUAUACCGGAAUCAAGAGUCUCAAUACCCAAAGAUCCCAAAACAGACUACCGUGGUUCGUUAUCUAAUCGUCCAGGCCCUUGCCGGCCCGACUCGAAUAACUUAGCCACAGGAUUUGAGCUCAUAAGUCACAGAAAGGUCGUUGGUUACAAGUUUCCAAACGACGUCCGAACAGAUACAGAUACAGAUACAGAUACAGAUAUCAGAUACAUAGAUUCAGAUUGACACCAAAAUUGGCAUAUGAACAGACAAGAGAACGAGUGUGAUAAAGUACACCCUCGUCUCAAACAAAUUAAACAGAUUGCAGAGCAUAAAUCAAGUUAAACAGCAAUGGAGGGGAGUGGUACACUCACCGGUUCAAGUACAGAUACCUCAAAAGUUUUCACUUCGGAUUGGCUUUAAUUGCCAAGAAACCCUAAAAUAAUCAAAGUAAACCAAUUGAAGGUUUCACAUCCAGAAUCGAGUAAACAAAAUACACAUGUGAGGCUCGACUACUAGUCGUAUGCCUCGUCAAAUAAUUACUAAUGCAAGGGUACAAAACAUGAUUUUUUGGAAUAAAAAGGUAACACGAAGACCUAGGUUCAACAACCCAAAAGUCCUUCAUUUCUAUCACAAGCCAAUUCAAACUUAAAGGAACCAAUUGGCCUAGAAAAAAUUGGACAGCACUUCCCCUAAAUUUCUUACUUUUCCAGCCAUCACGGCUUCAUUAUUUUCCUCAAUCAACUCCCAAAGUCAUACUCAAUAUACAUUCAUCACCACAGCCGUUCAAUAGGCUCAAGGUUAUCCAAGUACAAAAGUUAGCUAGGAAAAUGACCGGAAAUAAAAGUCAAGCCCUAGAAUAUUCCACUAAGCACAAGAAGACUCGAUUACAAGUCAUAAACCGAUGCCAACACGAUCACAAUAGGGUUCCAUAAGUAUAUAUAAGCAUUAGAGGAAACCAGAAAUUUCGGAAAUGUAACUAGCUUUGGCCCUGAAAAAAAUAGUUUUUAUCCUCAUUUUGCGGUAAUGACACAAAUUUCACUACGCUUAUCGGAUGAGGGUGCAAGACCCACCAUCUCGAAGCUAAAAGACAGGGCUAAAACAUCACAGAAGGUCACUCAACCCAGUUUUGAGUACAAACAGGUCAAAAAUGCAAGAUACUACAUCAACAACGUAAAACAGAUUCACCAAAACGCAUUCUAGCGGAAACAUCAUAACUCAGGCUCUACAAGUCCAAAUCCAGAAAUUCCAAAACCAGCUGAAAGCUAAGAAACAGGGACAAAUUUCAUCAGAAGGCCUCAACAACCAAUUCGGAAGCAAUUCCAGGCAAAACAACCAAUUACAGGCGCAGUUCUCAAUUUCGGGUAAAACCAGAACAGCAAUAGUAAUUUCGACUUAUCUCAUUCUACACCACUCCGAUUGACCUGAAAUUUUGUAGGAACCUCUAAAAUGUCAUUCCCUACAACUUUCAUGUUUUGAGCUAAGGCCAAUUCGGCCUCUAUCUAGGACCUAAAAAUUCGGACAGAAUGCUCCCACAAGAAUCCUAAUUUUCUGAAAUUUCUUCCGAAACAGAAAUUGAUUGCAAUUGUCCACUUUUUCCACCUUCUAGAAUCAUUACAUACCAUUUCCAAUCAUCAUAGAUAGCCACACAAUCAUGCUUAUAUUAAAACAGAAAAAUCCCCAAAAAUAAUAAAACUUCAUCAUUUCAACCACAAAUCAAAAAUUAAUCCAUAAACUUGCAUCUUAUACUACCACUAAGCAUGAUUUAAGCAUCAAUUAAAGGAGGAGGGUUGUUCUUCACAACUUACCUUAGAAACAAGAGAGAGAGAGCUAUUGGUCACCUUAACUUUCCAACACACAACAACUCACCAACACUUCCUUAAGUGGUUUUAUGGAGCAAAAUCAAGGUUGGAUGGUUGGUUUUGGUGAUUUGGAACAAGAUUGAAGUGUUUUCUUCCUUGUUCUUGGAGUAAGAGAGAGAGAAAGAGAGCAAGAGAGGGCCGGCUUCAAGGAGGAUUUUUUUGAGGAUUUUUGGGUCAAUUUUGGUUAUUUAAGUCAAUGGUAAGAAAGGUCUUAAGGUAAGCCCAAUCAAAUGGUGACACUUGUCACCUUUUAUUAACUCUCUACCUAACUUGUCUCUAUCAUAUCAAUCCAAAUUGCACCCUCCACUUAUCUCUUAACACCCGGUAAAUUCAUUCCAGUAUUCAAAACUUAAUCUAGUUGGCCGAAUUUUUUUGAACUUUUCGCACUAGUGGGUCCCACGUCCGGUAUACGCUAUUAAUUCCUCAAAAACUAACCGAUACUAGAAAAAUCAUUUAAAAGCUAUAUUUACUCAUAAAAUUUAUUUGCACAAUGUUUCGAAUAAAGAAAAGGUGGAAAAACGUAUAAUUAAAAGAAAUUAAAACCUAGAAAUUAAGAAAAUUACGGGUCCUCACAGAUAUUAUCUAAACGUUUUAUCCCCGAUUUCCUAGAUAAAGGCUUAAAUACUUUUGAAUGUUAUCAAACCCCUCUCGAACCUCGAUUUACGAGUAAUUGAGGUUCAUUUUCACGGAAUCCCCUAGAUUAAUACUAGUGAACGAAUUAUUCCUCGAUAUUUGGAAUUUGGCUGAUAAUUCACUAUUAUUUGCUCAGGCGCACACAAGGACCUUCAAGAGAAUCCCACGGUGGACGCUUGAACUUUCCUUGACCUUACUUACACCUAAUACUUGGUGGGUGUCAGGUGUAUGUAAACUUGUUACAUGUUUAAUUGUUAUUAAUGAUUGGAAAUCUUGAAAGUGGAGUCGAGUGUGUACUUUACCACACUCGUUCUCAUUAGAAAUGAAAUAUUAAUGGUUGAAAUGUAUUGAAUGAAUGAUUGAAAUGUAUUGAAUGAAUGAAUGAAAUGUAAUGGUAUGCUAUAGUUGCCUACGUCGUUGGAGUGAAUCUCGUCGACACACAAGUGCACAUGGGGACGCCCAAAUCUCAUUGACCGACCUUGGACUCGAGCCGGCAUGGGUUUGGUCGGGAACCUUGGCGAGCCAUGAGAUAUAUAAGCUUGACCUAGUGAGAGGUCUUGCUUGGCAUACUCGAGUAGUAUCGCCACAAACAAAUGACAGGCGGGCCCGAUACAGGGGUAUGUUAGGUGAAAGGGGACAGGUUAAGUGGAGUUCUACGGACUAAACCUACCCGAUUGACGGAGUGUCAAUUCGUGGAGGUUAUUGAAUGUGCAAGUGGAAUAUAGCUCCUGAGGGCUCCAGUAUCCUUGAAUUGUUUCUGGUUAUAUUUCCAGUAAAUUGUUAAUUACUAAAAUAUGAUUGCUUGACUUAUAAAUUGAGAUUGUUAUUUGAGCAAUGUGCUUGUAUGUGUGUUCUUGGCCUCACGAGCGUUUUGCUCACCCUGUAGAUUUGUUUUCCUUAACAGGAUUGAACUUGGCAAGGUAUCGAAGAAACCUUCCUGAUACGCUUUUGUUUAGGGUUUCUAUUACUUUUGACUUUGUCUUGGCUUUUGGGAUGUAUUUUGGAAUCCGAAUGUAACUUUUGGAGUAUGAUGGUUGUUGAACACCCGAUGUGCGGGUUGGAUAUCAGAUGACUUUUAUUAAACUUGAACGCUUUCGCAUUUAUUGUAUCUAAGUUAUUGACUCGUAUGGUGUGGUCCGGCAAUAAGUUUAAAUGGAAUUGCUUGAGUCCUGGCGAGAGCUAGGCAGGCAUCCCGCGGAUACCCUUUGGUUCGCCUUAGGGAGAAGUGGGGGCGUCACAGCUAUAGUCCUGUCUAAUGGUCAUAAUAGCCUGGUAUAGAGUCCGGCCAAUUAACAAGGUCAUGAUAGUUCGGUAUAGAGUCCGACCGAUUGACCCAUGUAUGUAAUGAGACCAAUUGGUAGUCAUGAAACCUAUUGGUCGCCCACCUAAAAGGGGUUUAAUCUCUAAGUUGAGUACUCAGAUGCCGGUUAUUGCAUGUACUUGUUAUGAACUGAUAUGAAAUGACUUAUGAUUUUAUGACCUUAUGACUUCCAUGUACGGUUAUGAAUAAGAUGUUUAUGAAUUGCUGUGUUACUCUUUAUUACUGGUUGUUUUACAAAUAACAUUACUUUCAACGAUUAUGGAUGUGAAUAAUGUGUAAAUAAAUUGAUUUAUGUAUAUAUGUAUAUGUAAAGUUAUGGUUGCAUCGUCCAACAGAGGGGUAGAUACUACCUACUGAGCGAUUUGUCGCUCAACCCAAUUUUUACCAUUUUUGCAGAUUUUGAAGAGUAUGAGUUGGUUUACAUAGAAGAUCCUGAGAAUGAUUUUUAUUAGUUCUAAGUGACUAGAAAUUAGCAGCCUAGCUGCUUCUAGCUGUUAGUUUAUUUAUAUUUCUUUCCGCUAUUACAACUAGAAAAUAAAUGUACGAACUUAUUGGAUAUUCGUAGACUAUUUUGCAUUUGAGAUUUGUACCGCACUUUCUUUAGUUAUACUAUUUAGUACUUGUUAAAUUUAGUCUAGUUUGAUGUUGCCUUGUAUUUUUUAGUGUGACUUGAGGAUACGGCGGAUGUCACGUGAUUGGCGCGUGCGGACUCGGGGCGUGACAUUUUUAGUCAUGUGACAUCCGCCGUAUCCUCAAAUCCCACUCAAUGAUACAAAGGCAACAUUAAGCUAGACUAAAUUUAGAAAGUACUAAAUAGUAUAACUAAAUAAAGUGCGGUACAAAUCCGAAAUGAAAGGUAGUCUAUGAAUAUCCAAUAAAUUCAUACAUUUAUUCUCUAGUCGUAACAGUGAAAAAGAAAAUAAAUAAAACUAAUAGCUAGAAGCAGCUAGGCUGCUAAUUUCCAUUCACGUAGAACUAAUAAAAAUCAUUCUCAAGGUCUUCUACGUAAAUCAACUCAUACUCCUCAGAAUCUGCAAAAAUGGUAAAAAUUGGGUUGAGCAACAAAUCGCUCAGAAAGUAGUAUCUACCCCUCUGUUGGACCAUGCAACCAUAACUUUACAUAUACAUAUACAUAUAUAUAUACAUAUAAAUUAAUUUAUUUACACAUUAUUCAUAUCCAUAAUCAUUGAAAGUAACGUUAUUUGUAAAACCAUCAGUAAUAAAGAGUAAUAUCGCAAUUGAUAAAUGUCUCAUUCAUAACCGUACAUGGAAGUCAUAAAGUCAUAAGUCAUUUCAUAUAAACUUAUAACAAGUACAUGCAAUGACCGGCUUCUGAGUACUCAAUCUAGAGAUUAAACCCCUUUUAGGUGGGCGACCAAUAUGUUUCAUGACUACCGAUUGGUCUCAUUAUAUUCAUGGGUCAAUCGGAGAGACUCUAUACCAGACUACCAUGACCUUGUCAAUCGGCCGGAUUCUAUACCAGGCUACCAUGACCAUUAGGCAGGACUAUAGCCCCUACCGUCUAGUCCAUGACUAUUUUACUUAACAUAAAUUCGUUUCACAUGUUACAUACAUAAUUCUUUAAUUUCAUAAAAGAUACAACUCAUUUGACAUAUAAUAGCAUAUCAAAAUGUUUCAAAUAAGUCACAUGGUCCAUCUUUGUAUAGUAAAAAUAGAACUUGCAUAAAUAUUCAAGUAGAUCACUUAAUCAAAUGCAUUUCAAACCAACACAUCAAAAUAUGAUUGACAACAAAAAUUUCACUUUGCACUUUUGAAAUCUCAGAAGGGUAAGUACCACCUACCUUUGUCUGGCUACUCGAGUGGAACUAUUUUAUGUCUUCUAAACUUGUGUUGUACCUAUCAAAUGCAUAUGUUUCCUAGUUAGUUAAUAUUUCUUAUAAAUGCAUAGAUAUACACACUCUGAAUAAUUUUUAAGAUUCAUGUCUAGACCAUUAUGUGAACCCUAGCAGAGUUUUCCUAAAUUGAAAAGUUUUUAUUUUUGGAAAGUUUCUAUUUUUAAAAAGUUUCCAUUUUUGCAAAGUUUCUUAAUUUGGAAAGUUUCCCUUUUGGUAACGUUUCUUAAUUUAAAAGAACAUAAUUAUUCAUAAUCAUAUUUAUUAUCUUGACUAUUAUCUUACUAUACAUAUUUAUGAUUUAUUAUUAUCCAUUAUUAUUAUCAGUGUUAUCGUUAGUAUUGAUAUUAUUGCUAUUAUAAUUGUAAGUGCUUCGUUUAACCUUCUAGGACUUAUCUUACACAGUAUAAAUUAAUCUGAUAAGGCUAGAUUAAGAUAUUUUAGAUUCCUAUCUAAGUAUCCUAGACUUAAUUAAUUCAGUAUAAACUUAAAUGACUAAUCUUUAACUUCGAAAAUUAUCUUUAGGUUGGGUUUUGAAAUUUAGUUCCUAUGUUAGUUCAUAAAAGAUGGCCUAGUUAUUUCUAAAUUUAUUUACUGUAUAUUCACUAAGCCCAUGCUAUCUUUCUAAUCCAAUAUACUUGCCAUUAUAUAUAAAUGUGUGUAUAUAUAUAUAUUUUAUUAUUACUAUUAUAUUUUUUUUUCUUUGGCCAUCCUUGCCUGGCCCUUUUUGUUUCUUACUUCACCUGGCGCUGCCAAAGCUUUUCUCAAGCUUUGGCAGCGCCACAAUUCUUGACUAGCCGAAAGGGCAACCUUUGGAAUGGUUCCAGGCUUUCUCUCCUGCCUCUUUUUCUUUCUUUUGUCCUAUUCGGUUGGCCUUUCAUGUCGCCGGCAAGUUUUGUGUUGCGCUUCAGGAACGGCGCACAAUAGCAGCGGCGGGGCCGCUGCUCCAACCCCCUCUUCUCCUUCUUUUUUUUAAAAGAAUGAAGAUUUCAAUUCCAUCCUACCCCAUAGCUAACAUUUAGUACCCUAUUUCUAUCGAUCCAAAUAUAAAUCUUCAUAAAUUUCUCCUACAGGCUUAAAUAUAUCAUAAUGCAUAUAUGCACGAAAUUUUCAAAAUAACUCAUGGAAUUAAAUAGACUUAAGAGAAAAAGAAUUUUAGCAUGCGUUCAGAAUUUACAGAUCUAGGCGUUUAAUUGUCUGCUUGUUCGACGGCGAUGUUCUCUUCUUCUCCUCUACUCUUAGUUGAUUCUUUCUCUAGGGGAGGUAGACAAGGAAAAAAUAGGAAUGGUGUUAUUUUUUUUCUCUCUAUUGUUUUGAUAAAAUCCUAAACUCUAGCACUAGUAGAGCUGUAAACGAACCGAAUCGAACCGAGUAUCUCAUGUUUGAGUUCUGUUCGUUAAGCAGUUCGAACAACGUUCGUGUUCGUUCGUUAAUUUUCGAACUCCAAACCUGUGUUCGUGUUCGGUUCGUUAAGUAAAAUUCGUGUUCGAGUUCGAGUUCGAGUUCGGCUCGUUUAACAUAAACGAGCCAUUCGCGAACAUGUUCGAAAUGCUCGAAUCCAAAUUAUUUUAUGCCUUAAAUAUGCCAUGCAAAUUAUUAAUCAUUCUAAAAAAUAAUUAAAGCACUAAGUGACUAAAUUCUAUUAUUCAUUAACUAUAUAACUAACAUUAACAUAAAAACAACAAAUAAAACAAAGAAAUUUGCCCUCCAAAUAUAAAAGUCCAGCCAUAAAAUUAACCCUAAAAUUUGUUAAAUGAUAAUUAUGUCUAUGUUCGCGAACGUUCGUUAAAACUCGCGAACAUAUUCGUGUUCGCGAACGUUCGUUUAGCAUGUUCGCGAACGUUCGUUAAAACUCGCGAACAUGCUCGUGUUCGCUCGAUUAUUAAUCGAACAAAAAAAUUCGUUCGAACUCGGUUCGUUUAAAAUUUCGAACGAGCCUUUCACGAACACGAACGAGCCGAAACGAACCGAGCUACCGAACAGCUCGGUUCGUUUAACAGCUCUAAGCACUACCCACUAGUAGGUGGUUUAGAUAAGAGUCUUAGUUUAUUAUGAACUCUUAUCCCACCUCAUCUCCUUACUAACCCUAAUUACUCAUCUACCCUAUCCUACUAAUAAAUUUUUAUAUUAUUAUUAAUUUUUUUUCUUUACCCAUAGUAAUUUUGCCUUUUUAAUCAAUUAAGCAAAAGAAACUAAUAAAUAAUUUUAAAAAAUGAGCAAGGAUGUGGGUUUUACAUUCUACCCCCUUUACAAAAAAUUUCAUUUUCGAAACUUACAUACCUUGAUAAAAAAGAUAGGGGUAUUUAUUCCGCAUGUCUUCCUCUAACUCCCACGUUGCCUCUCACAGUGUAUGGUUCAUCCAUUGCACCUUCACGUAGGGUAUGGUCCUUCUCCUUAGAACUUGGUCCUUCCGGUCCACGAUUCUUAAAGGAACUUCCUCCACUGAUAAGUUCUCCCUUACCUCGAUGGGUUGAUCCUCCAAAAUGUGGCUCGAGUCCGAUACAUACUUUCUCAGUUGGGAGACAUAAAAAACAUUAUGUAUCCUUGACAAAGCAAGCGGGAGAACCAAUCGAUGUGUUAGAGGUCUAACUCUAUCCAGUAUUUCGUAAGGCCCUACAUAUCUCGGACUUAACUUGCCACUUCUUCCAAAUCUCAUCACUCCCUUGGUAGGGGAUACUUUCAAAUAUACAUUUUCUUCCGGUUGAAACUCCAAAGGUCUCCUCUUUGAAUCCACCCAACUCUUGUUUCGGUCCUGAGUUACUUUUAAUCUUUCUUGAAUAAUCUUAAUUUUCUCCAAAGUUCUUUAUACCAAAUCAGGGCCAGUGAUCAGUUUCUCACCUACUUCAUCAUAAUAUAAGGGGGAUCUAAACUUUGGUCCAUAUAAUGCUUCAAACGGUGUCAUACCUAUACCGCUAUGACAGCUAUUAUUGUACGAGAACUCGAUUAGUUUUACCAACCUAUCCCAACUAUCCGAGAAGUCUAGAGCACAAGCUCUGAGCAUGUCUUCCAGUGUCUGUAUAGUCCUUUCCGAUUGUCCAUCCAUUUAAGGGUGGAAGACGGUACUUAAUCUCAAGUUAGUCCCCAUAACUUCUUGAUAGGUCGACCAAAAUUUAGACGUGAAUCUAAGGUCUCGGUCAGACACUAUACUUACUGAAACACUGUGAAGACAUACGAUUUCCUCCAUAUACAUCUCUACCAACCUCUCCAUUGUUACCUCAUUCGACAUUAGUAGAAAGUGGGCAGAUUUGGUUAGCCGAUCGACUAUAACCCAAAUGGCAUCGUUAUUCCUAAUUGUUCGAGGCAAUCCUACCACAAAAUCCAUUGUCACAUGUUCCACUUCCAUUGGAGAAUUUCUAGGGGUUGCAAUAAGCCGGCAGGUCUUUGAUACUCGGCCUUUACUUGUUGGCAUACCAGACACUUCGCCACAUAUUCCGCUAUUUCUCGUUUCAUCCCAUUCCACCAAUAAUUCCUCUUCAAGUCUUGGUAUAUUUUAGUCCCACCAGGGUGAAUUGAGAAUCUUGAAUUGUGUGUCUCUUUUAGCAAUUUCUGUUUCAAUCCUUCAUCCCUUGGCACACAUAAUCUACUCUCUUUCCACAAACUCCCAUCGUCUUUCAAUUCAAUCCUAUCGAAGGGUUCCACUCUAAGUUUUUCCUUAAUCUUUGCACACCCGUCAUCACAAUGUUGUGCUUCUUUAAUCCUAUCUAUUAAGGUAGGUGCGACCACUAAGGCAGCUAGCAUGUGAGCCGUGGAGUCCACCAUUUUCACUUCAAAAUUCUCCAUCUGAUCCUUUGUUGUGGGUUCUCUUAAUACCCUUGACUUCCUACUGAGAGCGUCUGCUACCUUAUUUGCCUUGCCUAGAUGGUAACUAAUCGUCAAAUCAUAAUCCUUAAUUAAUUCUAACUACCUUCUCUACCUCAUGUUCAAUUCCCUUUGAGUAAAUAGAUACUUGAGACUCUUUUGAUCAGUGAAAAUCUCACAUUGCAUACCAUAUAAGUAAUGCCUUCAUAUUUUCAACGCAAACACUACUGCCGUCAAUUCCAAAUCAUGCGUUAGAUAAUUCUGCUCGUAAGGUUUUAGUUGGCGCGAAGCAUAAGCAAUUACUCUCCCAUUUUGUAUCAAAAUGUAUCCUAAAUCAUUUUUAGAGGCAUCACUAUAAAUCACAAAUCCUUCCGUUCCAGAGGGUAGGGUAAGUACUGGGGCUAACAUUUAUCCGUCCAUUCAAAUUUUGCUCUCUUUUGAGUCAACCUAGUAAGAGGCAUAACAAUGGUGGAGAAUCCUUCCACAAAUUUUUGAUAAUAGUUGGCCAACCCUAAGAAACUCCUCACUUCGGAUACAUUACUGGACCGUGGCCGGUCUACAAACUCCUCACUUCGGAUACAUUACUGGACCGUGGCCAGUCUACAAUUGCCUCGGCUUUCUUUGGAUCAACUGACACUCCUUGGGCCGAUAUAACGUGUCCUAAGAAGGCCACACUCUUCAACCAAAAUUCACAUUUACUAAAUUUAGAGUACAAUUUCUCCCUUCUUAAUAUCUCUAGAACCUCCCUAAGGUGGGCGGCAUGAGCUUCCUCAUUUAGGGAGUAUAUUAGAAUGUCAUCGAUAAAUAUCACAACAAAACGGUCUAGUUGUGGUUUGAACACCCUAUUCAUCAAAUCCAUAAAGCUGUCUGUACGUUGGUUAAUCCAAAUGGCAUUACUAAAAACUUAUAGUGCCCAUAUCUUGUACGAAAUGCACUUUUCUGAAUAUCAUCAGCUUUAAUCUUCAAUUGAUGGUAUCCAGAUUUUAAAUCUAUCUUGGAGAAUACUUUAACUCCCUUCAUUUGGUCAAAAAGAUCAUCUAUCCUAGGAAGGGGAUAUUUAUUCUUUAUCGUGAUUCUAGUCUAAAAAUGAAUUGCGAAAGUGGUGUCAGAUUGGGACCUAGAUUCACGUCUAGAUUUGUGUCGACCUACCAAGAGGUUAUGAGGACUGAUCUGAGACUAAGUAACGCCUUCCAUCCCCAAACAGAUGAACAGUCAGAAAGAACCAUACAGACACUCGAAGACAUAUUGAGAGUUUAUGCUCUAGACUUCUCGAAUAGUUGGGAUAGGUUAAUAAAACUAAAGAAAUUCUCGUACAAUAAUAGCUACCAUAGUGGGAUCGGUAUGACACAGUUUGAAACAUUGUACGGGCGAAAAUGUAGAUCUCCCUUAUAUUUGGAUGAAAUAGGUGAGAAACUGAUCACCGGCCCCGAUUUAGUGGAACGAACUGUGAGAACCCAGAAGAAAAGAAAAAAAUUUAAAAAAAUAUUAUUUUAUUCCUGUGCACCCGAUUUCUUUUAUUUUCUUUAUUAUAUUACUUUUAUCAACAUUUUAUCAGUAAAUAUAGUUUUUAAAUCAUUUUUCUAGUAUAAGGUAGUUCGUGAGAAAUUAGGAAUGUAUUUUGGCUGUGGGACCCGCUAGUGCAUUAAGUGAGAGAAAUUCGGCCAAUUAGGUUAAAUUUUGCGUAAAGGGAUUUUAUUACUAGGGAUUAGGAGAUAGGUGGAGGUUACCUAGAUGGAUUAAUCAUGGAGGGACAAGAGGAUAACUCUAGCAAAAACAAAGUGCCAAGUGUCCAAUUGUUGUUGGACUAAGCUUACCUAACUUUUGACUUAACUUUCUUUACUUUCCUUAAAGUCUAAUUUUGACCAAGUUGUCUUCAUUCUUCAUCUCCUCAUGGCCGAACCUCUCUAGCCAACAAAGGAAAGAAAUCUUCAAAUCCUUGCUCAAUCUUGAAAACUAGCCGAUUAUUUCUUGAAUUAGUCCAUAAAAUCAUCUUGCUAAGGGUCUUUGACGAACUUGGUGGUGUUGUUUUGGAAGGAAAUCUCCUAAGCUACAACCUUUCUUGAAGAACUAAGGUAUCUUGCUUGGAACUCAUCUUUUGGUUUUAAUUUUGGCCAAUUGGUGCCUUAUAGUAGAUAUAUACGUGAUUUUUCGGAAGAUUUGGUGGAUUGGAGUGAAGCUAGCUAAUUUUCUGAUUUUUGUGGGACUUUUCUGUUUUCCUAUGAUUGAGAUGAUUGAGCUGGAAUUGAUGGUUCUAAAUGGCAUUAUAUAGCUCUCUUGUGCGUUAAUUGUGGUUAAUUGCGGAAAAUUUCCGCUUGUGCGGAAAAUUUCAGAUUUAGGGUUACUAAAUGGGGGUUUUCUAUGGUUGAUAGUUGAGCUUCUAAUUGGCUAUAAUUGAGGGGUAUUAUGACCCCAAUGAAGUAUAUUGAAUGGCUUAUGAAUUGUUUGGGUGCUUGUGGUUGUGUUGGAUGGCUUUUAAUGGUUGUCUUGUAGGUUGGAAAAGCUGAAAUUUUAGGGGAAAUGCUGUCCAAGUGUCUAGGGUAUCGGAUUCUUAUGAGUUGGGUUGAGAUUUGAUAGAAAUGAAUAAUCUUAGGGUUUAUUUCUACUUUUAACCCUAAAUGUUAUGUAUUUUUCAUUUCCAAGCUAUAUUUGGGUCUUACCUUAAUAGUUCCUAGAAAAAGGUAUUCGACUUGUGUUUGCGUUUUCAUUGUACUUUCUUGAUUGUUAUAGGGCGUGCCGGUGAUCCGAGACUCACGUCGGGCGAAAACUUGUGAAAUUUCUUUGUUGAACUUGGUGAGUGUACUACUCACAUGUUUGUUAUUCCGUGGCUUUCUUGUACUUGAAUUCUGUGAUUUGGACUAGUUGAGAUGAUUGUUUGAGCUAGGUGAGGCGAGGGUGUACUUUACCACUCUCGUACUCUCUGGCCUUCUUGACUGGUUAUUAUAUUAGGCUUACUUGACUGUACUUGUAUCACUUGAAUACUCUUGACUGUACUUGAUUUGGUGUCGAUUGAAUACCAAUCUUUACUGUUCACUCUGGGCUCUACCUCAUUGGAAGUCAAUGGACUCGAGCCAGUAAGGACUUGGUCGGGGACAUUUGACAAGCCAUGGGGACUGUAUUUGGGAAUCUUUGGGUAUGAGACCCUUGAUUCCGGUAUACUCGAGUAAUACCAACUCUGUACUGUUUGGUGUUCGGGCCCGGUAAGGGGAAAGUGAGGUGGACGGAUAAUUGGAGUAAAGAGGAGUCUACGGUCAUGAUUACCUGGUAUACAUUGAAGGAGAGUCAAUGAGAUGAGAUCAAGCAUGGCAAAAGAGGAAAAUGGCUCUUGAGAGCCAUCCGUAUCCUUUUAUUCCCUACACUUGGGGGUUGUUACUUUUACUUCCUUGACGUGCAUAUUUGGACUGAAUAUUCUUGUGUUUAUGUGAUCCUGGUAUAUUUUCGUGAUGGUACUUCAUUGGGCGAAAGCUCACUCCGUGAAUUUUGUUUUCCUUACAGGGAUUUACCUUUUGGACUUUUGAUUUUGAAGAAUGAGUUGAGUAGAGCUAGUUGAGAGAUUUUGUAUAGCUCCUCAAUAGUUGGAAACUUAAUUGUACUGGGAUUUAAAUGCUUCCUUUUGGCUUGUAACCACACGAAUGUGGUUUGUAACAGUGUGUGUGUACUCAUGUUCAAUGUAUUAUAUUUGGCUUGUAUAUAUUCCUUUCAGGGGUUGUAAAAAGUUACUUGUAUUCGAUUGGGUCCUGGCGGAUUGUGACGUGGUAGUCACUAUUCACUUUACGUUUUAACUUUUAUUUUUCCGUUUCUUGAUUGUUGGCUUGGUUGAGCGCGCUAGUAGAUUCCCGAACGACUUGAGUUACUGUUUUACCGUUUUAGUAGUCCUGGCGAGAGUUGGGCAGGCAGUCAGCUAACCCCUUUGGUACGUCUUAGGGGAAGGUGGGGCUGUCACACGAACCUUGGAGAAGAUUAAAGUUAUUCGAAAGAGACUAAAAGUAACUCAGGACUGAAAUAAGAGUUGGGCAGAUUUAAAGAGAAGACCUUUAGAAUUUCAACCGGGAGAAAAGGUAUAUUUGAAAGUAUCCCCUACCAAGGGAGUGAUGAGAUUUGGAAGAAGUGGUAAGUUAAACCCAAGGUAUAUAGGACCUUACGAAAUACUGGAGAGAGUUGGACCUUUAGCGUAUCGACUGGCUUUUUCACCUGCUUUGUCGAGGAUACAUAACGUUUUUCAUGUCUCCCAACUGAGAAAGUAUGUAUCUGACUCGAGCCAUAUUUUGGAGGAUCAACCCAUCAAGGUGAGGGAGAACUUGUCAGUAGAGGAAUUUUCUUUGAGAAUCGUGGAUUGGAAGGAUCAAGUUCUAAGGAGAAGGACCAUACCCUACGUUAAGAUGCAAUGGAUGAACCAUACACCGCGAGAGGCAACAUGGGAGUUAGAGGAAGACAUGCGGAAUAUAUAUCCCUAUCCUUUUUGUCAAGGUAAAUAAGUUUCGAUGACGAAACUUUUUGUAAGGGGGGUAGAAUGUAAAACUCAGGUCCCUUCUCAAUUUAUACUUUACUCAGUUAAUUAAAUGGUAAAUUGUCAUGGGUAAAGGUAAAAAUAAUUGUAGGAUAGAUUAAAGGGUUAAGUGGGAGAUAGGAAGGAGAUAAGAUAGGAUGAGAGUCACAACAAAUUAAAAUUCUUAUCUAAACCACCAAGUAGUGGGUGGUUACUAGAGUUUAGAACAUUUAUCAAAAUAACACAGGAAAAUAACACCGUUCCCACUUUUCAUUUGUCUACCUUCCCUUAGAGCAAGAAUCAACUAAGAAUAGAGGAGAAGAAGAAGACGUUGCCAUCAAACUAGCAGGCAAUUAAUCGUCUAGACCUGUAAGUCCCAAACGCGCAUGAAAGUUUUUCUCUUAAGUCUUAUUAAUUUCAUGAAUUAUUUUAAAUAUUUUAUAUAUAUUCAUAUCGCAAUAUAUUUAUGCCUGCCUGAAAAAUUUAGGAAGAUUCAUGAUCGAAUUUGUGAGAAUAUUGUAUUAACUUUUAAUUAUGGGAUGAAUAGGGUUUACCCAAAUCUGUUGAAAAAAAAAAUUCGAGUGAGAGGAACAGCGGUAGUCGCCGCUGCUGUGGUGCCCGUGGUUGAAGCCAAAGCUUCAGCAAUGCAAAAAUUAAGAUGUUUAUCAAUUGUUGUGUUACUCUUUGUUACUAGUUGUUUUACAAAUAACGUUACUUUCAACGAUUAUGGAUGUGAAUAAUGUGUAAAUAAAUUGAUUUACGUAUAUAUGUAUUUGUAAAGUUAUGGUUGCAUGGUACAACAGAGGGGUAGAUACUACCUACUGAGCGAUUUGUUGUUCAACCCAAUUUUUAUCAUUUUUGCAGAUUCUGAGAAGUAUGAAUUGAUUUACGUAGAAGACCCUGAGAAUGAUUUUUAUUAGUUCUACGUGAAUGGAAAUUAGCAGCCUAGCUGCCUCUAGCUGUUAGUUUUAUUUUUUUUCUUUUCCGCGGUUAUGACUAGAGAAUAAAUGUACGAAUUUAUUGGAUAUUCGUAAACUACCUUUCAUUUGAGAUUUGUACUGCACUUUAUUUAGUUAUACUAUUUAGUACUUUCUAAGUUUAGUCUAGUUUAAUGUUACCUUGUAUCAUUGAGUGGGACUUGAGGAUACGGCGGAUGUCACGUGACUGGCGCGUGCGAGCUCAAGACGUGACAUUUUUAGUGGUAUCAGAGCUUAGGUUAUAUGAUCUGUGUAGACACCAAAUUUUUGGUUUCGAAUUUUAUUUUUUAAUUAGUUUAAUUUUAGAUUUAUUUGUUUCAAUUUCAGGUUUAUUUUGGUUGUUUCCUGUUUCGUGCCUCUUAUUGUAUUUUAAUUAGUUUACGAGCAUUUAUUUUAUUUACUAAUUUGAUUAAAAAAAAGAGGAAAAAGAAAAGAAAAAUGAUGAAAGUGAAAAAUGAAGGAAAAAAGAUUGAAAAAUGGCAACUUUGUUGUUUUUAGUUUGUAUAUUUUGAUGUGAUAUUACUUAAAUUGUUGAUUUUUAUUACUUAGCUUUAUUAUUAAUUUUGUUAAAUUAUUAUUCCAAAAAAAAAAAAAAAAAGCCACGCGCUCAUAACUUUCUUCACAGAAACAUAGCUUCAGUACGCAAACCUCGUCCCUGGAAAUAAGACAGAACAAAAAUGGGAUUUUUCUCCAUUUUCCUUUUCUCUAAAAUCACCAAUACACAAUGCCACCUCACUCAUUAGAAGAUAUCAAGAAGCUUCUGGCACGAGACCAUCAAAUUGCUGAGAAAACUUGCCAGCAAUAUAGGGGUUUGAUCCGCACCCUUGAAGUUAGGUUUUAGGGAGAUUGGUUCCAUAUAAAAGGGGAAGAACAAACACAGCCGAAGGAGAGGAGAAGAAAAGAGUGACGGCGGAGGACCAAAAAGAAAGAAAAACAAGAGAGGACAGAGGUAGAGAGAAUAGGGGUUGGCGGCUGCGGUUACAAGGAACCGAGAGCUAGCAAGGAAGGAAGGUUGGCGGCGGAAACCAUAACCAGGAGAGCGAGGGUUUCGUGAGGUUGAGCAAAAAGAAACCAGAAAAGAGUGAAGGGGAAAGUUGGAGAGCGAGAGAGAGGCUAGUGACGGCGGAACAGAAACCAGAAAGGAGAGUUUUGAAAAAAAAAAAAAAGAAAAACAACCGAGAGCUUUGGAAGGAAGAAAAGGGCGACUCAACAGGAGAACCAAGAAGGAGUCACGGCUGGGGCGAGAGCCUGGAGAUUUCUGGUCAAAACCAAAAAAGAAGGAAGGGGACUGUCACUCAAGUUUCCUUAUCGUUGCUAAAAGUCCAUCGGAAAACGGCACAGUAAGGUUCCUUUCCCUGUUAUAUAGAUAAUUUUUAUCAAAUAAAUCAUGGAAACUAUGCUGGAUCUCGAGUCAAGUGAAUGUGGUCAAGAGUUGCGAUGUAGGUUCAUGGUUAUAGCUCAAAAGUGCGACCUUCUUACUGUUGUUGUGUAUGAUAGGUAUGUUAGGAUCUAAAAAUUUUUUGGUGUUGAUUAUAUUUCGUUCCUGGACUGUAGUUUAGUAGCAAGAUCCUAGCUUUGAAAAGAAAGGGCAUUUACAUGCCUGUUCCGUUUCCAUUUUGAAUCUGUUGUGGCUUGUUCGGAUGUCGGAAUUUUGUUCUGGUUUUGUUGCUGAAGUUCUCGAUUGUUUGAAGUGUUUGAUUCGUUUGUUGAGAGGUUUUGAGCCAUGGUUGGUUCGAAGUUUUGAAUGAAUUCUUGUUAAAAAUUUAUAGACAACUGCAUCGGAAAACCAUGAAAGCUAUGCCGCAAGCUCUUGCAAAGUUGCAGAUGGUUGAAUAAUAGGUUGACGGACCGUUUUUGCAUGAAAGUUUCCAAGAAUCUGCAUCAUUUCCUCCUAUGUUUUUUGCCCGUUUGGACGUUGAAGUUAUGUGUCUUGUUACUUAGUUUCAAAUUAUGAUUUUUGGUGAAAAUUUUUGAGCAAAGCUGUAUGCUUGGGUUCGAAAUCUGAGUUUGGAAAUGAAAAUGCAGCAGGCUUGCGCUUUCGAUUGCUGAAGUUUUUGCAUUGUUGAAGUAUUUGAUUUGUUUGCCAUUUGAUUGGAAUACCGUGUGCAUGUACGCCAUGAGGUAGAGUCGUGUUUUGAAGUAGAGUUCAGUUGCAAUAAAAAAUGCAGCGUAGCUUGGGCCGAAUUGCAUGAACUUUUGGGGGUGUUUUCUGCUCCCUUUGUUGCAUGUUCAGCUGUAUUAUGUUAAUCAAAGUGUCUGGUUGUCAAAUGGUGAUCGAGUGAUGGUCUUUGCUGGCUUUUGUUUGAAGUCUCCUAUGAACCCUGUAUUUGAGAGCUUAAAGUUGCAAAAAUAACUCUGGAUGAAUGUUGCAGCAGAAAAUUUGCUUCGUUACUUCGCAGGCUCCUUUUGCUUGAUUGAUUCUUUUGUUGCAUUAUAAAUCAAGUAGAUCAGGUGGUGGCUUGUUGUUUUGUGCGAAUUACAUUCGGUUUGGGCUGUCAAAUGCGUAGAGUUUGUUUGAGUUCUCACACACAAACAUAUCUAAGCUGAAGUAGAAAAAGCUGCUGCAUUCGUUCCUAUACCUCUGCUAUUUUCUUCUCCGCAAACAGCUCGUCAAGGGAGCUUUGUCAUCUAAUGUGCUAGUUAAUCUUGUUCUGAAAAGGAAGAAAUUGGAUAAGUAGUGUUUGAGUUUGCAUGCUUAGGGUCUAAAACACCUGAAUCAUGAUCGAACACCUUGCUGAAAAGCAAACAAGCAGGCUGCCGAAACCAUUUCUGCAUGUAUUUUUCAGAAUUUUGGUAUGAUAUGUUUCCAUGUUUUCUGGUCAUUUGGAUUGUGAUCAUUAUGUAGUCUGUUACUUGGCUUAAGGUAGUGGUGUUGGGUUGAAAAAUAUCUGAUCAAAGCCGUGUAUUUGAAUCAAAAUCUGGUCUGCAUGAUGAAAUGGAAAGGAAAAGCCGUGGCUGGAAAAGAAAAAACUGCAGAAAGCUUCAUACGUGAAUUGCAGAAGUAAUGAAGGCUUUAGUUCUCGUUGCAUACAUGAAAAAUGUUUCCAAAAAUUGCCUUUUAACCCCCCAAGCUUCCCUUUGUUUUACUAUGACCCAACCAAUUGAAUAAUGUCAUCAAUUUGGUCCUUGGUAGUUUUAAUUUUACAACUUCAUUGCUUGUUUGCUUCAAUCAAUUACUAUUCUUUGUUUCAAUUACACUUAAGUCAUGACUUUAGGUGCUUUAUGACCAAGUGAGCUCGGGUUUGCCUAUUUUCUUUAAUUUUCUCCAAUAAAUUGGUACCUUGACCAUUUCUUUUAUUUUGGAGGAUAAAUAAGUGAUUUCACUCCAUUUAAGGCGUCAACUCAAGAGAGGUAUAACUUCUUUUAUCUUUUUUGACUCUCUCCUAUGUGAUCCAACGUGCUAAGUGAGAAUUGCAUGUCUACUUUACUUUCCUUGUUUUUUCCUUAAUUCAUUUCAUUUAUUUCAUUUACUUUUGCUUUUGUUAAGUCAUUCUUUUAUUUAUGGGGUAUGUGUACACCUCUUGGCUUGUAAUAGAUAGGGCUUGGAGAGCAAUUUUGUCCAUUUUUCCCCGUCCCCUUUUGUUUUAGUUAGCAAAUGUAAUAGGUUCAUUAGCUUGAUUGCUUGCUUUUGUUGCUACGUGUUAAUUUGCUUUAUUAGGCUCUUGCAUCUAGUCGAGCAUGCUAAGCGUUAUGUGCUAUGUGUUUAUAGGUGAUUGGCAUGUCUACUUGCUCUCUGUAGUCAUAGAUGAAUGUGAAGGAUGAAUGCACGUCACCACACUAGUCCAACGCUAGUUGUGGCUCAUUGUCCCGUUUUCCACUAGUCCAACGCUAGUAGGAAUUCAUAGAUAUGGGCUAGUCCAACGCUAGACCCUUAGGGAUUUCCCUCGUUAGUUCAUACUUGCAUGUUUCACUACAUUUCAUGCAUUUUUCUUAGUUUUCUAGCAUUUGGCAUGCUCCCCCAAUCCUUUCCCCUUCAUUUUAGGCUUUUGCAUCUUCAUGCUAGUUAUAUGGUACAUUUGCUUGAGGGUCCCCUUUAGAUAAGGGAAACGAGCGAGUGUGGUUACAAAAUAGCCUUAGCACGCUAGUUCUUCCUUCUAAUCAAAGGGAAAAUUAAAGUCAUGAAGUUAGGAGUCAUUCCCGUACCCGACUUGAUGCAUUCCUAUAGGUUCAUACACUUUCAUUCUCAUCAUGUCACUCCCUCACCCUCUUAUCCACAUUUUCUCACUACUUAUAUCCUUCUCAAUACAAAUGCCAUGUUCACACAUUUUUCUUCUUGUCACUUGUUUUUCUACCUCACAAAUUGCACCCAAUUGCACUUAUAUGUAUCUACUAUCAUAUUUUCAUUCAUUUGCACACAAACACCUUUAUUUUCCCAAUUUGCACACAUGCACUUGUCUUACAUUCGCACACAUGCACGUUUUCUUACAUUUUCACACUUGCACUCAUAUUUGAGUCUUCAUUUACAUCAUUCGCGACCUCUAUGAGGACUUUCCUUAUUGGCCACCACAACUCAUAUGGUUGGGACCAAAAAGCCUCGUAAGAGACAUUUUAGAUUUAGGAUUGCAUUUCUUUUUCAUAUCCAUUAGUCAUAUCCAACAUGCAACGCAUAUUUUGGGUAGAAGAAUUAGGAAACAUGGGGCUAAAUCACGCAACUAGCUUUGGUUAGGGUAAGGGAGUGCCUUAGGCUUUGCCUUUGCCUUCUCCCUUAUCAAAUGUGACCCCCGAUCCCUUUCUUUGGUUACGUAGACCUAAAAGUUCUUAAAAAGGGGUUUGUUUACUUUGCUUUUCAAAAAAUUCAUUUUUGGGUGACUUGGUACACCCUAACUCUAUACCAAGUGGCGACUCCAUUUUCCAUGCAAAAAACCCUUUUUGAACUUUGUUUGGCCAAAUCGUCGCAUUUUCAAGUCCCACGGCCUUUUAUUUUCAUUUUCACACACAUUCACAUACAUAUUCCACACACUACUUUCACUUUCACGCCAUAUCAAAAAGUGGGGCGUGACAAUCUGAAAGUAUGUGAAAUGGUGUUUGAGAUAUUAGAGAUUUUGAGAAUUGAAAUGAGAUGAAAAGAAAAAGAGGAUUAAAGGAAAUAAGAGAUUCUCAUGAUUUUAAUGUUUUCAAAGUUUAGGUUAUGCGAUCUCGAUAUAUGUUGAAUGAUGUUUGUAAUAUUAGUGAUUUUAAGAAUUGGAAUAAAGUUGGAUAGAAGAUUGUGAAAUAAGAAAUUUCCAUAAUAUUUAGUGAUAACAGAGCUUGGGGUACGAUUUACUCUUUAGAGGAAAUACACACUGGGAAAUGAUCAAUUAUGACUGAAUAAAUAAGCUUGAAAAUUUGCAUGUGUGAUUUAAGUUGAAAUGGUACUAUUGGUAUUUAUGAUGUCCUUUUUGUUAGAUAUGAUUUUGGUAGUACAUUCUAAGUUUAAAAUAUCGGGCGUGUAGGAAAUAUUAUAUAUAUUUGAAGUAUUGUCUGUAGGAAAUUGAAAGUAUCAAGGAAUUAAAGUAUGCGACAAGCAUGAUGAAUUAAAUAAAGAGACCCAGUUUAGCUAGUGUAGGAUUAAUUGCACGAUGGGUGACAAUGACAUUGGAGGUUAUAUUGACUUUUCUUGACAUGGGCUAAGGUUUCACGGAUGAAACCACUUCAAAGGAUGAAAAAUGAAAUGUUGCGGAUCUUUUCUAUUUGCAAUAGUGCUCUUACUUAGAUAGAAGUACUAUUGAUGCCUAUUUUACUCUAGUUGAGUAUUACCACUAUUGGUGACAACUAAUAGAUGUAUGGUCUUAUCCCAUACAAAUUGAUAUAGUCUAACUGUAGUAUUCCUUCGGUGGGAGAUGUGGUCAACAGUGAAUAGACUUAUUUUUUUUUUUGAGGUUUACAAUGAUUAGAUCUAAUGCCCCAGACAAUUAUUGAACUAGCUUAUUUGCAUUAUUACAUCGUGCUUAGUCAACAAAUAUAUUAGAAAUUUCUUAGAAUACAUAAUCUUAUAUAGUUCUUGUCUUAAAAAAAAUUUUCUAUUUCACGAACAAAUGUUAAUCAAGAUUUUUGAAUAAGUAUCUUUAUCAAAUAAGUAUAAUUUCUAUAAAUAUGUACACACCAAGAAACAUAAAUUAACAAUAAAAAAUGAAUAAAUACCAUAAAUAAUUAUAUCCUAUAACUCUGUGCAAAAUAUUUUUGUGAUAUUCAUCCAAUCUCAAAAAGAGCUACAAAUAAAUGUGUUCUACACAAAAAAAAAUCAUAUCAUAUAAAAAGAAUCUAACAAUAAUUCUUGAUAAAUUCUCUUUGUACUCUAAACUUAAUAGUGUAAGAAGUACAAUUAACUAACUUAUGUGUUUCUAACACUUCCAGGUUUUUAAACUUGUAUGAGUUCAAAAUUCUACGUAUAAAUACCUUACCAAAUUUAUGAUAAAGUUAUUAUAUUCAAAUAUGAGAAUUUGGCGAUAAUUUUUGUAUAAAAUUUUGUGUGUUUCAGUAUGUUUUACCGUAAUAUAAAUAUGUGUUUUGGAAAUUGAAUUGAGGUAAAAAAAAAUGACCAAAGAAAAUAAGAUUCCCAUGGUAUUUAAUGGUAUAAUAACUCAGGUUAUAGGAUUUGAAAAUAGGUGUGAUGCUAUUUUAGAUAUGAGAUUUGAGGGAAAUAAGGGAUUUUCAUUACCAAAUUACAAACAUAGUGGGCAGGAACCCAUAUAUCGAGAUAAUGAUUACUUUUUGGGAUAGUGGAUAAGUAAGUUGUGAUAGAAUGUGAGACAAAAGAAGAAAUGGUAUUGUUGGUGUCUAUGACAUCCUUUCUAUAGGUUGAUCUCUAUGGAGCAUUAUAAGUCGAUAUUUAGAAAGGACCAUACAAACACUCGAAAACAUGUUGAGAGUUUGUACUCUAGACUUUUCGGAUAGUUGGGAUAGGUUAAUAAAACUAAUGAAAUUCUCGUAUAAUAAAAGCUACCAUAACAGGAUCGGUAUGGCACCGUUUGAACCAUUGUAUGGGCGAAAGUGUAGAUCUCCCUUAUAUUGGGAUGAAAUAGGUGAGAAACUGAUCACUGGCCUCGAUUUGGUGGAACAAACCUUGGAGAAGAUUAAAGUUAUUCGAGAGAGACUAAAAAUUGCCCAUGACCGAAACAAGAGUUGGGCAGAUUUAAAAAGAAGACCUUUAGAAUUUCAACCGGGAGAAAAGGUAUAUUUGAAUGUACCCCCCACCAAGGGAGUGAUGAGAUUUAGAAGAAGUGGUAAGUUAAGCCCGAGGUAUGUAGGACCUUACGAAAAAUUGGAGAGAGUUGGACCUUUAGCGUAUCGACUGGCUUUUCCACCUGCUCUGUCGAGGAUACAUAACGUUUUUCAUGUCUCCCAACUGAGAAAGUAUGUAUUUGACUCGAGCUAUUUUUUGGAGGAUCAACCCAUCAAGGUAAGGGAGAACUUGUCAGUACAAGAAGUUCCUUUGAGAAUCUGGAUUGGAAAGAUCAAGUUGUAAGGAGAAAGACCAUACCCUACGUUAAGGUGCAAUGAAUGAACCAUACACCGCGAGAGGUAACGUGGGAGUUAGAGGAAGACAUGCGGAAUAGAUAUCCCUAUCUUUUUUAUCAAGGUAAAUAAGUUUUGAGGACGAAACUUUUUGUAAGGGGGGUAGAAUGUAAAACCCAGGUCCCUUCUCAAUUUAUACUUUACUCAAUUAAUUAAAUAGUAAAUUGCCAUGGGUAAAGGUAAAAAUAAGUGUAGGAUAGGUUAAAGGGUUAAGCGGGAGAUAGGAAGGAGAGAAGAUAGGAUGAGAGUCACAACAAAUUAAAAUUCUUAUCUAAACCACCAAGUAGUGGGUGGUUACUAGGGUUUAGAACAUUUAUCAAAAUAACACAGGAAAAUAACGCCGUUCCUACUUUUCAUUUGUCUGCUCCUCUCAGAGCAAGAAUCAACUAAGAAUAGAGGAGAAGAAGAAGACGUUGUUGCCGUCAAACUAGCAGGCAAUUAAGCGUCUGGACCUGUAAGUCCCAAACGCGCGUGAAAGUUUUUCUCUUAAGUCUUAUUAAUUUGAUGAAUUAUUUUAAAUAUUUUAUGUAUAUUCAUAUCGCAAUAUAUUUAUGCCUGCCUGAAAAAUUUAGGAAGAUUCAUGCUCGGAUUUGUGAGAAUAGUGUAUUAAAUUUUAAUUAUGAGAUGAAUAGGAUUUACCCAAAUCUUUUGGAAAGAAAAAAAAAAAAAAAGAGAGGGAACAAUAGCGUUGUAGGCCGUUGCUGCUAUUGUGCGUCGUUGCUGAAGCUUUGACUUCAGCAACACAAAAAAAAAAAAAAAGAGGCAAAGGUCACCAAUUGGCGACCUUGACCAAGAAGAAGGCCAACCGAAGAAAACAAGGGGUCGCCAGCAAGCCGAACGAAAAAAAAAGUAGCAAACGAACCCUCCUCUUUUCACUAGCCAAAAAGGUCGGCCCUUUGAAGGAAAAAAAAGAUUAUGACUAAUAAAAAAAUCAUAAUAAAAAUAAUUAAUAUAUAUAUAUAUAUAUAUAUAUGGCAAGUAUACUUGAGCCAAAAUAUAGUAUAGGUUUAGUGAAUGUUCAGAAGAUAAAUUUUAAAUAUAACUAACUCACCUUUAUAACUUAUCAUGGGUUUUAAAUUUCAAAACCCAAGCUAAAAAUAAUUUUUAGAGUUUCAAGAUUUAGUCAUCUAAGCUUAUGCUUAAUUGAUUAAGUCUAAAAUAAUUAAAUAGAAAUCUAAAACAUUUUAAACUAGCCUUACUAGAUCAAUUUAUACAAUGUAGAAUAAGUCCUAGAUUGUUAAACGAAAUGCGUAAAAUCAUAAUAAUGAUAAUAAUAAUAAUAAUACUAAUGAUAACACUAAUAGUAAUAAUAAUAAUAACAAUAAUAGUAAUAAUAAUAACAAUAUAGAUAUAGAUGAAGUAAAUUAAAGAUAUAAAUGAAAAUUAAAUGAAAAGAUAAAUAUAAGUGGAAUAAACCAAGACAAUAAUUAUAAUAAUAAAUCAAUAUGUACAUAUAUAUACAUAUAGAUAUAAAUAAAAAUAACACCUACACAUGCACAAAAAUGGAAGUAAAACAAAGAUAAUAGUGACUAAUUAACAAAUACAUAUACAAAUGAUAAUAAAAUAAAAUAGUGAUGAAAAGGAUAAAAACAAUAACAAUGAAUAAUAAUAAAAUAAUAAUAAAUAUAUAUAUAUAUAUAUAUAUAUAUAUAUAUAUAUAUAUAUAUAUAUAUAUAUAGAUAAAUGCAUACAAUGGUCAAGAUAAUAAAUUUGAUUACGAAUAAUUAUUUCUAAAUUAGGAAACUUUACGAAAAAAUUGAAACUUUCCAAAAAUAAAAACUUCUUAAUUUAGGAAAACUCUGCUAAAGUUCAUAUAAUGGCAUAGACAUGAAUCUUAAAUUUACUCAGAGUAUGUAUAUUUAUGCAUCUAUAGGAGCAGCCAGACAAAGGUAGGUGUUAUUUACCCUUUUGAGAUUUCAAAAGUGCAAAAUGACAUUUUUGUUGUCAAUCAUAUUUUGUUGUGUUGACACAAAAUGUAUUUGAUUAAAUGUUUUACUGGGAUAUUUAUGCAAGUUCUACUUUUACUAUACGAAAAUAGACCAUGUGACUUAUUUGAAACAUUUUGAUAUGUUAUUAUAUACCAAAUGGGCUGUAUCUUUUAUGCAAUCAAAGAACUAUGUAUGUGAUGUGUGAAAUAAAUUUAUAUUAAGUAAAACUCAAAACAGUCAUGGAAUAGACGGUAGGGGUUAUAGUCCUGCCUAAUGGUCAUAGUAGCCUGGUAUAGUGUCCGACCGAUUAACAAGGUCAUAAUAGUUCGGUAUAGAAUCCGACCGAUUGAUCCAUGUAUGUAAUGAGACCAAUCGGUAGUUAUGAAACCUAUUGGUCACCCACCUAAAAGGGGUUUAAUCUCUAAACUGAGUACUCAGAUGCCGGUCAUUGCAUGUACUUGUUAUGAGCUGAUAUGAAAUGAUUUAUGAUUUUAUGACUUUAUGACUUCUAUGUACGGUUAUGAAUAAGAUGUUUAUCAAUUGUUGUAUUACUCUUUAUUAUUGGUUGUUUUACAAAUAACGUUACUUUUAACGAUUAUGGAUGUGAAUAAUGUGCAAAUAAAUUGAUUUACGUAUAUAUUUAUAUGUAAAAUUAUGGUUGCAUGGUCCAACAGAGGGGUAGAUACUACCUACUGAGAGAUUUGUCGCACAACCCAAUGUUUACCAUUUUUGCAGAUUCUGAGGAGUAUGAGUUGAUUUAUGUAGAAGACCUUGAGGAUAAUUUUUAUUAGUUCUACGUGAAUGGAAAUUAGCAGCCUAGCUGCCUCUAGCUGUUAGUUAUAUUUAUUUUCUUUUCCGCUGUUACGACUAGAGAAUAAAUGUACGAACUUAUUGGAUAUACGUAGACUACCUUUCAUUUGAGAUUUGUACCACACUUUAUUUAGUUAUACUAUUUAGUUCUUUCUAAGUUUAGUCUAGUUUAAUGUUGCCUUGUAUCCUUGAGUGGGACUUGAGGAUACGGCGGAUGUCACGUGAUUGGCGCGUGCGGGCUCAGGCCAUAAUUGAUACUAUUUCCCGGAGACAUUGCCUUCCCUUAGUUUAAUUUCCUAUUCUAUUCAACGUCAUCUAGCUCUUUAUGCCAUAUAUUUCAACUAAUUAAUUAAUCUCAUACAAUUGCUUCAUAAUGACCAUAUAUCUCAAAGAUUAAGGGCCUUUCUUUAAUUUCUUCCUUCCCCACCUUUGCCUUCUUAACAAACUAAUAGACAGAGCUAUUCAAACCAAUCAAAAAAAAAAACACCAACUUCUUCCUUCCAAUCUCAUACAACUCCCUUUGUUAUAGUUCUAGUAGUGUGUUCAGAAAAAUUUUUGUGCAAUAACAUAUGGACAUGUUGAAAUCCUUAUUUAACCUAAUGCUUGCUAAUUUAACAAAAUAAUGCUAGAUAAAAGGAUUUGUGUUUGGAUAGUUAUUUAUAAUCCUUCUAUUAUAACAAAAUCAUGCACAAUGAAAACAUAUAGGUCUCUCUUGAACAAGAAAAUUUUUCUUGUGCUCUCAAUAUUUUUCAUCACUGAUCAAAAUAAAUAUCGAAAUGAAGAUUUGUACAUAGUUGUCAUUCUUAUGCUUAUUUUAUUUUUUUAGGAUUAGAACUUUAUUACUUCUUUUUUUUUUGACAAGGGAACCUAUAGUUGCUACUUGAGAGUGCAUACUGAAUAAAUCCUAUCCCGUGCAGUAGCCCAUCAAUCACAUAGAGGGGUAAGACACACUAGACAAUCUCUGUGCGACGAACGGAUAUCCCAGGAGAGGUUCGAAUCUAAGUUGGUAGAAAGACAUGACACCAACUCUACCAUCUUGACUAACUCAAGAGACUUAUUAUUAUUUUUAGUUGCUUCUACCAUUUAUGCAAUUACUUCAAUAGAUAUAAAGCCAUACUGCAUGUUUAAAUAAUUUAUGCCUAGUUGGGCAUGCAUGCACGCGGUUUAUUCCUCCUAGUUCUCUCUCACACGAGCAAAGCCAAUCCCAAAAAACAAGAACUACAGAUAGCCCAAUCAAACAUUCUUAAACAAGACUACUUUAAAUUUGAAAUGGGAGGUUAUUUCAGUUUGUUUGGAUAGGAGGUUAUUUAAAAUAUUUAUUUGAAAUUUGUGAUGUAAGGUAUAUGAGAUAAAAAAGAGCGAAUUUCUCAGACUAAUGCGAAAAAGAGAAAACAUCACAAAAGUGAUGCUGCUGUGGGCUCACUUCUAGAUUAAGGGUCGCCGCAAAUGUCAGGAGAGACUUCGUAGAAAAGUUGAUUUAAAUUUCUUUUUUUUUUAAAGCUGGAACCAAUUUUUUUUCGUUUUCACAAAAGUUUCGCCGCAAAUGGUGAAUGAGGCUGAGAAAAAAAAUAUUUUUUUGAAUUGCUGCAAAUUACACAAUUUGCGGUGAAGCAUGAAAAAAAAUAUUUAAAAUUUUUUUUGAGAAAUCGCAAAUUGCAUUUGCGGCAAAGGAGAAAUCGCCAUUUGUGUCCAUUUGUAUCUUAUCAUCAGUUUUAGUUUUCCCAUGCUCUAGUUGCAUUCAACAUGAAGAUAAUUAUAUAAAUAUUCAUGUGUUACUUCACAUGAUGUUGUUCAUGAUAUGCUAAAUUUAAGUAGAAGCGUCUGAGUCCUCUGCUAGUUGGAAUUAUCACUUUUUGCUAGAGUUAGAUCAUUUUAUACGAGACAAAGUGGUGGCAUCUAGCCUUAUAAUAAAGGAUUUUGCAGCUGAUGGUCUAUCAUAACACCAUAAUUGUUGACCUCAUACAGUUGCAAAACCUCUGUAAUAUGUAUCUUGAUCCCGUUAAUCCCGUUAAUCUUGCACAGUGUGCUCAUCCUGGAUUGACAGUGAUAUGAGAAAAGGCUUUCAGGACAUUAUAAUACUUGAAUCAAGGAAUGCGACUAGCAGCUGGCCCAUUUGACCAUCAAGAUGUUGGCACAUCUACCACUCGUACUGUCUCUUUCGAGAUGCCUGUCGAACAUUUAGCCAAGUAGAUGCAUGAUAAAAAACAAGACGGUAGGCAUUGCAGAGGGCACCUCCACCCAUGUUGUUCAUGUAUUCAACAUAUUUAAUUUUCAAUAUGUCUUGCCCGACAUUAAAACAAAAAAAUUCAAAAAUGGAUGAUUUGGGCAUAUUCUUUUCAAUUCAUUUUAUAUUUUCAACCAAAAGGAAGUUGAAAGAAUUUUUAUAGGAUGAUUAAUCAUCAUUUAUGAAAUUAGCACAAUUUUGUAGUUAAAUUAAAUUUGCAGCUUUCAGGCUUAGGAUUUACGUAUUAGGAUUUUAUUGUGAGGGUUUAGGGAUUAGUGUUUUAGGUUGGGGUUUGCUAGCAAAAUCAUCGUAAUUCCAUUUUAAAAAAAAAAAAAAUUUAAAGUUUGCAGCUCAUUUGAGGUGUAGUGAAUCCUUUAAAAAAACUUUUUUGCUUCGCCUCCCUUUUGAGGUGGAGCAAACCCUUGUAAAAUAUGAAAAAAAAUCCAGUCCUUUUACUUCCUUGGCGGCGAAAAAAAUGAAAUUGAAUUCAAUUUCUUUUAAACCUACUUUUUCAUUCCCGGCGACCCUUGAAAACAACACCAACCCCAAUAGGAGAAAAUUGGAACUAAUGCUAAGCAGUAAGAUGUAGACGCCACGCGAUUAGAUGUGCCAAACAGUAAGAUAUGAAUGGUCACGAUCUUUUGUCCCACAUCGGCUUCUUAAAAAAUUGUGGGAUCAUCAUGCACGUUUCGCCUGCCUCAAAAUUUUUAGAAACAAAAAUUUUUAUCCUCCCCCAAAUUACAUUUGCAGUUUCUGAAAUUUUUUUUUUUAAAAUUUCAUUUACAUUUGCAGCAAUUCAAAAAAAAUAAUUUUUUUUGCAGCCUCAUUCGCCAUUUGCGGCGAAACUUUUGUGAAAACGAAAAAAAAUCGGUUCCGACUUUAGAAAAAAAGAAAUUUAAAUCAAAUUUUUUAUUAAACCUCAUAUGAUAUUUGCGACGACCCUUAAUCUAAAUGCCAACCCCCAACAACAUCACUAUUGUGAUGUUUUCUUGUUUUCGCAUUAUUUUGAGAAAUUACGCAUAAAAAAGUGGUUGAAAAUUGUGUGUAUGAUGUAAACAAAACAAAAUUUGAAAUUUUUUUUUAAAAUUCUUGAUAUCCAAACACACCAAAUUUGUUUUGAAUUAUAUUAUGAUCCAUUAUUCUUUUCACUCAAGAAAUAAUGGAUCCUAAUAUAACUAUUAAGGUGGCGUUUGGUUCGCAUGUUGGAAUCGAAUUCGGAUUCGGAAUCAUUCAUCCUGGAUUUGGAAUGGAAUCAAUCAUUACAAUACAUUUGUUUGGUUCAGUGCCAAGAAUGUAUAUCAUUACUAUAGUUGAUAUUUGGUACGUUGGCUCUUUGUAAAUGGGAUAUAAGAAAUUUUCACUAAUUAAAUAUAUUAGUAUAAAUAUAUUAGUAAAUUUAGUAUAACUAAUUAAUAUUUUCUAUUAGUAAACAUGUAUAAUUAUUAGUAUAAUUGAUAAUAUCAAUUAUAUUACAUAGAUUAAUAUACAUUAUAUAAUACAUAUAACUAAUAAUAUCAUUAUUAUAAGUUUGUAACUAAUUAAAUUAAAUAUUAUAUAUAUAAUUAAAUAUAAUUAUACAAAUGUUAUAAUAUAAAUAUAUAAUUAUAAUUAUAUAAUAUAUAUAAAUAUUAAUUAUACUAAUAUUUUAUAUAAAUAUAAUGUAUAUUACAUAUUAAAUAUAGUUAUUAUUAUAUAUAAAAUAAUAAUUACAAUUAUAAUUAUAUAAUUUAUUAAUAUUAUAUACAUGUUUAUAUUAUAAUUAUAUGCACAUAUAGUAUACAUUUAUAAAUAUACAUAUAUAUUAUAAAUAUAUUAUAAUAUAAUAUUAAUAAAUUUAUAAUAUAUAGUAUAUAAAUAUAAUUAUAUUUAACUAAAUAAUUAUAAUAUAGAUUUAUAUAAUAUAAUAAUAUCAUUAUUAUAAGUUUGUAACUAAUUAAAUUAAAUAUUAUUUAUAAUUAAAUAUAAUUAUACAAAUGUUAUAAUAUAAAUAUAAAUAUAUAAUUAUUUAAUAUAUAAAUAUUAAUUAUACUAAUAUUUUAUAUAAAUAUAAUGUAUAUUACAUAUUAAAUAUAGUUAUUAUUAUAUAUUAUUAUAUUUAAAAUAAUAAAUAUUAAUAUUAAUAUAUAAUUUAAUAAUAUUAUAUACAUGUAUAUAUUAUAAUUAUAUGAACAUUUAAUAUACAUUUAUAAAUAUACAUAUAUAUUAUAAAUAUAUUAUUAUAUAAUAUUAAUAAAUUUAUAAUAUAUGUUAUAUAAAUAUAAUUAUAUUUAACUAAAUAAUUAUAAUAUAUAUUUAUAUAAUAUACUAAUAUUAUAAUUAUAAUAUAUUAUAUAUAUGUAUAUAUUACAAUAUAAAUAUAAAUAUAAUUAUAUAAUUAUACUAAUAUAUAUAUUAAUUAUACUAAUAUUAUAUAAUUAUAAGAUUUGGGAAUCAGACUUGGGUUUUGGACAAAACUUACCAAGUUACUAAGGACUGGAGGAAUGCUAAAUUUUUAGACAUCAUUCCAAAAUUUUAAUUCCGAUAGUAGUGAACUAAACAUGAAUCAUGGGAUUUAUUCCAUAAUUUCAUUCCGAAACCCUUUUACCAAACGCCCCCUAAUAGUUUAGUCAACAAUGCUACUUCCAUAGGCAAUGAAACUUAGAGCUCCUAAUAUGUACUGGCCAGCACUGAGGUACAUGUCCUGCUAAAACAUGAAUGACUUGGAUUAUGUAACUUAUGUUUGAUUUGCAUAUUAUUUACCUCCUGAACCUAUAAUACAUUAUGAACUUUGAGCAAAUUAUCCUCAUUAUUACAGUAGACCCAAAAAACAAAAGAGUUAAAUAGAUAAUAAAAAAUUUUUUGACCCACAAUUUAGUUACUGAUAUUAGUGGACAAGCUGGUGCGUAGCACAGUCAAACCCAAGCAAGUACUGAUAAAAGAAGAAAUGCAUAUAAGAAUGGAAAAGCAAACCCUCACAUAUACUGAUAAGGCAACUGUCUAAUAAUUCAAACAAAGUUACCUAGCUAUUAUACUAAUGCCCUCUGCACUACUGCAGGGGAUUAGUUUGACGUAAGUCAGGAUACUCCUAUAUUAGAAAAAAAAAAAUCAUACUAAUGCCCCUAUUUGACAGAAAAGGUACAAAAAACAGAACCGAUGGGGUAACGGUAACAUAUCACAAGCAAGAUAGUACCACCGUUCUUACCACACAUUUAAAAUUCCUAAGCAAGGAAAAAAAAAACAUAAUAUAAAUAAAACUGCUAUUCAUCAAUGCUACAAACGGCCAAAAAACUUUCAUUCACAACUUUUUCUCACAUAUAGACGCAAACAGCAGUAUUUCCAAUAAAACAAACACUUAUAAUAAAAUAAAAUCUAAAUAAAACAAACCCAGCCAUAAUCUCCUUACAUUAAAAAAAAAAAUCAGAACAUUACAGUCGAAAUAAAAACUCCACUAUUAUCAUAACACUAAAAUCCUCAAACAAAUUACUCUAUCGGCAAAACAAUUACAAGCAUAAAAUCCUCUACUCAAUCCAAAAUCGAGACAGUGUUCAACACGACAAUCAGUGGAAGCCACCACGUGAAUGUUAGCCUCCUAAGCACCACGAGUAGAGAACACCAAGUGAAGAGUAGACUUGUGAGGAAUUUCAUAGUCUUCAAUAGUGCGACCAUCCUCAAGAUGCGUACCAGCAAAAACCAACCUUUGCUCGUUCGGUGGGAUUCCUUCCCUAGACAGAAUUUCUUCCUUCACGUUCUCGAUGGUAGCAGAACCCUCCAACACCAGAGUAAUGGUAUUCCCUCUCAAAGUUUCCACAGAUAUUUCCAUUCUUCCCCUCCACCUCAUCACCAACUGAAGGGUUGACUCCUCCUGGAUGUAAUAAUCUGCAAGAGUCCGACCAUCCUCAAGCUGUUUACCAGCCAAAAUCAACCUCUGGUCAGCCAGUGGGAUCCCUUCCUUAUCUUGAAUUUUCGCCAUGACAUUGUCGAUGGUAUCAGAACUCUCCACCUCCAGAGCUAUGGUCUUUCCAGUAGGAGUUUUCACGAAAAUUUGCAUUCCACCGCCAAGCCUGAGCACCAAAUGAGGGAUAGACUCCUUUUGAAUAUUAUAAUCGGCAAAAACAUUGUCUGGGGGAACACCCUCCUUGUCUUGAAUCUUAGCCUUGACAUUGUCAAUAGUAUCAGAGCUUUCAACCUCAAGACUGAUUGGCUUACUAGUGUCAGUGCUCUCAGCUUUCGCGGAGAUCUUCAUCUGUUAGGGGGAAAAAAUGAAACAAAAAAAAAAAAGCCAAAGCCGAUCAGAUCUAAUCAAAUUCAAAUCUUUAAACCCAAAAUUGCCAGCACAAAUACCAAAAGAUAAAUAAUCGGAAUUGCUAGCCAAACAAAAAACUGUAAUCCCUCAACCUCGAUCAAUGUUAACCAUUAGAUAAUGCUAAGCUGUGACCAUAUACCAGCUAAUUGAAUGUAUAAUAGUCAGUCACAUUUAGCAGCAGCUAAUUGAUUGUAAUAAGUAGAUAGUUAGUUGGUUAUGAUAGUAGUUAAUUACUUAGCAUCGCUGAGGUGGCAAGGUGGUUAAAGGCGGUUACUUCUUAAUUCAUUGAUAAAAUAAGUAACAGCAAGGGAAGGCAAUUAAGAAAGCUAGUGAAAAAGAAACAUCACUUAUCAAUAUAGUACAAUUCCUUUAUUAUUGUAACCUUUCCUAUAACUCUCCUUGAUUAUCAAUAUAGUACAAUUCCUCCUCCCUAUUCCUCGACGGACAUUCUCCGUUAACUGGAAUUGGGAAUUGGGAUCUUCACUACCUUUGCAUCACAAAACAAUUUAGAUUGUCAAAGAAGGAAAGAUUACCUUUUGAUGGCAGAAUUUGAGAGAAGAUUGAUGAAGAAGAAGAUGGGUAGAUUAACGAGUGAGAAGUGAAGCUGAGAGACGCCCCUAUGGAUAUGCUAGUAUAUUAAAAAGAGGCUAAAGAGGUACUGUUGUCAGCACUGUUGAUUGUCAGAGUGUUAAUUUCGUCCCCUUUUCAUUACGCAGAACCAACACGCAACGCGGUGGUAUGUGCAAUGGAAACUACUCCGGCGUUGCUUGUGCGGUGGGUGGAAAGUGGGAUGAACUUCCUACCGAUGAAGAAACACAAAUGAAGCAUUUCCAUUCAUGUACACCUUCAACGAUCACAGCCCUUAAAUCAGUGGUUUUGAACUUUUAGCAAAACAACAAUGGAAACUUCGGUUUGCUUCUAAGGUGGAAAGUGGGAUGAACUUCCCACCGUAGGCAGAAAGCCAAUUAGAAGUACAGUUAACUUCGGUUGCUUCUACGGUGGGGUGGAAAGUGGGAUGAACUUCCCACGAAUGUAGCACACAAAUGAAGCAUAUCCAUUCAUUUACACCUUCAACGAUCACAGCCCUUAAAUCAGUGGUUUUGAACUUUUAGCAAAACAACAAUGGAAACUUCAGGGUUAGUUCUAAGGUGGAAAGUGGGAUGAACUUCCCACAGUCGGCAGAAAGCCUCUUAGAAGUACAGUUGCUUCUUCGAUGGAAAGUGGCAUGAACUUCCACUUUUUUUCCAAAAAAAAGUCCCAGUUGUGUCGAACUUUCUAUUUUUGGAAUGGAAUAUUUACGAAAUCUCCAUGAAUAGGAUCAACCCCUACUCCAUGGGAUUUACAUAAGGUUCCUCUUUAAAUUAAAAAACUCCUGAUAGGGUUUAAUUGAUCCAUGAUUUAUGUUUUAUCUUUCGAUUGGAAACUAGGAAUAGACGGACUUUCUAUAGGACCUAUUUUACUAAUGGGAUUCAUCACCACUUUAACGACUUUAGCAACUUGGCCAUUUACAGGAUUCUCGAUGAUUUAAUUUCCUAAUGUUAGCGAUGUACAGCGCUCAAAUAGGAUUAUUUUCUUCUCGGAACCUUUUACUUUUUUUUCAUCAUGUGGGAGUUAGAAUUAAUUCCUGUUUAUCUACUUCUAUCUAUGUGGGAUGGAAAGUGGGAUGAACUUCCUCUUUUUUUCUAGACAUGAUAGACCUACUCUUACUCUAUAUUAAGGGAAUGGGAAACCUAAAGAGAUCUAAGAAAAAUUCGGAAAGAACUGAAUCACCACUCAUUCAUCUAAAUCUCAAAUAAAAUUUUAAAACUCUUUUAGUAGCUAACUACUCUAGGAGUAGUUGGUUGGGAUAAACUUCCCACUGUAGGCAGAAAGCCUUUUAGAAGUAAAACUCAGCACGAGCAUUUGUGUCCAUAUUUUUGCGGCCCAAUUGAGAGAAGGUAACUGGCAAAGGCUGUUACCAUCUUAAGGAGCUUAGCAAAUACCUAUAUGAAUUGGAUUGGGUCGUUAAAUGAAUAAAGAAUGUCCCAAAUAGGGCAAUGGGUAAAAGUCAUUAUUAAUUUGAAGCCAGAAUUUUUAGGUUGGGAAAAAAACUUGUAAGUAAUAAACUUGUUAUUCGAUGAGUAUCAUUUAUAGAAUUAUAUAGUUGUAGUGUAUUUCCUUUUUGUUUCUACUUUUUUCUUGAUUAUCUAGUCUUAAAUUAAGUUUCUUUAUCAACAAGGUCAUCCUUAAUGAUGAUUUUGUUGAAACAAUGAUAGCAAUAAAUUAUAUUAAACAGAAUGAGGAAGUUUUGUAUUAAAUAAGAAUUAAUCUUUGCACUCUAGUUUCGAGCGCUUUAGACAAGAUGACAAAAGCAAGUUUUUCCAUUAGUCAGCUUGUUUUUUCUUGGAUUUCCAUUGAUGAUGAGCCAUCAUCAUCAUCAUCAUCUUCUCUUUUAAACUUGAUGGUUGUUUUGCAGUUGCACUGAUCUUUGCCAUAGGCAUCAAGGAGAAUGAUGUUAGAGGAGAAUUUGUCACUAUUAUGUGUUUGAAGGAAGAAAACUGGAGGUGGGAUUUUGUGAGAAUUAAGAAAAGUUGGAAUCGGUUGGGAGGAUAGAGUAAGUUUAGUUUGAGCAAGAAAAAGGUUGGGUUUGCUGCUAUUGUUGUGCCACCAUAGGAUGAAAUUAAAGUUAGUUGUUCUUGUAGUUUUGAGGGGUUUUAGGCAAAAAGACAAGGGAAGAGGUUGAUGAACGAAGAGUUUCAACUAUAAAGCUGUACAAUACUUGACCAUAGUGGAAUAGAUGUGCUCUAUUGAACUAUUUGGCUUGGAUUAGAUUGGACCGUACUCUUACUGGAUCUAAUCAAGAUUGAUUCUUUGUUUCAAAAAGAAAAAGAAAUUAAAUCAGUGUGAUGCUUGAUUAGAUAUUCGACUCAAUCAGCAACUUGAUUCAUCAUGUUUCAAAAAGGCAGAGAUAGGCUUACAAGGGUCGUCCGAUUACAUACUGUACAUCAUUGUACUCCCUGGUAAGCUUCUUCUUUUUUUUUCCGGAAAUGAUAGAAGUUUUUAUUUCUACAAAUAGAGAAAUUACACUAUUCGAGCAAAGGCUCAAGUUUUUCUUUACAAAAGUGUACUGAGACACUGAGGAUCGAAGAAUUCCUCAUCAAAAUGUAAAUGCAUUGCCUGCUUACUCAGUUUAUGACUGAGACAAUUAAUGCUAUGAUUAGCGGACUGAAAAUCAAAUGAGCAUAUCGUAAACAUUAAGCUAAGAUCUGUUAUGUAUUGUAUGUGGGCUGCUAGUAGCAUGUUACAAGAAACUUGACCGUUGAGAAGCUUGUAAACCUGAAGGCUUGGUGUCUGAAGUUUGAUACUGAAGCAGCCACGUUCCAUAAGCUUGCACAGUGCUAACCGUAUGGCCACAAGGUUGUCUAGUAUUGGUGAUCCGGUGCUUCUUUCUUUCAUCAGCCACACUGCACUUAGUUGAUGCAAUCUGUUUUCUGCUGUAAUGCCGAUUCCCAUGUUCAAACCCUCGAGAUGCUGUCCCACAUGUACACUAAUGGUCAGUGUGUUUGUAUCUUCGACCACCCUCUGCUCUUGUACAUCCGCUAUAUCUGUUUCUGAGAUGCUCACUUGCUGUUCAGGCUGUUGAGAUUUCAAAUAUUCCUCCCAUUCCAUAACUACCUUUGUAAUCACUUUCAUUGGAUGUCUCUCUUUGUCUUCGAACUCUACUGUAUUCCUGGCUUUCCAAAUUUGCCAAAGAAUGUCCACUGUCAAUGCUAUAUGUUCCCUUCCUUCCUUCCUAUCUGUGACUUCCAUUAGUGUACUCCACCAUUUCCUGAAGUCGCUUGUAAACUACUGCAGACCAUCCCAUUGCAAUGGAGCCAUCUUCCAGAUCAUCCUUGCAGUCCUGCAGUGGAAGAAAAUGUGCUCCACUGUCUCACUGUUCUCACCACAUUGCUUACACAUUAGGUCUCCCUUUCCCGUUCUCCGAAAGAUUGCCUCUCGACCUGGUAGCACUUGAUGCAGGCACUUCCAUAAAAAUACCUUGUGUUUGUGCUUUACUGGAAGACCCCAUAGCUGUUUCCAGAUUUUGCCAUUUCCCCCUGACCAGCUUGUUUCCCCCUUGCCGUUCAAUUGCACUAUAGGCUGCGUGGUAAGACUUGUGAGUGCUGCAUAUGCCGAGCUGACUGUGUAGUUUUCUUUUUUGGUAUGAGACCAAAAGUAGCAAUCUAGUCUCCCUGUCAAGCUUAUAGGUGUUCUGAGUAUAUGAGCAGCUUCGUGUGAACUAAAGAGCCUGAAGAUGAGAGUUGAUUUCCACCUAAAGUUGGCUAUCAAUUCACUAACUGUUGUGAUAUUGCAACCAAGGGGUUUUGAAGAUUCAAUCUUACCGUCCUUUCCUUCCAACAACCAAGCAUCUUCCCAAAUUCUGGUGUUGUUCCCAUUUCCAAUCUGUUUCCUAGCUCCGCAUUGCACCACCUCUCUUGCGGACAUCAAACUUUUCCAUAUCCAUGAUGCAUUACCUUUGAUUUCGUAGUUGAAGAGGGUUGUUUUGGGGUAGUACCUUGCUUUCAAAACUUUGCUAAGCAAAAGGUUGGGGCAUGUGAGGAGCCUCCAAAUCUGUUUGCCUAGCAAAGCUUUAUUAAAGCUUUGAAGAUCUUUGAAGCCAAGACCACCAGCUUGUUUUCCAGUUGACAAUGUCUUCCAUGAAACCCAAUGCACUUUCGUUUGACCGUUCUCCUGCCCCCACCAAAAUCUUGCCAUCAAAGAGUUGAUGUCUUUGCAUAACCUCACGGGCAGCUUAAAACAUGACAUGGCAUAAGUUGGCAUCGCCAUAAUAACAGCCUUCAGCAACACCUCUUUCCCUGCUUGGCUAAGCUGUGUAUUUCUCCAGUUGAGGAUUGAUUUUUGGCAUCUGUCUUUAAUAAAUCCAAAGAUUUGCAUUUUGGUUCUUGUGAUUACCAUUGGCAAACCCAAAUACUUCCCCUGUUUCACCACUUUAACCUGUUGUAGACUGCUGCAAAUUUCUUCUUGUACUUGUUUCGCCACAUUUUUGCUGAAGAAAACUGAAGAUUUUUCCAUGUUGAUCAUCUGUCCGGAUCCUUUUUCAUAUGUUUGCAGAAUUUUCAUCACUUCUUGAGCUUGCUUCUUAUCGGCUUUGCAAAAAACUAACGAGUCAUCGGCAAAGAAGAGGUGAGUUAGUGAAGGUCCGGUUCUACUAAUCUGCAUUCCAGUCAAUUUUUGCUUCUUUGUGCCUAAGCCAGCAAGUUGAAAAAACCUUCGGAUACUAGUAGAAACAAGUAAGGCGACAAUGGGUCUCCUUGUCUAAUCCCUCUUGACGGUAUCAUAUAUCCUUUAAGCUCACCAUUUAUGUUGAAGGAAAAAGAAACUGUUGAGAUGCAUUCCAUUAUCCAGUUUAUCCAGGUAUCACAAAAACCCAUUUUAACCAUGAUUGCCUUCAGAUAUCCCCACUCAACCCUGUCAUAAGCUUUAGACAUGUCUAACUUUAGAGCCAUAAACCCAUUAGAUCCUUCACUUUUGUUUUUUAAGUAGUGCAAGUACUCAUGAGAGAUAAUAACAUUGUCCAAAAUCUGUCUUCCAGGUAUAAAAGCAGCUUGGUUUUUGCUAAUGCAGUUUCCCAAAAGUUUUUUCAAUCUGUUUGCUAGGAUUUUGGAAAUGGUUUUAUAGAGUACAUUACAAAGGCUUAUAGGCCUAAACUGCUUAACCUCAGUGGGAUUAUCGACUUUGGGAAUGAGUGAUGUGGUUGUGUGAUUCAAAGCCUUUAACAUAUAACCCGAAUGAAAGAAACUUUUGAUUGCUGAAAUGAUGUCAUUUUUAAGAAAUUGCCAAUAUUUCUGAAAGAAAAUUGGUGUCAUGCCAUCAGGUCCCGGGGUUUUGGUUGGAUGCAUAGAGAAAAGUGCAUCUUUAAUUUCUUUUUCCAUGAUUGGUUGGGUAAGAACAGUGUUCAUGUGAUCCGAUAUUGACUGUGAUAUUCCCUCCAGAACCAACUCAGUUGGGGUACCUACCUUGCUAGUAAAAAGCUUGUUGUAAUGUUUAACAACUUCUUCUCCUAUUUCCUCCUCAGAUGUGGUCCAAGUUUUGUCCUCCCUUUGUAUUCUUUGCAUUUUAUUUCUCUUCUUCCUACCUUUAACACUAGAGUGGAAAAAAUGAGUGUUUUUAUCCCCUUCCUUCAACCAUUGCACUCUAGAUUUUUGACUCCAAAAGAGUUCCUCUUCAUCAUAUGCCUCCUUUAAUUUCCUCUUGAGCUCCUUAGUAGUAGCCUUUUUGUUUUCGCAAUCCUGUCCUUGAAGGUCUAGCAUUUGUUUUUUCAGGCCAUCAAGCUUGCUUCUAGAGUUGCCUUGGAAGGUAUUUUUCCAUUUCAAAAGAGCCACUCUGCAAUUCGCAAUUUUCCUAUGCACUUUGAACAUAUUCGAACCAGUUUGUGCCUCCUCCCAAGCAUGCUUUAUGACUUGUUCCACCCUCUCUUUUUUCAUCCAUCUCUUAUCAAAAAAGAAUCAUUUUUUUUCUUAACCUGUAUAGGAUUGGAGUCUAUUAACAACAUACUAUGGUCUGAUCCCAGGGUCUCAAUGUGUUUGACUAUGGUUCUGUCGAAAAUCUGGCUCCAAUCAUGACUUACCAAGGCUCUAUCUAAUCUUUGCUUUAUUUCCCCUUCAUGAGACCAAUGGUUACUCCAAGUCCAGGGGUUACCUUCAAAUCCAAUGUCUAUGAGUCCAUUAUGUUCAAUGAAGUUGUUAAAAUCUUGGAAUGACCCCUGCUCUCUUUUCCUACCUCCCCACUUUUCCUCAUUUGAGGUAAUGUCAUUGAAAUCACCUGUGAUGAUCCACUUAUGACCCCAUAAUACCUUUCUUCGUUGCACCACUUCCCAUUGCUUCCUCCUAAUUUGAUCAUCAGUACUAGCAUAAAUGCCAAUGAACCACCAUUCCUCAUUCUUUUCUGUAUCCUUGAUCUGAAAUUCCAUAGUGAAAGCCGUAGUUUUAAUGUCCAUCACUAUCACCUCAUCGUUCCACAAAACCAUCAUGCCACCUGCUUUAUUCAUAGACUCCACCACUUCACAUUGAUCAAAUCUUAAUUGUCUUCUUAUCCUUUCCAUGAACUGUAAUCUGUUUUUGGUCUCACUUAAGAACACCAUAUGUGGGGAGAGGAGGUUGCAAGCCUCCCUCAACUGGGGAAUUAUCAAGGGGCUCCCAGCACCUUGGCAAUUCCACACCAGAGCCUUCAUUUAUCCAUGGGUGACCAGAUUAGGCUGGUCACCACCCCUUCAGCUUUGCUCACAGAGAUCUCUUGAUCAGUCCCCAAUUUUCCUUUUUUUGCCACUAUUUCAGUCACUUCAACAUCGAUCAUAUCCUCAUCCAGCAGCUGCACUUUCCUUUUCCCUGUGGCCUGUUUACUUGGCUUUUGUUUCUGACUCCCUUUGUGUGAUUUCCUGAUUAUUAGUGGAGUAUUCAACUUGCUUCUUGUGCGUGUAGAUCUUUUGUGGUUGCACCUUUCCUCCCCCUCCUCUAGUUGAGCCUCCACUUGCUUGUUCUCCACUUCUACUUCCUUAGAAGAUUGUUCCACCGACUUUUCCAGCACUACAUUGAGCUGGCCUCCACACAAUCUCGUUUCAAACUGUAGUUGCGCCUGCUUUGCUUUGUCAUCUUUGUCAUUUACCUGAUUGACAUCUGCUGUUUGCCCAUGUUCCUCCUCAGCUGCCUGGUUCCUCUCUCUUAACUCCGUCUCACUGAACUUUGGAACCAGCUCACCAUCUUUGAAGCCCCAUCUUUUCUUAUUUGGGGAUAUCUCAUUUGCCUGGACAAUCCCAACUGUUUGACCACAUACCGUACUUGUAUUCCCCUCCUCUGCUGCCUGACCCCUCUCACUCAGCUCCUUAUCACUUGGUUUUGGGACCAAUUCUCCCUCUUUGAAACCCCACCUUUGCUUGUUUGGGGAAAUACUAGCAGCCUGUUUCCCUCUCCUUUCCUUCUGAGGCGACAUAUUCCCAACUCUUGCCCUCAUCCAUGGUCCAAAUUGAUUGUGUUGUUGGCCUUUACCCCCUACUAUACUAGCUGAACAAUUUUUCUCGUUGUGUCCAAUUUUACCACUGGUAUAACAGAAAUCAGGUCCUCUUUCAUAUUUGAAGCUUAACCAUUUCAGUUUUCCUUCCAUUUUCACGGUAGUCCCUCUCAUUAAGGGUUGUGAAAUAUCUGCCAUGACUAACAUUUUUAUGUGCCUCCCUUCCUUCCCUCCACUUUGGGGUAUAAUCACUUCCCUUGUUCCAUGAAAAACUGAUGCUAUCUUCCUCCCCACCUCCUUGGAUAACCAGUGAACAGGAAGAUUCCAAAUUUGAAUCCAUAAUGGUGCCAUGUUAAAAUCCGCUCCCUCCUCUUCAAAACCUUCAAACCAUGGUUUAACCACUAUAAUCUGGUUAUCAACAAUCCAUGGCCCUCCCUUGCAAAUCCUUUCUCUAUCUUUCUCGCUGGGUAUGAAAAAUUGAAAUGUGUUAACACCAACCUCCACCACCCUUAAUCCUUUAGGAUAACCCCAUGCUACUGUCACAAAGUUUCGCACUCCCACAUAAUUGAUGAUUUUCUCACCCAUUAUCUUUCCCACUAGACUUUCUUUACACUCCUUUACACUUGGGCCUACAUCUCCUAAGUCAAUCUCUGUUUCACCCCUCUCUUUGGUGGAAAGAUCAAAUCUUUGCAGAAUUUCAGUUAUUUCCUCAGCCAUAUGUCCUCGACUAUGAUUCAAUAAGGGAAUAUCACAGAAACAAAACCAGUUGAGAGAAUGGGACAGCAACAAAGAUGGACUAACCACAACGUAACACACAAAUAUCAAAGUUUGCCACUGUGAUGUUCCACUGAGGUUAAAGGUUCAGGAUUAUUCUGUCUCAGAAACUAACCCGAAAGACCAAACAUACUGCAUUAGUCUACCAACUAGAAAAACACAACGACCUAUAACCUUGAAACUCCAGAAGAACUGGAAACAGCCCCCACUUUUUUUAAUAAAAAUUUCUUCCUUUUUUUUUAAAGCAUUUUCUAUUUUCAGAAAUUAAAUUUUUUUUUUCCAAAAAACACCAGGAAAAAGAACUCUGAACUUAAAAAGCGAGGAAAGGGCCUAUAACACUAUCCCUCAAGAGUACAUGCAUACCAGAAAGGAUCCUUAAAAAAAGCUUAAAGUUACCUAUCUCAGCUUGGAGAAAAGAAAACCGACAGAGGUAGCAGUGGGGAAUCCGCAAUGUACUACCGCUUUGGCUUCACCAAUCAGAAACUGGGACUAUGAUCUUGUCGGUAUCUCAUUUAUGGUAACCCUCACAAUGUCGGAAGGCUUUUGAACGUUAAAGUGGACGGUCAUUAAUCGGCAAAGGGAUUGUUUCUGGCUUUCAGGUUGUUCCUCUGUUUUAAUACACAAACACCCAAUAAGGGAGAAUGGCACAGUUCCCAAGAGAGAGAAAAAGGGAAAACUCUCAACCGAGAGAAAAUGAGAGAAAAUUUCCCUGGUAAGCAGUGAAAGCGAUCUAAUUAUUUGAUUUUCCUCUUUUUUUAAAAAAACUUUUUUUCCUUUUUGUGUAAAUAAACUAAUUGGUAGUAUAUAUUUUAUCAAAUUUGAAAUUAUAAUUUGUAAAAGAGAAGAACAUGAAAUAGAUGUGUUUGCCGGUUUUGUAUGUCAAGCUUGUUUUGGUGAAGGCAAAAGAAAGUACUACAUAGGGCAAGGGUUAAGAAAAAUGUGAAUAAUAAUAAGAGUAAAUCUUAUAUGCACUGACAAUGUAUACACUAUCACCGUUUGAUUCACGACAUGUGUGCAAAAGUUGAAUUUCAAAAUCAAAUUUUGAAGUGUAUACACUGUCAUUAAUAACAAAAAUGGAGUGUCAUUAAAAUUCUUAAGAAUUUGAAAUUACACUUAAAUUUGGUUAUACAUCCGUUAUAAAUUUAGAAAAGGAACAUUUCCAUGUAUUAAUUUCAAGUAAAAAGUCAGAAUUUUCAUAUAUGAAUAUUAAAAGGGAAAAAGGUCCUAGGGAUUAAGGUUUUGUACGAAUAUUACAAGUUUAGAGGUUAGUCCAGUUGUCUUGUUUGUUAUGGGAUCAAUCAAUGUCGCCUGACCCAUUUCUAAUUUCCAUGUAUAGGUGUCAAGUCCCAUUACUAACUACAAUGGAAUGUAUACUAAGAUUUUAUGGUUAUAAUUUCAAGGUCAAGUUGUCACGGGAGAACUUAGCAAAUUUGGCCAUGGGCAGCAUAAACAAAAUUUGCUUCUGGAUGGGGGAAAGACGUAUUCUACUUUUCAAGCUCCAUGCUGCAUUGCUUUCUUAUUUAUCAGUGUAAUUAGUAUAGGACAAUUCGUUAUUGAAUUUAUUAGACCCUCUUUGUUAUAGUUCUUGUAGUGAGUUCAGAAAAAAAAAUUUAUGUAAUGACAUAUCAACAUGUUGAAAUCCUUAUUUAACCUAAUGCUUGCUAAUUUAACAAAAUAACGCUAGAUAAAAGGAUUUGUGUCUGGAUAGUAAUUUAUGAUCCUUCUAUUAUAACAAAAUCAUGCACAAUGAAAACAUAUAGAUCUCUCUUGAACAAGAAAAUUUUUCUUGUGCUUUCAAUGUUGUUCAUCACUGAUCAAAAUAAAUGUCAAAAUGAAGAUUUGUGCACAGCGGUCAUUCUAAAGCUUAUUUUUAUUUUUUUUAGGGAUAAUUUCAAAAACCUACCCUGAGGUUUUUGGCAAUUUCACUAAGCUCCCCUGAUAUUUGAAAAAUUAAACAUACCUCCCCUAUCAUUUAAAAUGAUAAUUUUACCCUUAAAUGUUUUAAUGAAAUUCUCUUAUUUGGUAUGCUUAUACUUAGAAAUUACCCAAAAGCACUACUAAAAUUAUGAUAAUCCCAUUACACCAAAAAUUUAUAAACUAUAAAUGAAUUAUAUCAACAUUUUCUUUUCUAUCUUAUAAAUUUAAAUCCAUAAUAAAAUAUCAUAAAAAAUAUCGUAUCAUAGUAAUAAAAUUAUUAUUAUUAUAAUUGUUUAUCAAAUAGUAAAUAUGGACAUGAAAAAUUUGGUACAUUUUUCUUAUAAUUAUACUAAAUAAUCUUCUAAUUGUGUAGGGAAAUAAAUUAAAACUCAUUCCAUAAGAGCAUUUUUGGGUAUUCAUUUAAAAAAUUAUCCAAAUCAAUAUUAUUUUAAAAUUUUGUUAUUAAAACUAUCAAAUCAAGGGAUGUAAGUUGUGACAGCCCCACUUUCCCCUAAGGCGAACCAAAGGGGUUAGCGGACUGCCUGCCCAACUCUCGCCAGGACUAACGGUGCAGUUUAGAGCGAUCUAUUGCGUUUCUGAACUUAUAAUGCACGCAAACAAGUCAAACUGGCAAAAUAACCCAAAAUAAAAAAAAAUGAAAUCCGGAGUCGGCCAUGAAUAGUAACCGACCCGUCAGAACCCAACCAAAAAUCAAGCAAACCUUCACAUCUUGAAAUUUAGCAUUUACAAGCCAAAAUGACAUAUGAAAAUUACUCAAAAUUAAUACAUGUACGGUUGCCAAAAUAAAAGUGAAAACGGCCCCAAUGGCACAUUUAGGAUUUCAAUUCAUAAACUAUACAAAAGGGAUAUUCAUCUAGUUCAUUCGGCAACCAAUUAUCAAAAGUCAUUCCAAAAGCAGUCAGAUUCCUGUAAGGAAAACAAAAGGAACGGGGUGAGCUAAUUGCCCAGUGAGAAUACUAUCACUCAAGCCACCAAGUACAUAUAAGCAUCAAGCUUUUCAUUCAAUAUAUUAAAAGUAAACAAAGGCACACAUCACAUGUGGUGAUAAAAGGAUACGAGUGGCUCUCAAGAGCCCUUUUCCCUCGUUUGCAUUUCUUGAUCGAAUUUCAUUGACUCUCCGUCAAUUCAAAAGUAACCAACCGUAGACUCCACUUUACUUCCAUUCCUUCCACCCAACAUACCCCUACCGGGCCCGAACUCCAAACACUUGCACUUUGGUAUUACUCGAGUAAACCGGAAUCGAGAGUCUCUCAUACUACAAGAUUCCAUAUAACAUUUUCCCAAGGCACAUCAAUUGGCACGACCAAGCCCUCGCCGGCUCGAUUCAAUCAACUACCAAUGGGGUUGAGCUCAAAGAUAACAAUUGUAGUCGUUGGAUACUCGUCCAAACGACACCAAACCAUGUACUUUCAUUUCAUGAAACAUGUCGUAUAACAUUCCAAUAACAUGGUAAACAAUAAGUGAGAGUGAUAAAGUACGCUCUCACUUCAAUCAAUUCACAUUCAAUUCACUUCAAGCAAUUCACAUUCAAAGCCAUAUAGUAACACACAAGUGAGUAGUACACUCACCAAGCUUGCAAAUGAGGUUUCAUGCACUUCCGUCAAAAGAACGCCGUGCACCAACGUCACGCCCUAAAACAUGCAAACAAGGACAAUGAGACUCGAUAACGAGUCAUAAACCAAUGUCAAAUACGACCCCAAUAGGGUUCCAUAAGCAUAUACAAACAUUAGAGAAAACCAGAAAAUCCGGAAAUGGAUUUAGCUUUGCCCUGAAAAAAAUAGUUUUUGACCUCUUUUUGCGGUAAUGGCACCCAAGGCACUACGAUUAUCGGAUGAAGGUGUAAGAUACACCGUUUCGAAGCUAAAAGGCAGGGCUACAACAUUGCAGAAGGUCACUCAACCCAGUUUCAAGUGUAACCAGGUCAAAAAUGCAAGAUACUACACCAGAAUCACAAAAACAGAUUCACAGAACGCAUUCUAGCGGAAACAUCAUAAAUCAGGCUAUCCAAGUCCAAAUCCAGAAAUUAUAAAACCAGCUGAAAGCUAAGAAAAAGGGCUACAUUUCAUUAGAAGGCCUCAACAACCAAUUCCGAAGAAAUUCCAACCAAAACAAUCAAUUACAGGCGCAAUUUUUACAUUCGGAUAAAACCAGGACAGCAAGGGUAAUUUCGACGUUUCUCAUCCUACACUACUCCGAUUGACCUAAAAUUUUGUAGGCGCCUCUAAAAUAUCAUUCCCUACAACUUUCAUGUUUUAAGCCAAGGCCAAUUUAGCCUCUAACUAGGAGCUACAAAACCGGGCAGAAUGUUCCCAAGAAAACCCUAACUUUCUACAAUGCCUUCCAAACCAGAAAUUGGUUGCAAUUAUCCACUUUUUCCACCUUCUAGAGUCAUUAUACAUCAUUUCCAAUCAUCAUAGAUAGCCACACAAUCAUGUUCAUAUUAAAACAGAAAAUCACCAAUAAAUAAAAAACUUCCCUAAUUCAACCACAAAUCAAGAUGUAAUCCAUAAAGUUUCAUCACAUACCACCACUAAUCAUAAAUUAGGCAUCAUUAGUGGAAGGAAAGUGGUUCUUCACAACUCACCUUAGAAACAAGCGAGAGAGAGCAAUAGAUCCUCUUAGCUUUCCAAAUAACUCCACAAAUCAACUCACUAACACUUCUUUAAGUGUUUCUAUGGAGCAAAAACAAAAUCUAAUGGUUGAUUUAGAAGAUUGAAGCAACUUGGAGAGUUUUCUUUCUUUCUUUCUUGAGAGUAAGAGCCGGCCACUAGAGAAGAGAAAAUGGUGAAAUUUUGGUUAAUUUUGUGAUUUAUUUGGUCAAAUAGAAAAAGGUGAAUAGUGGUCUUAUGUAAGAACCAAUCCUAUGGUGACACUUGUCACCUCAUUUAAUGCUUGCCUAACUUUUGUCUCCCUCAUACCAAUCCACUUAGCAUCUUCUACUUAUCUCUUAACACCCGAUAAAUUAAUUACAGUAUCCAAAACUUAACGUAGUUGGCCGAAUUUUUUUGAACUUUUCGCACUAGUGGGUCCCACGUCCGGUAUACGCUCUUAAUUUCUCAAAACCUAUUCGAUACUAGAAAAAUCAUCUAAAAACUAUAUCUGCUCCUUAAAAAUAUCUAGAAAUUUUUUCUACUCACGAAAAUGCAGAAAACAAGCCAUGAAAAAUAAUAAAACCUAGAAAAUGGAAAAUUAUGGGUUCUCACACUCUCUCCCCCUUAAAAGAAUUUCGCUCUCGAAAUUUCUCACCUAACUCACGAAAAGUUCAGGGUAUUUCUUUCGCAUCUCCUCUUCCACUUCCCAGGUAGCUUUCUCUACCCCAUGAUUUUUCCACAGUAUCAUUACUAACGAAAUUUGCUUGUUUCUUUAUUCUUUGACUUUUCGGUCAAGCACUUGGACAGGUUUCUCUUCGUAAGCAAGCGAUUCGUCUACGUCAAUCUCUUCUGGUUGUAAGAUAUGGGAGGGGUCGGGAUAGUACAUCUUGAGCAUCGAGACGUGGAAAACGUCGUGAAUUCGAGAGAGACUUGACGGCAGCUCUAGUCUCUAUAUGCUACCGCGCCUAUCCUCUGCAGGAUCUUGUAAGGUCCGACGAACCUCGGUUGCAAUUUCUUUCCUCUACCCGCCGUGACACUCCGUAAUGUUGUAACCUUGAGGAAAACACGGUCUCCAACUUCGAACUCCAAAUCUUUUCUUCGAUUGUCCGCAUAGCUCUUUUGUCGGCUUUGAGCUGUUUGGAGUCGUUGUCGUAUCAAUUUCACCUUUUCUUGAGCUUCCUCCAUCCAAGGAAUAGUGGUUGGAUCCAGUGCCUUCCUUUCGCCAACUUCAUCCCAGUAGAUUGGUGAUCGGCUUUUUCGUCCAUAUAGUGCUUCAUAUGGAGCCAUUUGAAUCGACGAAUGGUAGCUAUUGUUGUAUGCAAACUCUACUAAGGUCAUGUGUUGACCCCAGUUGCCUCCAAAAUUCAGAAUGCAAGUUCGUAGCAUGUCCUCGAGAGUUUGAAUGGUUCGUUCCGAUUGUCCAUCCGUCUGAGGGUGAUAGGUCGUACUCAAGUUGAGUUUCGUCCCCAGGGUUUCUUGGAACUUUUGCCAAAACCGUGAUACGAACGGUGGAUCUCGAUCGGAGACGAUACUGACUGGAACGCCGUGUAGCUUUACAAUCUCGUCCAUGUACAGUUGAGCCAAUUUGUCCAUGGAGUACUUCAUGUUUACUGGCAAGAAAUGGGCUGAUUUGGUUAAUCGAUCGACGAUCACCCAAACGGCAUCGUGCUCUCUUUGCGCUCGCGGCAAACCUGAGACGAAAUCCAUGGUGAUGUUUUCCCACUUCCACUCGGGUAUCUCAAGGGAUUGUAACAAGCCCGAUGGUUUUUUAUGCUCUACUUUAACUUGUUGGCAAACGAGACAUUUUUGCACGUACAGAGCAAUUUCCUUCUUCAUAUUGUCCCACCAAUAGUUUCCUUUCAGGUCUUGAUACAUCUUACUACUACUCGGAUGGAUUGUAUACUUGGAUCGAUGAGCUUUCUCUAGAAUCUCCGUUUUCAACGAUUCAUCCUUCGGCACCACUAUUCGGUUUCGGUAUUUUAAAAUACCCUCAGGACCAAAAUUGAAAUCAGUGGUUUCUCCUUUUCCCACUUUCUCUCCUCAUUUCUGCACCAGUGCAUCUUCCUUUUGAGCUUCUUUAAUCCUUUCCAAGAAGGUGGAAGUCACUUUAAUAUUGCCAAAAAUCACCUUAUGGCUCCCAAGGCAGGGUUUCCACUCGCAAACCGACUAGAGCAAAUUUCACUCUUUAAUCAUUAAUCCUGCUACUUGCGCCUUGCGACUUAAAGCAUCGGCCACUACGUUUGCCUUUCCGGGAUGGUAGUUGAUAGUACAAUCGUAAUUCUCCAGAAAUUUCAUCCAUCGUCGCUGCCUCAUGUUCAAUUCUUUCUGUGAGAAAAGAUACCUCAAACUUUUGUGAUCGGAGUAAACCUCGAAGGUUACCCCAUAUAGGUAGUGUCUCCACUUUUUAAGAGCGAAAACAACGGCAGCUAGCUCCAGAUCAUGCGUCGGGUAAUUUUGCUCGUGAGGUUUCAACUUCCUAGAGUCAAAAGAGAUCACAUUACGGUUCUACAUUGGUACACAACCCAGACCUUCUCGUGACGCAUCGGUAUACACGACAAACCCGUCACCUCCGUUAGGUAAAACUAGAACUGGAGCCAUGGUCAAUCUUUUCUUUAACUCUUGAAAACUUGUCUCACUUCGGGCGUUCCAUAAGAACCGACCAUGUUUCUUCGUCAAAUCGGUUAGAGGACCGGCUAGUUUGAAGAAGUCCUUGAUAAAAUGCCGGUAAUAUCCAACCAGUCCUAGAAAGCUGCGGACCUCUGUGGGGGUUUCUGACCUCUUCCAAUUAGUCACAGCCUCUACUUUCGCCGGGUCAACUGAAAUACCCUCUUGAGAAAUUAUGUGUCCCAAAAAAGCAAUUUUCUCCAGCCAAAAUUCGCACUUGUUGAACUUGACGUACAGUUGAUGGUCUCUUAGGGUUUGUAAAACAACCCUCAAGUGCUGCUCAUGCUCUUCACGCGUCUUGGAAUAGACCAGGAUGUCAUCGAUGAAGACCACUACAAAUCGAUCCAGGUAGGGCUUUAAAACCCUAUGCAUUAGGUCCAUGAAGGCGGCAGGAGCAUUGGUCAGUCCGAAGGGCAUAACUGCGAACUCGUAAUGCCCAUAUCUCGAGUUGAAGGCAGUUUUUGAAAUAUCCUCCCUCCUGAUUAAUAACUGGUAAUACCCUUGUCGGAGGUCCAAUUUUGAAAAGACCACUGCUCCGUGCAGCUGGUCGAACAACUCAUCUAUGUGGGGCAGUGGAUACUUAUUUUUCACUGUAAUAUUAUUCAGGCCCCAAUAAUCGAUACACAUCCUUAACCCACCAUCCUUUUUCUUCACAAAAAGUACAGGAGCUCCCCAAGGAGACCCACUCUCUUGAAUGAAUCCCCGCUCCAGAAGGUCCUGUAAUUGUAACUUUAGCUCCUUGAGCUCAGCAGGAGCCAUUCGGUAUGGUAUUUUUGAGAUAGGUGAGGAUCCUGGUAGCAGGUCUAUUUUGAAUUCAAUUUCUCUUUCCGGAUGUAAGGCUACUAACUCAUCAGGAAACACGUCCGGAAAUUCCUUCACUAUGGCCACAUCCUCUACCUUCACUUUAUCUGCGGGGUUGUUAAUCAAAAAGGCCAAAAAUCCUUGCGCCCCUCUACUUAGAAAUUUCCUAACCCGAAUGCCCGAAAUCAAAGCAGAUGAGGCUAAUCGACCCCUUAUAUCCAACCUUAAGGUCGCCUCACCAGGAAUGCGAAAUUCUACCACUUUUGUUUUACAAUCCAGUUGGGCAUUGUACCUGGCUAGCCAAUCCAUACCCAAUAUUACAUCAUACCCCUUAAUUACCAAGCUUAUCAAGUCCCCUAAUAAUCUCUUCUCUCCUACCCACACUUCACAAUCCCUAUAAAUCAUACUAGUAACCAAACGUUGAUUCCCCGUAGGUGUACUAACUUCUAGGUCGUAUGGUAAACUAGCAGGUUUUAUAUCGAUGUCACACAUGAAAUCAGGGUUAACAAAGGAAUGAGUGGCACCAGGAUCAAUUAAAACUUUGGCAAAACGGUGGAAAAUAGGGAUCGUACCUUCUACGACCUCUGAGGAAUCUGGGACCUGUUGAGGUUCUAAGGAAUAUACUCGAGCUGGCACCUUAGGUUUCGCCUCAUUCCCCUUAUUCGGUCCCGAAUUGGUCUUUGGCGUGGUUUGAGUUCCCCUUCCGUCUUGCUUUAAGAGUGGGCAGGUAGCAAGCUGGUGGUCUGCGCUUCCGCAACGCAGACAUUUGCCUCGUUUCUUCCAGCAAUUUUCUUCGGAGUGAUUCUGCUUUCUGCAGUAACCACAGGGCCCGCGAGACGCCGAACCUGAACCCUUUUGGAAGUUUCCGCCUUGGCCUCUCCCGGCUGGGCCACCCCUAGACUGAGCCCCUCUGCCGGAACCUAACUGUCGUCCACCUCCAGCUCCGCAUCCGAACUUGGAGGGAGUACCUUUAUCCCCUUGUCCAGAGCUGCUUCCAGGAAAGCCCCGCUUCUUCGCCUGGAAGUUCCGGACUUGCAAUCGAGCACUCUCUACCCUUUGAGCCUUUUCUACGACCUCGCUAAAAGCAUUAAUUUGAGCCACUGCGAGGUCCUUCUGGAUUUCGACGUUUAGGCCCUGAAUGAAACGCCUAAUUCGCCGUUGCUCCGUCAUGAUCAGCUCAGGCGCAAAUUUAGACAGGCGGGUGAAUUGACUCUCGUAUUCCGCCACUAAUUGAGCCCCUUGGCGGAGUCGAAUAAAUUCAUCUUCCUUCCUCUCCUGAACUAGAGGAGGGAAGAAUUUCGCGUUGAAUUCCCUAAUAAAAUUCACCCAAGUCCUGGGCGUUUGUUCUCAUUCCCAUUUUUGUCGUAUCACGUUCCACCAGGAACGGGCCGCCCCUUCUAACUGGAAUACGGCAAAAGUCACCUGCCGUUCAUCGGUGUAGUGCAAGGCCGCAAAAAUAUCGACCAUCUUCUCGAGCCACCUCUCGGCAACAUCUGGAUCGGGCCCCCCAAUAAACUUGGGUGGAGCAAACUUUUGAAAACGUUCGAGAGCUCUGUCUUCGCUCUCGACAUGAUUGCCAGGGUUUUCAGGAUUAGGGUUUGGGUUCUGGCCUUGUUGUUGCACCACUUGUGCGAACAGGUUAGUCAUUUGCUGCAUAGCGGCAGCGAUUUGCACAUUGGGGUCAAGGUUAGGUCCAGAAGAGGUUUCCCCAGUACCCCUAUCCGGUGUGGGUUGUCUAUUACCGCGCUCACGCCCCCGUCCACUACGUGUGCCUUCCAUGAACUUUACUUGGUCUAGACAAAGGUACUAAACCAAUAUAAAACAAUGCAUGUAAGUAAAACUCAAAACCUUUCCAAAUAGAUAUAUACAUUCCAAGCAAGGCAAACAGCACACAUAUUAACAAUCAGUCAAGUCAAGUUCAGUCAAGUCGAGUACAAACAUGGACAAUCCCCAAGGGAAUGGCCUCAACAAAAGAAAUAUACACGUAGCUAAUCUAAACGUACAAAACGAUUAGCGAAGGCCCUUCUCCCUAUCCAUCCUAUAUACAAAACCAACUAUCCAAAACAAACCCUAGAAGUCCUGUCUUAGACCGACGACGAGCUAUUAGACCCACCCGACGGAGUGGAUCCAACCCCAGCCUCAGGCCCCGCACAUGAGUCCUCGCCACUCACGCCCUCGACCACAUCCGUGCAAAGAUUCAAGAUCGAUGCAGCUCGAACCUUCACCUUGCGAGCUCGUUUAGUCUCGCGCUCUUGGACUUCCCUAAGCUGAGCGCAGAGGUCAUCAACCCUAUCCUCUGCCUCAAGUACGUCGUCCUUCAAACCCUCAAUGCGCUCGGCCUGUCUCUCAUUGGCCGCCCUAAGUUGGGUCACCUCGGCCUCAAGUCUCGCAUUCUCUCCGGCCAACUCCUUACGCUCCUCGGCCACGGCAAACACUAGAGCGUUAGGGUAAGUAUACUUAUGUCGACACUCACAACGUCGGAGACGGUUAGACGGGUUCCAACGCAUAACGGCCCCUCCUGGCCGUAUCUGGUAUGGUAUCACGAGGAGCGCUCCACGAGGUCUCUCGCCCGGAGGACUAUCAUUAGGUUCACCCUGUCCGGCCAUCCUACACCAAAAGAGCAAUUAACCAUAAAUAAGCUUAAAGGCCAUAAAUAAAGAACCCUCGAAUCAAGCAUUUCUAUUACUCCCAGGCUAAUUCAAACCUAGGCUCUGAUACCACCUGUGACAGCCCCACUUUCCCCUAAGGCGAACCAAAGGGGUUAGCAGACUACCUGCCCAACUCUCGCCAGGACUAACGGUGCAGUUUAGAGCGAUCUAUUGCGUUUCGGAACUUAUAACGCGCGCAAACAAGUCAAACUGGCAAAAUAACCCAAAAUAAAAAAAAAUGAAAUCCGGAGUCGGCCAUGAAUAGUAACCGACCCUUCAGAACCCAACCAAAAAUCAAGCAAACCUUCACAUCUUGAAAUUUAGCAUUUACAAGCCAAAAUGACAUAUGAAAAUUACUCAAAAUUAAUACAUGUACGGUUGCCAAAAUAAAAGUGAAAACGGCCCCAAUGGCACAUUUAGGAUUUCAAUUCAUAAACUAUACAAAAGGGAUAUUCAUCUAGUUCAUUCGGCAACCAAUUAUCAAAAGUCAUUCCAAAAGCAGUCAGAUUCCUGUAAGGAAAACAAAAGGAACGGGGUGAGCUAAUUGCCCAGUAAGAAUACUAUCACUCAAGCCACCAAGUACAUAUAAGCAUCAAGCUUUUCAUUCAAUACAUAAAAAGCAAGCAAAGGCACACAUCACAUGUGGUGAUUAAAGGAUACGGGUGGCUCUCAAGAGCCCUUUUCCCUCGUUUGCAUUUCUUGAUCGAACUUCAUUGACUCUCCGUCAAUUCAAAAGUAACCAACCGUAGACUCCACUUUACUUCCAUUCCUUCCACCCAACAUACCCCUACCGGGCCCGAACUCCAAACACUUGCACUUUGGUAUUACUCGAGUAAACCGGAAUCGAGAGUCUCUCAUACUACAAGAUUCCAUAUAACAUUUCCCCAAGGCACAUCAAUUGGCACGACCAAACCCUCGCCGGCUCGAUUCAAUCAACUACCAAUGGGGUUGAGCUCAAAGAUAACAAUUGUUGUCGUUGGAUACUCGUCCAAACGACAGCAAGCCAUGUACUUUCAUUUCAUGAAACAUGUUGUAUAACAUUCCAAUAACAUGGUAAACAAUAAGUGAGAGUGAUAAAGUACGCUCUCACUUCAAUCAAUUCACAUUCAAUUCACUUCAAGCAAUUCACAUUCAAAGCCAUAUAGUAACACACAAGUGAGUAGUACACUCACCAAGCUUGCAAAUGAGGUUUCAUGCACUUCCGUCAAAAGAACGUCGUGCACCAACGUCACGCCCUAAAACAUGCAAACAAGGACAAUGAGACUCGAUAACGAGUCAUAAAUCAAUGCCAAAUACGACCCCAAUAAGGUUUCAUAAGCAUAUACAAGCAUUAGAGAAAACCAGAAAAUCCGGAAAUGGAUUUAGCUUUGCCCUGAAAAAAAUAGUUUUUGACCUCUUUUUGCGGUAAUGGCACCCAAGGCACUACGAUUACUGGACGAAGGUGUAAGAUACACCGUUUCGAAGCUAAAAGGCAGGGCUACAACAUUGCAGAAGGUCACUCAACCCAGUUUCAAGUGUAACCAGGUCAAAAAUGCAAGAUACUACACCAGAAUCACAAAAACAGAUUCACAGAACGCAUUCUAGCGAAAAUAUCAUAAAUCAGGCUAUCCAAGUCCAAAUCCAGAAAUUCCAAAACCAUCUGAAAGCUAAGAAACAGGGCUACAUUUCAUCAGAAGGUCUCAACAACCAAUUCUGAAGCAAUUCCAACCAAAACAAUCAAUUACAGGCGCAAUUCUUACAUUCGGAUAAAACCAGGACAGCAAGGGUAAUUUCGACUUUUCUCAUCCUACACUACUCCGAUUGACCUGAAAUUUUGCAGGCACCUCUAAAAUAUCAUUCCCUACAACUUUCAUGUUUUAAGCCAAGGCCAAUUUAGCCUCUAACUAGGAGCUACAAAACCGGGCAGAAUGUUCCCAAGAAAACCCUAACUUUCUACAAUUCCUUCCAAACCAAAAAUUGGUUGCAAUUAUCCACUUUUUCCACCUUCUAGAGUCAUUAUACAUCAUUUCCAAUCAUCAUAGAUAGCCACACAAUCAUGUUCAUAUUAAAACAGAAAAUCACCAAUAAAUAAAAAACUUCGCUAAUUCAACCACAAAUCAAGAUGUAAUCCAUAAAAUUUCAUCACAUACCACCACUAAUCAUAAAUUAGGCAUCAUUAGAGGAAGGAAAGUGGUUCUUCACAACUCACCUUAGAAACAAGAGAGAGAGAACAAUAGGUCCUCUUAGCUUUCCAAAUAACUCCACAAAUCAAUUCACUAACACUUCUUUAAGUGUUUCUAUGGAACAAAAACAAAAUCUAAUGGUUGAUUUAGAAGAUUAGAGCAAAGAUUGAAGCAACUUGGAGAGUUUUCUUUCUUUCUUUCUUGAGAGUAAGAGCCGGCCACUAGAGAAGAGAAAAUGGUGAAAUUUUGGUUAAUUUUGUGAUUUAUUUGGUCAAAUAGAAAAAGGUGAAUAGUGGUCUUACGUAAGAACCAAUCCUAUGGUGACACUUGUCACCUCAUUUAAUGCUUGCCUAACUUUUGUCUCCCUCAUACCAAUCCACUUAGCAUCCUCUACUUAUCUCUUAACACCCGGUAAAUUAAUUACAGUAUCCAAAACUUAAUCUAGUUGGCCAAAUUUUUCCGAACUUUUCGCACUAGUGGGUCCCACGUCCGGUAUACGCUCUUAAUUUCUCAAAACCUAUUCGAUACUAGAAAAAUCAUCUAAAAACUAUAUCUGCUCCUUAAAAAUAUCUAGAAAUUUUUCCUACUCACGAAAAUGCAGAAAACAAGCCAUGAAAAAUAAUAAAACCUAGAAAAUGGAAAAUUACGGGUUCUCACAUAAGUAUAAUUUUUCAAAUCUUAUGAGAGCUCAGUAAAAUUACCAAAAACCUCAGGGGAGGUUUCUCAAAUUAUCCCUUUUUUUUAACAUUGGAAACUUUAUUACUUCUAUUUGCUCCUACCAUUUAUGCAAUUACUUCGAUACAUAUAAGGCUAUGCUGCAGGUUUAAAUAAUUUAUGCCUAGUUGGGCAUGCUGCAGUUUAUUCCUCGUAGUUCUCUCUCACACGAGCAAAGCCAAUCCCAAAAAACAAGAACUACAAACAGCCCAAUUCAAGGCUAGGUUUAUUCAUUCUUAAACAAGACUAGUUUAUUCUUAAUCAAAACAGUCUUAAAACAAGACUGGGUUUAUUCCUCCUAAGUUCUCUCUGCACACGAGGAAAGCCAAUCCCAAAAAAACAAGAACUACAAACAGCCCAAUUCAAGAGAGUCUUGAAACCAAGACUGUCUUAAACAUGAUGGCAAAGACACACGAGCAAAGCAAACAGAAUUCCCAAAAUCAAGACAAUCAGCGUAUUGUCGUGUUUAGAAGCCACCACGUGAAUGUUAGCCUCCUAAGCACCGCGAGUAGAGAACACCAAGUGAAGAGUCGACUUGUGAGGAAUUUCAUAGUCUUCAAGAGUGCGACCAUCCUCAAGAUGCGUACCAGCAAAAACCAACCUUUGCUCGUUCGGUGGGAUUCCUUCCCUAGACAGAACUUUUGCCUUCACGUUCUCGAUGGUAUCAGAACUCUCCACCUCCAGAGUUAAGGUGUUCCCUCUCAAAGUUUCCACAGAUAUUUCCAUUCUUCCCCUCCACCUCAUCACCAAGUGAAGGGUUGACUCCUCCUGGAUGUAAUAAUCUGCAAGAGUCCGGCCAUCCUCAAGCUGUUUACCAGCAAAAAUCAGCCUCUGGUCAGCCAGUGGGAUCCCUUUCUUAUCUUGAAUUUUUGCCUUGACAUUGUCGAUGGUAUCAGAACUCUCCACCUCCAGAGCUAUGGGCUUUCCAGUAGGAGUUUUCACGAAAAUUUGCAUUCCAUCACCAAGCCUGAGCACCAGAUGACGGCUGGACUCCUUUUGAACAUCGUAAUCGGCAAUGGUCAGCCCAUCUUCCAGCCGUUUGCCAGCCAAAAACAGCCUCUGCUGGUCUGGGGGAAUACCUUCCUUGUCUUGAAUCUUAGCCUUGACAUUGUCAAUAGUGUCAGAGCUUUCAACCUCAAGGCUGAUUGGCUUACCAGUGUCAAAGCUCUCAACCUCGACUGUCAGACCUUUCACGAAGAUCGGCAUCUGUUAGGGGGAAAAACCAAAACAAAAAAAAAAAAAAACCCAAAUCCGGUCAGAUCUAAUCAAAUUCCAAUCCCUCAACCCAAAAUUGCCAGCACAAAUACCAAAAGAUAAAUAAUCGGAAUUGCUAGCCAAACAAAAAACUGUAAUCCCUCAACCCCAAUCAAUGUUAACCAUUAGAUAAUGCUAAGCUGUGAUCAUAUACCCGCCAAUUGGAUGUAUAAUAGUCAGGCAGUCACAUGUAGCAGCAGCUAAUUGAUUGUAAUAGUUAGUUAGUUAUGAUAGUAGUUAAUUACUAAGCAUCGCUGAGGUGGUCAAAAUUGCGGUUACUUCUUAAUUAAUAAUUGAUAGAAUAAGUAACAGCAAGGGAGGGCAAUUAAGAAAGCUAGUGAACUUAUCUCCCCUUUAUUAUUGUAACCUUUCCUGUAACUCUCCUUGAUUAUCAAUAUAGUACCAUUCCUCCUUCAUAUUCCUCAACGGACAUUCUCCAUUAACUGGAAUCGGGAAUUGGGAUCCUCACUACCUUUGCAUCACAAAAUAAUAUAGAUUGUCAAAGAAGGAAGGAUUACCUUUUGAUGGCAGAAUUUGAGAGAAGAUUGAUGAAGAAGAAGAUGGGUAGAUUAACGAGUGAGAGAUGAAGGUGAGAGACGCCCAUAUAUAGAGAAAAACAGAAGACUUCUACUUCCACAUUAAGCAAGUGGUUGCGUUUGGGGAGGGAGGCUACCGCGAACAAUUUUUCUAGAACGUGGCAGAAUUUUCAGAGAGGAUUGAUGAAGAAGAAGUAUACAAAUCAAAAGCGGCUACAAUAUUUUCUUUCUGACAUUCCGUCGUUGACCUCAUAGUGUAUGUGUUAAAGCUCGGAUACCUUUAUUUAUGGUAGGAACGCAUUGACCGUUCCUACACAUCAUGGUCUAGCCAUGGUUGAAUUGUUUGUGGUCCAAAACCAUUUGGACUAAGAAGCACAGACCACGCGCUUGGCAAGGAGUACUCGCCAGGCCUGAGAAAAAUUCUACACCACAGCAACUGUACGUGCAAUUCUUCAUUUGAAUUUAAUUAACUUUUGUCUUCAUUUCUCCCAUUUUGGUAUUCGACGGAAAAUGUGCGCAUAGAAGGUACCGAAAUUUUAACAAAUAAUAAAUAUAAAUCUCAUACGUGAGGGGAUAAUAAUUUCGAAGAAGGAAAAGUGGAGGCAAACAUAGUAGUUCCGCGGCAAUACGAAACACAAAAGGAUUCAAGCCUUCAUUAUAUUUAUAUACAUAUAUAAAUUUAGUACCCAAGUGUUCAGUUUUAGCAUCCGGGAAAAUGGUAUAGUAACUAUCGUUAUACUAGUAUAUUAAAAAGAGGCUAAAGAGAUACUGUAGUCAGCACUGUUGAUUGUCAGAGUGUUAAUUUCGUCCCCUUUUCAUUACGCAAAACCAACACGCAAUGCAGUGGUAUGCGCAAUGAAGCAAUCCGAUGGUAUGUGCAAUGGAAACUACUCCGGGGUUGCUUGUGCGGUGGGUGGAAAGUGGGAUGAACUUCCUACCGAUGAAGAACACAAAUGAAGCAUUUCCAUUCAUGUACACCUUCAACGAUCACAGCCCUUAAAUCAGUUGUUUUGAACUUUUAGCAAAACAACAAUGGAAGCUUGGGGGUUGCUUCUAAGGUGGAGAGUGAGAUGAACUUCCCACCGCAGCCAGAAAGCCUAUUAGAAGUACGGUUGCUUCUUCGAUGGAAAGUGGCAUGAACUUCCACUUUUUUUUCCAAAAAAAAAAUCACAAUUGUGUCGAACUUUCUAUUUUUGGAAUGAAAUAUUUAGGGAAUCUCCAUGAAUAGGAUCAACCCCUAUUCCAUGGUAUUUUUAUGAGGUUCCUUUUUAAAUUAAGAAAAUCCCUGAUAGGGUUUGUUUGAUCCAUGAUUUAUGUUUCAUCUUUCGAUUGGAGAUUAGGAACAGACGGACUUUCUAUGGGACCUAUUUUACUGACGGGAUUCAUCACCACUUUAAUGACUUUAGCAGCUUGGCCGGUUACAAGAUUCUCAAUGAUUUAAUUUCCUGAUGUUAGCGAUGUACAGUGCUCAAAUAGGAUUAUUUUCCUCUUGGGACCUUUUACUUUUUUUCAUUAUGUGGGAGUUAGAAUUAAUUCCUAUUUAUCUACUUCUAUCGAUGUGGGAUGGAAAGUGGGAUGAACUUCCCUUAUUUUUUUUCGGAUAUGAUAGACCUACUCUUACUCUAUACUAGAGGAAGAAGGGACUGAAGAGACCCAAGAAAAAUUCAGAAGGAAAUGAACCACCACUCCUUGACCUAACUCUCAAGUAGAGUUUUAGAACUCUUUUAAUGGCCAACUAUUCUAGAAGUUCUAUUAGAAGGUAUAUUAGGUAGAAGGUCUAUUAGAAGUACAACUCAGCAUGAGCAUUUUUGUCCAUAUUUUUGCGGCGCAAUUGAGAGAAGGUAACUGGCAAAGGCUGUUAUCAUCUUAAGGAGCUGAUAGCAAAUACCAAUAUAAAUUGGAUUGGGUCGUUAAAUGAAUAAAGAAUGUCCCAAACAGGGCAAUGGGUAAAAGUCAUUACUAAUUUGAAGCCAGAAUUUUUAGGUUGGGAAAAAAACUUGUAAGUAAAAAAUAAACUUGUUAUUCGAUGAGUGUCAUUUAUAGAAUUAUAUAGUUGUAGCGUAUUUCCUUUUUGUUUCUAGUUUUUUCUUGAUUAUCUAGUCUUAAAUUAAGUUUCUUUAUCAACAAGGUCAUCCUUAAUGAUGAUUUUGUUGAAACAAUGAUAGCAAUAAAUUAUAUUAAACAGAAUGAGGAAGUUUUGUAUUAAAUAAGAAUUAAUCUUUGCACUCUAGUUUCGAGGGCAUUAGACAAGAUGACAAAAGCAAGUUUUUCCAUUAGUCGGCUUGUUUUUUCUUGGAUUUCCAUUGAUGAUGAUGAUGGCAUUCCAUCAUCAUCUCUUUUAAGCUAACUUGAUUGUUGUGUUGCACUUGCACUGAUCUUUGCCAUAGGCAUCAAGGAGAAUGAUGUUAGAGGAGAAUUUGUCACUACUAUGUGUUUGAAGGAAGAAAACUGGAGGUGGGAUUUUGUGAGAAUUAAGAAAAGUUGGAACCGGUUAGAGUAAGUUUAGUUUGAGCAAGAAAAAGGUUGGGUUUGCUGCUAUUGUUGUUGCCACCUUAGGAUGAAAUUGAAGUUAGUUGUUCUUAUAGUUUUGAGGGGUUUUAGGCAAAAAAAACAAGGGAAGAGACUGAUGAACGAAGAGUUUCAACUAUGAAGCUGUACAACACUUGACCAUAGUGGAAUAGAUGUGCUCUAUUGAACUGUUUGGCUUGGAUUAGAUUGGACCGUACUCUUACUGGAUCUAAUCGAGAUUGAUCCUUUGUUUCAAAAAGAAAAAGAAACUAAAUCAGUGUGAUGCUUGAUUAGAUAUUCGACUCAAUCAGCAACUUGAUUCUUCAUGUUUCAAAGAAGCAAAGACAGGCUUACAAGAGUCGUCCGAUUACAUACUGUAUGUACAUCAUUGUACUCCCUUGUAAGCAGUGAAAGCGACCUGAUUAUUUGAUUUUCCUCUUUUUUUAAAAUUUUUUUCCCCUUUUUGUGUAAAUAAACUAAUUGGUAGUAUAUAUUUUAUCAAAUUUGAAAUUAUAAUUUGUAAAAGAGAAGAACAUGAAAUAGAUGUGUUUGCCGGUUUUGUAUGUCAAGCUUGUUUUGGUGAAGGCGAAAGAAAGUACUACAUAGGGCAAGGGUUAGGAAAAAUGCGAAUAAUAAUAAUAACAACAAAGGAGUGUCAUUAAAAUUCUUAAGAAUUUGAAAUUACACUUAAAUUUGGCUAUAUAUCCGUUAUAAAUUUAGAAAAGGAACAUUUCCAUGUAUUAAUUUCAAGUAAAAAGUCACAAUUUUCAUGUAUGAAUAUUAUGAGGGAAAAAGGUCCUAGGGAUUAAGGUUUUGUAUGAAUAUUACGAGUUUUGAGGUUAGUCCAGUUUAUCUUGUUUGUUAUGGGAUCAAUCAAUGUCGCCUGACCCAAUUCUAAUUUCCAUGUAUAGGUGUCAAGUCCCAUUACUAACUUCAAUGGAAUGUAUACUAAGAUUUUAUGGUUAUAAUUUCAAGGUCAAGUUGUCACGGGAGAACUUAGCAAAUUUGGCCAUGGGCAGCAUAAACAAAAUUUGCUUCUGGAUGGGGGAAAGAUGUAUUUUACUUUUCAAGCUCCAUGCUGCAAUGCUUUCUUAUUUAUCAGUUCAAUUAGUAUAGGACAAUUCGUUAUUGAAUUUAUUAGAUCCUCUUUGCUAUAGUUCUUGUAGUGAGUUCAGAAAAAAAUUUUAUGUAAUGACAUAUGAACAUGUUGAAAUCCUUAUUUAACCUAAUGCUUGCUAAUUUAACAAAAUAACGCUAGAUAAAAGGAUUUGUGUUUGGAUAGUUAUUUACAAUCCUUCUAUUAUAACAAAAUCAUGCACAAUGAAAACAUAUAUAUCUCUCUUGAACAAGAAAAUUUUUCUUGUGCUCUCAAUAUGGUUCAUCACUGUUCAAAAUAAAUGUCAAAAUGAAGAUUUGUACAUAGCUGUCAUUCUAAAGCUUAUUUUAAUUUUUUUAGGGAUAAUUUCAAAAACCUCCCCUAAGGUUUCUGACAAUUCCAUUGAACUCUCUUGAGAUUUGAAAAAUUAUAUAUACCUCAUCUGUCAUUUAAAAUGAUAAUUUUACCCUUAAAUAUUUUAAUGAAAUUCUCUUAUCCGGUAUGCUUAUACUUAGAAAUGACCCAAAAGCACUACUAAAAUUAUGAUAAUCCCAUUACUCCAAAAAUUUAUAAACUCUAAAUGAAUUAUUUCAACAUUUUCUUUUCUAUCUUAUAAAUUUGAAUCCAUAAUAAAAUACCAUAAAAAAUCUCGUAUCAUAGUAAUAAAAUUAUUAUUAUUAUAGUUGUUUAUCAAAUAGCAGAUAUGGACAUGAAAAUUUUGGUACAUUUUUCUUAUAAUUAUACUAAAUAAUCUUAUAAUUGUAUCGGGAAAUAAAUUAAAACUCAUUCCAAAAGAGCAUUUUUGGGUAUUCAUUUAAAAAAUUAUCGAAAUCAAUAUUAUUUUAAGGUUUUGUUACUAAAACUAUCAAAACAAGGGAGGUAAGUGUAAUUUUUCAAACCUUAGGAAAGCUCAGUGAAAUUAUCAAAAACCUCAGGGGAGGUUUCUCAAAUUAUCCCUUUUUGUUAACAUUACAAACUUUAUUACUUCUAUUUGCUCUCCUACCAUUUAUGCAAUUACUUCGAUACAUAUAAAGCCAUGCUGCAGGUUUGAAUAAUUUAUGCCUAGUUGGGCAUGCUGCAGUUUAUUCCUCGUAGUUCUCUCACACACGAGCAAAGCCAAUCCCAAAAAACAAGAACUACAAACAGCCCAAUCAAGGCUAGGUUUAUUCUUAAACAAGACUAGUUUAUUCUUAAUCAAAACAGUCUUAAAACAAGACUGGGUUUAUUCCUCAUAAGUUCUCUCGGUACACGAGGAAAGCCAAUCCCAAAAAAACAAGAACUACAAACAGCCCAAUUCAAGAGUGUCUUGAAACCAAGAUUGUCUUCAACAUGAUAGCAAAGACACACGAGCAAAGCAAACAGAAUUCCUAAAAUCAAGACAAUCAGCGUAUUGUCGUUUAGAAGCCACCACGUGAAAGUUAGCCUCCUAAGCACCGCGAGUAGAGAACACCCAGUCAAGAGUGGACUCGUGAAGAAUGUUAUAGUAUGCAAGAGUGCGACCAUCCUCAAGCGGCCCACCAGCAAAAACCAAGCUUUGCUCUUCCGGUGUGAUUCCCUCCAUAGACAGAACUUUUGCCUUCACGUUCUGGAUGGUAUCAGAACUCUCCACCUCCAGAGUUAAGGUCUUUCCAGUAGCAGUUUUCACGAAAAUUUUCAUUCCGCCACCAACCUUGAGCACCAAAUCAGGGAUAGACUUCUUUUGAAUAUUGUAAUCGGCAAGGGUCCGCCCAUCUUCAAGCUGUUUGCGAGCUAAAAACGGCCUCUGCUUGUCUGCGGAAAAACCCUGCUUGGCGUGAAUCUUAGCCUUGACAGUGUCAACAGUGUCAAAGCUUUCAACCUCAAGGGUAAUUGGCUUACCAAUGUCAAAGCUCUCAACCUCGACUGUCAGACCUUUCACGAAGAUCGGCAUCUGUUAGGGGGAAAAAAACCAAAAAAAAAAAAGCCAAAUCCGAUCAGAUCUAAUCAAAUUCCAAUCCCUCAACCCAAAAUUGCCAGCACAAACACCAAAAGAUAAAUAAUCGGAAUUGCUAGCCAAACAAAAAACUGUAAUCCCUCAACCCUAAAUUCGGCACCUAAUUCCUUAAUUUAGGGGUGGAAUCCAUAAAUUACAGAGAAAAAAAAACCUAAAUCAAAAUCUAUUCCUUCUUCUUCUUCUUUUUUUUAAAUCAAAGUCCCUUGCAUUCCCUCCAAAAUAAUUGCCAAUAUUCAUUUAUCCAUAACUCUAGAAAAUAGGGCGAGAUGGCAUAUGGCAAAAUAACAUAGCAGAAUAGAAAAGUGGGCAAAGAAGAAAAAUGGUGAAAAUAUGCUGUCACCUUACAGAAAUUAUAAUGAGGAGAAGGAAGAAAUAGUGGUAGUCUUGGAAGUGUGAAAUCUAAAAAAGCUUAGGGAAGAUGAAUCCGAAUUGUAAAGUGGGAGAUAGGGGCAUCCGGGGCAAAGACUGAGCUGAGACAUACCCAAGUAAUAAUAUUGCAAGCUUAUCACAUAAUUUGCAUAUUUUAACAAUGGUGUGGAACAAUUUUACUUGUACUUGUUUUAGGCACACGAUUGAAAUGCUAUAAAAAAAAUAAAAUAGAAAGUUUGUUCUGAAAAUCUGUAUGAAUGGUUUGAGUUAGAUAUGUUGGAGGAAAGUGGAAGAAAAUUUUGCACAACAAGUGUUCAUGAGAAAGUAAAUGAUAGCUGUCCAACCAAUUAUUGGAAGGAAUUGCUGGUAGAAGAUAAUCAGGAGCCAUGAGUUUCCAGAAUAAAAAGAACGGUGUAUUCAUUAUACGAACUAUAUGAGAAACUUUCCACAAUAAGUGAGGAGGUUUAGGCAAGUAAAAGAACAGAAAAUUUUAAAAGGUUCUAUUUUUUUGGGUAAACAAUCAAACCUUAUGGUGUACAUACUAUUACCAGGUAUUUAUGGGUGAUCACUUUCAGAUAAACUGAGACACAUAGCAAGAGAAAAGGUAAGCAAAGUGGCUCAUGAAAAGUAGAUAUAGGUAAAGAUGUUUAGAUAAGUAUGCCCUAGUAUCAUGUUGGAUAGCAAAUAUUUUUUAAAUGAACUAAUGAUGGUGGAGAAACAGUGGGAUGCUAGCAAAUUCGAUCAGAUCUAAUCAAAUUCAAAUCUUUAAACCCAAAAUUGCUAGCAAAAAUACCAAAAAUAAAUAAUGGGAAUUGCUAGCACGAAAAAAAAAACUGUAACCCCCGAACCCUAAAUUCGGCACCUAAUUCCUUAAUUUAGGGGUGGAAUCCAUAAAUUACAGAAACAAAGAAACCUAAAUCAAAAUCUUUUCCUUCUUUCUUCUUUUUUUUUAUUCCAGCCUAAAUUGGAUUAAUUAUAUUAAAAAUAAAAAAAUGGAAAGUCUUCUCGUUCAACCAAAUAAUCCCAAUAGAUCCGUCAACUACCGGAAAAUUUAAAAAAAAUAUACUAAAAUCAAUCAAAGCAUCAAGCAGCAAACAAUCAUAAACAAACUGUGAAAAGAAGCAAACUGAUGCAGUUGCAAGGAAAUGACUGGAUUAACAAACUCAAAAAAUCAAAAUACAUAAAAAAUGAAACUGUUACAUAUUGCUUUUUAUGAAACUGUUACAUAAAGAUUUUUUAUAAAUUUUCUGCUGCAUUUUUUAAUUUUCUAUUAUAUAUUUUUUUUUGAAACUGUUGUAUUUAUUUUUUACUAAAUUAAUAGUUAUUGGAUCUUAAGGAAACAAAAAAGAACUAAAAUAUGAUAUUUAUGAAGGAAAAAUAGCAAUAUAAUAAAAAGUGGGACAGAGAGUGACACAGGAUAUGGGACAGAAGAUCUGUUGCGGAGAUAUUAACCGUUCAAUAAUGCUAAGCUGUGGUCAUUUACCAGCUAAUUGAUUGUAUAAUACUUACUCAGUCACAUUUAGCAGCAGCUAAUUGAUUGUAAUAGUUAGUUAGUUAGUUGGUUAUGAUAGUAAUUAAUUACUAAGCAUCGCUAAGGUGGCAAGGUGGUAAAAAAUGCGGUUACUUCUUAAUUAAUAAUUGAUAGGAUAAAUAACAGCAAGGGAAGGCAAUUAAGAAAGCAAACACACCUUGAGCUCCAAAUGAGGGAUAGACUCCUUUUGAAUAUCGUAAUCGGCAAGGGUCCGCCCAUCUUCAAGCUGUUUGCCAGCAAAAAACAGCAUCUGGUUGUCUGCGGAAAAACCCUGCUUGGCGUGAAUCUUAGCCUUGACAGUGUCAACCAUGUCGAAGCUUUCAACCUCAAGGGUAAUUGGCUCGCCAGUGCCAGGGAUCUCAACCUUGAGUGUCAGAGCUUUCACGGACAUCUGCAUCCGUUGGGGGGGCGGGGCGGGGGAUACCAAAAGAUAAAUAAUCGGAAUUGCUAGCCAAAAAAAAAAAAAAAAAAGCUGUAAUCCUCAACCCUAAAUUCGGCACCUAAUUCCUCAAUUUAGGGGUGGAAUCCAUAAAUUACAGAGAAAAAAAAAUCUAAAUCAAAAUCAUCAAGCAGCAAACAAUCAUAAACAAACUGCGAAAAGAAGCAAACUGAUGCAGUUCCAAGGAAAUGACUAGAUUGAUUGAUGAGAUAUUAACCGUUCAAUAAUGCUAAGCUGUGAUCAUUUACCAGCUAAUUGAUUGUAUAAUAGUCAGUCAGUCACAUCUAGCAGCAGCUAAUUGAUUGUAAUAGUUAAUUAGUUACGAUAGUAAUUAAUUACUAAGCAUCGCCGAGGUGGUCAAAAUUGCGGUUACUUCUUAAUUAAUAAUUGAUAGGAUAAGUAACAGCAAGGGAAGGCAAUUAAGAAAGCAAACAUUUCCUGUAACUCUCCUUGAUUCUCAAUAUAGUACAAUUCCUCCUCCCUAUUCUUCCACGGACAUUCUCCGUUGACUGGAAUCGGGAAUUGGGAUCUUCACCAGCUUCGCAUCACAAAAUAAUAUAGAUUGUCAAAGAAGGAAUGAUUACCUUUUGAUGGCAGAAUUUGAGAGAAGAUUGAUGAAGAAGAAGAUGGGUAGACUAACGAGUGAGAAGUGAAGGCGAGAGACGCCAUUUAUAUACUGUAUGAAAAAGAGGCUAAAGAGGUACUGUAGUCAGUAUGUAGAUUGCCACAGUGUUAACUGUUAAUUUCGUCCCCUUCUGAUUAUGCAAAACGGACCACAUAUUUAACUUUAAAGAGGUUUCUGUGGCUUUGAACUUUAACAAAACGCCAAUAGAUACUUCGUGACCAAAUUUUGUCCUCACGGGAAGGUUUUAUUAUGAUUAUUGAGCAACGUGUCUUUUUUUUUUUUUUGGAUAAUUUAAGAAACCUAAACCUCCCCUAAGGUUUCUAACAGUACCACGGAACUCUCUUAAAGUUUAAAAAACUACAUCCACCUCCUGUGAUUUGAUAGUUUUAGUAAUAAAACUUUAAAAUAAUAAUGACUUAGUCAAAUUUUUAAAUGAAUACCCAAAAAUGCCCUUGUGUAAUGAGUUUUAAUUUACUUUUCUAUACAAUUAUAAAAUUAUCCAGUGUAAAUAUAAGAAAAAAGUGUCGAAUUUUUCAUGUUCAUCCUACUAUUUGAUAAACAAUUAUAAUAAUAAUAAUUUUAUCACUAUGAUAGGAUACUUUUGAAGGUAUUUUAUUAUAGAUCUAGAUUUAUAAGAUAGAAAAGAAAAUUUUGAAAUAAUUGAUUUAGAGUUUAUGAAUUUUUCGAAUAGUAGGAUUAUCAAAAUUUAGUAGUGAUUUUGGGUAGGGGUGGGCGCGGGUCGGGUACCCGCCCCGCAUAUCAGUGGGUACCCUAUAACGGGUACCCGGUGAGAUAGGGUCGGAUCAGCGAGUACCCGCCCCGCCCCAUUUAUCAUUUAAUUUUUUUAAAAAAAAUAAUUUAUACCAAUUUAAUUUUAUAUUUUACACAUUCAUCUAAGAUUUAAUAAUUUUUUUUUUCUAAAAAAAGGUUUCCCACCAAGAAACAAGCAUAUGAAGAGAAUAUAAGAUAAAGGAAAAAAAUUAAAAGAAUUCAAAAUCAAUAAAAGUUUGAAAUAAGUAGCACAAUUUUUAAUAUAUAUGUUCCACAUUAAUUAAACUUUUUUCUAUAAAAUAUAAGAUCAUGGCCUUUACAAAUGAAUCUUGUAAAUAAACUAUAGUAUCUCAUAUUUGUAAUGCAAUUUGUUCAAUAAAAUUACUUAUUUAGUUCUAACUUAUUAUUUUAUAGUGUGUGUAUAAAAAUAAAAAAUAUAUAUAUGCGGGACGGAUCGGGUACCCGCGGAUUUUUAAUUAUGUGACCCUAACCCGCCCCGCAUCUUAGCCGAUACCCGACCCUCUUUUGACCCGAUCAAAUAAUAAAAAUCGGAUAUCCUAAUUUUCGGAUCCGAUCGGAUCGGAUAUGACGGGUUUUCGAGUUAGCGGAUAAUUUUGCCCACCACUAAUUUUGGGUCAUUUCUUUUUGAUUUAUUGUUAAUUUUAAUACCAAAAAAUAGAAAACAAAGAUUAGUAAAAAAAAUAUAUUGGAUUACAUAUAAAGUUAACUCAUAAAAAAAUCACUAGUUCGACAUUUGAUUAUAAUAGAAACUAGAAAUAAUAGUAAAAGUUCUACAGUUUUAUUGGUAAAAAAAUUAAAAUAAAAAGGAAUGAGAAGGAAAAAGAAUGAAAAAAUAAUUUUAAAAGUCAUUCUAAAUAUAAGAAUACCAAACAAGAGAAUUUUAUUAAAAUAUUUAAAGAUAGUAUUAUCAUUUUAAAUAACAAGUAAGAUAUGCGUAAUUUUAAAAAUCUCGAGAGAGUUAAACGAAAUUGUUAAAAUCCUCAAGGGAGGUUCCUGAAGCUAUCCCAAUGGUAACAAUUCAUUAAACAAAAACACAGGAGACUUGUAUAUCCGGAGCAACUCCUUCUACGUCUCUUUUAGCUGUAAUAGCAAGGCAACCGGGAGUAGGGUGUCAUUGAACGUCUCCUGGCUCCUGGGGGGAACAGGCAUACUGCCGCCGGACAAGUGUUCACUGUGAAAUUUACAGCUCACGUGCUUCUUCCAAAACAAGGGGUUGGUACAAACCACUGUACCAUUCUGCAGAAUUGUUAUGCUGUUUUAAAACAAUGAGUUGGUACAAACCAAUAUACCAUUCUACAGAAUUAUUGUUGGUUUAAAACAGGGAUAACCUUUUUAUAUAUCAUGAGGGUAUAAUUAGAUUAACACAUUUAGAUUAUGUCACACAAUAUAAAUUUAAAUUUAAAAUUCAACUCAUGCACAUAUAACAUACGUCUAAAAACAUUCAAAACUUCUAGCGCAAAAAAAUCACUGAUGGUAUAUAAAAAGCUAAUUCUUAAAAUAAUAUUGCAAGAAGAAGCAAUUGCACCACAGCCUUGACGAUGAAAGUGUCAUCAGCCCCUAUCCUGGGAAAAAUUUCAAGCAACAAACCAAUAACAUUGUAGUCUGCAGCAGUUUCUUACUAUAAUUGUGCUUAGCCGGCCAGGUCCUCUGCCCCCUAAUAAUUGGCUUCGAAUCCCUGUCCCCAAAGUAGUCUCUUCCCACUGUCCCUUGUUUGUAUAGCCACCACGUGUGUCUAGCAUUUUAUUAAUCCAAAUUUAAAUAAACCGAUAAUAAUCGAUUUAUAAGUUUAUUCAAAAUCAAUUAAAAUAGAUAACUCAAAAAAAAAAUUUAUUUUCCUUUUAACAAAAAAGAGUCUUGUUGAUCAUACAUGAUCUGGUCAUUUGCAAGAGGAUUCGAAGCCCUAAUAAUUGCUCCUCAUUUGCAAGUGAUAAAAUAUGAUCAAGAACAUAAUGUCAUAUCGUCUUCUUGAAGAGGUUAGCAGCCGAAUCAGAGGGUACGUGCACAUUCUCAAUCCAAAGAGACUUUUUAGGCGCUAUAACAAGCAAAGUGGCCAACUCAAUUGUCUUCCCCUUUCAUUCCUUAACGGCUUAUGAAAUCAGAAAACUCAGCGGCAGAUGAACAGUUUACAAGCCUACGAACAAGCUUUAACACUCCAAGCAUGCAAUCUAAGUCCACAAAUAUCAAACAGCAGAGUAUAAAUUGAUUCUUCAUGAAUAUUCCAAGAAACGCUUCUGCUAAGGACUCAAGAGCCAACUCAAGCGGCAGGAAACCAUCUUUGGUUCUAACAUCUGCCUUUGCUCCAUAUGUAAGGAAUAACUAUGUCAUUGACGAAGAUAAUUCGAUUUCUGCCAAAUGCAACGGAUAGAGGUGACCGUUAUUUAUUUUGUUUUUGGGUUGACAAGGAAAUUCGUAGCCGCUACCCAAGAGUACACGCUGGAUAAAUUCCAUCCAUACAAUAACUUGUUAACCACACAGAGAGGUAUAACGCGCUAGACAAAUCCUGAACGACGAGAGCUGCCCCGGGUUGGCAAGAGGAAGUAGGACUACGGCUGUUAAGUCCACAAAAAUUUCACCCUUGGGAGCUGCUGUUCAGAAAGGCGAUUUUGACGUCCCCAAGAAAUACUCCCAUCGGUUCAAGGAGUUGGAAAUGGAUGGGAUAUAACGAGAGCUAAGAAUAGGGGUUAAAAUUAGGGUAAACUUCGGUACUCAACAAGGAUAGUAUUGAUAUUACAUAAUGAUAAGUGCUUAUAUUAUGAGUGGUGAUUGAUUUUCUGCAUUGCAGAAUUGACAAAUAGUAGGGAAAAAAUUAAUAAUGGGAAAUUCCUAUCAAAACUAAUUGCAGAGCUCUUUCCUAGGUACAUCAUAUUUCUGCACAACAGGCAAAGCUAGAGACGGAAAAUAACUGAAACUUUCACAACUUUCACAAACUUUCAUGAUUAUAUUACAGUAUACAUGAUACAGUACAUGAAUUCAACAAAUCUCUUAUACUAACAAAUAUUACAGGACAAAAAUUAUGCCAAAAGUCUAUAUAAAGAACACAUCAAACAGCUUUUAACAUGCUUUGUUUCCAACUAACUGAUCUUCACACAAUCAAGGCAAAUCAUAAUUGUUCUUUUUAUUAUAUGGUUCUUUGCCAGAGAUAAUUUGGUCCACAAAAUGACACUGGCUGCUAAGAUUCAUUACAUUUCAAGAAGAAGUUGAGGGGGUAUAGGAAGGAUUGAACACUUUCUGUUCAGCACAGCUGAGUACUUCAUUAGGCCCUGCCUCUUCUCGCCCAAUUCCCAAAAGGUCAAGGUAGUUUAGAUAAUGGGAGAUAAUGAUAUUCAUACUGUCAAUAUCACCUUGACCACAAACAGAAUCUCCAUAGAGGAGGUUCAUGGUUGUCCCAAAACCAGGAACUCGUUUUGCUUCAGUAUCAUUUUUGUUGGGCUUCCAGUUGCCAACAAAUGCAUCAUGAGCAGAAGGUAGUCCCUUUUUCUGGGGUUUCAUCCAUUGAUAUAUUGCAGCCUGGAAAGCCAGAGUCGCGUUUUGUUCAAUGUAUUCAGGAUGGUUCAAAAGAUCUUGCUUGAGGCCUUCACCAACAGGCCCGUAGUUGUAGUUCCUAAGACAACAUACACGGAUACAGUCAGAAAAAUAUGCAGGACUGAAGCAAUUACUAAAAUGCAAUAGAGUUAAAAUACCGAACCCCCCCCCCCCCCCGGCCCCGGCCGGCCCAAAAAAAAAAACCCGCACAAAAAAAAAAUUCUAAGCAUGGAGCCCUUCAAUAUCUAUAAUCAUCAUGCGAGCAUUACAGACUUUACAAUUCUAAGAAACAGGGACAGUUAGAAUGGAAAACAAAUUAACUUUGUGUAGUCUUUGUUAAGAAAGCUUGAUUCAGUAGGAAUCAGUGAACUAAAUUAUGGCAGAUGAUAAUUAAGGACUAUUUCCAUAAAACAAUCAACAAAGCUUGCAGAAAGCAAAUGGCAUUUAGUUCCACAUCCAACUGAAAUUUCGAGGCAUAAAUAGCAUAUCUAAAUCACUGGUACUGCUUUUUUCUUCCCUCUCACUGUCUCUCUCUCUGAUCAUGUCAAAGACCUCACUUAGCCUGUAAAAAGUAACAAUCAAGUAAGGGAAGAAAGAACACCACCACAUACCAAUAAAGAGGUAGUGCACCACGACCAUGGUAACUAACUCCAGGAGCACAUGGAUAGGUUAACUUGAAGUAAUCAUCACAGUAUAUUGAGCUAGGACUCAUUUCCUUGUUGUAGCAUAGACCCCAAGCCAAGGGCCCCCCUGUGGCUACCCCAUAACCACCUGCACCAUUAUCAGAAGCAUCAACUUUAAAUGGACUUAAGCAAGAAAAUGAAGUCAAUGCAACCAAAAAUCAAAGAAAAUUUCUCCCUCGUGAGCAACUUCCUCAAAUCUCAAUUUCAGCUUCAAGGCACCAUUUAGUUGGAUGCUGAUUGGAGAAAUUUAUCUCAUAAGUUUAGAUAGACAAAGCUAUUUGCCUAAGGAUUUAUUUGUUUCACCACACUUCCAACUUUAUUCAUUGUUACACAUUUUCUAAGUCUGUCUUCACAGAUACUAGCAAACAGUAGGGAUGGUAAAAAAAAUAUCCACAUAACAGUAGGACUUAGUUAUAAUAGUAUUAUAGAUAGAGAUACUAAUCAUAUAUACACACAUAGUACUUGCAAAGAAGGUGAGAUAUAGGAGCAUUAAAUGCAAGAAUAGGCGAGCUAAGAAUGGGCAAUGCUAAGAAUAGGCGAGCAAUGAAAGUGUUAAAAAAUGGGCAAUGCUAACUAAAUUUUGCACUUCCUUUUUUAAUUUUUUUUUCCUUUUUAGCAAGGGAGAGGAUGGGAUUUAAGAAAUGGGGAUGGAAAGAAAGAGAAAAAAAGGGGGGGAUUUCAGUACUAAAUCUUACAAUUCUAAAAGAAAUAUAUUUCCUUGAAAGUCACGACACAUUACAUAUAUAGGAGAAUGAAAAUCAAGAAUUAAAAAAUUUUCUUGUGCUCAGUAACAAUGCUGAAAAUAAUUUGCAUCACAUACACAAAAUAUGGUAACACUUGCAUACUCUGUUUUCAUGCUACUUUACGAGUCUUAAAUGUACCUGAAUAAGAAAUGACUAAACUAAUCUGAGAUUCUUUUUUAUUUUGACUAGAACUCGUUCAAAAGAAUGUUCACAGCGAAAAGAAAACUACAGUGAUUGUACCAUCACAUCCAUCUUUUGCUUAUAUGCAAAGAAAACAACAGAUAUAAACCUCCUAUAAUGAAACUUUUAGAUCCAAAUAAAUCAGUUCAAAACAGCACUAAAUCACAAACUAUCAUGUCAGAUCUCAAUUCUGGCCCCAAAAAAGAAAGAACUUCUAUCCAUACACUCAAUCUAGGUAAUACGCAUUCCAAGAUCAGUAAGAAUCUGAGUAAUUCCACACGAUACACUAAGUCUCUUAAAACCAAUAAUUCUAGCCACAAAUCUACAUCCACCGACAAACAUGUCCAACCUAGACAGCAUCCCUACAAGCUCGUGUAUUGUUCUUUGAAAGAAAUGGAAUCAAUGAAAUGAAAGAUGGAGUCAUAUUCUCUAAAUUAAGAAUAGAGUUUCUAAAAAACACAACAAAUUUCCAUUUCCAAAUCUCAUGAAGAACCAAACGCAACUCAACUAAAUUAGGGAAAACACGCUAUAAUUCCAUAUCAUCUCCUUACCUUUUCAAACAUGAUAUUAUAUUUGAUAUUAAGUACUAGCCAUCCAUUUUUGAAUUAACCCCUUCGAAACCGACAACCAAAAAAAAAAGGUAAAAUGGAUGGUAAAUUCUUAUGCAUAUAUAUAAAAACAAACAAAACUUUAAAUCCAUCAAAAAAAAGGAGAGGAACUUACAAGAAGUUUUGGCACCGACAUGACCAAGAAAUGCGGAAAGCUCCAACAUCUGGGCAGUCUUGUUUCCAGUGGUACCAAAUCCCAAAGGCUGGAAAAGAGCAGCUGCGUGAAUGAAAGAUUCGUAAUCCCAAAACCCAACGGCAUGAGCCACCGGCGAAUUCCUCUUGGAGAACAGAUUCUCAAACUGGUAAGUCUGAAAAUAGUCCGAGAUCGUCAGAUUACAACAGUAAACAGAUGGGGUCGAACAUUCCCACCCCUUUGUACAGUACUUCUUCCCCUUCACAACCUUCACCACUUUCGACGGCACCGCCGACUCGUCGGCGUAGGAAAUCGCCGGUGAAAGAAUCAAAAUUAGACAAAUAACCGGCAAAAACAUCUUGAAAUUCAACAUUUCUUUACAAUGCAGCAGGGAUUAAAACGGUCGGUUUUUUCUGCUGGGAUUUUUGGAGCUAUAAAAUUGAAGAAAUGAAAGGGAAAGAAGAGCUGGAAUGAUGUUGGAAAGGGGCCUUGGACUAUAGAGAGUGUGAUGCAAGGUAAGGAAAGCGGUGGUUAGAUGCGGUGUCGUUUUCUGGGGAUGGAGAGAUGGACGGUCGAGAUGGGGUUUGGGUUGGGGAAUGGAGGGUGGAUGGUGAACGUGUACCAGGCUGGAUUUGGAAUCAAGCAAAGGGGAGAUGGUGAGGGAGUGACCCACUAACUAAUUCAGUAAUUCCACCGACAGCUCCUGAGUCCUGAGGACUCUUCAGACUGGGGGUUUGUUUUUUUUUUGGUUUUAUGGAUCCGGAUAUGGGAAUCCGGAGUCAGAGUUGUGCCGACAAAUGAAAGUCUUGAACUCGUUUAAGAUGAGCUAAGAAUGUUCAUUUACGUUUUGGAGUCUUACACUGCUACUACGCUACUAGGUACAUUUGUAUUUAUUUUCUAGGGAUAAUUUCAAAAACCUUCCCGACGUUUCUAACACUUUUACGACCUUUCCUAAGGAUUUAAAAAUUACACUAACUUUCCUUCUUAGAAAUUUGGAUCCAUUACUUGGGAUAAUUUCAUAAACCUUCCUUGAGAUUUUCAACAAUUACAGAGAUCUUCUCUCAAGUUUCAAAAAUUAUACUUACCUCCCUCGCUUUUAAGAUUUACAUAACAAUAUAGAUCCAAUAGCCUAUAAUUUUUCUUAAAUAUCCUAAAAUACCCUUCUUCAGAGAACAAGACACAACAAAAUAAGGUUUUAAUCUUUAAUUUCAUGUACGUGUCAUACUUACUAAAACAAACAAAAUCCAGUCGCUCCAACUCAUCUCAAAAUUCAUUACUUGCUAAUUCUUGCUUUAUGCAAUUACUACCACCACUACCAAUACUAAACCAAGAAGAGUAAAUUUUAGGGAUAAUUUCAGAAACCUCCCCUGAGGUUUCUGACAAUUUCACUGACCUCCCCUGAGGUUUCCACAAUUACACUGACCUCCCCUGGCAGAACUUGGGACCCAAUUGCUGACAUCAUAUAAUGCAAAAUUACUAUUAUACCCAAGACAUUUUGUGUUAUUAUAGGACUAAAAUAUGAUAAGGCAGAUGGUGUUUUUGGAUAGUAUUGGAUUGCAUUUCUAUUUAUUUAAUGUAUGGUUAUGAAAUUUGUAAUGAUAUUACUCUUGGAUUGCAGUUUUGGUUUGCACCUUAUUACUGUUAAUGUUUUAUAAAUGACUGUUUUAGUUCUUGGAUUACACCUUACCUCCAAAAUUUGGGAAUUUACCCAAAUUUUCCAUUUUCUAAUAUUCCUACAAAUAUGCAAAAUUAUGCAUAUCCCUCAAAUCUACCCAAUAUUAAUGUUUUGUUAAACUCUAAAUAACAAAAAUAUGAAAUAUAAUAUUUAAAUAUAUUUUAAUACACACAAGUUGGACGGGUAACUAGUGUGUCAGAGAGUUGCCAUAAUCUCCUUAAACCCGCAUGCGGGUUUAAAGAGUAUUCGGAUAUUCUCAUAUGCACCUAUGCAAAUCGAACCAACCGGAUAUCUUAUCCGUAUCCCAUUUUUUUAAAUAAAAAUCUUAUAAAUUUGAAAAAUAAAAUCAAAUUUAGAUGUAUUAGGGUUUUAAAAAUAUUAUAUAAGUGAUAAAAAUUUUAUAAAUUGUAAAAAUAAAAUCAAAUUUAAAUAAUUAAAUGUUAUAUUUGCAUAAGAAAUAAUACAAUAAUCAUAAUAAUGAUAAUACAAUAAUAUUGGUGUAAUAAAACUGCCAUUAAUUUAAAUAUUUACUUAUAAUGCCCAAAGAGCCUAAUUACCAAUUUUUUCUUCUCGCGCUCAAAUAUAACAUUAACCCGCAUGCGAGCUAACCUUGAAAUAGAAAAAACACAGAAUCCCGCUUGCGGGUUUCAACGUUAUUAUGCAGGCGGGAUUUUAACCUGCUUGCUUGUGAACAUGUACCACAUUGCUUUGAAUUUUUGUGACAAGAGGAAAGCUUUGUCUGAUGAAUGUAUUUGUGAAAUGACCUGAGUGGUGGUAGAUGGGUUAAUUGGGUCGGUUGCGUUACCCAAUUGUUUAUAUCCAUAAGUAAAAUUUUAUGAUUCCCAUACCCAUCCCCUCACUUUUUCUUAUUUAUUUCUGAUUUUUAUUAGUUUUCAUUAAUUCACUAAUAUAACUUGUACACCUACCUUAAGGGCAUUUAUGGGAACAAAAUUUCCUCUCUUUCCUGAAAACACUUUUUUAUGUUUACUUUUGUGGUCAUGGGCUGAUUUUGUUACAAAAUCAGAAACCUCAAGGGAGGUUAGUGUAAUUGUGGAAACCUCAGGGGAGGUCAGUGAAAUUGUCAGAAACCUCAGGGGAGGUUUCUGAAAUUAUCCCUAAAUUUUAUAUACACUGAUAGUGUAUACACUAUCACGGUUGGAUGCAUGACACGUGAGUAAAAUUUGGAUUUUAAAUUUAAAUUCAGAUAAGUUGUCAUGCAUCCAAUGGUGAUAAUAUAUACUGUCAAUGUAUAAAAGAUUAAUCCAACUAAAAAAUGCCCCAUGUCCCUAAGAACAUAAUUCAUCAUUGCUCUAGCACUCUUAGAUAUAGAGACAAAAUUCUACAUUUAUAGUAAAAUCACAAUUAAUAAAUAAAUAAAAGAGAGAACCAAUGAGUAAUUGCUGAACUUUUUUGCUUAACAAACAUAGUAGUAACUUCUUUAUGUUCCAACUUUCAAUUUCAUUUUUUUCCCUAUAUCACUGUCACCUUUUUCAUCUUUCCCUAGUUUGACAAUAAAAUCCAUAGUUUGCACCUUGCUAAUUUGGUAACUUCAAUUGGCUAACAUUUGUAAAGAGUAAAACUGUUGGGAAAAAAAAAAAGAAAGGGUCUAAAAUUUAUAUAAUAAUAAAGAGACAGGAAGAUAAAAAAUACAAAUAAAUUUUAGAGAUGGUAAAAAAUUGAUAGUGGUGUGGUUGGUAAUAAUGGAGCGCGAUAUUUGGUGAGAGGGAGAAGCGAUCGUAGGAGAAAAAGAGAGAAUAAUAUGAAAGGGGGAGGGAAGAAGAGAUGAAAAUUAGAAAUUGAUGGAGAUUGUUUUUUGAGAUUAGGAAAUGACAAGUAGAAUAUAAGGAUUAUUUUCGAUUUUAAAUGUCCCUUUAUGAAUUAACUAUUAAGUGGAGGAUAUUUUAGUCAUUUGAUUAGACCAAGGGAGGUCUAUGUAAUUAUUGAAACCUUAGGGGAGCUGAAUAAAAUUGUCAAAAACCUCAAGGGAGGUUUCUAAAGUUACCCACCUGUUACUUAUCUAAGAUAUAGUGAAAGUACUGCUUUGCCCUAAGACAUUAUGCAUUAUUACAAAUAGAUAUUUGACAAAAAAAAAGGUUAGGGCACUAAAUAAAUAAGAUAAACUAAUUAAACCAAAAAAUGAUUAUUUCAUCUCAAAUUAGCAACGAUAAUUACAAUAAAAAAAGGGCAUCAAUUGCUGUCCUAAGAGGGAUAAUUUCAGAAACCUCUUUCUGAGGUUUUUGAUAAUUUCACUAGCCUCCCCUAAUAUUUAUAAAAUUACACUUACCUCUUUUGGUAGAAUUGUGGGCCCAAUUACUUACACCAUAUGGGGAGAAAUUACUCAUAUACCCUAGGACAUUAUGUCUUAUAGAAAGUAAUGUAUAACAAUUGAGUAAUUAGAGUACUAAUUAACUAUUAAUAACUAAUUAACGAAAAUAACUAUUGAGAAUAUCUUUGAUGAUGAACGGUGACUUGCAAUUAUAAAAUAAGACCAAUUGAUAUACAAAAUGGCACUAUUUUAUGAUUGAUAAAACUUGAUAACGAUCAGAAACCAGUUGUACACAAUAUGAGAGGAAGAACUUUAGUAAAAGAAAAAACACAUGGCAAAAGAAGAUUGUUCAUGAGAAAUUUUUCUUUGAAACUCUUAAAAUUAUAAUAGUUGUAAAGUAAUUUUGUGGAAGUAAAGGAGAAAGAAGGGAAAAGAAAAGCAAAAGUCAAAAAAAUUUUAUGUUCAAAAUCACAAGAAUCAUAGCAAACUAAUGUUAAGAGCAAUGAUUGGUCUAUUUUACUGAAUCUUAUGAUCAUUAGUGUAGUUUUAUUACUUAUUUGUAUUAUCUAAUGUAUUGAAUAUGAACUUUAUAAGUAAUGAAAUGCGUGUGUGUUAAUUGUUUCUAAUUUUUAAUUAUUUUUAUUUUUUUACUAAUACAACUUAUAUACAUGUAUAAGGGGUAGUUAUGGGAUAAAAGUUUCAUCUCUCUUCUUAAAAUACCUUUUUAAUGUCACUUUUUCUGAUUUGGACUAAUUUUGUUACUAAAACAUUAAGUUCAGGGAAGGUUUAUGUAAUUUUGCAAACCUCAAGAGAGGCUGGUGAAAUUGUUAGAAAUCUCAGGGGAUGUUUAUGAAAUUAUCCCAUCCUUAUAAGAUGGUGCUAUUUUAGUGAUUAAUAUCACUUGACAAUGGGCAGGACAGACAACCUUAUAUAAUCUGCACAGAUAGAUCUUAUGAGCAAGAAAAAUAAAAGAAUUUUCUGAUUGACUUAUUUUGUUGAAUCUUGUGUUAAGACAAAACUAUUCAUGCCUUUUGUUGUUGAUUUGUUGACUAAGACUUUUUUUUUUGCACCAAUACUUUUACUUUUACCUCGUCAACUAAAAUAAAAAGAUUAUUUUUUUACCCAAAUUUGGAUGCUUAUACUAAUAAUUUAAUAGCAUUAUAGAGUUAGUUGUGUCUUUUAUAUGUAGUUGCCAAUGACAAAAAGUUAUGGCCAUUACAAUUUGCACUAGCUAUGUGCAGAGACUAUUGUUGCUACAUCUUUCCAAAUUUUACGUAUAUCCCUUGACUUAUAUUAAUUAUUUUAUUCUUUACUAAUACAACUUGAGGACAAUUAGAAAAGGGCAUAUAUGGAAGAAAAUUAUCAUCUCACUCCUCAAAAUACUUUUUAAUAGUACUUUUUCUGAAUUGGACUGAUUUGUUACCAAAACUUUAAAUUCAAGGGAGAUUAGUGUAAUUUUUAAAACCUCAAGGGAGGCCAGUGAAAAUGUCAGAAACCUCAGUGGAGGUUUUUGAAAUUAUCCCUAUUUUGUAAGGUGAACAUGAAGUUUUUUUUUCUUCCCCUGAUUCUCAAAUCAUUCCUUUUGGGAUGAGUGUUUAUUUGCAAAUAUUUAUUUAUUUAUUUAUUUUUGUAAGGUGAACAUGAAGUUUUUUUUCCCCUGAUUCUCAAAUCAUUUCCUUUUGAGAAUUGAGAUGAGUGUUUAUUUGAGAUGAAUGCUUAUUUGAUUGCACUAGAAAUAUAUUUUUGGAAAUAUUGUUCAAAAUGUCUCUUACAUUUUGUCAAAUAAUUUUUUUCUUUCUUUACAUUUAAAAUAUUCAUUUUACGUCCCUUACGAAUUCAAGUUAGUAAAAUUUGUCCCAAUUUAAGUCAGAUAACUUUUUAAUUUGAAAUCACUAUGUAAUCCAUAUGUAGUCAUUUUUAUGUACGAAAGAUAAAAUUUUAGGUUGGAACUAAAUUUUACCGACUUAAUUUUAACAUAAAGUUACUAUUUUAAAGGUGAAGGACAAAAAAAUUCAUUUGGCGAAAUGUGAGGAACAUUUUGAACAAUUUUCCCUAUAUUUUUCAAUCCACUUUUUUUUUUUUCAUCUUCUCAACCAUCUUUUUUUAUUGCAAAUGAAUCACAAAAAAGUUUCUCCAAACACACUCUCUAUUGUUGUUUGGAUUAGGGAAGGAAGGGAAAAUAUUAAGUGUUAGUUAAGUUUUUAUCCAUAAUUGAAAAGUCUAAAUUUUAAAAAAAUAGAUGUAUUAGAAAAUUUUAAAAAUUUCAUUAAUUUAAGUAUUCUUUCCCUCCAUUUCUACCCACUUUUAGAUGGAAUGAAGAAUUUUUCUAACGAAUAUCCUAUGGGCACACGUUAACACACCUACAUUCCACCUAACCUACCAUGUAUAUAUGCACACUAGCAAUUAUUAUUUUCUCUUGCAUUUAUACAUUUUUUCUAAUUAAUUCCCUUGAAUUUAUAUACUUUUCUUAAUUAAUCUUAUAUUUCUAAACAUCUAACACCUGAAAUAUAUCUUAAUGAGUGCCAUGUGGGCACCCGUUAGACAAACCGAAUGAAAAAUAACUAAAUUUUAUUCCUCCUUUCCUUCUCUAUUUUUUUUCCCCUCUCAAAGAACAAUCCAACAUUAAAAAAUCUUAUCUCUCCAUUUCCUCUCCUUUCUUUUCCUUCUCCUCCUAUUCCUUCAAAAUAAACAAAGCUUAAACUUUUGUUCUAAUUAGUUGUAUUAUUUUACUAUGAGUAAGUUGUCCUUUAAAAGCAUGACAAACAUAAAAAACUUGAGUUCAGCCCCAUCAACCCCAGCCCGAAGGUAUAAGAUGACAAACUUGGUAGAUGAAUCGGUGACUGGACCCGGGGAAUUGAGGUUUCCUAUUUGGUCCAAAAGGCCCAAGUGACAGUUGUACAUACAUAUACCAGUUUUGAAGUUUUCUUUACUCUUCUUUCUCUUUAUGGCAAUCUUUUUGCAAUUGGCCACAGAUCAUGUUUAUUUCAAACUAGUAAGUAAAUAAAUUAACUUCAAAAUUUUCUUCUAAUGAUACAAUACUUCUCAUAAAUCAUGAAUUCAUUACCAUAGAAGAUAAGUGCAGUAAACAGAUAAAUAUCAGGCAAACUAGAGAGAGUUGUGUUUCUUUUUGAGAGCAAGCCAUCUAUCAAAAAGACCAAAUGCUAAUUACUUGUAAAACUAAUGUAGUCAGGAGAUCAGGAGUCUAUCAUGGCUUAUCUGCACAACUGCAGAGAACCCAAAGACUAUACAAUAGUUGCAAUAUGUUUUAACAAGACAUUGCUACCAAUAUACAUAAUAUCCCACCCAAAAAUCCCUCAAACCACUUAUAAAGGACUAGAAAUAGAGGUAGCCAAAAAUUUCUGAAGUGAGGUGGUAAAAGAGAAUUAAAGUGGAAUCUGUGGUUCUUGAAUAUGACUCUAAAUGAAUCUAACUGGAAAAGUAUGCCAAAUGGCACCAGCAAAUUGGAAUGAACUUUAGGGUCACAGAACUAGAUCCACACCAUCACUAGCAUCUGGAAAUGUGACACACUUGAAAACUUUGCAUUUCGAACAGAGGAUGUAUCCAACCUGUGAAAAAUGUAAAUAUACUCAGCAGAUAAUCAGAGUAUCAUGAAUUUGAAUCUGCUUGAACCUGUGAAUUUGAACCUCAAUGAGAGGAAAAAAGGUUCGACCGUCAACUGAACAAUAACCCCUCAACACAGAACUUCCACAGCUUUAUUGAUGCAAUGGCUGCAUGCAAAGUUAAGGGACCUAUAACAAUCUAUGAACUUUUUUUUUUUUUGUCAAAAUAACAAUCUAUGAACUUGAAUACUAAGAACUGACAUGUACAAAAUUAAUACUCGAAACCUUUGACUCAAAUGAUUGCAGAAGUAAAUCUACUUCCCACUAUCAAAUUUGAUGCCAUUGUAUUAUUAUCUUUAAGUUCAUGACCUAAUUAACUUUGUUUUCUUCUGAAGCAGAAAAAUUAAGGUGCAAGAAACGAGAUAUUGGGAAUGGAAGCACUCACAGCUCUACAAGAUGGACAUCGCCGAUAUAUCCUCCUAUUUUCCGCUUUGACAUUAGUCUUCUGUCCUUUACAGAAAUCACAAACUAACCAUCCUCUGCCCCCGCAAGGUUCACACAUAAUUCCCCUCUCAUCCUAUUAGAUAAAUGAAACAAGUAAAGAGUUAAGUUGUAGCUGAAAGAUGCAGCAAAACUGAAAUUUACAGUAUCAUUAAGUUAAAGGAUGGGAAAAAACACAACCAGUUCAGAUCCUCAAAGAAGCAAGAAGUCUGCUUAAAAAGUAUCUCCUUUCAAAUGUCCACACCAUCAUGUGAAUGCAGCUAAUAUUUACUUUACAUAGUAGCUGGUUUUGUGGCCAAGAAUCUUUGUGUGUAGAGAAAGAGAUACAGCCAGGAUAGAACAUCUUAGACUGUUCUUUACUCAUGUUCCUCAUUACAAGGAAUACAAACUCAACAUGUUGCUCAACAGUUUAGCUUUCAAAAGGACAAAAUAUUAAGAAAAGAGGUGCACAUAUAGAAUGAUAUCUUAGAUGGUUGAUUUGGCUCGUACCCCACUGAAUGACAGUGGAUUUUUUGGAAAUAGUUUGACGUCCCACAAAAAAUUGGUUGCAUGUAUACAUAUUAAACUAUAUGCUUUUAAAACCUUAGCUUACCUAUUAGUAUGAAAACUUUACUUGCCAAGAGAAAAGGUCUCGAGGACAUUUUUGUUCCUCGCUACUGCCUACCCUGUGGGAAACCACCAGGAAGUCUCCUCACCUCUUUCCCCUUGCAGAAGCCUACAUCAUGUUCAUUCAAUUCCAUGCCAUUUUGCAUGUUACUUUAGCCAAAGUAAUCACCUUUUCUACACUUGAAAUCUCCUUUUACAUUUCUAAAUUAGAUCAAGGAAGCUCAGCAGCAGGUAUUAAUACACUAGUUGAAAAAGUAUUAACCAGCUUAAUUUUCUGUCUCCCAAUUCUUUGAAGUGACAUGCUGGAUUCAAUAUACUUCACUAAUGGAACUAAAUUUGAACUUUAGGGCUGUAAGGUUAGUAAAGCUUCUGCUUCACCUUGCUAAACUUUCUAAAAGUCUAAAAGCAUCUUUAUUUCUGCGAAAACCCUAAAGCAGAAUAAACAAGAAAUCCAAGUUCAGGCAGUUACCAGGUUGGCUUGAAGCAGAAAAAGGCACAAUGACACAGAAGUGGACCAAUGAACCUGAACUAAAGAAUGACAUUACAGCCGUAAACUUCUUUUUUAUUGAUUUAGGUUACCACCUAAUAAAAGUUUCUUCCUGCCCCUUCCCCUUUCACAAACCAAAUAAAUAAAUAAUUGAAAAUGUUAGACUGAAGAGGGUUCAUAAUCUCUGAAAAUCUGCUUAUCCUUCUAAAUUUAUUAUAGAUUUUUGUCUUAUACUGAAGCUAUAACUCAAGUUACAAAUUUGUAUUGAGUACUCUAAUUCAAUAUCCUCUAGUUCCCCUGGUAGGUUGUAGUCUAGGUUAAUAUUCGGGAAAAUUUCAUGCUUACAUCAGAAAGUUUUGAGCAUACAAUGUUGAAAUCUGGCAUUCUAUUACCUACAAACCCAAAUAUUAUCCUCAAAAUGAAUGAAUGAAAGAGCCUUGUUCAAAACAAUAAGUCACAUUAAUCAUAGUCCAUUUGCUCUCAGGUAUAGUUACUGAGCCAUUUUUUAUCCACUGCUCUCAUCUUCUACUUUGAGACUACUUGGAUCAGCUGUAGGAUAACCAUAGCACUUAAAGGACAUCCAUGGUAAUUAGGUAUACAAGUAUGAAGGAUGAAGAAUGGAUCAAGGAUUAAAAAUUUGUCAAGCUAUACUUCAAGCCCCUCGUAGAUCUCGCUUGCAUUGUAGUUAAGACAACAAAAUGGGGACCUUGCUGGGGAUUAUACAUCUUUUCAUCUCUCCCUUGUACAGAAACUAGUUGUAAGAAGACCAGGAAAACCCUUCAGCUGAAAGGAUGCACAGUAAUGCAAUAUCUCACAGCCUUAAGAUAUAAUCAAGUUCAAAGGAAAUUUCACAAUUAGUUCAUAAUGGACUACGGGCCUUCCACUGAUGAUCUCAAGUGACUUUGCUCCUCAAUAUGGUAUACUUAAUUUGGUGAAUUGGACAAGAAUUAUGUUUAUCUGCUUUUUAAUUUGAAUUUCCUUGAUAGUUAGUCUAUUAUGGGGAUAUUGCCAGUCAUAUACUAAAAGCUAGCUUUUCAAUUAAAAGAACUUAACGCUGAAAGCAUUUUCCUACAGAUUUGAAUUUCCUUGAUAGUUAGUCUAUUAUGGGGAUAUUGCCAGUCAUAUACUAAAAGCUAGCUUUUCAAUUAAAAGAACUUAACGCUGAAAGCAUUUUCCUACAGAUUAUGCUAAAACUCAAAAAGAAGCACUACUAGAAGUGGUUUCAGUCCCUACUACGGGGAACUGGACAGACUAGAUUCAAAGUGGACAACCUUGAUAUUCAUCAAGAGUCACUAAUUAGUCUGUAAGUUCUGAAACACAGCUUACUUCUUGUUAAACGAUUUCCUCAAUCCCUACGUGAAUCGCAUAAUAUUUUGCCGUUGUCAGUUGCCAUAUAUCUCUUUAGUUGGUUAAUUAGUUAAUAGUUUGUUCUCUGAUGAUUGACAGAAGCUCACAAACUGCAUUUUUAAUUCAAUUAAGGUGCAUAAUUUGCAUUUUGUAACUCCCAACUAUUGAGAAAUAGAGUUGUUUCUUUCCCUUAAACCAUUGUCCAAAAAGUUUAGAUAGCAUGAGGUUGCCCUUAGAAAAACAGCAUCACAUCUCUUACUUUUCCAUCCCAAGCAGAAAAGAUUUGCAAAAUGAACUAGAUGCUGAAAAUGAUUUGGUAUUUGUGGUAAAUUAAAGUUUUUCCACUCUAUACCGUUAUUAGAACCAUUUUCUAAAUUCCACUGCUAGUCCUCCUUUACCUGUUGCCUUGUUUGGAGGCAGAAACUAGUAAUCCAAAGCAAUUUCAACGCAAUCGCUCCAAAUUCACCUGGUGUAGAAUUUUCUCUUGGAAAAGGCAAACCAGAUUCAUUUUCAUCACAUUGCUCCAUUAACAGUAAUUUACUAAUUUUCAUUUUCAAAAGAGAAAAUUCCAUCCUUUUCACCUAUAAUUUACAAAAAAUCCCUGGGACGUGAUUAAUCGCCCAUUACUAGUUAUUUAUAUUUGUGUUUAAAAUAAUUAAACAAACCUUCUCAAUCCAUCUUGUAUCAGAAACCUCGAUUCAUCAUACUAAUCUCAACAUUUCUCCUCCUCAGCUACCACUUUCAUCAGGCAACAUCAUCCUCGCAUAAUUUUACCAAAUACUUAUUCAUCCCAACUCAAUUCUAUUCAAUUCAACUUUCUACAUGGCAUCAAUUUCUAGCAAAUUAAUCUAAAGGGAGCUGAUAUUGACACACACUGCUGUAAUUGUUAAUGGCACUUCCCUUUUCUAUUUAUUGCAGUUACAAGUUUACAACUUAAGUGGAGAUGUAGCUGCUAAUAUCAAGUCUCUUGCCAUAAUAUAAGAGUAGAAAAAUUCAGAAAUUCAACAGAACAUUGAAACAGCAUUGACCAAGCAUUCAUAAGAACAAUUCAUGCAGCACAUUAUAGUUUAAAACCCUUCUGGGAAAAAGUAAAAGAAAAGGGAUAAAAUACAAAAUUUGGGUGAGACCUGGGAUGCCUCGGGCAUGUUUCCUGCCACAACAGCAGUUUCAUAUUCUGCAUCACUUGCUCUGAUUUUAUAGCUUCGACGUCUUAGUCUAACUGAUGAAGAUGGCCUUAAACAGGAGAAACUGCAGUCCGCUAAGCCAGCUGGAGUGAAUGAGAUACCGACACAGUCAAACUUGAUCGGUCCAGCAUUGCAAGGCGAAUUCAAAAAUGUUGAAUUCAUCAUCUUAGCCCCUGCAGAAACAAUAAGACAAUAAAAAAAAAAAAACCAUGAAUGAACUGCCGUAAAAGACAGAAAAACAGUGACGUGAAGUUGAAGAAUGAUGGUUUUAGAUAAUAAAAUGGCAGUUGGAACACUGUAGCAAAGAAUGCAGAUGGAAAUUUGGAAGACUUUGCAAAACCAGGAUGGGAUUUUUUUCUUUCUUUUGCUUCAGAAAAAUGGAAGAAAGAACAAUGAAAAUCUUACAGCAAGUCAGAGGGAGAAGAAAAAGAGCCAGGAAAAUAGCCGGGGGUGGCCUUAUCUCGUGCAAUUGACCUUUGGGGUUUAAUUGCACUACAAGCCCCUAUAUUAUACACUGGAGUUUUCCCCUCUUGACCAUUUUUUAUAAGCAUUUGACCCCUUCUUUAUAAGUAUCUUGGGAUAACGUUAGCCCCACUAUCUUAAUUAGCAUCUUAACCCCUUCUUUACAAAGAAAUUAAUAUCUUAAUUGCUUUGGUUUUCUUUUCUUUUCUUAGUGUGUUCCUUUUUCCCAUUUUUUUCCCUUUCUCCUUCUUCCUUUACUUUUUCUUUGUUCUUUCCUUCCUGCAAACCAACAGCACGUUCCUUCCUUGUGCUGUUAUGAUUUAUAUGCUCAGAACAAUUUUAAGUUUUCAAAUCAUUCUUCAAAUUGUGUUUUAGUUUAGUAAUUUGUUGAUUUUGCACUAUUAAUAGGUCACUAAAAUAUGUAAGUCCAAACAAGAAUAUGUUUCUUACACUUUGUCUGACAAUUAAAUUACUUAAGCACAUAUAAAAGUUAAAAGAAAAUAGUAAUUACAUUUUGCUAAAGAAAAAUAAAUAAAUAGUAAAAGUACCAUAUACAUGCAUUGUAAUAAAAAUAAAGCUUAAUUAUAACAUGGAUAAAAAUCAUAUUUCAUAUGUUUAUUGGUUACAUGUGAUCAUUAAUAGUUGAUUAAUUGCAGGCUUUAGUUACCUUUUAUGUAUUUAAAUAAUUUAAUUUUAGUUGGAUAUGGUUUGCAAUAUAUGAACCAUAUAUCUUAUUUUAAUAUAGAGUUUGACAUUAACCCAAAAAAGAAUUGUAAAGAUAAAAAAGAAUGACUUAAGUAAAUAUUGUAAGUUUGCAAAAGGAAAAAAAAAGUGUCUUGCAGAAAGGUGGAAAUAGCUAGUAGCGUGAGACAAUGGUACAUAAAGAAAAGGAAAAGGUAGAAAAUGAGAUUAAAAGAGGAAAAAAUUGGGGAAAAAAAGGGAAAAUAGCUAAGAUAGUAGGAGUACUUUUGUUUGCACAAAUCAAAAAAUAGUGUUAAGUGCAAUAAAGUUCAAUGAGUAAACUGCAAUUCAACGCAUAGUUGACUGAGGAUUAGUGCAGUUAACCCCAUGUUUACUUCAAAACUUUUUUGUACAUAAGUUGGGACAGAUGGGACAAUCUCAGCAAUUACAAUUUUGAAAUAAUAUAUGUGAAUAUUAACUCUAUAAAUGUAAAAAUGAACACAUAUAUAAUGUUUCUCCAUGAGUUUUGUCACGUUUCUAAAAUUUCCUGUCCAUGACAGUUGCUGAGAAACCAUCUUGAGACUCUUUGGUUGUCUAUUUAAUCAGACCUAAAAAAGAGAAAGUGAAUGGGGAGAAAAUAUUGCACUUUACAUUCUGGUGGAGCAAGUGUCUAGUAAUAGAAAAUAUAUUAUAUUUACUUUGUCUUUUUUUUUUUUUUACAUUUACUAUGUCAUUUAUACCUUAUGUGUAGUUAACUAGACAUGUCAAUGGGUAGGGUUUGGGUUAGAUUCCUUUGAUUUAAAUCCAAACCCAUUUAAUUUAGUUAGACCCAUCUAGAUCCAAACAUUUUUGGAUCUGAAAAAGUAAAUCCAUAUCCAAACCCUCAUGGAUCUGGGUAUCCAUAAAUAUUUUUUUGAACAUACUAAAGUAAAAAUAUAUUAAAAAUGUAUCGAGUUCAUAAAUAAUAUAAAUAUCAUCCAAUUUUUGUUUUCGAAUAAUAAAAAUAACAUUUAACAAGUUGAAUGCAAUAUUAUGAAGUUAAAGAAAGAACUAUAAUUGACUACUUGUGUAUAUGUUCAAAGAUUUAAUAGCAUCUACAUCCAAUCUGUCAUUUGUUUGCUUUUACCUUUUUUUCCUUUUCCUGAAAAAGUCUACACCAAUUACAACUACGAUUAGUUUUUAAAAAAGAAAACAAUCAUAACAUAUAUAAAUAUUCAACCUUAUUGAAAAAAUGUAAUUUUGUACCUCUUUUUCUUAUUUAAGCCUCAAUAUUGGUAGAUGUCUCGCAAUCGAGCCCUAAAAUAGUGAAUGAGACAAAAGUCAUUUGACUAAAAACCGAUAGCAAAUAAAUAAUAGAAUAAGAAUAUUUAUAUAUACUUACUCAUUUUUUUCUUUGAUUCAAUCCAAUCAUCAAUAGUCACUAAUGUUUCAACCACAUCUGGAAGUAAUUUGGCACGAGUCUCAUCAAUCACUCUACCACCAACACUACAUGCAGAUUCUGAUGCAACUAUAGUGGCCAGAACAGCGAAUAUAUCACUUACCAUUUUUGCCAAAAUAGGGAAUUUUGGACAAUUAGCUUUCCACCAUUCUAAAAUAUCAAAAUUGUCCUUUCUUGGAAACUUUUGCUCUUCCAAGUAUUGAUCGAAUUCUGAAUUUUGAUUUGCAUGAAGGCUAGAUGAGCAAGACUCGAAGUACCAUUCAUCAAAGUCACUCAAUGCAUCAUUACUUGAACUACUUUUCUCAACACUUUCACUGUUCCAAAGAUCUAAUGAUGGUAAAAGUUCACCUCCAUAAUCCAUAUACAAAUCAACAAAAGUACUACGAACCCGUUGAAUGUAUUUUUCAGCGUUAUGUCCAUGAAUUUGUCUAUAAUAAUAAUCCACCAAAUCCAUCUUAAACCUUGGAUCAAGCACUACAGCUAUUGCUAACACCAAACUACACUCUUCCCAAUAUUUUCAAACUUCUCUUUCAUUGGAGCAGCCAUAUGUCUAAGAAAGUCAUGUUCACUUUGUUCCCAUUGCAUCAAUUGAAGUUGAAUGCUACAAAUAUCAGGAAAAAACACAUUUGCUGUUGGAAAUUUGGUACCACUAAAAUGAUGAGUUGCAUUAUAAAAGUGUUUUAGACAACCAUGAACAACAACAUCAACUUCCCACUCCUUUUGAGAUGGAUUAUACUUAUAGUUCUUAUUUAUUUGGUCUAAACGAUCAAAAGCUUCCCUUAGUGGUAAUGCAGUAUCAAGCAUUGUGAAGCGAGAAUUCCACCUAUUGUGAACAUCCAAACCCACUUUCCUUUUACCUUUCAACUUAAAUUGGUUAAUUGCAUUUUCAAAUUUUUGAUUUACAUAAGCAGACUUUUUCAAAUAUUUUACUGUUCCUCGAAUCUUGCUAAGCAGUCCUCCAAUUUCAGCCAAUCCAUCUUGGACAAUCAAAUUUAAUAUAUGUGCACUACAUCAAACAUGCAGUAGUUCCCCUUCCAAAGAUAGCAUAGACUUGUCAACAAGCCAAGAUUUCAAGUAUUUGACCAUAGAGUCAUUUGAAGUUGCAUUGUCAACUACUACUGAAAAAAUUUUCUUCUCCAAAUUCCACUCUAUUAUCAAAUCAGAGAUUAUUUAAACAAUCUUUUCACCACCAUGGGGAUAUGCAAUAAUUUUCUUCUUCAAUUCCUAAUCCUCAGUUAUAUAACAUGCAGUCAAGCAACAAUACCCAAUAUUUGAGUGGUCUGAUGUCCAAAUAUUAGUAGUACAAGUAACUUUAGAAGAGAUCGAUGUCAUCCAAGUGGUUGUACAACCUUUUCUUUUCCUCUUUAUGCAAAUUAAUCACAUCUACCCUUAAAGUAUUUCGACUGACAACCUUGAAAUUUGGGUUUAAACCAUUGCAAAAUAUGUCAAAAAAUUCACGGUCACACAUAUUAAAUGGAUAAUUAUGCUUAAUUAUCAUCGUGGCCAUGUCUCUUCUACUAGUUUCUUGAUCAAAUCUGUAAGGCUCAAGUUUUACAGUCCCAUCAUUAACAUUCUUUGCUGUAAAAAGUAACGAUUGGUUUUUUCUCUUCCUAGCAAAACAGUUUCAAUAUGCUUUUUUAAGUGGCUAGUACCAGAAGUAGUUUUUGCUGCAAAUUUUUGCUUACAAUGCUUGCAUGUUGCAACACCAUUACUUCUAUCGAAAUCAUCCCAUACCUUUGAAUUUAAUUUUUUCUUCCCUUCAACAGGCAUGUGUUUUUCUUCAUCUCCCAAGAUGACCACUUUAUUUUCAUCUCCAAUAUUAAGAGUGGGAUCCGUUGCCAUUUUCUAGAAAAAUAAUAGAUUGGUUAUUAACAUGAUUCAAUGCCUAUAAAAGUAAUAUACCUUAAUUUGCAAGUACUAUGAAUAAAGUAAUCAGUAGAUGACUAUUAUUUCAUAAAGCAAAACGAACCAAUGCUUUAUAAUAUCAUGCAUUUAUUAUUACUUUAACAUAUCGUGCACAAACUAUUUAAUGUGUACAUAGACGAAUUGAGAACAUUACAAUAGAUUCGUUACUACCAAAUUACAUCAUAUAUUCAUAUGAAAUAUUUUUUGAACUUACCAAUCUUUGAACUUAGUAGAGUAAAACAAUAAAGACAAACUGAGAUAUGGUAGGGCAAAAGAAAUAGUUUGCAAGAUUUCUAAAGAAACGAAAUAGAGAGGUAGAGAAAGACAAUGGAGGCACACAAUAGAUAGGCAUAGGGGGAACUAAUUAGUAUUUUAUUAGGUUAAGAGCGAAUCAUUUAAUCUAACGGUCAUGAAGUCUUACAUCCAAUAGCCAUAGAAUAUUAGAUUAUUUUAUAAAUUUACUAAUAUUUAUUAUUUAAUUAAGUAUACCUGGAUCUGGGUAGGGUUUGAUAUGGGUUUGGGUUUGAAUAUGGAUUUUAAAAAACAAGAUCCUAUCCAAACUCAUGACUCUUUCACAGGGUCUGGGUCUGAGAAUGGUCUGGAUUUGAAAAUUAAAUCCAAACCCUACCCAAAUGUAUUGGAUCUGGGUUGGAUGUAGGUAAGACCCGAUCCAUUGAUAUGCCUACAAUUAACUUUGAGGAAAGCAGGUAAAUCUAUACCUUCUACCAAAGUUUAUUCACAAUGCAUACAACCAUAAAUUAAAUUUGAUCUUGUCAUGCAAGGUGCACAUUUUGCAAAGAUAAUACAAAACACCUUCAAUCAAAUCAAGAAUUUGUAUAUUUGAGAAAAGAGAAUGCAAAACACCUUCAAUCAAGUCAAGAAUUUGUAUAUUUGAGCAAAAAUAUAAGCUCGACAGCUACUUUAUUUCCAAUCAUGAUUCUAAUCUUUUUUUUUGAAGGUUUUUUUUCCCUCUCAUUUUUGUACAUUUGGGAUCACAUUUUUUGCCAAAUUAUUCCCUUCAUUGAGGACACAUAUGCAUCUAUGUAAAAUAUGCAUAUUAAGAUGCUAAAGUUGGAUUCUAUUUGAGGGUUUGCUGGGUUCACCAUAUAACUGUGGCAAAACUGAAAAGGUCUAAGGUGCAAAAUUAUCCAAUUGGACACUGCAUGGAGGUAAAGUAAAAUUUAUGUCAUUGUCAAGGGUGUGUUUUGUAAUUAACCCUAUUCUUUUCUUGAAGGCAAGUAAAUUGCCAAGGUUUGAGCACAAAAGAUUGACAAUAGAUUACUUGGUUAAUUCCAAUAAACUCUAUUAAAAAAUAUUUUUUUUUUGCAUAUUGCCCCGAUGGAUAUUUGAUUGAACCAAUUUAUUCUUAUGCUAUAACAACCAUUUCAAUUUGAUACAAUUGGGCGGAGCCCAAAUUUAGGCUAAAUUAAUCAUGUGCAAGGCACAUGAUUUCGUGAACUUUUUCAAAGAAAAAAGAGAUAAAAAAUACAUUUGAAAUACUAAAAGUGUAAAGCAUAAUGCAUCGUGCCACACCUUGUCUUUUGAAAUAAAAGGAAAGGUAUUAAAAAAUGAGUUUUUAAUUUUAGAAAAUAAAAAAGGGUCUAAAAUGAGAUUUAGAAAAUGCAAACGUUUGGCCCUAAAGUAAUAGUCUAAAAAAGUUUUUAGAAAAGGAGAGUUGUCACUUGGUAUCAAAUUUAGGCGUAUCAAGUCACCCAAAAAAAUAUUAAACAAUUGAAAAUAAAUAAAACCUUUUUAGACGACUCCAGAUUUUUUAAAAUGAGAGAAAAGGGUUUAGGAGUCAUGGUUGAUGGUUGAAAAAAAGAAAGGCAAAGAUUUGAUUGACUCAAAUUUAAGGUAUUUUUUCAACCUAAACAGAGCUAGAUACGAGAUUUAGUCAAAAAUUUUCCUAAUCUAAUAUCUAAACUUAUCACAUUUGAAUACUUCUAUAUGGAUGCAAACCUAUACCUAUAGAUAUCAGGAGGAAUGAGAUGUCUUUUCAAAGUUUAAUUAGUAUCAAUCACAUUAAUUGUGAAGCUCAAGAAUGGUUCCUUGAAAAGGUCACGAAAAUGCAAAACAUAAAAUUCGAAGAAAAGAAAAUUAUGAUAUAUAGAUAAACAAACAUGGUAUAAAAGAAAGGAAUGCAAUAUAAUGGGUUCGGGAGACAAAAAUUUAUGACACAAUUUUCCUUUCUCAUAAAGGAGGUAAUAACAUGCUAAGACUAAGAAGCUAUACUCACCCAUUUUCCAUAUUUGAAGGGUGACUUUUCUAAUCUAGAAAAACAAAUGGAUUAACUUAUUUUCUAAUUAGCUAAAUGAAAUGCAAGUUUAAAUGAUAUGGUUUGCGCAUAUAGGGAUAAGGGAAUAUAAGAGGACAUAUCACGCAAAUGAAAAUAACAUAAAAAUGAAAAAAAUGCAUGAAAUGCAAUAAAUAUCACACCAAAGUAUGAAUUUAAUGUAUAGAUGGCUUAAGGAUCUAGUAUUGGAUUAGCCUAUUUCUACAAGUUCUCAUUAGCGUUGGACUAGUGAAAAAUCGAGAAGAAAAGCCACAACUAGCAUUGGACUAGUGUGGUGACAUCAUGCACUCAUUAUAAAUAAAUAAAGCAUAUGGAGUAUAAUUAAAACAAAUAAGUACAUAGAGCAUGUAGAACAUAUAACACGUAGACAUAAUAUCUAAAUGCAAAACCAUAGGAAAAGCAAAUAAAACACAUAAGCACAUAAACAUAUAAGCACACAAGCACAUAAGAUCUAACUAUUACAUUGGGAGUGCUAACUACAAUCUAAAAGGGGAAAUAUAAGAUAAUAAACCUAUCUAACCUACCUAUUAUAUUUAUCUUGCUAAUUAUAUUUUUUGCAAAAAUAAAACCUACCUAUUAGAUUGCCUAUCUCAUUACAUUUGCACAAGAGGAUACAACCUAUCAAUUACAAUUUGGGCAUUUAAAUACCCUCCAAGUAAUCAUAAGACUUAAAUUUAACAAACAUAAAAAUGAAUAAAAGCUUAAAAUAAAUAAAUAAAAGAAAAACACAUGAAAUAUAUAAACACAUAGGAGCAUAUAGGAACAUAUAAAAGAAAUUUAAAGGAUAUUAGUGGUACCUCCCUUUUAAAGUAGUAGCUAAGUGAGGGAAAGGGAGAGUUGUUUAUUUUUUAAAAUCAACAAACAAGUCAAUGUACCAAUUUAAUUGACAAUUAAUUAUUAAAAAUAAAAAAUUUAAUCUAAUAAAUUAACACUCCAAGCAAUGCAUGAAGAAUCAAAGAACCAAGGGAAUCUUAAUAAUAAAAGCAACAAAUAUUCUUAUGGACUAAAAUGAAAAAAUUAAAAAUUUUUGGGGUAAAAGUAUUAAUUUAUUAAAAAUUAGGGGCUAUAAUGCAAAUUUUGCAAAAAUAAUUUUUACUAUCCUAUUAUUCAUAAUAUAAUAAUAUUUGAGCUAAUUAACCACCAAAAAUUAUUUUGGAGCCAUCAAACCAAAACUAUUUGCAUUAAUUUCUAAAGUUGCCAAAUUGAAAAUCUAAAUUUAACAAAUUUUAUUUAAACCCUAAUUAUACUUAAAAACAGAAUUAAUUCACCCAAAACAUGCAUAAAAUAUAUAAAAGAGAUCGAGACUUUAAAAGGAAGAAAUUUAUUCAUUUUCACAAUUUUUUGGGCUUUAGUAUAAUUAUUCAAAAGUUAGGAGGCCAAAAUGCAAAUUUCUUGUGACCGAUUCAAAAUAAAAACAACUAAAAUUUUACAACAACAUGAAUGAACAGUAUCCUCUUCAUUUGCUUUUCCUUUUUUUUUUUUUUUGAAAGAAAAUCCUAGAAAAUGGUUUAAUGAGAAAAGGCCAACAAUAAAAUAAGCCAACUUCCAAACCAUCACAUAUUAACUAGGCCAGAUGUCUAGGCUUUAGUGUCUUAGCCCAGGCAAAAAUUCAAUGGAGAGCCUAGUUCAAAGAUGAAAGUAAACCCAAACUAAAGAACCACACUUUGGCUCACUAAGAAUUCAAACCCAAUGAUAUAUUAUCAACAAGCCUAAUUUAAAAUGGUAUAAAGCUUGGCCCCAUUUUUAACAUUGGCCUAUUUCUUUACUUCAAACAAGAUCCAUAAGCAACUAAGUAAUUUUGGAAGAUCAAAACAAGAAAGACAAAAUGGAAAAAAUUUAAAAGGACAGGCAAUAACUAAAUGAAAAAAAAGAAAUGUUCUAUCGAAAACUGGAAAAUUUCCGGGCACUUGGCUGGAAUUCUCGCCGAAAAAUUUGUCAAAGACUUCUAAGGUUAAAUUUUGGCAUGAACAUGAUCCUUACAACUUCAUGAAAGCAUGUGAAACAUCAAACAAGAUCUAGAGAUAAUAUAAAACAUGCAAAAUAACAUCUAAAUUUCAAAACCACAACAUUGAUUCCACUCCCAUGUUAUUUCUUAAAACCAAACAAAGGUCAAUGGAAACUACAUGAUUGGGUUACUGAGAUGGUAAGGAGCAAAACUUGUCAAUAUUUGGAUCCAAAACGUUCAUAUAAGAGGAACAUAAAACAUGAAAUCAGCCCCAAAUUCGCAAAACAAAGAAAAUCCCUAGUUUAUGAUUUGAAAAGUCAAUUUCCUAGUUUUGGCAUUUUCCUAGUAUAAAUGAAAUGCAUCAGAUGACUAAAGAGGCCAUUAUAAGCUUUGGUAAUCAUGAAGUGGGCAUCAACAAGAGAAUAACAUAGAUCAUCUAGCCUAGUCAAAAGCAAGAACUUAGAACUCCUAUAUAAUGGACUUAGAUUUUCAUACAAAUUUGAAUCAAAGGAGAAGAGAAGUAAGAGUUACUGUGACGACCCCACCUCUCCCUAGGGCGUACCCCAGGGUUUAGCAGACCGCCUACCCAACUUUCACCAGAAUUCGCUCACUUACUUUGGAUAAAACAAUUCACAACCUCGAACGUAAAUGGAACAACAGUUUUCAAGUUUGGAACGUACAAAUACAUUCAUUUCUGUCUCAAACUUCCAUACAAUCCCAAAUAUAUCAAAAGAUUUGAGUUCUAAAUACAUUCAACCCUAAUCAAGCGACUAGUGCAAGUACAAUUACAAAAUUUUCAAAAACUAGGCUACGCUAGCCAAUACCAGUCUCACGCCUCACUCGUACCCCCUGUAAGGAAAACAAAACUAAUAGAGUGAGCUAAACCUCAGUGAGGUUCCAAAUAGCAAAUUGACCAUUAAUUAAAAGUAAAAGUAUCAAAGUGGCAAAGUAGCGAGCAUCACAAGUCAAGAAAAUGAGCAAUAACGCUUCGUAUGGCCAAACAUUAAGUAUUCAACAUUUCAAUUAAAAGGAUACAGUUGCUUUUGCAAACUAGCUCCACCAUAACUUGAUCAAGUAGUAGUUGACACUCCGUUAAUUUUCAAGUAAGGUAACUAGUCCAAUAGUACACCACUUAACUCCAGUCUCCGUCCACUGACCAAACCCCUUGCCGGGCCUGAACUCCAAGAUAAACACUGGUGGUAAUACUUGAGUAUACCGAUUAGUCGAGGAGAUAACACUCCACUCGAUAAAACUAAAGACCCAGAGUUCGUUAUCUAAUCAACCAACCCCUUGCCGGCUCAACUCGAUUAACUAGCCACAGGGUUUCUGAAAUUCCAGACAAGAUACGAAUCAUAUACAUGUAUAUCGAUUCAAUUGCAAUCAAUGAACAAGAAUAUAUCAUAUUAGAGCAAAUGCGAUAAAGUACACCCUUGUCCGACCAUACCAAUCAAAUAUCAUUCGAUCACAUUGGUCAAGUAUUAAAAACAAGUGUCAAGUUCAAUCAGAUAUUUGGAAGCACUCACCAAAGAUUUAGUGCUUCUUCGGAUCACGUUCAGGUAUUACUCCUUGUUUGGAGUCCAAAUUUGCGAUAUAACAUCGUUUAAGAGCUUUGAAAUUAACUAAGGUUCGAAACUUAAGCUUUUCGUUUAAUGAAAAUCAAGUGACUGAAACUCAUUUGGGUAAUAUUCAUAUUACUUAUCAUACCCUAGAAAACUCAUGCUCGCUCUUUUAGUUUUGGUAAGGAAGCGGUUAAAACGUUUAAGUUCGAAAAGUGGGCUCAAGGACGAGAAAAAUAUAUUCCGAGUGGUCGCUACUUUCACUUUUCCAAGGGUACGAGUUUCGGCCGAAUUUCAGUUUGUAUACCUCUAUGAAAGAAGACUCGACUACCUUAGAGUGUCUAAAUUCAACUCGACCUCAAAUUUUCGCUCAAGUCGCGAGUACACACGCCUAACCUUCGAGUGAAAAUUUGGGCGGCAUGCUCUUUGUAUUUAGCUAUUUUCCAGCCAUUUAUGGCUUCAUUAUUUUCCUCAACUCAGCCCAAAUUCACACAUAAAUAAUCUUAACACAAUAGCCCUUCAACUAGGCUCAAUGUCAUUCAAAUACAAAGCAAUUCUAGCAAUGUAAUCCUAAAUCAAAGUUGGAAACUAGUAUUAAAGAAGAAUAACUAAGUAACAGGUUUGACACCUUCUGGCAUUUUGGUCACAACUGAAUCUACGCUUAUCGAAUUGGGGUACAUUUUAUGGUGUUUCGAAACUAAAAUAGAAAUAUACAUUUCGUAUGAAGGCAUCAACACCCAGUUCGUGCAUUUUCAAGGUCAAAAUGUGACAUCUCAGAGAAAACAGAAAGCUGCCUGUGAAAUAGGCCUUUUGGCAGUAAGGGGUAUUUUAGUCAUUUCAUAAGAUAUAGUGCUCCGAUUGGGAUGAAAUUUUAUAGGAAGAUAGUUAACUCCAUUCCCUACAACUUUCAUGUUUUGAGAAAGACCUGAUUCAGCCUCUAUCAUGGACGAAUAUGCAAUUCAGAAACAUGGCAGAUUCAUCAUCAAAGCUGGAAAUUCACUUCUACUCUAAAAAUUCAUAUUCUAACUCAUUACUAUCAAGUACUAUAUCAUCAAAACCAUUAAUUACUAGUUCAAUACCAUCAAUUAUUAGGUAGACAACCAUAAUCAAGGCUGAAAAUGUAAACCCUAGCUAACCCUUCCAUUAUAUCAUCUAAAAUUGAAUCAUUAACCAUAAUAAACCAAGAACAUAAGCUUCUAUCCAAAUUUAAACAAGAUUAAGGAAGAGAAAAGGAAAGGUAGUCAUGAUACCUUCCAAUAAUUGCUUGUAAGUGAAAACCACACCCUUUUCUUCCAAAACUUUUACCACACAAAACUUUCCAACCACCAAAAGAGAAGUUUAAUCGGUUUAGUUUAGUUGUUUUUACUCAAACAAGGAUGGAUUCAAGGUGAAAGUUGGAGUUUUCUCUCUUGUUGUUUUUCUCUCCUCAAGCUCGGCCAACAUAAAGAAAAUGGAGAAGAAAUAAAGCCAAGAGAAAGAUAAGAAAAUAGGAAUUUGUUUGGUCAAAGUUGGAUGGAUGGUCGCCAAGUGUCACCGCGAGAUUAAAGCUCAAAAUUUUCUUCUUUUUCCUCUUUUCUUGGUUAACAUUUGCAGUCACUUAAAGCUAAUGAAGGGCUGAUAUUUCUGAAAUAAUAGCAAGGAGAUUAAGGUAAUAAAGUAGUGUUCAAGUGGUGUAUUCAAUCGGUAACAACCGGUGCACGUCGGUUGAAUCCAAUUUUUCUUAACUCGCCCAUAUUAGUGUUGUAACUUAUGAUUCACUAACUUAUUAUUAUCACUUCUAAUCACACACUUUUUCUUAUCUAAAACUCACCGUUAACCACCAAAUUUAGUACACACUCCGCACCGAUUAAUCACACUACCAAAAGACGCAAAAACCCUAAUUUACCCUAAUGAUGAAAGUAAAGGGGAAACUCUUAAUUCUUUUCUUUAUUCCAACUAUUGAGGGAGUAAAUGAGUUGUAAAACUAUCAUAAAGUAAUUGAUUCAAAAUAAAAGGGAAUUUUAAGAAAAUAUGAGGAAUUUUACAAGUUCUCACACUCUCUCCCCCUUAAAAGAAUUUCGACCUCGAAAUUCAUACCUUUAGUCGUAAACAGUUCAGGAUACUUCUCUUGCAUGUCUUUUUCCAGCUCCCAGGUUAUUUCCUCCACCUCAUGGUGUUUCCAUAGAACCUUAACCAGUGAAAUUUGCUUAUUUCUCAAGUCCUUUACAUUCCUAUCCAGUACUCGAAUGGGUCGUUCCUCAUAGGUUAAAGACUCGUCCAGUUCAAUAUCUUCUGGUGGUAAAAUGUGAGUCAGAUCCGGGUGAUAUUUCUUAAACAAAGAAACAUGAAAAAUAUCAUGGAUCCGAAAUAAACUAGCGGUUAACUCUAGUUGAUAAGCCACAUUUCCUAUCCGCUGGAGUAUAUUAAAAGGUCCUAUGUAUCAUGGUUGCAAUUUUUUCCCCUUUCCUGUUUUAAUCUUUCCUUUCAAUGGAGUAACCCUAAGAAACACCUUAUUUCCUAUCUCAAACUCCAAAUCCUUCCUCUGAUGAUCAGCGUAGCUCUUUUGUCGACUUUAGGCCGUUUGAAGCCUCUGACGAAUUACUUUUACCCUUUCAUAGGCUUCCUCAACCCAUGCUAUUGUGGCCGGAUCUGUGAUCUUCCUCUCUCCUACUUCAUCCCAAUAAAUAGGUGAUCGACACUUUUGUUCAUACAAUGUUUCAUAUGGAGCCAUUUGAAUAGAAGAGUGACAACUAUUAUUAUACGCGAACUCAACCAGUAUUAGAUAUUGGUUCCAACUCCCUCCAAAAUCUACUAUACAGGCUCUCAAUAUAUUCUCAAGAGUUUGAAUGAUUCUCUCAAACUGUCCACCGGUUUGAGGAUGAUACGCUGUACUAUAGCUCAACUUAGUUCCUAGAGCCUCUUGCAACUUCUGCCAGAAUUGAGAUACAAACCUAGGAUCUCUAUAGGAUACUAUACUUACUGGUACCCCGUGUAAUCUCAGGACUUCGUUCAUAUAGAGUUUGGCAAAUUUCUCCAAGGAGUAUUUCAUAUUAACUGGCAGAAAAUGUGCAGUUUUAGUUAAUCGGUCCACUAUUACCCAAAUCGCAUCAUGACCUUUUUGAGUUCGUGGCAACCCUGAUACGAAAUCCAUCGUUAUGUGCUCCCACUUCCAUUCAGAUAUCUUUAAAAGGUAUAAUAGACCUGACGGUUUUUUAUGCUCAACUUUCACUUGUUGACAUGUAAGGCACUUUUGUACAAAUUGAGCAAUCUCUACCUUCAUAUUAUCCCACUAAUAUAGACUUUUGAGAUCCUGGUACAUUUUGCCACUAUUUGGAUGCACCGUGUACCUAGAACGGUGAGAUUCCUCCAAAAUCUCCCUUUUCAGUUCUUCAUCAUUGGAUACAACGACGCGAUUUCGGAACCUUAGAAUCCCAUCAAGACUUAGGUUAAAAUCAGACAAUUCUCCUUUCUUUACUCUUUCCACCCACUUUUGUACCGUUGGCUCUUUUGUUUUGCCCUCUUUAAUUCUGUCCAACAUCAUCGACUUUACCUCAAUAUUUUCAAAAAUCACUUUGUUUGGUUCAAGAUGGGGCUUCCAUUCACAGAUAUCCUCUAACAAGCUCCACUCUCCCACUAUUAAACCUGCUAAUUGAGCUUUUCGACUUAAAGCAUCAGCUACAAUAUUGACCUUUUCUGGAUGAUAAUUAAUGGUACAAUCAUAGUCUUCUAAGAACUCCACCCACCGACGUUGUCUCAGAUUUAGCUCUUUCUGAGAAUAUAAGUACUUAAAACUCUUAUGGUCUGUAUAUACCUCAAAGGUCACCCCGUAUAAAUAAUGCCACCAUUUCUUCAUAACAAACACAACUGCUGCAAGUUCUAAGCCAUGGGUUGGAUAGUUUUGUUCAUGAGACUUUAACUUCCUAGAAGCGUAGGCAAUCACAUUCCUAUUUUGCAUUAAGACACACCCUAAUCCUUCUCUCGAAGCAUCGGUAUAAACUGUAUAGCUAUCCUUUCCAUUUGGCAAAGUUAAUACUGGAGCCAUGGUCAAUUGCCUCUUAAGCUAUUGAAAACUAUUUUCACAUUUAGCAUCUCAAAUAUAUUUUCCUUGUUUCUUUGUCAAGUUAGUUAGGGGUCCCGCAAUUCUUGAGAAAUUCUUUAUAAACCAGUGGUAGUACCCCGCUAGACCCAAAAAGUUUCGAAUUUCAGUAGGAUUCUCCGGCCGUUUCCAUUUGGCAACAGCUUCCACUUUAGCUCGGUCUACAGUAAGUUCAUCUUUUGAAAUUAUAUGGCCUAGGAACGCCACUUUCUCUAGCCAAAAUUCACACUUGCUAAACUUAACAAACAACUGGCGCUCUCUCAAGAUUUGCAAUAUUAUUCUCAAGUGUUGCUCAUGCUCCUCCCUUGUCUUAGAGUACACCAAGAUAUCAUCAAUAAACACCACUCCAAACCUAUCCAAAUAGGGUUUCAACACUCGAUGCAUUAAAUCCAUGAAUGCCGCUAGGGCAUUGGUUAAGCCAAACGGCAUUACCGCAAACUUGAAAUGCCCAUAUCGAGUGUUAAAAGUGAUUUUUGGCAAAGGAUAUUUAUUCUUAAUGGUUAUUGCAUUCAACUCUCGAUAAUCAAUGCAUAACCUUAAACUCCCAUCCUUCUUUUUGACAAAUAGCACUGGAGCGCCGUAAGGUGACUCGCUCUCAUGUAUAAAUUUUCGUUCUAACAAGUCUUGCAAUUGAAAUUUUAGCUCCUUAAGUUCGGCGGGCACCAUUCGAUAAGGAAUUUUUGAAAUGGGAUUAGUUCCAGGUAUUAAAUCAAUUUUAAAUUUAAUUUCUCUUUCGGGUGGCAAAGACACCAACUCAUCUGGAAACACAUUGAAUACUCAUUUAUCACCGGCAUCUCUUCUAGUUUACACUUUUCUCUUGGGGUGUUAACUAGAAACGUCAGAUAUCCCCGUGUCCCAUUACUUAACAAUUUCCUAACCCUAAUUCUCGAAAUAAGAGCAGAUGAACCUAGAAUACCUCUCACGUCUAGUUUUAAAGUUGCCUCACCCGAUAUGUAAAAUUCAACCACUUUCAUACGACAAUCUAUCCGAGCAUGAUAAUGAGCUAGUCAAUCCAUUCAUAGAAUAACAUCGUACCCCUUAAUGGCUAGACUUAUAAGGUCAACUACUAAUUUCUGCUUACCAACCCAAAUAUCACAGUUUCUAUACACCUCAUUGGCAAGAAAAGAUUGGUUACCCGUAGGGGUUUUCACUUCUUGGUCAUAUGGUAGUCUUUCGGCUUUCACAUCAAUUUCAAACAUAAAUGCGGGGCUAACAAAAAAUUGGGUUGUACCAGGGUCUAUUAAAAUUUUGGCUAAACGAUGAAAAACAGGAAUCGUACCUUUCACUACCUCCGAUGGUUCAAGUACCGAUUACUGGUCCAAAAAUUACACUCUGGUUGGCACCCUUGACUUGGUCCCUCCUACAUUGGUUGAUUUAGGGUUUGAUUUGCCAGCCGACUGGGCAUCACCAAUCAGUGGGUAAUUGACGAUCUGGUACUCAAUACUUCCACACCUUAAGCACUUUUGAGCCUUUCUCCAACAAUUAUUCUCGGUAUGGUUAGAUUUCCCACAGUACCCACACGAUACUCGGGGGACGGAUGUCUGGCCUUCCUACGAGACACCUCUCCCCUGUCCCCUUCCACUUGGGGCUCCCCUCGGAGUACCUCCUCUCGAUGUACCCGUAAAUCUUCCACCUCCAACUCCUUGAUCGGCUUUAGGAGGUGGCAUGUUCCGAUCACUAUGUGCCGGCCCUUGAUUCCCACCAGGCGUCCCUCUCUGUUUUGCAUGGAAAGUUCUUACUUGUGCCCUGGCAAUUUCUAUUUUCUGGGCUUUCUCCAAAACCUCCGUAAAAGUGUUAAUUUGGGUCGCCGCCAAGGCCUCCUGUAUUUUCACAUUGAGUCCCUGUACAAACCUCCUUACCCUCCUUUGCUCCGUAGCUAUCAAUUCGGAAGCAAAUUUGGAUAGUUUCGUAAACUAAGUCUCAUACUCAGCUACACUUAGGGCUCCCUGAAGAAAUUUAAUAAAAUCAUCUUCCCUCUUCUUCUGGACUAUCGGUGAAAAAUAUUUCUCGUUAAAUUCCCGCACGAAAUUCAACCAAGUCCAUGCAGUUCCCUUUCUCUCCCACUUAACUCUAAUUACAUUCCACCAGGUUUUGGCUGGUCCCUCAAACUGAAAGGUAGCAAAAUGCACCUGUCUAUGCUCCGCAUAGUUUAAAGCAGCGAAUAUAUUGAUCAUUGUUUCUAACCACUUUUCACCUACCUCAAGAUCCGCCCCUCCCAGAAAUUUAGGAGGAGAAAUUUUUGGAAUCUAUCUAGGUCCCUAUCUUGUCCCAUUUCAGGAUCCUUGGGUUGAUUAAUAGGGGAUUGACCCUGCUGCUCUACUAGUCGAGUAAGAAUAUUAGUCAUUUGUUGAAUUGUCGUUGCCACCUGAUCCCCCCUUCCGCUCAGAGUCCAGGUUGCGGCUCAACCAUUGCACCUCUUUCCUCUCUCAAUUCUCGCACUGAUUCCUGUGCCUGUCUACCCCACGGCCACGGCUAGAACCACGCUCUCGGGUAGUCCCACUAUCCUGACUUCUUCUAUCUUCCAUGCUUCUUGAAUAAUAGACUAUAUAAAUAUAAAAUGAGUAUAAAGUAGCCAUUAAACUCAAAUAAAAUAUUUCCCAAUCAUAAAGGAAGGACACUAAAAUACAUUUCAAAUAAACAUUCCCUUCAUAUACAUAGCAAAAUAAGUCACAUAACAAGUUAGAAAGUACUGUACAAACCAAGGGACAUAAAACAAAAGCAAACCCUAUAUACAUCAAUUUGGACACGUCAAAUUCAAAAACAAAAGGUGACGGUCAUCCCACUAUGUCCCUAACUACCUCACAAAAUCCCUCAAAUCCUAGAUCCCUAGUCUAGUCAAUCACUUACCCAACCGACUCUGCCUCUUCCGCGGGUGUAGCCGGCUCCUCCUCGGGAUCACUGGGAACCACGUUCCCUUGACCCUCCUCGGCCAAGUUCUGCACCACAUCCUCUACUGAGGCCCCGCACUCUGUCAAGAUAUGGUCGGUCCGGUCUCUCACGUCUCUAACUACCUGAACAAGGCGAUCAUUAGCCGCUUGAGCCUGCUUUCUGAAGGCAUUAGUCCGUUCCUGCUCCUCAAGAACCGAAAUCUCAAGCUCUCGGAUCCUGGCACCCUGGACUCGGAGGACUGCCUGUAGUCGCUCUAUCUCCGUCUGGCACCUACGAUUGGCGCUAUCAAAUCGUCUUCUCUCAUCGGCAAUCGCGAGUACGACCCUAUCAGGGUAGGAAUAAAUCUUCCAGCAGUCGCAGUGUCGGAUCUUACGUGCUGGAGGCCACCGACAUACGGGCCCACCGAAAUGCUCCUGAUAAGUAAGUACACGACAUAUUGGCCCCUCAAGGUGCUCCUGACCGGUAGGUACAGGCUGAGAUGGCCUAGUACCCCCACUUGCAACUUUACCCUCCAUAACCUACAUUACAAGUAACAUCUCAAGAAUGAGCAAGUUAGAUAAAUAAAUAGAGGCUACACACCUAUUCUCGAGUGUGAAACCCUAGACUAUCAUAACCAAGUUAUAUCAGGUAUAAAUUGUUCAAUCUACCAAAAUCAAUUCAAAUCUAGGCUCUGAUACCACCUGUGACGACCCCACCUCUCCCUAGGGCGUACCCCAGAGUUUAGCGGACCGUCUGUCCAACUCUCGCCAGAACUCUCUCACUUAUUUUGGAUAAAACAAUUCACAACCUCGAACAUAAAUGAAACAACAAUUUUCAAGUUUGGAACGUACAAAUACAUUCAUUUCUGUCUCAAACUUCCAUACAAUCCCAUAUACAUCAAAAGAUUUGAGUUCUAAAUACAUUCAACACUAAUCGAGCGACUAGUGCGAGUACAAUUACAAAAUUUUCAAAACUAGGCUACGUUAGCCAGUACCAGUCUCACGCCUCACUCGUACCCCCUGUAAGAAAAAUAAAACUAAUAGAGUGAGCUAAAAUUCAGUGAGGUUCUAAAUAGAAAAUUGACCAUUAAUUUAAAGUAAAAGUAUCAAAGUGGCAAAGUAACGAGCAUCACAAGUCAAGAAAAUGAGCAAUAACGCUUCGAAUGGCCAAACAUUAAGUAUUCAACAUUUCAAUUAAAAAGAUACAGCUGCUUUUGCAAACUAGCUUCACCAUAGCUUGAUCAAAUAGUAGUUGACACUCUGUCAACUUUCAAGUAAGGUAACUAGUUCAAUAGUACACCACUUAACUCCAAUCUCCGUCCACCGACCAAACCCCUUGUCGGGCCGAAGUCCAAGAUAAACAUUGGUGGUAAUACUCGAGUAUACCGAUUAGUCGAGAAGAUAACAUUCCACUCGACAAAACUAAAGACCCAGGGUUCGUUAUCUAAUCGACUAAACCCUUACCGGCUCGACUCGAUUAACUAGCCACAGGGCUUCUGGAAUUUCAGACAAGAUACGAAUCAUAUACAUGUAUAUCGAUUCAAUUGCAAUCAAUGAACAACAAUAUAUCACAUUAGGGCAAAUGCGAUAAAGUACACCCUUGCCCUACCAUACCAAUUAAAUAUCAUUCGAUCACAUUGGUCAAGUAUUGAAAACAAGUGUCAAAUUCAAUCAUGUAAUUAGAAGCACUUACCAAAGAUUUAGUGCUUUUUCGGAUCACGUUCACGCAUUACUCCUUGUUUGGAGUCCAAAUCUGCGAUAUAACAUUGUUUAAGAACUUUGAAAUCAAUUAAGGUUCGAAACUUAAACGUUUCGUUUAACGAAAAUCAAGUAACUGAAACUCAUUUGGGUAAUAUUCAUAUUACUUAUCACACUCUAUAAAACUCAUGCUUGCUCUUUUAGUUUUGGUAAGGAAGCGGUUAAAACGUUUAAGUUCGAAAAGUGGGCUAAAGGACGAGGAAAACAUAUUCCGAGUGGUCGCUAUUUUCACUUUUGCAAGGGUAUGAGUUUUGGCCGAAUUUUAGUUUAUAUACCUCUACGAAAGAAGAUUCGAAUACCUUAGAGUGUCUAAGUUCAACUCGACCUCAAAUCUUCGCUCAAGUCGCGAGUACACACGCCAAACUCUCGAGUGAAAAUUUGGGUGGCAUGCCCUUUAUAUUUAUCUAUUUUUCAGCCAUUUAUGACUUCAUUAUUUUCCUCAACUCAACCCAAACUCACACAUAAACAAUUUUAACACAAUAUCCCUUCAACUAGGCUCAAUGUCAUCCAAAUACAAAGCAAUUCUAGCAAUGUAAUCUUAAAAUCAAAGUUGGAAACUAGUAUUAAAGAAGAAUAACUAAGUAACAGGUUUGACACCUUCUGGCGUUUUGGUCACAGCUGAAGCUACGCUUAUCGAAUUGGGGUAUAUUUUAUGACGUUUCGAAACUAAGAUAGAGAGAUACAUUUCUUAUGAAAACAUCAACACCUAGUUCAUGCUUUUUCAUGGUCAAAAUGUGACAUCUCAGUGAAAACAGAAAGCUGCCGGUGAAAUAAGGCUUUUGGCAGUCAGAGGUAUUUUAGUUAUUUCAUAAGAUAUAGUACUCUGAUUGAGCUGAAAUUUUACAGGAAGAUAGUUAACUCCAUUCCCUACAACUUUCAUGUUUUGAGAAAGACCUGAUUCAGCCUCUAUCAUGGACGAAUAUGCAAGUCAGAAACAUGGCAGAUUCAUCAUCAAAGCUGGAAAUUCACUUCUACUCUAAAAAUUCAUAUUCUAGCUCAUUACUAUCAAGUACGAUAUCAUCAAAACCAUCAAUUACUAGUUCAAUACCAUCAAUUACUAGGUAGACAAUCAUAAUCAAGGCUAAAAAUGUAAACCCUAGCUAACCCUUCCAUUAUAUCAUCCAAAACUGAAUCAUUAACCAUAAUAAGCCAAGAACAUAAGUUUCUAUCCAAAUUUAAACAAGAUUAAGGAAGAGAAAAGGAAAGGCAGUCAUGAUACCUUCCAAUAAUUGCUUGUAAGUGAAAAUCACACCCCUUUCUUCCAAAACUUUUACCACACAAAAUUUUCCAACCACCAAAAGAGAAGUUUAAUCGGUUUAGUUUGGUUGUUUUCACUCAAAUAAGGAUGGAUUCAAGGUGAAAGUUGGAGUUUUCUCUCUUGUUGUUUUUCUCUCCUCAAGCUCGGCCAACAUGAAGGAAAUGGAGAAGAAAUAAAGCCAAGAGAAAGAUAAGAAAAUAGGAAUUUGUUUGGUCAAAGUUGGAUGGAUGGUUGCCAAGUGUCACCGCGAGAUUAAAGCUCAAAAUUUUCUUCUUUUUCCUCUUUUCUUGGUCAACAUUUUCGGCCACUUAAAGCUAAUGAAGGGCUGAUAUUUCUGAAAUAAUAGCAAGGAGAUUAAGGUAAUAAAGUAGUGUUCAAGUGGUGUAUUCAAUCAGUAACAACCGGUACAUGUCGGUUCAAAUCGAUUUUCCUUAACUCGCCCGUACUAGUAUUGUAACUUAUGAUUCACUAACUUAUUAUUAUCACUUCUAAUCACACACUUUUUCUUAUCUAAAACUCACUCUUAACCACCAAAUUUAGUACACACUCUGCACCGAUUAAUCACACUACCAAAAGACGCAAAAACCCUAAUUUACCCUAACGAUGAAAGUAAAGGGGAAACUCUUAAUUCUAUUCUUUAUUCCAACUAUUGAGGGAGUAAAUGAGUUGUAAAACUAUCAUAAAGUAAUUGAUUCAAAAUAAAAGGGAAUUUUAAGAAAAUAUGAGGGAUUUUACAAGUCCUCACAGUUACCACUGAUGCUUAUGGAAUCAGAUCGAGCGUGGAAACUCCUAGGAAAAACAUACAAGUUUUGAAGUGGAGCAAAUCCAAGUGACUAAUAUUGAUGUCAAGAGUUAUGAGGAGGGUGACUUCAAGCCGCAAUUUGAAGGCCUUAGAGCUGCUUUCCCUGAAACCUCUCAAAACAAAAAUCAUUCUACCAUGAUCUUAGAAAAUGUAGAAAAAGAAAUGUCAUUCCAAAGACCUCAAAUGAAGUAGAAAAAUAGGGAUGAGCAGGGUUGGUUCAUUAGCCCUAUGUCUUCUUUUUUCCAGAAAAAAUUCUUUUCUUUCUUGCUCUUUUUCUUUUGCUUCCCAUCACAAAUCUUGUGUGGCUGCUUAUUUCACUAAAAUCCCCUCUCUAGAAACCCCAAACCUUUGUUAUUACAUAUUUAUGUGAAACAAAAACCCUAAAACCUAGAAAUGAGGGUUAGGAUGAAGUGGGAUGAUGUGUCCCUUUUUUUACCCUUUGAUCAAAUUUUGUUAGGUGUUAAAAGAUAGGAUUUGGAUAUGAAGAGCUGUAUUUGUACCAACAAACUUGGGAAAAAAGAAAGGACAAAGAAAGGAAAAAAUUCUUACCAAGAAAGCAAAUUCCCGCACCAAGCUUGUACUGGUCUCUCGUUUGCAACGUGAAGAAGAAGUGGCGCGCGUGCACAUGAAGAGUUGCACUCUUUUUAUUUAUUUAUUGAGGGAAGGGGAAAAAAUGGGUUUCUUUCCAGGUUUUUGCUAGGUUUCGGGUGGGCUUUUGUUGUGUUUCGAGUGAGUUCAUUUAGGAAUUGGGUUUUGAGUGGAUUUAGUGUUGGGUUUAUUGUUGGGGUUUCUAUUGGGUUAGAAGCAAAAGAAAAGAAAAGAAAACAAACCUCUACUAUUUCUUAAUUUUGAACUUUCAUUUUUUUUCUUUUUCCAUUUUUUUCUGCACAAACCUAAAAACAAAGUUAAUAUGAUUAAUUAAGAAAUUUAUAAGUAAAAACAAAAAAAUAAUAGUAGACUUGAGAUUAAGAAAAAUCUGGUGUCUACAUAUCGUACCUAAAAGUUAUAUUAUGGGAAAAGUUAAUCGCACUAGUCAUUUAUUUUACUAUAUAGUAAUCUAGUACAUGAAAAUUAUAUAAUAAAAAUGAUAGUAGGAAUGCGAUUAAUAAAAGAGAUAAUAUCAGUAACCUCCCCUGAGGUUUCUUUUAAUAGCACUUGGCACCCCGAAAAUUUUAAAAAUAUCACUUACCUCCCUUACUUUUGUUAUUUGUUUCACAAAAUUUUUAAAUUCUUAAACUACCCUUUUCACUUGCUAAAUAAAAAUAUUCCUAAAUCAUUUUAUUCACUUCAAGAAAACCACCACCCCAAAAACAAUCUCUUAUAGUAUUAUCACAUCAUAAUGCUAUAACCCAUAAAAAUAUAAAUUUGAAAAAAAAUAUAUUUGAAAAGAAAUGCACUUGCAUCAAUUUAACUUUAUAUGCUCAAAAUCCAUUCUUAUGAACUUAUAUUUUUUUCAACAUCUUCUCAACCUUUACUCAAAUGAUUAAAUUGUACCAUUCAUUAUAGAAAUCAACUCAAAAUAAGGAAAUAAAUCAUACCUCAUUUUAUCACAAUCACAAAAAAUAAAAGAUAAAUAAAAUUCAAUUUAUUAUAAUUUACAAAUAAAAUAUUGCAUAGUCAUCCAAAAAAAUGGGUAAGAGAGAAUGAGGGAGAAAAGGGAAAAAAUAAGAAAGCGACUUUUGCUUCUUUUUUUUUUAAUUUUUGAGUUCCAUUUAUUUGAUAUGUUGUGAAUUAUGUGUCAAAUGAGGGUUAAUAUAGUCUUUUUACAUUUAUUAGGGGUGGUAAGUGAUAUUUCUAAAAUUUCAAGGGUGUAAAGUGAUAUUAAGAGAAACCUGAAGGGAGGUUUCUGAUAUUAUCCCUUAAUAAAAAGUAGAGUGUGAUUAAUAUUUUUUGUAUAUUUUUUAAUAUGUUUGUAGUUGUAACAAAUGCACAAAAAAUGAUAAAGUCAUAUACUAAUACAUAUUAAAAUAAAUCACAAUAAUGAUAAUAAACCAAAAACUGUACAAAAUUUGUAUUUUUGGUGAUAUGGGGAAUAACUAGAUUAUUUUAGAAUUUUUUUUAUCAAGCAUAAGUGAUCAAAACUUUGGCCCCCAUUUGAAUUAGCUGUUUUCGGACGUAUUUUUUAAAAACUUUACUAUAGCUGUGUAUAUGAAAAAAAUUUACUGUAGAUAUUUUUUGGAUUGAUUUUAGAGGUAUUUUUAAAAUAUAUGAAAAAUACUGAGUAUUUUUAUAAUUUACAAUUUUUUGGAAUUUUUUUUAAAUAUACACUGGCUCUGUUUCUAUAUAUUAAUAUUUAUUUAUUUAUAAAUAUAAUAUUUUUUAUUUCAAUUUUAUUUUAUAAUAUGCAUAUUAAUAUAUAUAAUAUAAAUAUACAUAUUAUAUAUAUUAAUAUACAUAUUAUAAAACAAAAUUGAAAUAUAUAUAUUUAUAUAAAUAUAUAAAUAAAUAUAUUUAUAUAUUUAUAUAUUUAUACAAAUGUAUAUAUAUUAAUAUAUUUAUAAUAAUAUGUAAAUAUAUUUUAACAAAAAAUAUAUAUUUAUAUAUAAAUAUAUAUAUUUAUUUCAAUUGAUAUAAUAUAAUAUACAUAAUUGAAAUAUACACAUUAAUAUCUAUUAACAUACAUAUUAUAAAACAAAAUUGAAAUAAAUAUAUUAUGUAUUUAUAUAAAUAUAUAUAAAUAAAUAUAUUUAUAUAAAUAAAUAUAUUUAUAUAUUUAUAUAUAAAUAUAUUUUUAACAAAAUAUUUAUAUUUAUAUAUAAAUAUAUAAUAUUUAUUUCAAUUGAUAUAAUAUAUAUAAUAUACAUAUUAAUGUACAUAAUUGAAAUAUAUUAAUAUUACUAUAAUUUAUAUAUAUAUAAUGUAAUAUACAUAAUUGAAAUAUACAUAUUAAUAUAUAUUAAUAUACGUAUUAUACAAAAAUUGAAAUAUUAAAUUUAUAAAUUUAUAUAAAUAUAUAUAAAUAAAUAAAUAUAUAUUUACUUAAAUAUAUAAAAAAAUAUAUAUAAAAAUAUAUUUUAAACAAAAUAUUAAUAUUUAUGUAUAAUUAUAUAUAUUUAAUUUUUUGUAUAUAUAUUUCAUUAAUUUUAUUUUUUUUAAAAAUUUAUAUUUUGUAUAUAUAUUUUAUUAAUUUUAGUUUUUGAAAAAAUAUAUUUAUAAAUUUAUAUAAAUAUAUGUAAAUAAAUAUAUUUAUAUAUUUACAUAAAUAUAUAUGUAAAUAGAUUUAUAAAUAUAUAUAAAUAUAUUUUGAACAAAAUAUAUUAAUAUUUAUAUAUAAAUAUAUAUUUAUUUUUUGUGUAUAUAUUUUAUUAAUUUUAUAAGUAUAUAUAUUUAUUUUAAACAAAAUAUGAAUAUUAAUUUUUGGAUUAAUAUUUAUAUAUAAAUAUAUAUAAUUAUUAAACAAAAUAUAUUUUUUUGUAUACAUUAUUUAUAUAUAAAUAUAUAUAUUAAAAUAUUUUUGUAUAUUUGAAGUUAUUUUUGAUAUAUUGUUUGGAUAUAGUAUUUUUGGAGUUGUUUUUGUUUGUGUAUUACUGUAGCAUUGUAGAUGAAAAACAAGUAUUUCAAAAACUCUCAAAUUCAAACGGAGCCUUGGUAACUAAGAACUUGUGGGGAUAAAUUAGUCACUGUACGAAAAUCAUGUGUGAAUACCCAACCCAAUUGUACCUCAUUGGAAAAUUUAAUUGUUUCAAUUUAUGUUUAGGGAGUAAUGUGUAGAAAAUGUAUUUUUCAAGGGCUUUAUUGAAAUUAACCCUAAAAUAAAGAUGAUAUGAUCAACAUGCUCUACCAACAUUGUAAAAUACUUUUCAUCUCUUGCCUAAAAGGGUCAACCCAACUCAAAAUUCUCAACCUUUGAAUGCCCAGAUUCUUUCUUAAAAAUUAAAUACCAAAAACAAAAGCGAGAAAAUAAAAACCAAGCCAAUUCUGAGAAAUAAAACAAAACAAAAUAUCAAAAAGCCCCUUUGGAUUGUAAGAUUCGUAGAGUUUUUACAGAAAAUAUACUAUACUGAGUUGAUAUACAUGAGUUAAAAAAAUAAAUUAUAAUGACUUAAUAUAUAUAAAGUAAAAAAGUAAAUAAAAAAAAUUGUCGAGAAAUUUUUUUUUUUGGCAAAAACUCUCAUCAUCUCUUUUCCUAAAAGGGUCAACCAAAUUCAAAAUUCUCAACCUUUGAAUGCCCAAAUUCUUUCUUAAAAUACCAAAAACAAAAGAGAGAAAAAAUAAAAACCAAGCAAAUUCUAAGAAAUAAAACAACACAAAAUACCAAAAGCCCAUUUGGAUUGUAAAAUUCAUAGAGUUUUUACAAAAAAAAAAAAUAUAUUAUAAUGACUUGAUCUACAUAAGCUAAAAAAGUAAAUAAUAACGAUUUGAUAUAUUUGAAUGAAAAAGUAAAUAAAAAAUUAUCGAGAUUUUUUUUUUUUUUUUUUGCAAAAACUCUCAAUUCAAACAUUUAAAAUUAGCUAAUAAGUACAAAUUUGAGACCUGAAAAACAGUUUAAAAAAGCCCGAAAGACUCGCCCUUUUGUCUUCUCUCACAUUUUCCCUCCACUCUGCCUUCUUCACUCUCCCAGUCCCCUCACAUUCUCACUCCACUCUCUUUCUUCUCUUUCUAGGGUUUUUCCGAUUACCGAAGCGAGAGAAAUCGAGCAACCGCUAUGGCGUCGACCGCUGGGGUUUUCGGAAACCGCUGCAGAGCACUCAUGGCAGCCGCUAAGACCUCCGUCACCUCCACCACUGCCGGCUCCGCCGCUGCCAAAACUUCUGGCCGCAGAAAUGGCAUCCUGAAGACGCAGCCUGUCUCCCCUGCUCUCCGCCAGUUCGUUGGUGCACCCGAAACUUCCCGCACUGACGCCGUCAAGAAAGUCUGGGUUUACGUCAAAUCCAAAAAGCUUCAGGUCUAAUAAUAUACGAGUAGCUUUUCCAUUUCAGUGGAUUUUUUUAAUAAAAAAUUUUAGAUGAUUGUUUAACUUAUCUGCUCAUUACCUUCUAAUUUGUGACUAAUUUUUUUUACAUUUGCUUUUUUUGUUUAUUGGCUCAACUUCUGUUGGUUGUUGAUUGUGUACGGAAUCAGGCAAUAAUAUGUCUCUGGACAAAGACGUGCAGAGAUAUCAUGAUUGUAGUCUAUUGAGACUGAUUUUUUAAAAUUUUCUUUGUGAAUUUCUGUCUUUUAAGAAUGUCAAUGUAAAGGCAAAUAUACAACGAUGUUGAUGUCCUUGUGAAGCAAUAGAGUAUGUGUAUUCGGGGAAAAGAAGAAGAAAAAGUAUAAUAAGAGAAGUGCCUGGGUAGUUUGCAACUAUUUACUUUUUGUCUGUUUAAAUGCAUAUGUGUAUAUUUAAGUACUGUAAAUACAAGGUCUGUAGGCAUAAUGGCUAUCCAUAAAACAGGAAGGGAAGUUUUAAGCUCUGUUUUCUGGGGAACGGAGGGGGAUGAGGAGUGAAUGAAACCAUUGCUGUUGUAGGAUUUGAGUUAUCCUAUUGUCCAGUGGCCUACCCCUAAUUUUUAGCCUCUUAUGUCUGAGAAUCCUAGUUUCUCUUUAAACUUUUGUGUUCUCUGUAUUUGCUUUCCCAUUCUUUUCUGGUAUUCUUUGAGUAGAAGACUAAUAGAAAGGCGUGUGAACGGUUUUGAGUUAUGGCUUCUGUUCAUUGUUGCUGUUAUUGAUGUGAUAAAUUUGCAAGGCUAAUACUGAUAGAAUGCAUGUUUAUUGUGCAUUUGAUCUGGUGGAGUCUAAAGGGGUAGUGCCCAAAUUUCUAACCAAACUGAUAUUGUACAAUGACUAGGUAAUUAAAAGAUUCCAUUGACAUUCUUCUGCAGGCUAAUGAAUAAUUCUUACUUGUGUGAGUGUUUGUCCUUCCCUGUUUCUUCUUUCUAAUUUGGAAUGGUUUGUUUUUCUUGGUUUUUUCUUUUCUUUUCUUUUAUUCAUCUAUUUUCUGUAUUGGAGCCACUAGGGGAAAUUGGAUCCCUUGGUCUUGUGUCAAUUUUUAUCAUAUCUUAUUUUGUGUAUGUGAAAUUUUGCACUGCAACUUUAAUAUAGACAUUCUGGUUUCUUUACUGCUUGCAAAAUUAGUUUAAUUUUGAUAAUUAUUGUACUUCUCUGUCAAGAAUACUGCUACCCUGAUGGAUUGGCGUAUAAUUUCCCUUGAGAUGACAGAAGGUGGAGUUCAUUACCUAUGCUUGUUGCAGAAAUUCAGGGUCAUGCUGCCUUUUAUAUUGUUUGUCUUGAGUAGUAGAUUUUAAGAAGAAUUUUGAAAUCUGCAUGGAGAAAAUCUGUGCAAUUAGUUUGUGUUGCAUAUGCAUAGUUAAUCACGAUUUCUUAUUGCAUGAGACUAGAAACUUUCCUCAAGGUUACUUCAAAAAUAUGGUACAUGACUUUGUUGUGGUUUCCUUGUAUUUCAGAAUCCAAACAACAAGAAAGAGAUCUACUGUGAUGAGAAGCUGAAGACCAUAUUUGAAGGCAAGGAGAAAGUUGGAUUUACUGAGAUUGCGAAGCUGCUUUCCAAGCAUUUCCAGAAGGCUGCAUAAACAUUUCUUAGAAAAGAUAGUGAGUUUGUUUGGACAACAAGAAUUUGAAAUAAAAAUUUCAGAUUUUGUUUUGCUUGCAUCAUACACACAAUUUCCAAUCACCUUUUUAUUUCACAUACAUCACAUCACAAAAAGUGCUACAGUAACUGGAUCAAAUAAAUCAUCCAAAUAAAUUCUUAUCCAAACAAACUAUCUCUCUAGUGGACGGGUAGAUUUGUAAUUCAGGAAGUAGAACAUAUCCUCUUUUGUUCUCAGUCUCUUUCUUCCCCUUCUGUUGUCUUUUUGGACGAGGGAUAGUGAAUCUGGCGCACAGAUUAGAUGUUCUCUUUAUGUUAUCUCGAUGAUGGCGUAAAACUUGCGUAGGGUUUGUACGGCAAACAUGUUCCACUGUUCUGAUGGUUUUGGGGAAUUUUUUUUUUUUGGGCUUAAUGGCUUCUCUUAUUGAUAAAUUAUGAGGCGUACACAAGGUUUGUAAAAUCAAGAUCUCACGUCGGAUCGAUUUUAGUUUCACAGAAUCGGAUCGUAAGAUCUUAUCAAAAACUCCUAAAUUUACUAAAUUAAUGAAUUUGAAAUUCAUAUAUUAUUUUGUACAUCCUAAAAGAUAUCAAAUAAAUAAGCUAUUCAUAAAUAUAUAGUAUUUUUUACUUACUAUCUGACAAGUAAUAAAGAAGAGAAUAUAAACCUGUUAUCUGUCAUGAUUUCAAGUCUUAAAACCAAAUGCUUCACAGUUUACACAAUCAUAAUUUCAAAUAUAAAAUAAUCAUCAACCUUCACAAAUACUAAAAAGCCAAACAUCCAAAAAGAUUUUCAAGAUCAAAAUUAACUACUAGAAUGUCAUCUGUCAUGUUUAAACAAACAUGAAAAAAUAAAAAAUAAAAUAGCAACAAUUCAUCAUUUUCAAGUAUCAUAAUAAUUCAGAAAUACAUUAAUUUAUAACCAAUCAUUUUCAUCGUUUGAAUCAAAUUCAUUAUUCCCAUAAUCCAUAUUAUCAAAAUCAUUAUUUUCCCAAUCAUCUUCACCAUCCCAAUUCUCUUGGAAUUCAUCUUCGGCAUUAUCUUCAUCACCAUCCAAAUUAGUAUCAUUCAAAUCAUUAGUUCCCAUUUGAAGAUCAGUUUCGAGAACCAUAUCAAGAUAAUCAUCAUCUUGGCGGUCGAAUUCAGUUGAAGGCCCAUCAUCCUCAUCAAUAACAUGAAUCUCUUUCAUUUUAUUAACUUGUCUUCGACGGACAUGGGUUUGACGAUCUUCAUGAUCAUCUAAAUAAACAAACAAUAAUAAUGAAAGUUACCAAAAACAAGAGAACUUGCAAAAUAAAACUAUAAAAACAAAAAAAGGAUAAACUUUAUACUUAAAUUGGAAGAAAGAAAGAAACUUACAAACUCUCUGCACAUUUCUUGUAAGUAUUUCAAUUUCAUCAUCUUCAUUUCCCUCUUCAUCUGAAGUGUCACAUUUGGGAUUGUCAUCUAGAACUCGUAACCAGCUAUUUUCUCUUGGAAGAGUUGGAUUUUCUCUCUCUGUCACCCAUUCAUCAUCUGAAGGCAAAUUCUCAAAAGGAAUUUCUUCAAUAAUACGUUGCCUUUGCCUUUGUCUCUCUCUCAACUUCAAGUUGUACAUCACAAACACAAGAUCAUUCAUUCUUUUUUGAGCCAAACGGUUUCUUCUCUUAGAAUGUACCUAUUGAAAUUGAAAGAACUUACACAGUUACACUACGAACUUAAAUUCAAAUGCUAAACAAAAUAUUAUACUAAAUGAGAUAUUAUAUUAUAUGAAAACAUUAUUAUCAAUUCAAAUGCGCUCCAAUUUCGCUCACAUCCAGAAGAGCUACAAGUUAAACUGAGAAUUCGAAUGGCAAAAAUUUUCAACUCUGGACACUCAUCGCCAUAAGAUUCCCACCAAUCAGCUGUAGGAAAUUAAAAUAAAUAACAAAUUAGUAAAGGUUUUAAAAAUAAAAACACAAAGUUCAAAUGGUAACUAACCAGGAGAUUUCUUGUUUCUUGUUAGUACAGCAUUUUCAUGACCAAAUAAUCCAUUUGCAUGUCGAAAGUCAUCUAAUUGCAAAUCAAUCUUCACCCUUUCACCAGAUUCGGGAACCAUCUUAGCAAUGCAAUCAUAAAGGCCACGUUUUAUAUUUGCAUCCGACUGAAAAUCUGGGCUAUAUUGAAAUUGAGGAUUCAAAUAAUAACCCGUGGCAUGUAAAGGAUGACUUAAUUGAUCUUCCCAUCUUUUAUCAAUGAUAGCAAAUGCCGAUUCAUAUCUAGCAUAUAAACAUGAGUUUGGUUAAAAAAAUAACUAAAAAAAUUCAUUCUACUAUCCAACACAGAAAUUAUAAAUGAACUCAUAAUUAAUAUGACAAUUUAUUUAAAAUUUACCUCUUUCGAAUAUUGUUCACAUUUUGUUUGAUUUCUUCUUUUGCCUGAUAAAUAGCUUUAUAGAGAAAGCCCAUGGCUGGUUUUUCAUCAGAAUCAACCAUCCUCAAUACUUUGAUAAGAGGCGAAGCUAUCUUUAAACAUAACUCCACAUUUGGCCAAAAUUGUUGAUUAUCAAAAAUGAUGCUCUCAAUUUUUUUCCCCUUGUUUCUCCUAGCAUACAUGCUUGUUUUCCACUUAUCCGAACAGAAAAAGUUAAACAAAUUCCCUUUCAGCUCGCUAAGACGUCUCAUGGUCAAGUAUGAAGUAGCAAAACGAGUAACUCCAGGUCUAAUCAACUCCUUGCCAUUAGUGAACUGUUUCAUCCAAUUAAUAACUGUACCCCAUGCAUAAAUAUAUGUAACCACUGAUUUCGCUUUUUGUAUAGUAACUUUGUGGAGAGAAUCAAACUUUUGAAAAUCUUCUAACAUUAGAUCAAUACAAUGAGCAGCACAAGGGGUCCAAAACAAUCUUUUUCUCUUUUCCAUCAAUAUUUUUCCAGCUGUCUUAUAAUUAGAAGCAUUAUCGGUGAUGACCUGCACAACAUUAUCCUCUCCAAUUUUUUCCACAAUACCAUCUAACAAUUCAAAUAAUUUUUGAGCUGUUUUUGAAAUAUCAGUGGUAUCUACCGAAGAUAAGAACACAGUACCAGCUGGACUAUUCACAAGAAAAUUGUUCAUUGUUCUCUUUCUCUGAUCAGACCAUCCAUCGGACAUAAUAGUACAACCAGUUUUUUUCCACUCUUUUUUGUACAUAUUGAGCAAAUUCAAUGUCUCUUGCACCUCUUUUUUCAAAAAGGUCACUCUCAUUUCAUGGUAUGAAGGUGGUUUAAGUCCUUUUCCAUAUUCUCCCAAUUUCCUAAUCAUUAAAGGAAAUAAUGGGUUAUUUACAGCAUUAAAUGGAAUGGCACUUGUAUAGAACCACCUAGCCAUUAUUUGACAAACUUCAUCUCUAUCUUGUUUCUUCCAUUUCUCACUUAUGGUUGUUUGUCUCACAUUCAACCCCCCAGAUUUUCUCACAACAAAGUUGUCCAUAGAACAUUUUUUAGCCUGCUGCUUAACUUCACUUUCUUCUUCUUCUAAAUCAUACAUGGUACUAACCCUUUGUUUUUUUUUCCUUGAUUCCUCAGAACUUGCACUUAGUAAAUCAAACAUUUGGGUUCUAACAUCUUCAGGAACGCUGGGACAUGGUUCAACAUUUGUAUGUGUACAAGCUAAAUGAUGCUUAAGCCUAUACACACCACCAGCUCGAGUAAUCCCACAGUAUUUACACUGAACUUUUUUUUUAUUAGCAUCAAUUUCAAUUCCAUGAUCCCACCCGGGAUCCAAUCGAGCACCCGGUGCAUUUUUUCUACUUUGUUUCUUUGAAGCGGAUGAAGACAUUUAAGCACUGCCAAAUAUAUUAGAAUAUUCAUAAGAAACCAAGAAAUUCAGACCAGACCAGCACUUGAUAAAAGAAAAUAAAGCUAGCAUUCAGAAAAUAAGCCAGACCAGACCAGCACAAGAAAUUCAGUCUUAUUACCAAUGAUUUUUGCAAGGCCGAGUGCAAAUCCAAUGAAAACAUAGGUAAAGGACAUAAUAGCAACAACAAUAGAAGUUCAGAAAUUAAUGCUUGAACAGCAAACAUUUGUAUUUGUGUGAAUAUUUCUGGAAAAUAAAACUUUGCUAUACGUCCUACCAGAAAAGGGAAUUCUUUUAUGUGUCCUUAGUGAUCCUUCAUACCCUGUGCUUAAAAAUCACUAUUUCAUAAAAUUAUGGUACUCAAUGAGUUAAUCAAAACAACAAGAUACCAAAUAUUCUUAAUUCAUAUGCUUUUAAUUGUCUAGGUUACUAAUCACUUAGGAGUCAUGAUAACAACUAACUAAUCCAAAUUUCGUGCUAGAAUUGAUGUCUAGAUCAGUGCAGAGUUCUUAUAGUACAUGAAGCAUCUUUGGGAUCACAGCUUAAUAUAGCUUAGUCAAAGGAAUAACCAGGACGAGAGUAGAACAGAAAAACAAUCCUGUGAAAAUAGAUUAUUAAGGAGUCAUGUAACAGAAAGAAAAAUUAUCAACUGACAUGUUUUACUGUAAAGAUAACAGUUGAAAAAUCAACCGUCCAACUGCUGCAAAAUGCAUGACAAAAUGGGAAGAUUUAAACGAUGUUAUAUUAAAUAAUUUUAUGAGUUCUCAUUAAUUCAUUAUUACAAAAUAAUAAUACUCCUAAUUUCGAUUUCUUCAACAAGUUCAAUGGGAAGAUUUAUGUGGUAGCAGAGUCUCGAUUAUCAGAGCUUCCUAUGGAGAAGGCAAAAAAGAGUGCACCUAAUGGACCCGUUAAUGAUUCUGAGAGCACAAAUCCUAAGACAAAGUGCUGGUGCUUCAGAACCGUCAAUAAUUUUCAAGCAAGAAAACCAAAUUUUCACAAAUCCUAAUGGACCCGUCAAUAAUUCCCUUCAACUUCAACUCAAUUCAAUCAAAAGCAAUAUAUGUUCAAAUACCAAGAAAACCAAAUACAAAUCAUAACUUUAUCAAUCACCAUCUCCCCAAGUAUCAAUUUUCAAGCAAGAAAAUAACCACACUCACAUAUGACUUUAAUUGAAGUGCUGGUGCUUGAGCUUCAGUGUGGUGGCAGGCUGGCAGCACGAAAAUUGGAGAAGAACGGGUGCUGGAGCUUCAAGCUUUGAAGCUUGAAACGGCCAAAAUCCGGCGGCAACAGAGGAUUUCGUAGCUUGAUAUUCUUACCGAAGCAAUGGCUGCUGGAGCUUGAAGCUUUAAAGCUUGAAGCCUUGAAGCUGUCGGCUGUAGCUUGUGGGUGACUGGGUUCUUGGUAGAAGCCGCAGCAAUUUGUCUUGUUAGUACUUGGUCUUGGUAAGAGCUGUAGCCGAAGCUUGAGAUGGUUUGAUGGUUUAAAUUAGGGAUUUGAUUUGGGCAGCGGAGAGGAGAAAAGAAAUGACAAAGGUCUGCUUGAGGAGAAGAUGAAGAAGACCGAAGCUUUUUGACGGAACCUUUUGACUUUGAGGCAAAAUUUGUUAAAACAUUGCAACUAAGGCCUGCAAUUUCUUGAUAAACUACAAGCCUACCCCAAAUGUUGAUUUUUACUUGCAAAAUGAACCUUGUAUUUCACAAAUUAGCCCUUUUUUGUAGGAUCGAAGUAGGAUCGUACGAUCCUAUGCGAUCCUACCGAUCCUACCUUGAUCCUAUGUAGAUUCAAGGAAUUUGCGAUCCUAAGUGCGAUCCGGAUCGAUUUUGCCUUUCCGGAUCGUAGGAUCGUACGAUUUUAACAACCAUGGGCGUGCACUGUUACGAAGUAUCUUUUUUUCUAACAUUUAAAACACCAGUUAAAGGCUCACCGGUUAAAGCUUGCACUUGAAUAGAACGUCUGUUUAUUAUUCUUUGGUAGGAAAGGCAACGGCUUUGUCCACUAGUUCCUUCCGUCCCUGCCCCUUGCCCUGUGGGUGCCUUUAAGGGACGGGGGUUAAUAAAAAUUUGUCGUAAUUUUAUUAUAGUCAAAUUUUAACAAAUAAUUAAAUAUUAAAAUAUCAAUAUAUUAUCAAAUUAUUAUUUAUUGUAAUUUUACAAUAAAAAUUCAUAAAAAUAAUAAAAAAGUUAUUUGAAUACAAUUUAACAUGAUGAAAUAAAUAUAAUCAAAGUAGUCAAGUUUUUACUUUUGACACAAAUAUAAUUAAUAAGUCAUUAUUGUGUUUUUUUUUUAGAAAAAAGUGUAUUUGUGUUAAGUGUAAUUAGGAAUUUAGUAUAAAUGUAUUAGUAAAUUUAGUAUAAUUAAUUAAUAAUUUCUAUUAGUAGAUAUGUAUAAUUAUUAGUAUAAUUGAUAAUAUUAAUUAUAUUAAAUACACUAAUAUCCAUUAUAUAAUACAUAUAAUUAAUAAUAUCAUUAUUAUAAAUUUGUAACUAAUUAAAUUAAAUAUUAUAUAUAUAAUUAUAUACAUACAUACAUAUAUAUAUUUAUUUAUUAAUUUUUUUAACAGGUGGCGGGGGGAACCGCGUUUCUAAUCGAAGGGAAAAAAUUCCCCCCAACCCUCGCCCCAUUAGUCUCUCAUGGGACGGGUGCCCGCCAUCCCUAUUCUUUGGUUGGAAUCACCACUUUUGUUGUGAGAUUGCGAGGCAAAGUACCUCUGUGCUGGGUUAGGGUUGGAAAUAAAUCGAGUUGAAUUUUUAAAUUGUCAGACUUGAUUGGAAAUUUUGAGUUUGAAUCCUAUGCAAGUUUGUAAUUGGCUUAACUUAAUUACAUAUUGCUCUCUUGUAAUUAGGUGUUAGUAGCAAAUUGCUUCCUAUAUUUAUGAAAUUGACAAAUUACUCCUUUUUUUGUUGGGGAAGUGAUAGAAAGUAUUAUUGAUGAUAAGAUUAAAAUUACAAUGUGUGAGCAAGGGCUUAUAUUCAGCUAUACAAAGUGAACUAAGACACUGAGGAUCUAAGAAUUCCUCAUCAAAAGUUAUAUCUUGAGCAAGUAUAUUCAAUCUUGUACUUAGUCUAUUAAGUUCACAAGAUGGACUAUCAAAUGAGUAUUUCCUAAACAUUGAGCUAAAGUUCUUGAUAUCCUCCCGAUGUGUAGCAAUUCUAGUAUCAUUUGAGGAUUGUUUCCGUAUCAGAUUUAGAACUCGGGUACAGGAUGUAUGGACAUUGAUCAUCUCCCAAACUUGUUCCUUGAUCUUGCUCAAGGCCAAUUUAAUGGCUUGCAGGUAGUCUAGUACCAUUGAUCCAGUGCUUCGUUCCCUCAUUUUCCAGGUUGCAAGCAGCUAGUUCAAGUUGUUUUUUACAAAGAUCUCUAUCCCCAUAUUUUGGCCUUUCUUAUGAUGUCCUACAUCCACACAUUAUCAACAUGUUCUCUCCUUGUGCCACUUUUUGUUCUUGUUCUAAAGCUCUUUUUAUUUCUAAGAUAAAACAUCUGAGUUGUUGUUUGUUGAAAUUGGCUAUAUUCCUCCCAAUCCUUGAUUGUUUUCGAAUUCUUCCAUAGGAUGCAUUUCUUUGUCUUCAAACUCCUCUUCAUUUCUAAUUUUUCAAAUUUGCCAUAAUAUGUUCACUGUCAAGGCUAUGUGGUCUAUGGCAUCCUUUCUGUUCCUUGCUUCCAUCAGCUUUAGCCACUAGCUUUUGAAAUUUCCUGUGUGUUCAUUGAGUCCAUCCCAUUGAAGGGGGGCCAUUUUAUAUAUAAUUCUUGCUUUUCUACAUUGAAAAAAGAUAUGUUCCACUGUCUCAACAUCCCACCCAUAGUUUUUGCAAAUCAGAUCUCCUUUUCUUGUUGUUUUGAAGAUUAUUCUGAAGAUUAUUUCUCUUGCUGGCAAAGCAUGAUUCAGACACUUCCAUAUGAACAGCUUCUGUUUAUGCUUGAUCUUUAUUUUCCAUAGUUGUUUCCAAGCUCAUUCUUUCUCACUUGCACUGCUUGUCUCUCUCUUAUUGCUAUCUCUUUUUUCCAUCUGUCUAUCCUGCCUAGUCAUUGCUUUAUAUGCUGGUUUGACAGUGUAUUGUCCAGUAUUACUAUGGCUCCAAAAGUAGCUAUCAGGUCUACCAGCUAAGCUUAUAGGUAUUCUGAGGAUUUUCCUAGCUUCAUCUGAACUAAAGGUCCUAAAGAUUAGUGUUGUAGUCCAUUUGAAAUUUGAGAUCAAUUCACUCACCUUGCUAAUUUGACAACCUUGAGGCUUAGGAGAGUUUAAUUUUCCUACCUUGCAGUUCUGUAUCCAUGCAUCUUCCCAUAUUUUUAUACCUUUUUCCAUUUCCAAUUUUCUUUCUAGUUCCCCUAUUUACUUCAUCUCUGGCUCCUAUCAGACUUUGCCAUAUCCAGGAUGAAUUGCUUUUAAAUUUGUAGCUUAGAGGUGAAUCCUUUGGAUAAUAAUUAGCUUUCAUCACUUUGCUCACCAGGAGGUUUGGACAUGUUAAAAGUCUCCAUACCUGUUUGCCCAACAAAGCUUUAUUGAAUUUUUAGAGAUCCUUAAAUCCUAGUCCACUAGCAUCUUUCUUAGUUGUUAGUUUUUUUCUAGGAGCACCAGUGGAUUUUUCCUUUUCCUUUUUCUUCUCCCCUUUAGAAAUUUGCCAUCAUUGCAUUUAUCUCUAUGCAUAGUUUCACUAGAAGUUUAAAAUAUGACAUUGCAUACGUUGGUAUUGCCAUGGUUAUUGCUUUCAGUAAAACCUCUUUCCCUGUUUGGCUUAGCAUUCUGUUUCUUCAGCUGGUUACAGUUUUUUGGCACUUUUCUCCGAUAAAUCCAAACACUUGAUCUUUGGUUCUUGUGACAACCAUAGGCUACCCAAAGUAUUUCCCCUGAUUUACUACUCGUAUGUUUCCCACUCUUCUGCAUAUCUCUCUUUGCUUUUCCUGAUCCAUGUUCUUGUUGAAAAUUACUAAUGACUUGUCUAUAUUGAUCAUCUAUCCUGAUCCUUGUUCAUACGUCUUCAAGAUUCCCAUUGAGUUUGAGUGGUUUUUAUAAGGAUCCGAAAAUUAUUUUAUAUUUUAUUUCAUUUCUUUGAAUACUUUUUCCUUCUUUUACUUAUUGCCUUAAUUUCCUAAAUAUUUUUAUAAAUGAGUCAAGUUUUAAAAUAUUUUUCUUCUAUAUGUUAGUACAUGUUAGGUUCGUAGUGCAUUUUGGAAGUAGGACCCAUUAGUGAUGUGUGUUCGAUAAAUUUUUGAAAAUUAAGAGCAGUUUUGUGCAAAGAGAUAUUAUUUUAUAAGGUGUUAAGGGAUAAUUAGAAGUUGGUUAGAUAUUUUAGCAUUUGGAAGACAAAUAGAUGAGGAUUAACCUUGGAGUGCCACUUGUCAACCAAGCCUUGGAGCUUUGACUUGGACCAAGAACAUUUUUAGCCUUUAAUUAACAAAAAGAUUGACCAAAAAACCUAUCAUCUUUCCCUUCUCUAGAGGGAGAAAAGGAGAGGAAGAAACUUUAUCUUCAACCUUGAAUCUUGCUUGAAUCCUUGGAAUUUCAUCCUAAGCUUGCAACUCCACCCAUAGAAAGUGAUAUCAAGGCAGGAAAAUAGGCCUUUGUGGAAAGAUUAGUGGAGAAAGAAGCUUUUGGUUGCAUUUCUUCAUAGGGUUUGGAGGUAACUAUAUCAAGAAACCAUCUUUUCUUUUAUUACUUGCAUAUGAGUGGAUUUAAGUUUGAUUUUGGUAGAUUUCAUGGAAAAUUUCAUAGUUUGUGUGGUGGUUGGAAAAUUUCGAUUUUGAGUGAGAAAUUUCAGCUUUGAUAUGUUGAUUUGAGAUUGACUAUGAUCUAUUAGCUUUGCCAUGCGAAUAUUCUAACUUUGAUAUGUUGUUUUAGCUUCAUUAUAGAAAAUUUCAGAUUGUAGUAGUAAAUUUCAGCUUAGGGUUAUAUUUUUUCAGCUUUAUUAUGGUUGCUUUUGAGCUAGAUUAUUGGCUAAUUUGGGUGGCUUUGUAACCUUAAACAAGUGCCCUUUAUAGCCUAUGACUUGUGGUUGUGAUUGAGGUUGGAUUGCUAGGAAGAUAAGCAUUGAGCUUGGAGGAAACCUAAGGAAAAAUAGGGGGAAAUGCUGUCCGAUUUUGGAAGUAGCUUGUUUUCUUUAAUUGUGGGCUGAUUUUAUGGUAAACUUGCCUAAAAUACUAACUUUUAAGCCUUACUUAUGUGUUGAAUUUUAGAUGAAAUAGAGGGUUUUCGUUAGUGAUUUUCUCUAAUUUUUAGGGCUGCAAUUUUGCUUGUUGACCGAGUUGAUAGUGAUGCAUUU